rnacentral:lncRNA from 1 species
GAAUGUUAUGCAUAUUUUGUGUGGUGUCCUAAGCUUUCUAUACAUAGGCAAACUGUAAUGAAAGAAACUAAAGUUGAAUUUGUAGAAUUGGAACAUAAUAUUCUACCAAGCUUUCAAUCGCUUUAGCGGUUCAGCUGAUUGGAUACCUAAUCUGCCAUGAAAUUUCAAAUUUGUUCUUGAACAAUCUGAAUUUCCUUCAGAUGUUAUCCCUUAGAUUCCCUUGGAUAAUUGAAUUUUAAUUCUGAUACCUGACAUCGUUAUAAAAUCCUUCAUCAUAGUAUAGUAAGUUGAUGUUUUGGUUCUUAAGAUUGGUAGCAUAAGCUGAUUAUGACUGCAAUGACUCCCUUUCGAUUGCGGGCAAAUGCAUCCGAUAAACUGAGCUUGGAUUUUUCGACUUGGGAAGAAGGCUGUGACAAGCCAUCACUGAACCCUAUCUUCCCAUAGCAACCCCUUCUUCUUCUUGGUCAUCUUCUCUGUAUUGUCAAGUUCUUGAGCUAUGAAAUCCUUAUUUAUGGCAGCUCUGAAACCUGCAGCUUCCAUUGCAGGAGAAGGAGAUAUAAAUAAUGAAGAGUGGUAAUGAAAUGUUGAAAUCAGAGUAAGAUGGAAGUGGAAAAAGUUGAAGGACCACAAGCUAACAUUAAUUUGUCUCAUGUUUGCUUUAUGCAGUUCAGGAUUACUUAAUUUUUUUUUAUUGGUAUAUUGAUGGGUAGUGCUUUCGUCUGGCUUAUAUGAACUUCACUUUGUAGUUUGAUGGAUGGCAGUCAUUGACUUGAGAAUAUACAAUGACUUAUGAGAUUAUUGAAAUUCAUGCUUUUUAUCUUUUUUAACAAUGUGUUGUCGAUAGUGUUUUUAUUCGUAGUUGACUUGUAUAAAUUUCACUUUGUGAUUUAGCGAGUAGUGUGUCUAUUGGCCCAACAAUCGAGGAAUAUAUAAUGCAUAUUAUCACGAGUUGUAUAGUUGUUGAUUGAAGGAUCUAGAGUUAUAUUUUUGGAGAUAUAUACGUCUCACUUUUGCAGAGAGCUACUAAAUGGUUCACGAAGGGGCCCUGACUAAACGGUUUAUGGGGGGCUUGAUUAUCGAUUUUUGGUGUUAUGCCUCACCUCUAUGGAGAGCCGCUGGACAGUUCAUGAAGGGCUCUUGACUGUUAAUUUUUGGAGAUAUGUCUCAUUAGGGGUGAGCAAAACUUGAUUCGACUCGAAAAAAUCGAAAAAAAUUUUGAAUUUCGAGUUAAACGAAUCUAGUUAUUUGAGUUAAUUGAGUUAACUCGAAUUUUUUUUCAAAUUUCGAAUUUGAAUCGAGUUGAGUUUUCGAAUUCGAAUAAUUCGAAUAACUCGAAUAUCAAACUAUAAUAUUUUACAUUUUUACCCUAAACUCCCAAGCCUUUUUACUUUUCCCUCAAAAUUUUUACUCCUUCCCACUUUCCCCCCAAAACUUUUACUUCCCUCCCUUCCCAACCCCCAAUCUACCCAAAAUUUAUUUCCCACCAAAAUUUUAUUCUCCCAUUUAUUUUUUCUUAAAAAUUUACUCUAAAAAACCCUUAAAAUUUUUUAUUUUUCCCAAAAUUUUUACUUCCUCCCACUUUUCCCCAAAAACUUUUAUUCCCUUCCCAUCUACCCCAAACCCUUCCCCUCUAAUUUUUUUUAAUAUUUUCCCUCCAAAAUUUUACUCUCCCUAUUUAUUUUCCUUCAAACUUUUAUUCCCCAAAAAUUUUUAUUUUCCCCCCAAACUUUUACUUCUCACCCUUUACUCUCAAAUAAAAAAUCAAAAUUAUCCAAAAAAAAUCACUAAACAUAAAUAGUAAUAAUUUUAUUUAUAUCUACUAUUUAUAGUAUUAAAUUAAAUUUCACAUUUUAUAUUAUUUAUAUUAUUGAAUUGUUUAGUCAUAUUGAAUAUUUAUAUUAAAAUUGAAUUAUUAAUUAUGCCAUAAAAUAUUCGUGUUAAAAUUUUAUAUUGGUAUCAAUUUCACAUUUUAUUUUUAAAAUAACUUUUAUUAAAAAAUUAUAUUUUUACAUUUAGUAUAUUUUUUAAUUCCAAAAUACAUAAUGACAAGAAUUUGAAGAUAAUUGAAAUAACUAAACAAGCAAAGAAGCUAACCAGUAUAUAAAAAAUUAAUAAAUAAAUUUGAUUAAGGUGGACAAAUUUUAUUAUGAUGGGUGACGAUGGUUAUAAGGACUCAAAAUUAUUUUUUAAAAUUUAACUCGAACAAAUAUAUUCGAUUUGAUUCGAUUCGAAUUCAAUCUCACUCGACUCAAUUCGAUUCGAGAAAACUUCAAAUAAAGUUAGGAUGAUAAAAUGAGAUUCGAAAACUCGAUUAACUCAAAAAUUUUUGAUUUGAUUCGAUCGAAUGCUCGCCCCUAUGUCUCACCUUCGUGGAAAGUCGUAGACGGUUAAUUUUUAGAGAUAUGUCUCACCUUCGUGGAAAGUCGUAGAAUGGUUAACAGAGAGACCCAACUAUCAAUUUGUGGAGAUAUGUUUCACCUCCAUGAAGAGCCAUUGAAUGGUUCACGGAGGGGCUCAAAGGUGCCACCGUUAGUCUUACAACUAGGGAUAUUCAGUAGGUUAAUCGACUCGAAAUAACAUUAACCGAAUUAACCGACCUUUCAAAAUUUUUAACCUCUAACAAAACUGAAUUUUUUUUAAAAAAAUUAAUCGAACCGAAAUUUUUUAAAUUUCAAAUUUUGAUAACUAAAAUAUAACUUCUUGAAAAAUUAAUGGUUAAAAUUAUAGUUUAUCUUUUUUUUUAAAUUUAAAAAUAAUAAAAAGUGCAUUUAUCAUGCUAUGUAAUGUAUAAGAUGACAUGACAAUUUCACAAGUUAUUGACAAGUGUUUAACAUUGCCAUGUCAUCUUAGUCACUAACUAUUGGAUGGCUAAUCGUUAGUAUUGAUGUCUAAAUAUAUAAAUUUAAUAUUUGGGUCAUCAAAUUCAAAUAUAUAAAAUAGACAAUUUUAUAUAAAUAUAAUAUAAUAGUAAUGACUAAUAGCAUAAAAAUAAUUUAUUGAUUGCAUACCCUAUUUUAUAAACUAAAAUAUAAUUAUACUAUAAAGUUCUAUAUUUAAAUAAAAUUUGAGUUGAUCGACUCAAGAUAUGGUGAGGUCUAUAGUUAAUUUCUAUUCCAUAUUAUUUACUUUAAAAUUGGAAGCAUAAAUAUAUUUUUAUAUAAACUUUGAAAUUUACGACCAUAAUAAUAUCAAAAUAAGUUUAUAACUUAAAUGUUUUAAUUGUAAAUAUGAAUAUAUAAAAUUAAAAAAAAAACCAUAGAUUGUCCAUACCUCUUGUCCUCGGCGGGGGGUUGAAGCGAAGAACAUUUUUAAAGUUUGGAUGGUCAUCCCACUCCAACGAUUCCCACCAUUCUUUCCUUGACCUGAUGGUAAGAGAAGGUGGAGCAUAUGCAAAUGGCUGCCCACUGCCAACAAGGGGAACAAAUGGAGGAAUUCUCUUCAGUUUAUCACAGUCUUCUGCAAAUUUGAUAAAUUCGAGAGAAUCGCAAACCAUCACUCCACUUUUGCUGCAUAUGCUCUUCAAAUUUGGUAAUUACCGGAAUGACAACUUUCUCAAUUUGGGAAGAUGGAAUUGGAUUAAUGCAUCACUCCCUUUUUCUUCAACUUCUGAUGUUGCUGCUCCCAAUAUUUCUACUAUCUCAUCACAUUUUUCCACCCAAAUAUCUUCCAGGUUUUGGAGGUUUGGAAGCAACCAAUGUGGAAGCAACGUCUUCAUACUUGAGCAUCCCUGUACAAAAAUUUUCUUAAGAUGGGAAAAGGUGGCAGACGGAACCAAUGUUGAUGUUGUUGCUGAACCAAUUCCUUCAUCAUUCAUAAUAAGGGCACUCAACUUUGGCAGCCAUUGAAGAUUCAACACCUCGAGGCUCUGAAAUGGAUGAGCGGAAGAAGAGGCAAAAGAGGACAAGGGAACAACACACUCUAUCCAUUUACACCCCCAAAUACUACAAAUCCUCAAGUCAAUCGCAUUUUUGAAGGAAGAAUUAUCAUCGACUAAGUUUCUCAAAUAGUCGCACCUUAAAAUAAUCAACUCUUGAAUUUCAAUUGGGUGCAUAAUUAACUCACCUUCCCAAUUCUGGACUCCUCCAAUUGUUACUACUUUAUCUGUUGUACUACCCAUAAGAGAUGAGCCCACCUGUAAAUAAUACUUGAUGAGAUUUUUCUUACUUUGUUGCAUUGAGGAGAUGAACUUAUUCAAUUCACCGAUGUCUUCGAAACGUCCGGUAAAGCACUCCAACUUCUUCAAUGGUUCCAUCUCCUCUGCUUUUAGACUUGUUUUUUCAUUGCUCUCAUGAAAACCCAAGUGCUGAAGGUGAAAGAGUUUUGGUAAAAGUCCAGCGGGUAUCUCUUUCAGAGUGCGCACACUAAGAUCAAGAUAUCUUAGCUUUAUCAGCAUAUCCAUUCCUUCAGGGACUUCCUCAAUUUGAGUCCUAGAGAGAUCCAACUUCUUCAAUUCUUGAAGCAUCGAAAGACAUGGCAGAUCUCUUAUUUCUUCACAGCCACGAAGCAACAAUGUUGUGAGGUUCUUUAGUUCAGAGAUGGAAUUUGGUAAACUCUCGAUCUUUGUAAAAGCCAAAUUGAGAACACUAAGACAAGGCAUGUUUGUGAAGAAAGAAAUUGAGAUCUUCUUUAUAGGGUUGUUCUGCAAUAACAAGGUUGUGAGCAGUUGGCAUUUUGUAGGCAGCACAUCUAUGGAAAUUUCUGAUAUGGAGUUAUACAUAAGUGACACUUUCUCAAUAUCCGGACUCCAUUGCUCCUUUUCUGGUAACUCUUCUAAUUGCAAACCUGCUUUUAUCAUAUAUCGAGGAUUCAUUCUUGUGAUCGACAAUGCCAUCUCUGUCACUGCAUCAUGCAUCUUUAUGCAAGAUUGAUUACGUAUAUUGGUAAUAUUUUCCAACAAGCAAUUCUCUUCUAACUUCUUCAAAAUAACAUGGCCCUUUUCUUUCAUUUCUUGUCUUGUACCCAUAUCAUCUAUGAAUCCCUCCUCAAUCCAGCACUCAAUUAGCUCAUCCUUCCAAAUUUGAAAAUCUUCAGGAUAAAAUGCGCAAUAUAAGAAACAAUGCUGCAUUUUCUCAUCCUUUAAGUGAUCGAAGCUAAAUUUCAAACGCUCUAUCACUUUAGCUUCCACUCCUUCCACUUUUUCUAUUCUCUCUUUCAAUUCCUUGAGUGCGUUUUUCCAAAUAAGAGGGUCCUCUUCUCCUUUCAAUGUACUAGCUACGACGACAAUUGUAAGAGGCAGACCCGCACAUUCUUCGACAACGAGCCUCAAAAUUGGCAUUACAAUUUUAUUUUGCACUAUGUUAGGCCCAACUUUACUCAAGAAUAGUGUCAAUGCCUGUUGUGCUGAAAGGGGCUUCACUUUUAUCACCGUGCAACCCAUAUACUUACAGACAUGCUCCGAACGGGUUGUCAACACCAACUUGCAGCCAUUGCUGUCACUCGGCUCAAGGAUCCCAACUUCUUCUAGAGAGACUUCAUCCCACACAUCAUCUAGGAUUAGAACGUGCUUUCCUACUUUCUUCAGCAUUUCUGACAAGAUUGCAGCUCGUCUGAGCUUGUCUCCUUCUAUGGCCAAAUCUUCCUUCAACUUCAAAGCACUUGCAAUAUCAUCUUGUACCUUCAUUACAUUGAACUCCUUUGAUAUGGUAACCCAGAUUACUCUUUCGAAUCUUUGUUCUUUCAAAAGAUCAUUGUGGAUGUGCUUCAUGAUUGUGGCUUUACCCACACCGCCCAUCCCCCAAAGCCCAAUCUUUUUUACCUCCUCUUGCAUCAAACAUGCCCAAAUCUCUUUUCUGGCAGCUUCCUCCCCAACUAGUUCUGAUGUUGGCAGUGGCAACCCAGCACUUGGACCAUCCAUGGCAAGAGCUUCAGAGGCAUUAGGAGCUUUAUCACGAAAUUCCUUCAUUUCUCGAGUCUUUUCAUCAACCAGCUUUCCGUUCCAAGCACGACAGAGAUAUCUCCCGUUUCUGACUUUAAUUUCUACAUCCUGUGCUUCCGCAAUCAUCUCUUUCGCACCUUUCAACCAAUUUUCAACUCCUUGCUUUGGUAUCUUCCCUCCAGGAGAAAGAAGCUCUGCUUUCAAUUGCAGCUCUAUGUCUGCCAUUUUACAAUUCAAUUCAUCUCUGAUCCUCCCGAAGUUUCUCACAUAAUCAUUCAGCUUUCUGUGAUAUUUCAAGUAUUUACAAAGAGGAGGUCCAAGACAAUUUGCAAUGCCAACACCGGGCUCUACGUAUUCCAUUGCUCUGCCCCUGCAACGCAAUCAUAUAUGUUAGUGUAUAGGAUUUCUGAAUAAUUUUUUAUAUGUAAGUGUAAGCAUGAAAAGGAAGCAUAAAUGCAAUGGCCUUUAUUAAAUGGAGCUAUGGAUAGGUGGCAGACAGAAACAUGAUGAAAAUCUGGUCACCAGAGUUAACCUCUCAAUGUAUAUAAAAUGCUAGAUUCAAGUGUGCAACAGUUCAUUACGGAAUAUUAAGAGCUAAAAUGUUCAACAGUUUGAGAUUUCUAUCUAUGAUCCUGUCUUAAAAUCUAAAACAGUUGAUAAUGAGUAGAGGAAAUCAUAGCUUCAGAUCUUAUUACCUGACUUAGUGGCUGAAAAGUGUUGAGAGAGUAGAACGGAAAAGGAAGCAGUGAAGUUGAGUUCCUUGACAAUCUUACAAAGCUAGCUGCUAUAACAGUAGCAGAUAAUCAAAAGCAAAGAAAAGCAUGUGAUGAAUUAAGCAAAUGAAAGAAAAUUACCUUGACUGGAUGCUUCAAAAUUUGUGAUAGACCUUGGACUUUGAAACAAAUUAAAAGCAGUGAAGAAGAAAUAAGAAGAAAGUGAAGAUAAAACGAGGGAAAUUAUGAAGUCAGGCAGAAUUAUUAGUAAGAUAUCCUAUUUUUAUUACUUUUUCUGUUAGCUUUUUUUCUUGCUGUCUGCCAUUACAGGUGGCAUUAUAAUUAUUCUCAUUAUCAAUUUAAUUUACGAUAGCGUAUAAAAUUAUAAUUAUAAAAAUUUUAGAAAAAAAAUUAUUAUAUAUAUAUAUAUAUGAGUAAAAAAAAAUUAUUAUCAAUAAUGUUAACUGUUAUGCCAGAUAUAAUUUAAACUGGACUAACGGGUAAAAGAACUUUUUAAUUUUGGUGUUGAAGGGGAAUAAAAACAAAAUAAUAAACAAUGAGGGUUUACAAAGAAAUUAACCCUAUUUAAGAUUUUGUGCCGCCACGUAGCCGCACAACAUUCUUAGAGUUUAUUUUCAACAACCAAUCAAAAUGAGAAAUUUGCAUAUCAAGUCUUUGACUAUUUUUAGUUAUCACAUUUUAGUCUGGUAUUACCAAUAUGCUAGGCGACACCAGCCGAAUACUGUAGCAAAUGUCUUAUUUUUAUAAUUAAUUUAUUUUCAUAUCAUUUUCGUAAUUAAUUAUUUUUUGUAUGAUUUGGAUAAAAAUUCCCUAUGUUGAAUAAUAUACAUAUUCUAUUUAUAAAUAAUUUUGAGUUUUUUUAAUACAAAAUUAAGACAAAUUUUUUAUUUUACCAAAAAAUUAAUUAUUAGUUACUAAACUAUGAGUAUUUUGAUUUUUUUUUCCUUAAAUUGCUAAGGAGUAAAAUAUUUUUAUUUUAUUGACAUUUGUGUUUGAAAUUAUUUUUAAUUUUUAGUAUUUGUUUUAAAAUAUUUUAAAUCUAUUGCUAAACAACUAACAACAUUUUAACACUAAUUUUAAUUUUUAUAAUUAUUUUUGGAAGAAAUUUAAUUGUUUCUAUAAUGAAGAAUAAAAAUUAUAGUUUGUUAAUCCUGAUCAGACCAAAAAAAAAUUAAAUAUUUUAGUUAUAAAUUAUAAAUUUAUUUAACAACAUUUUUACAUAAUUAUUUUUUAAAAAUACAUUAUUAAAAUCUGUUAAAUAUUUUUAAAUUUGUUUUAAAUUUGGCAUGUUGUUCGUCGAAAACAAUUCGAGAAGAAGAGUUGAAGUUUCAAGACGAUAGAUUCUGUUCGUGGACCUAAACUCUCAAUCUAUGAUGAUAAGCCCCGUGAAAAAUGCUAACAAACUUAGGCAUUUCACUUCAAGAACUCCAAUUGAUCUCACAAGCUUAGCCAACAAGGAUGAAUUAGUGGUUCCACCAACUCUUUUUCACCAUAAAAUUUUUAAAAAAAUCUUUCACUGCUUUUCUAACAAAUUUUCUUAUUUUUAACACUCUUUGUACAGUUGUUUAUAUUGGUGGAGCAAAAAUGAAUUGGAAGAUGCGGGUUUGACAUUUUGGUCAAUUAAUAUUAAAAAGCUACAAAAUAUUAUUAAUGAAUUGUUUGAAAAUUUUCUUUUAAGUCGUCGGAUUGUUAAAAUCAUUGUUAUAUGGCCUUCAUUAUUUGCCUGCUUACACCAAUAAAAAACUCUUCUACCUCUACUUUUCUAUAGUUUAGGGAUUUUUUUUUAUUAUAUAUAAAAUAACUUUAAAUGUCAUGUAUAUACGAAUCAAAAUCCAAACAGUUUUCUUCUCCAUUCUUCGACAUCAACUAUUAGAUUGACUUGAUCUAAUAUACAUUCUUUACUCAUCGAUGAGUAUUGAUCUAUCGUACCGUUCAUCGAAUUGCCACUUUAACCUCGCUAGUCAGACUUUAGAAAAAAAAAAGAUAGUAGUUCAAUAACUUAAAUAAAAACUUUUGAACAGAUCAGUAGCUUAAAUGAAAGCCUUCAAAUAAUUUAAUUAUCAUUUUAUAUUUUUUUAAGUUAAAUGAUCAAAACGUAAAUUUAUUAAUAAUUUAACAACCUUGAGUGUAAUUUACCCAAGUAAUUAUCCUUUUCCAUCACAAAUUAAAAGAAAAAGGGAAAUGUCUUUUAUAUACGGGAAACUUGGAGGGGGUUAUUUGCAACAUAAUCCCUUUAAUGUUUUUAAUUUAUUUUAAAAGGGCUUUCACCUUUUUAACUUUCUCAUUUAGUCCUCAUAUUUUAAAAUAUUAUUUAAUUUUAGAAAUAUGUUACGUUUACAUAUGAAUGAAUCCAAUUAUAUUUUUUUAUAAAUAUUAUGUUUUAAAAAAAAAGCAUUUUUUAUUUUUUUAAAUCUUAAUGUUUCUAGAAAUUUUACAUGGAAAUUAAAAAAAUAUUAUGUCGUUUUACGAUACUUUCCUAACUCUUAUUGGAAAUAAAACUAUGAUCUUAGUUUUGUCUCACCUUAAAUCAUUUUGAUUAAUAUAAAUAUUUUAAUAAUAAAUAUUUAGAAGGUCAUAUUGGGAAGCAUAUAUAUAUAUUAGAGAAGAAUAAGAGGGUAGAAGGAAUGAUAAGAGAGGAAAAGUGUUUAAAAAGACCAGAGUUAACCUCUCAAUGUAUAUAAAAUGCUAGAUUCAAGUGUGCAACAGUUCAUGACGGAAUAUUAAGAGCUAAAAUGUUCAACAAUUUGAGAUUUCUAUCUAUGAUCCUGUCUUAAAAUCUAAAACUAUUGAUAGUCAGUAGAGGAAAUCAUUGCCUUAUUACCUGACUUAGUGGCUGAAAUGUGUUGAGAGAUUAGAACUGAAAAUGAAGCAGUGAAGUUGACUUCCUUGACUCUCUUACAAAGCUAGCAGAUAAUAAAAAACAAUCAUUGCAUAGUCAUGAAUGAAGCAAAUGAAAGAAAAUUACCUUUGACGGGAUGCUUGAAAUUUGGUGAUAGACCUUGGAGAUCAAAACAAAUUAAAACCAGUGAAGAAGAAAGAAUGUUGUGGCAGAAAGGAAAAGCAUGUCAUGAAUGAAGCAAAUGAAAGAAAAGUAGGUUGGAAUUUUGUGAAAGAAGAAAGAAUGUUGUGGGUACAAAGGCAGAGGUAUUAAGUAAGGAAUCCCAUCUUUUUGUACUUUUCCUUUGCUUCUGCCAUUAUAGUUGGCAUUUUGGGUAUUUGAUUCUCAGCAGUUGUAUCUAUCAGCUGAUUUACAAUUUGAUUCUUCUUUAAAUCUGUAAUAAUUCACUAAUCUAUUCAUUCUGGACAUUACUAACAAGUUUUGCAGUCAUCUUGGUGCUCAAUUGUAACAACAACAGCAGCAGCAGCAGCAUAAUAAUGGGCAAGUAUGGCAUAAGAAUGCCUAAUUAUACACGUUACAACUUGAAAUUAAAUAUACUAGUCGGCAUCCUAUAAAAAAAUAUAGUUGUUCUUACAUAUGAUGUUUGUAAGACGUGAAUAAUGUGAAUCAAUCUAUUCAAGUACAUAUAAAUUCCUUCAUAAGUUACAUUUUUAAAUCCAAAUUGAGGUUUAUUGAUUGGGUGUUCACCGUUUUUAAAAACAGCCGAAAUUCAAAUUAUCACUGUACCCAAAUUUGAAAUUGUUUUAAAAUUUUAGAAUAUUAUAAAAUUAAAAAUUAAAUAACAGUAAAUAAAUAAUUAUUUUUAAACCCUCUAAGAUUUCUCUUUAUUAUCUAUAUCGAAAUAUCUAAUAUCCCUUCUUCAAAAGAAAUAUAGAAAAAAAAAAUUAAGCAAAAUCAUUUGUUUUCUGCAUUUUACCUCUUAUGUUCCUUAACAUAACUUUUACAUUAUAAGAAAAUAUAAAAUUCUAAAUAUAAUUUAUUUUUACAAUUUGAGUUUUGAAAAAUAAUUUAAAUGUAAUGAAAUUUUGAAUUGAGUUUGAAAAAUAAAAUUUUGUGGUAUAUUUUGCAUCUUUGUACUAAAAAACGGCAUCAAGUUCAAUUUCAUAAUAAGCUUCUGUCAUACCAGUUCUAGAUGUGCUUCAAAGAUAUGAAACUCAACUUGAUAAUAUUACUAAUUUGGUUUUGUUUUGUUUUUAAAUUGUUAGUGGAUUCUAUUGAAUGGUAAUUUCCUUUAUUUCUCAUACAAUUUAGUCAUUCAACAAUAUAUUCAAGAUUUUAUUUGCAAAAUAAGAUAUAUGAUUAUGAGGGUGUUUUCGUCUUUUCAUAUAUUUAUAAAUCAAUAAAAAUUUAUCCAUAACAAGAUUUGAACCAAGGACACCUUGCAUAUAAAUAUUUUUCAUUUACUUUUGAACUAAUCAAUUUUUACUUUUUACUUUUUACUUUUCACUUUUCACUUUUCACUUUAAUAAGUAUAUCCGUAUUCUAAAUUUUUAUUUAUUUGUGUACACAAAAAACUAUUAUUGAUUUAGUGUCACAAAUAAACACGACAUCAACUCAGGAUUGAAGUCAAAACAAAGAUAAACAAUUGUAUUUAUUUAGUAUUUUUAAUCUGAUGUGUUUUUUUUGUUUAAAUUUCAUGUGUUAUUAUUAAUUAGUUCUAAAUCUGAUUGCAAGUUAAUUUUAUAUAUUUAAUGUACCUAAUUUUGAUAAAAUUUUUAAUAAGAUGCUACUAAACUUGUGAUUUCUUACUUAAAUUUUAUUAGGGACACAAUUGGAGUGCUAAAGUUUAGAAACAAACAAAUCGGACUAAAUUAGAACAAAGAGCAAGUGUGGAGGCUAAAUUGAAAGUUGCAGAAUUAUUUUUAUGCUGAUAAAAAUAUUAGAUUUUUUUUGCUUUGACAAAUUCUAUUUUUGGAAAAAUCUAAUUUAGUGGUUGCUUGUUAAACACGAUUCUAGGAGUAAAAUUAUGUGAAGUUGAUUCUUUGAGAUGUGUAUAUAAAGAUUUGUAAUUGUGACAUGAAUACACACUUUCAAUUUAAAAAGGCAAUUUAGCACAUUCUUGUGUCUAUUGCAUUUAAAGCAAUCUGUCAUUGUUUUUCUCUUUUUAUAUUUUGGUGCAAUUCCCAUUUUAGUUUCCUCUCUUCUUAACUCAUAAUCCAAUCAAGUAUGAUUAAUUUCAUGUUCAAUUAAUCUCCGUUUAGCUUUAGUCCGGUUAUCAUUUUAGUCAAGAAACAUGAGAAAUGAACCCACGCUAAAACCUUACAAUACGAUAUUCAUUAUGUCUCCAGAAUAUGAGAUAGUUACAAUUAUCCCUUAAAGUUAAGUCAAUUUCAACUUAAAAAGUGUGGAUUUGAGUUGUUUGGUGUACAGUUGAGAAAAUGAGUUGGUUACAUUAGUCCCCAAUUUUUAUACUCUUUAUCAAUUUGAUCUUGAUAAUAUAUAAAUUGGUAAAAAAUUAAAAUUAUUUUUAAAUUUUUUAUAAAAUUAUAAAAUUAAAAAUUAAAUAAAAAUAGAUAAAAAUUCAAAAAUAAAUAAAGUGAGAGAAAAUUAGGGGUAAUUAUUUUUAAACCCUCCAAAAUUUCUCUAUAUUAUCUGUAUCAAAAUAUUCAAUACCCAUUUUUUUUAAAAAAAAAAGAAAAGAAAAACAUUAAGCAAAAUUAUUUGAUCUCUGUUUUUUACUUACAAUUUGGGUUUUGAAAAAUAAUUUAUAGGUAAUGAAAUUUUGAAUUGAGUUUGAAAAAAAAAUUGUAGUAUAUUUUGUAUUCUUCUAAAAAAAAAAUGGCAUUAGGGUCAAUUUUAUAAGCCUCUAUAAUACCAAUUCUAGAUGUCGUUUAAGACCAUGAAACUCAACUUGAUAAUAGUAAUGAUUCGGUUUUGAGAAAUAUUGAGGAAUCAUGUAAUGAUCUAACUCUUUUUUUUUUUUUUUGGUUUUGUUCUCUUUUUAAUUUGUUAUCGAAUUCUAUUCUUCAUCUUCUAAUAUUCCUAGAUUGUUUUAUGAAAAAUUACUGUAGAAGUUCUUUAUAGAAAUCGGUAUUCUUGCUAUGCUCCAUUCAAUGCUCAGUGAAUUCUUUUUGUCAGUGCAAAACGUUGACAAUCAUUAGGUUUUAUUGUAUCCUCAAGAUCAAUUUGUGAGUAACUCUUUUGCACAGCGAUAAAUAAGUGGGGGUAAAUAGAACUUUAAAAUAGUGGUAUCGAUACACGUAUUGAAACCUUUUUUAAUUUCUCAUAAAUUCAUUUUUAUCACCACACACUAACAGUAGCAGUUAUGGGAACAAUAAUCAAAGAAAACAAACAAUAUUAUGAGUCAAUUUUUAUGGUGUUCGGGGCAACUUUUAUUUUUAAGUUCCACAAAGGUAAAGUAAAUUCCAUCUUUUCUUAUUAUUAGUUUUUUCCUUUGCUGUCUUCCAUUAUUGUUGGCCCCAUUGUUCUCUACUAUGAUUAUAAAAUAUAAUAUUUAUAAAUCAUAUGUAUCUAAAUUAGAGCAAAUAGCAGUCUUAUGAUUUAUAAUGCAACAUUUCAUGUAGCCUCAGUUUUCAAUUCUUUUAGUCUCCUCCAUGUUCCACCUUCAAGAAAAAACAAGAGAGAAUGAACCUAAAUUUGGAUACCUAAUCCUUCCUCUAUGGAAUCAGAGUUACCUUCAGAUUUUAAUUCCAAUACCGACAUUGUAAAGCCCUGAUUAUUUAACUUUGUUUCUGUGAAUUUUAUCACAAAUAUGUAUUUGCUUCAAUGGCUAAGUGUUUUUGAUUGUGUGUUUGAUGUCUUGAGUUCAAGUCCUACUUUUGGAAAUUUUUGCUAUUUGUGAUCCUAGCCUAUUCAUUGGCGGUUUGGCUUAUAUUCUAUUGCAAGUCAAGUUAUAUUAGAAUGAGCUUUUAUGUUUGAGUAGUAAGGUGUUAGCUUGUCUUGAGGUUUUGUGUUCAAAACUUUGUACGAAUGUGAAUCAUAAUUUUUGUUGCGGUUGUCUAAUAGGGGUUAACUUCGGUAAAGUUGAAAUUUUGAGGUAGUUGGAUGUGGAUUGAAGUGUUGGAUUUGGUGGGAUUAGGUUGAUUAGUGGGUUAGUGUAGAGUUGGGGGAAAUUAGUGAUAUUUUAUUAAAAUUUUAUUUUUAAUUUUUUAAUUUUAAUUUUAUUCUUCUUUUCCCCAAAAAAUUUCCUCUCUUUCUAUUAUUUUAUUUUAUUCAAAAUAUCCAGUAAAACUAUUUUAAGAAAUUGAAGUUCCAAUAUUAAAAUUUAAUAUACAAAACCAAGUCAUGUAAAUUUUUAAAGCAUUUCAUGUUGUUUAAGGCUUCUAAUUUUAUUAUGUAAAAAUAAAAAUUUAUUUGCAAAAGUUUCAAAAUAUGCCCAAAACUCUUUGAUCACCGUGUCACGACCUCAUGAUUUCCAUGUGGCAACAUCGACCCAAUAUCGGUAUCGCAAAUUUUCAAGUACUUGUGUUGGACACUUUGACACCCUCAUACACAUACCAAAUUGAGAUUUCAUGCUAUUCUCCCUAUUUUAACAUGUCAUAUAACUUACAUUAACAUGUUUUGACAUCUCAAGUAAAUUACUAUGCUAUCAUGCAACCCUAAAGUCACAAUUCAAUUACUCAAAAUGUAAAUUUGUAUUUUAAGCAUUUCUAAGUGCAUAAUUGAUACAAAACAUACUAUAUGGUCAUUUUGGACUUACCUCAAUACGCAACAAGCCAAUCCACCUGCAAUUUACAUGUUAGCCAAUAAACAAGUACACAACACCUUACUAAUUCAACCAAUAACAUUCAUUCUCAAAUCUUCCAUUGAAAGCAUUCAUUCGAACCAAUUUUAAAAGUUCUAAAAACCAUUUAAACGAUCCUUAUUGUCCAUUAAUAAACCCUUAACAGUUCAAAGUCUAAAACCCUCUAGAUUAGUCCCACAUUGCCUUCCUUAUUGAUUUAAAAACACACCAAACAUACUCAGGUUAAAUUGUCUUGCUUUGGAUCACUUGGCAGCUCACUUCUCCUCUUUGUUUCAGCUAUAUCUCUGCAUUGUUAAACAUAAAAGAGUGUGAGCUUUUUCAAGCUCAGUGAGUGCUUAGAGAUUGCCACAAGUAAUCACAAUAUCCAAAGUUAGAAGAAAGCAUACAAUCACUAUUAAGCACGGUGAGCAUAGCAUUCACAUUAAUAUGUUGCCACAAUGUGAUUAUGAAGCAUAUGUACAAAAUAUAUUGCAUUGGGUAACCAAAUUUCCAAAUACGACCAAUAUAAUGUGUAGCGUAAAGCUAUCACCCUCCAAACACAUCCACUUAAACAUGUAUAUGUAUUGUUUUAUGCACACUUUCACAUAUCACACAACUCAUGUUCAUAUCACAUAUUCAAGUCUCAUAUCAUGCACUUACAAGUGCUCACAUUAUGCUCAAAUAGUCACAACAUAUAGAUCUCAUAUAGUGUAUAUAAAAUCAGCAAGACUCAUAUCAUAUUCAGUCAUAAACACAUAACAUUUUUAUUUUCAUCUCAAUAUACAACACAUAACAUAUCACAUUUAAGCAUCGUUUGCAAAUCAUCAUUAGUUUAGGUAGAAACACUUGCUCUUGAAAAUUGGAAGGUGUGGAUGUGUUUGGAUAGCUAGAAAAUCAUUAAGGAUGAGUUAAUUUUGAGAGAAAAUAUUAUAGUUAAAUUUGGGGAAAUUUUUAAUGUGAAAUUCAAUGGAGGGAAACGAGGUCGGGUUAAAGAAACGGGGAAGAUGAGCAGUUUUUUUUUAAAUAAGGAAAAAUUGCAUUUAAAAAACUUCCAGUUUUCCUUUAUUUUUCAAUUCAGACCUUAGUUUAAUUAAAAUAUAGUUUUCUCAAUUAUUUUCAAACCCAAUAUUUAAAAAAAAUCCAUUUUAACCAAACUAAUUCCCGAACACCCAAUUUUAAUUUCUUAACAUAAAAUUAUUAAUUAUAUUAAUUAUAAUAUUUUAUUUAAUUAAUUCCUACUUAUUUUAAUGAUCUAACUUAAUUACUAUUUUUGAUUCACUAACCCCCGAUUUACUAUCCCGAUUUUUGAGAUGUGACAUGACAGCAUUAUGUAAAUAUGAUAUAAUAAUAAUCACUGAUAGCAUACAAAUAAAUUAUUGAUUACAUACCCAAUUGUAUAAACUAAAAUAUAAUUUUACUACAAGUUCUAUAAUAUGAUAUCUAAUGGGUUAAUUUUUAAAAUUGCAUAUUUUAAAAUUAAAAAAAUUAUAAAAAUGUUAAUUGUACCCUAUUGUAUUUGUACAUAUAUAUAUAUAUAUAUAUGAGAAGAAUAAGAGAAUAGAAGGAAUGGUAAGAGAGGGAAACUGUUUAAAAAGUGGAGGCAGUUUGAUCUCUUAUUUACCUUUGCCUCUCAGUCUCCAUGCUCUUAACCUCUUCCUUCCAUCAUUCCUUUUCUCCUCUCUUUUGCACUAUCCUCUCCCCGACUUCUUUCCCACCAACCCUUUUAUCUUUCUCUUCAACAUCUUCACAAAUAUACUUCAAAUUUUAUUAAUAUGGAGAAGUUAGUUUUAUCAAAAUAAAAAAAAUAAACUAAACCAUAAAUGGUUCAUACCUCCUAUCCUCCAAAGGGGUUGAAGCGAAGAAUAUUUUUAAAGUUUGGAUGGUCAUCCCACUCCAACGAUUCCCACCAUUCUGUGCAUGAGAAGAUGGUAAGAGAAGGUGGAGCAUAUGCAAAUGGCUGCCCAUUGCCAACAAGGGGAACAAAUGGAGGAAUUCUCUUCAGUUUAUCGCAUCUAGUAAUAUGGAUAAGUUGGAGAGAAUCACAAACCAUCACUCCACUUUUGCUGCAAAUGCUCUUCAAAUUUGGUAAUGCCCACAAUUCCAGUUCUCUCAAUUUGGGAAGAUGGAAUUUGAUUAAUGCAUCACUCCCUUUUUCUUCAACUUCUGAUGUUGCUGCUCCCAAUAUUUCUACUAGCUGACUACAAGCACCCACAUGUAUUUCUUCCAGGUUUUGGAGGUUUGGAAGCAACCAAUGUGGAAGCAACGUCUUCAUACUUAAGCUUCUGUAUAUCGUAAUUUCCUUAAGAUGGGAAAAAGUGGCAGAUGGAGCCAAUGUUGAUGUUGUUGCUGAACCAAUUCCUGCAUCUUUCAUAAUAAAGGCAGUCAACUUUGGCACACCACGAAGAUAUAACACCUCGAGGCUCUGAAAUGGAUGAGCGGAAGAAGAGGCAAAAGAGGACAAGGAAACAACAGACUCUAUCCCUUGACAAUCAUAAACCCUCAAGUCAAUCGCAUUUUUGAAGAAAGAAUUAUCAUCGACUAAGCUUCUCAAAUAGUGGCACUUUAAAAUAUUCAGCUCUUGAAUUUCAAUUGGGUGCAUAAUUAACUCACCUUCCCACUUGUGGACUCCUCCAAUUGUUACUCUUUUAUCUCUUCUAUGAGGCAUAUUUGAGCCCACACUAUAUGAGCCCACCUGUAAAGAGUACUUGAUGAGAUUUUUCUUACUUUGUUGCAUUGAGGAGAUGAACUUAUUGAAUUCAUUGAUGUCUUCGAAACGUCCGGUAAACCACUCCAACUUCAUCAAUGGUUCCAUCUCUUCUGCUUUUAGACUUGUUUUUUCAUUGUGCACAUCAAAACUCAAGUGCUGAAGGUGAACGAAUUUUGGUAAAAGUCCAGAGGGUAUCUCUUUCAGAGUGCGCACACUAAGAUCAAGAUAUCUUAGCUUUAUCAGCAUAUCCAUUCCUUCAGGAACUUCCUCAAUUUUAGUCCCAGAAAGAUCCAACUUCUUCAAUUCUUGAAGCAUCGAAAGACAUGGCAGAUCUCUUAAUUCUUGACAGCCACGAACCAACAAUGUUGUGAGGUUCUUUAGUUCAGAGAUGGAAUUUGGCAAACUCUCGAUCUUUGUAAAAGACAAAUUGAGAACACUAAGACAAGGCAUGUUCAUGAAUAAAGAAUAUGGGAUCUUCGUUACUGGGUUCCCCCGCAAUAACAAGGUUGUGAGCACUUGACAUUUUGUGGGCAGCAAAUCUGCGGGAAAUUCCGUUAUGGAGUUAUACAUAAGCGACACUUUCUCAAUAUCUGGACUCCAUUGCAAGCCUGCUUGUACUAUAUAUCGAGGAUUCAUUCUUGUGAUCGACAAUGCCAUCUCUCUUACUGCAUCAUGCAUCUUUAUACCAUGUAAACCAAAUUCAGUGGUAAUAUUUUCCAACAAGCAGUUAUCUCCUAACUUCUUCAAAAUAACAUGGCCCUUGUCUUUCAUUUCUUGUCUUGUACCCAUAUCAUCUAUGAAUCCCUCUUCAAUCCAGCACUCAAUUAACUCAUCCUUCCAAAUUUCAAAAUCUUCAGGAAAUAAUGCGCAAUGUAAGAAACAAGAUUUCACUUUCUCGUCCUUUAAGUGAUCGAAGCUAAAUUUCAAACGCUCUAUCACUUUAGCUUCCACUCCUUCCACUUUUUCUAUUCUCUCUUUCAAUUCCCUGAGUGCGUUUUUCCAAAUAAGAGGGUCCUCUUCUCCUUUCAAUGUACUAGCUACGACGACAAUUGUAAGAGGCAGACCCGCACAUUCUUUGACAACGAGCCUCAAAAUUGGCAUUAAAGUAUGAUUUUGCACUAUGUUAGGCCCAACUUUACUCAAGAAUAGUGUCAAUGCCUGUUGUGCUGAAAGGGGCUUCACUUUUAUCACCGUGCAACCCAUAUACUUACAGACAUGCUCCGAACGGGUUGUCAACACCAACUUGCAGCCAUUGCUGUCACUCGGCUCAGGGAUCCCAACUUCUUCUAGAGAGACUUCAUCCCACACAUCAUCUAGGAUUAGAACAUGCUUUCCUACUUUCUUCAGCAUUUCUGACAAGACUGCUGCUCGUCUGAGCUUGUCCUCUUCUUUGUCUAAAUAAUCCUUCGCCUCCAACGCACUUGCAAUACUAUCUUGUACCUUCAUUACAUUGAACUCCUUUGAUAUGGUAACCCAGAUUACUCUUUCGAAUCUUUGUUCUUUCAAAAGAUCAUUGUGGAUGUGCUUCAUGAUCGUGGUUUUACCCACACCGCCCAUCCCCCAAACCCCAAUCUUUUUUAUCUCCUCUUGCAUCAAACAUGCCCAAAUCUCUUUUCUGGCAGCUUCCUGCCCAACUAGUUCUGAUGUUGGCAGUGGCAACCCACCACUUGGACCAUCCAUGGCAAGAGCUUCGGAGGCAUUAGGAGCUUUAUCAAGAAAUUCCUUCAUUUCUCGAGUCUUUUUAUCAACCAGCUUCCCGUUGCAAGCACGACAGAGAUAUCUCCCGUUACUGACUUUGUUUUCAACAACUUGUGCUUCCCUAAUCAUCUCUUUCACAGCUUUCAACCAAAUUUCAACUCCCUUCUUCGGUAUCUUCCCCCGAGGACGAAGAAGCUCUGCUUUCAAUUGCAGCUCUGUAUCUUCCAUUUUGCAAUUCAAUUCAUCUCUGAUCCUCUUGAAGUUUCUCACAUAAUCGUUCAGCUUUCUGUGAUAUUUCAAAUAUUUACAAACAGGAGUUCCGAGAGAAUUUGCAAUGCCGACAACAGGCUUUACGUAUUCCAUUGCUAUGUCCCUGCAAUGCAGUCAUAUAUAACAGUAGCAGAGAAUGAAAAUCUGUGAAUGUAUUGGAUGAAGUAUUAAUAUGUCUGUGUAAGCAUGAAAAGGAAACAUGAAUGCAAGUUUCAAGCAAUGGCGUUUAUUAGAUGGAGAUAUGGAUGGGUGGCAGACAGAAACAUGAUGAAAUUCUGGUCACCAGAAUCAAGCACUCAAUGUAUAUAAAAUGCAAGAGUCCAUUACAGAAUAUGAAGAGAUAAAAUGUUCAACAGGAGAUUUCAACAUUAUAUUGCUUCUGGGAAGCUCUUUUUGUAUUAAUUUCUAUCUAUAGUAGAUUAUGUCUGCUGGUCAUCCACUCUUAAAAUCUAAAACAGUUGCGGAUAAUCAAAAGCAAAGAAAAGCAUGUCAUGAAUUAAGCGAAUGAAAGAAAAUUAUCUUGACUGGAUGCUUGAAAAUUUGUGAUAGACCUUGGACAUUGAAACAAAUUAAAAGCAGUGAAGAAGAAAGAAAUAAGAAGAAAGUGAAUAUAAAAACAGUGGAAUUAUGAAGUCAGUGGUAGGUUCCACAAAGGCAGAAUUAUUAGUAAGAAAUCCUAUUUUUAUUUCUUUUUCUUUUCGCUUUUUUCCUUGCUGUCUGCCAUUACAGAUGGCAUUAUAAUUAUUCUUAUUAUCAAUUUAAUUAUAAAAUUUUAGAAAGAUUUUAUUAUAUAUCUAUAUAUGAGCCACAGAAAAUUACUAUCAAUAAAGUUAACUGUUAUGCCAGACAUAAUCUAAAAUGGACUAGUGGGUAAGAGAACUUUUUAGUUUUGGUAUUGAAGGGGAAUAAAAAUAAAAUAAUAAACAAUGAGGGUUUACAAAGAAAUUAACCCUAUUUAAGAUUUUGUGCCGCCACACUACCACACAACACUUUUAAAACUUAUUUUCAACAGCCAAUUAAAAUGAGAAAUUUACAUAUAAAGUCUUUGAAUAUUUUUGGUUAUCACAUUUUAGUCUAGUGUUGCCAAUAUGCCAGCGACACCAGCAGAACAUCGUAGCAAAUGUCUUAUUUUUAUAAUUAAUUUAUUUUCCAUACCAUUUUAAUAAUUAAUUAUUUUUUGUAUGAUUUGGAUAAAAUAAUUAAUUAUUUUUAUUUUUUUGUUCUUAAAUUGGCAAGGAAUAAAAUAAUUGAUGGAGAUAGUUACGUGGGUUGAAACAUAUGUAAAGACUUGAAUGUGGGAAAUGGAAUGUCCCCAUCAAUUUUGUGUUUUAAAUUAUUUUUAAUUUUUACUAUUUCUUUUAAAAUACUUUAAAUCUUUUGCUAAACAACUACCCACAUUUUAACACUAAUUUUAAUUUUUAUAAUUGUUUUUGGAAGAAAUUUAUUUGUUUCUAUAAUUAAGAAUAAAAAUUAUAGUUGUUUAAUUCUGAUCAGACAAAAAAAGUUAAAUUUUUUAGUUAUAAAUUAUAAAUUUAUUUAACAACAUUUUAAAUAAUUAUUUUUAAAAAUACAUUAUUAAAUAUUUUUAAAUUUGUUUUAAAUUUGGCACGUUGUUCGUCGAUCAAUCUUUGCAUUUGCAUGUAAUGAGCAAGGAAGCUAGGAACAAGUAAUACGCAAACUAUAUUUUGCAUAUGCAUGUGCCAUAGAAUAGUGGUGUAAAGGGAUGGUAAAAUGAUUAACCGAAUCGAAUUACUUAAAAUGUAAAAAAUUUAACCGUUAAUUGAAUUGAAUUUUUUUCAAAUACAUUAACCAAAUCAAAAUAUUUCUGUAGGUUAACCGAAUUACAGAAAUUUAUAUUGAUACAAGUAACUCAGCCCAAUUCAAAGGCCAUAAUAGAGAUGAUAUAAGUUUCUCUCAAGGCCCAAUUACGAGAUCCAAAUCCAAACAGAUAAAGUCAAAACUCAACUUAUUUGUUCGAGACUUUAUCACGAAAACAAUUCGAGAAGAAGAGUUGAAAUUUCAAGAUGAUGAAUUCUGUAGUAAUGAUGAAUUAGAAGGGACUAAUUCUGUUCGUGGGCCUAAACUCUCAAUUUAUGAUGACAAGCCAAUGUGGAAAAUGCUAACAAACUUAGGCAUUUCACUUCAAGAACUCCAAUUGAUCUCACAGGCCUAGACGUUUCAUAUUGAGUUUGAGUUUUAGGCUUAAUUUUUAUUAUAUAUAAGCCCAAUAUUUUAUUUAUCAGCUCUUAUUAUUUUAUUCCAAAUUUUUUAUAAUUAUUAAGUAUUUUAAGUUAUUUAGGAGUUUUAUGUUAACAAGAAAGUUUAGUUUAAAACCACUCCUUGUUUAGAUUAAAUUAGAGUUCUAGUAUACUUAAGAGUUUUAUUUAGAUUUAUUUAGAUUUAUUUAGCGGGCCUAUAUAUAGGCAUUUGCAUUGUACACAAUUGAUACAAUUCAUUAUUAUUCUGUUUGUCUUUGAGUUAAUAAAUUCUCUCUGGGUUUUUUCUUUUCAAUAAUUUCUAUUGAGUUUUUUUUAGAAGAGUUUUAACAAUCUUUUUAGAUUGUGGGGAUCAUCUUCAAACUUUUUCUUGCCAAGAUUUCUAUCUUGGAGGGGAAAUUAGAGCCACUUGAAGGGAGUUGUGGAUUCUUUGUGUUUCCAAGGUUUCUUAGGACUUCUACACGCCACGUUCUAUCUUUCCAUUUAUCUUAUUUAUUCGCCUUAUUAUUAUUCUAAUCUUUGAUUUAUUAUUUUAUUAUAGUUAUUUAUUUUAAUUUUUUUAUCUGACUUGGAUUCGAUUUCGUUUCAGGUUUGUGUCAAAAUCCAAGUUUCUUUUCGAAAGUCUAGAGCCCUAAGUCAAAUCUACGACUUUGAUAAACUCUACGAUCUGCUUUUGUGUUCAUCUGUCUCAUUCUUUAUCAUUUGGUAUCUGAUUUGGGUAUUUUAAGUGUUCUUUUUUUUUUAUAAACUAAUUUCUAGAAAUAGCUUCAAAAUAAUUUUUUUUUUCACCCCGACAGUUUUUUGAAAAAAUUAUUUUUUAGUGGGUAAAGGAUUUUCAAAUGAUUUGAAAUUUUACAUACUAUUUCUUGACACUAUUUUAGGGUGUAAAAAAAUAUUUACCACAAAAAAGUGAUAAAAAAGUACAAAAAAAUAAUAUAAUAAAAAAAUUUUGUGGGCUGAAUUUUGUGCUGAAACUUUGCAGAUCAGAUCUACAUUAAUUGAGGAGGCUCCAGUUUAAAUUUUGUGAUUUUUUGAAAUCGAGAACACCUCGAACGGAGUUUAUCAAUUCAAGUUUUCGGGUUUCAGCAAUUUUCAUUGACUCUUAGCUUUAAGUUUUCAUUUGUUUUUACUUUUUAUUUAUUCCUUUACGCAUUCUAACACUUUCUUGUUUUACAACAGAAUUCUUUGAUGUCUAGUCCAAGUUUGGACUCAUAGUGCUAUUAGGUUUGCUUUGAUAGCUUGAUUCUAAUACAUUCUCACUGAUUGAUACAGACAAUUUUUAAAAGACUCACAAGACUCACAGUAGCAGAUAAUGAAAAUCUGUGAAUGUAUUGGCUUUUUGAUAUGUCAGUGUAAGCAUGAAUGCAAGUUUCAAGCAAUGGCGUCUAUUAGAUGGAGCUAUGGAUGGGUGGCAGAUAGAAACAUGAUGAAAUUCUGGUCAAGUGUGCAAGAGUUCAUUACAUAAUAUUAAGAGGUAAAAUGUUCAACAGCAUGGGAUUUCAACAUUAUAUUGCUUCUGGGUAGCUCUUUUCGUAUUAAUUUGUAUCUAUAGUAGACUAUGUCUGCUGAUCAUCCUGUCUUAAAAUUGAUAAUCAGUAGAGGAAAUCAUUGCUUCAGAUCGUAUUACCUUGACUAUCUUACAAAGCAUAGCUCUUUUCGUAUUAAUUUGUAUCUAUAGUAGAUUAUGUCCGCUGAUCAUCCCGUCUUAAAAUCUAAAACUGUUGAUAAUCACUAGAGGAAACCAUUGCUUCAGAUCUUAUUACCUUGACUAUCUUACAAGGCUAGCUGCUACAACAGUAGCUGAUAAUAAAAAACAAUCAUUGUAUAGUCAUGAAUGAAGCAAAUGACAGAAAAUUACCUUGACUGGAUGCUUGAAAAUUAGUGAUAGACCUUGGAGAUCAAAAGAAAUUAAAAAGAGCGAAGAAGAAGGUGAAACAGAAAUAAGCAAAAUUGUGAUAGGAAUUAAUGGGAAAGUACGUGAAGAAGAAGAAGAAAGAGAAACUAAUUAAUGAUUGAUAAUUAAUGGGAAAGUACGUUAAGAAGAAGAAAGAGAAAAUAAUUAAUGAUUGAUAAUUGAAAAUAAUUAAUGAUUGAUAAUUAAUGGGAGAAAGAAAUCCAUUUUUUUACUGUUUUCUUUUUGACUUUUUUCUUUGCUAAUUAAUAAUUAAUAAUUGGCAUUAGAUGAUGAUGAUGAUGAUGAUAAUAAUAAUAAUAAUAAUAAUAAUAAUAAUAAUUAGGUUUAAUGAUUAAUUUGGCCAUUAACUUUUACUUGUUUUGUCAAAAUGGCCGUAAUUCUAUUUAUGAGCUUUUCUUUACCACAACCUUUGUUUCAAUAUUUCUUUUCUUUCUAAAGUUUUCAAUCUUUUAUAUGUUUGUUUACUGAGAAAUUUUUCUACUGAGUUAGUUUUUUUUUUAAAAUAAUUACAUUUGUUUUCUUUAAAUUAAGAUUUUUUUCAAUUUAAUUAUUAUUUAUUUUAAUAUUCUCUACAUGUAAUUAUCUUAUUGGGUUAUCUAACUAAUAAAUUAUAUCUCAUUAAAAAUAUUCGACAUAUGAUAUUCCACAUUAUUGCGGUUAACUUUUUUAAGGUACUUUCAUUAAAUCUAUGAAAAAAAGAAGAUUGAAACAAAAAAAAAGGUUGAUAGCAAAAAAAAAAAAACCUCAAAAACACAAUUAGAGCCAUUUUAAUAAAAUAAUCAAACGUUAAAAGCUAAAUUUAUCAUUAAAUCUAAUAAAUAAUCGAAAAGUAUGGGACAACAGGGUAUAAGAAUGCAUAAUCAUAUGUUACAACUUGAAAUUAAAUAUACAAGUGAAUGAGUAGUAUUAGGGUGUGAAAUUAAAUAUGAAACUUACUAUCUGGUUUUAUAUUAUGUGUAAAUUGUACUUGAUUUCAUCUAUAUGUUUAGCUAUAACUAGAAUUUAGUGAAUUCAUCACUUAAAUGGGCUGAAUUGAAAAUUUAUGUGAAUAUUAGCUAUUAUGAACAAGUAUAAGGUGCAAAAUGUAACUUUGUUUUGUUUUUCAUUUGUUAUUACGUUCUAUUAAAUGAUAAUUUUCUUUAUUUCUCAAUAAAAUCCAGUUAUUCAACAACAUAUUCAAGAUUUUAUUUUUUAGAGUUUUUAUAUGCAUUUUCCUAUUUUAUAAAUAUUUUUUAGUUUUUUUUAUAAUUUUAUACAAAAUCAAGGUCAAAUUGACAGAAAAUAUAAAAACUGAUGACUAGAAUUAUUAUUAUUAUACCAACUAAAACAAGUGCCACUUAACAGUCGGGUGACAAAAAGAAAAUAAUUUCAAAAAUAUUAGUGAUCAAAUUGUAGCAGUUUUUAGUUAAGUAAUCAAAAUGAAAACUUAUCCAUAGUUGAAUUUUACCCUAAAUUCUUUUAAAAAUUUUAGUUUAGAAUUGUUUUAUCUAUACUAUGUAUUAAGCAUUUUACUGGGUUGGUGUCACUUAUCAAUUGGGUCCCAACUCAAACAAUUAUAAUGGUAUUUGAACUAGGGGACACCAUGCGUAUAAAGCUUUUUCAUUUACAUUAUAACUAAAACAAUUUAAGGUUUUCAUUUGAAACUUUAAUAAGUAUAUUUGUGUUCUAAAUUUUUAUAUGUUUGUAUAUAUAAAUAAUGCCAUUGAUUUAGCGUCAUAAAUGAACAUGACACCAACUCAGUAUUGAAGACAAAACAAUGAUAAACAUUUGUAUUCAUUUAAUAUUCAUGUGUUUUUGUGUUUAAAUUUUGUUUCACUCUCAAUUUAAUCUAAUUUUUAUUUUAAUAUCAUACAUAUUUCAUGUAUUAUUAUUAAUUAGUUCCGAAUCAUACUAUUCAUCAUUUAUUGUAUGUUCUUUUUAAACACAAAUAUGUGUUCUAAAUAUGUAAUUUUUACACGCAUAUGCGUAUGAUAAGAUUUCUAGUGUUAUUAAAACAUUUUAAAAAAUUAUAAUUAUUAGACUCCUUGAUAUAGUCUUAAAAACAAUCUAAAAUUUUUUCAAGCCUAACCCAUUUUUAGCCCAGCUCAGUCAAUCUAGAAAGUCCAUUUGAGAGUUCAAAAAAUAAUAAAAUAUUAAAAAUAUUUUUAUAUUCUUAAUUAAAUUUAAAAUUUAAAAAUAUUUUUUAUUAUUUAAAUUGAAUUCGAGUUGGAACAGCUCGUGACAUAAAAACCUUGUCCAAGCCAAACUCAACCAUGGAAGAAGAAACACAUUUUGUUUUUACAAUUUGGGUUUUGAAAAAUAAUUUAAAUGUAAUUAAAAUUUGAACUGAGUUUGAAAAAAAAAUUGUGGUACAUUUUGUAAUCUUUUGACAAAAAAAAUGACAUCUGGGUCGAUUUUACAAGUCUCUGUUAUAUCAGUCCUAGAUGUUCUUCAAGAGCAUGAAAGUGAACUUUUCUAUUUCGUUUUGUUUCUAAUUAUUUGUUAUUGGAUUCUAUUGAAUGAUACUUUUCUUUAUUUGUGAUACAUUUUAGUUCUUCAACAACAUAUUCAAGAUUUUAUUUUUCUAGAAUUUUAUAUACUUUUUUUCUAUUUUAUAAAUGAUGUUAAUUUUUUAUAUAAAAUCAAGGUCAAAUUGAUAAAUAUAUAUAUAAUAUAUAUAUAUAUACACGUAAAUUGAGGACAAAAAUUGUAACGCCACAAACUUGGUAUAUACGUUAUGGUUGAAUCUGGAGGAAUUACAUUAACUUGUUUAAAAACCCAGAAAAUAAAUUUGAAAUUGUGUGUUUUGACAAUAUUAAUUCUGGCGAAUCGCUUUUCAAUUUUUAAGAAAACAAUCAUUAAAACUAUUUAUUUUGUUAUAGAAAAACACUUAAGUGAUUACUUUAUUUUGCAGUGGAAAUUUUAGAGUACUAAAAUUUGAAAACCACGACUUAAUUUGUAAAACACAAAAUCUUGUAGUUUUUAGUAAUAAUUACUAAAUCCAACUAUGCAAAGCAAAAUCUGGAAAAAGUUUUUCAACCCCCCCCCAAAAAAAAAUCAGAAUGUCCAGAAUAAUUUAAAAACAUGAACCAUCAUACUUAAAUAAUUGAGAACUCAAUUUGAUCUCCUACACGUCGUCUAGUCCUAAAUAUGUUGAUUAAUUGAGAAGUUAGAAACAUUGGGUAAGCUCAUAGGCUUUGUAACAUCCCAAACCCGGCCUAGACGUUAUGGCCAAAUCUGGAGAUGUUACUACAAUUUAUUUGAAAAUCCAGAAUCUGUUUGACUUAUAAAACAAUGCUAGCUCUUAUUGAGUAAAAUCCGAGUUUAUUUGGGGAAAAUAUCCUUCUUAACCAUUUUGAUAAAUUUGUCGAUUAUUUACUCGUAAAACACUUAUGUUUGCAGCGAAAAUUUUUAGUUGAGUCCAAUUUUGAAAACACAGUUUGUUGCUAUAUAAUUUAAAAAUUUGUAGAUCGAAUUUAAACCAACCAAAAAUGUUUAAAUUAAUAAAAAAACGAAAAUAAACCUAAACUUAAAAACAGUCCAAAAAUAGUUCAAAACCAAAACAGAAUAAACUAGAUUAAAGUAACAAAUAUAACAAGAAGAUAAUUAAGCGAGCUCCAGUCGCACCGACCCACCUAAGUCGAAGGAUUACCUAAGAAUAAGAGAAAUUCAGAGUGAGCUUACAAGCUUAAUGUGUAACUUAUAAGAGUAAAAAUAUCAGAUAUAAUUUUCAAACAUGCUUUCAGAAGUCAAUCAGACAUAUAUCAUAUACAGAAACAGAAUCAAAGCUUAUCAGAUGUAGAUUACAAUCCCACUCCGAUCCGUUACACACCAUCUCCGACCAUCCCUACACACCAUAUAGGGUAUUAAAUACCCAUCAAACCUUACACACCGCUUAGUGUUGGUAUGAAACUUUUCAAAAUAUUCACAGCCUAACUGCCAGAUCAAUAUAGGUGAUUCAUCGCCAAAUGCUGAAAUAUGUGUGGCUGAGCCACCAAAUAUGGCAAAUGAAUUAAACUCCCACACUUCCUCUGUAAACACAAAUCUCAUCCUAAUGCACAUGUAGAAUUAACAAAUGUCAGAAAUGUACAUGUCUUACAUGCUUUUAUAACAGAUAAACAUUUGUGUUCUAAAUUUUUAUAUAUUUGUGUAUGUAGAUAAUGUUAUUGAUUUAGCAUCACCAACUCGGGAUUGAAGAUAAAACAAUGAUAAACAUUUGUAUUCAUUUAGUAUUCUUAAUAUGGUCUGUUUUUGUGUUUAGAUUUUGUUUUACUCUUAAUUUAAUCUAUUUUUUUUUACUUUAAUAUCAUACAUAUUUCACUUGUUAUUAUUAAUUAGUUCCAAAUCAUACUUUUCAAUUCAUUGUAUGUUAUUUUUAAACACAAGUCUGUGUUAUAAAUACGUGAUUUCCACAUGCAUAAUUGUGUGAUAAGGUUUCUAGUGUUAUUAAGACCUUUCAAAAAAAAAAAUUGUAAUUAUUAGACUCCUUGAUAUACUCUUAUAAAUAAUCUAAAAUUUUUUCAAGCCUAAACCAUUUUUAGCCUAGCUUGGUCAAUCCAAAAAGUCCAUUUGAAUGUUCAGAAAAUAAUAAAAUAUUAAAAAACAUUUUUAUAUUUUUAAUUGAAUUUAAAUUUUAAAAAUAUCUUUUAUUAUUUAAAUUGAAUUCAAGUUGUAACGGCUCAAGACAUAAAAACCUUGUCCAAGCCCAACUGGACCAUGGAAGAAGAAACAUAAUUUUUUUUUACAAUUUGGGUUAUGAAAAAUAAUUUAAAUAUAAUUAAAUUUUGAAUUGAGUUUGAAAAAAAAUUGUGGUAUAUUUUGUAAUCUUUUGGCUAAAAAAAUGACAUCAGGGUCAAUUUCAUAAGCCUCUGUAAUACCGGUUCUACAUGUUCUUCAAGAGCAUGAAACUCAACUAGAUAAUAUUACUAAUUUGGUUUCGAGAAACGUUGAGGAAGUAUAUACUGAUCUAGCUUUUCUAUUUUGUUAUGUGCCUAAUUUGUUAUUGGAUUCUAUUGAAUGGUACUUUUCUUUAUUUCUCAUACGAUUUAGUUCUUCAACAACAUAUUGAAGAUUUUAUUUUUCUAGAAUUUUAUAUACAAUUUUCUAUUUUAUAAAUGAUUUUGAGUUUUUUUUUUAUAAUUUUUAUAUAAAAUCAGGGUCAAUUUGAUAAAAAUAUAAAAAUUAAUGACUAAAAUUGUAACAUCCCAGACCCGGCCUAGACGUUAUAGCCAAAUUUGGAGGCAUUACAUUAGCUUAUUUAAAAACCUAGAAAUUGAAUUUGAAAUCCUGUGUUUUGGCAAUAUUAAUUCUGGCAAAUAACUUUCCAGUUUUUAAGAAAACACUCAUUAAAACUAUUUAUUUUAUUAUAGAAAAACACUUAAAUGAUUACUUUAUUCUGUAGUGGAAAUUUCAGAGUACUAAAUUUCGAAAAUCGUGACUUAAUUUGCAAAACACAAAACUUUGUAGUUUUGAGUAAUAAUUACUAAAUUCAACUAAGCAAACCAAAACGUAAAGCAAAAUACAGAAACAAAUUUACAACCCCCUCAAAAAAUCUAGAAAGUCCAGAAUAAUUUAAAAACAUGAACCAUCAUACUUAAAUAACUGAGAACCCAAUCUGAGCUUCUGCACAUCGUUUGGUCCGAAGUAUGCUGAUUACUUGAGAAGUCAAAGAACUUGGGUGAGCUUAUAGGCUUAGUGUGUAAAUCAACCCAAACAGGCAGAAUAGACUCAAAUACAGUAACAGUUACAGAAAUAGAUACAAUUCAAUUACAUAUAUAAUUUCAAUUUCUGAAACAGAUGCAAUCUCAUAUAUAAAAUCAGAUGCAGAUACAAAUAUAAAUGCAAAUACAGACACAGAAAUGAUCCUACACCCAUCCACUACACACCAUCUCCGUCCCACCAUUACACACCAAAUAUGACUAUAAGAGCCCAUCCAUCAGUCACACCAAUAAGUGAGCGUAUAUCACUUUUUAGAAUAGCGCAGUCAAGCUGCCAGAAAUAAUGCAGUAUUCAGCCAAAAUCAAUAAGUGUGGUCAAUCCACCAUAUUAGAUAUGUGGUUAGACCACAAAUUAAGUUAUCCCGAGUUACCCGACAACGAUGGCUUAUAAAUAUCAGUAUGCAGUUAAACUGCCAAAACACUUCCUCCAUUACAUCAUCAUCCCACCCUAAUGCACAUGUCAAAAUAUUUUACAUACUCAGAUGCACAUAAAUGAAUCAUGCUUAAAUAGAUUCUCAAAUUACAAAUCAUAAGCAUAAAUUAUACCACAAACAUGCUUUCGAAUGUUACACGUACAAUGUCAAUAUUGAAUAAUAUGCUUUCAAAAAUCACAUUAACAGAAACAAAAUAUCAAAUUUCGUAUCCAGAAUGCAUAUAUAACACAUUUUGGAACCUACGAAGUGACUAAUUUCAAAUCGCACUUCAAAUACGACCCUAACAGAAUUUUACCAAAAAUGGGCCCACACGGCCUAACUGACCCAACCCGUGUGGCCUGCAUGACCUGGCACAUAGCCUAACACACACCUGUGUAGACCACAUGGCCCAAAUAACCCAGCUUGUAUGACCCACAUAACCUGUCACAUGGCUGUGUGACAUCGAUAGUGGGUUUUUUGACAUCGUGCCGUUCGCAAUUUUUCGAUAUUUUCGUUACAAACCUGAUUGAUUUUCGAUGCUAACACCACUACGAGAAUUUCAUUACCUAAACUGACAUUUUAGAACAUAAGAAUUAUUAGUAAUAUGCUAAAUCCAACUCACUAAUUCGAUUGUAAAUGCUAAACACUUAGCCCAAGCAACCAAAUUAACCUCCAAUUGAAAACUUUAAUCACUUACGCUAGCAAAAACAACAACCCUUUCCCGCACUUAAACUGCUGGAGAUAAUUCACGAGUCUAUCGAUCUUCUUCUAACAACACAUUGCAAAGAUCAAACUUGAAACCAUCAAUCAUGUAAAAGAUUAACCCAACACCACAUUUAUAUAAAACAAAUAACCAACACUUACCCGAAGGAAUAACAAAGGUUCAACAGCGUACCAAUAGAAUAACACAAAAGAAAAUAGAGAGCAAAGAUGAGAAAGGAAGGCAGCAAAACUACUAAAGUAAAAAGUAAAUAGAAAUCAGUAGAUGGAAAAAGAAAAGGGAAAAGAUCGAUAAAUUUGUUGAUUAUUUACUUGUAAAACACUUACGUUUGCAGCGAAAAUUCUUAGUUGAGUCCGAUUUUGAAAACAUGGUCUGUUGCUAUAUAAUUUAACUUUUUGUAGAUCGAAUUUAAACCAAUAAAAAACGUUUAAAUAAAUAAAUAAAACAAAAAUAAACCUAAACUUAAAAACAGUCCAAAAAUAGUUCAAAACCAAAACAGAAUAAACCAAAUUAAAAUAACAAAUAUAACAAGAAGAUAAUUAAUCGAGCUCUAGUCGCACCGACUCACCUAAGUCUAAGGAUUACCUAAGAAUAAGAGAAACUGAGAGUGAGCUUACAAGCUCAAUGUGUAACUUAUAAGAGUAAAAAUAUCAUAUAUAAUUUUCAAACAUGCUUUCGGAAGUCAAUCAGACAUAUAUCAUAUACAGAAACAUGAUCAUAACAUAUCAGAUGUAGAUUACAAUCCUACUCCGAUCUGUUACACACCAUCUCCGACCAUCCCUACACACCAUGUAGGGUAUUAAAUACCUAUCAAACCCUACACACUGCUUAGUUUCGGUAUGAAACUUUUCAAAAUAUUCGCAGACUAACUGCCAGAUCAUUAGGUGAUUCAUUGCCAAAUGCAGAAAUAUGUGUGGCUGCGCCACCAAAUAUGGAAAAUGAAUUAAAUUCCCACACUCCUUCCGUAAACACAAAUCUUAUCCUAAUGCACAUGCAAAAUUAACAAAUGUCAGAAAUGUACAUGUCAUACAUGCUUUUAUAAUAGAUAAACAUUUCAAAAUAAAAAAUUAAAUAAAAUUAGAAAAAAAUUUCAAAAAUAAAUAAAGUGAGAGAAAAUAUGAGAAAAUUGUUUUUAACCAGAUCAAUUAGAUUUAGGAAAAUUUGCUUGUAUUUUUUUUUUACAAAAAUUGUUGUAAUUCACAAAUAUUUAGAAUCUUGCUGGCAUUAUAGGCAUUGCAAUCAUUUAUGAGUAUUUAAAAUUAUGUUAACCUUCAAGGUAAAGCAAUCGUUUGAAAUUAAGUUCACCUUAAAGGUGAUAGAAACUAUUCAGGAUUAUGCUAAUCUAAUAAGGCGAGCCACCGUUCGAUCAAUGAACCUUUAGUGGAAUGAAAAUGAACCCUUGCUGAAAGCAAGGGCGAACCUGGGUGGUGGCAGGGGCCCCGACCCCCUUAAAAUAGAAAAUUUUUCAUUUAGCCCCCUUAAAAUUUUUAACAUUUUAAAUGAGUAAAGGUAAAAUUACACUUUGCCCCCUUAAAACUAUAAAAAUUUGAUUCAAUCUUUUAAAAAUUAUAAAGAUAUAGGCUACUAAAAUGGUAAAAUUGUAUUUUUUUAUUUUUUAAAAAUUACAAUUCAAUUUUGCCCCCUAAAAAGGUUUCUUGGUUUCACCCUUGGGUGGAAGGGUGCCUUUAUUGUGGAUGGAUACCUUUAGGUGUCAUACUGUGGAUGGUAUCAUUGAACUAAAUCUAAGUCUUGACUUAACUUUUUUUACUUGGUAUAUUGAUGAAUCGUGCUUUUUUUUUUGUCUUAUAUGAACUUCACCUUUGUAGUUUGAUGGAUGGUAAAUGACUUAUUUUUUAAAUUUCAAAAAUAAAAGUAGAUAAAAAUUUCAAAAAUAAAUAAAGUGAGAGAAAAUGAGAGAAUUGUUUUUAAGCCGUACAAAAUUUCUUUAUAUUAUCUAUAUCGAAACAUCUGAUACCCAUUCUUUAGUAAAAAGGGUAGAAAAAACAUUAAGCAAAAUUAUUUGUUCUCUGUUUCUUGACAUAGCUUUUACGUUAUAAAUUUUUUUUCUAAAUAUAAUUUAUUUUUAUAAUUUGAGUUUUGAAAAAUAAUUUAAAUGUAAUGAAAAAUUGAAUUAAGUUUGAAAAAGGAAAUUUUGUUGUAUAUUUUGUAUUCUUUUGACUAAAAAAAUGGCAUUAGGGUCAUUCAUAAGCCUUGAUAAUAUGAGUUCUAGAUGUUCUUCAAGGGCAUGAAACUCAACUUGAUAAUAUUACUAAUUUGGUUUCGAGAAACAUUAAGGAAGCUUUUUUUUGGUUUUGUUCUGUUUUUAAUUUGUUAUGGAAUUUUAUUGAAUGGUGAUUUGCUUUAUUUCUCAUACAAUUUAGUUAUUCAACAACAUAUUCAAGAUUUUAAUUUUCUAGAAUUUUUAUAAACAUUUUUCUAUUUUUAAAAUUUUGAGUUUUUUUAUAAUUUUAUACAAAAUUAGAGUCAAAUUAAUAGAAAAUAUAAAAAAGAGGACUAAAAUUAUUAUUAUACCAAUUAAAAUAAGAGCCACUUAACAGGUGACAAAAAAAUUUAAAAAAUAUUAGUGACUAAAUUGUAACCUUUUCUAGUUAAAUGAUCAAAACAAAAAUUUACUCAUAGUUGAAUGACUAAUUGUGUAAUUUACCUUAAUUUUGGGUAUUUGAUACUGACUUUUCUACUUGAUAAUAAAACCUUUAACCUGCUCUCAAAAUUUGACUUUUCUACUUGAAAUUACUAAAAAAUUUCCUUAACCGGAUGCUUGAUAAAAACAGUGUAGAAGAAAGAAUGUUGUGGGUACAAAAGCCAAAAAAGGAAGAAAGUGAAGAACAAAACAGGCAAAAUUAUGAAGCAAUCACUUUUGUGGUGGGUUCCACAAAGGCAGAAUUAUUAGUGAAAUCCCAUCUUUUCUUUGAACUUUUAGCUUCGCUGUCUGCCAUUAUUAGUUGGCAUUUUGUGUAUUUGAUACCGACUUUUCUACUUGAUAAUAAAACGUUUUAAUCUGCUCUCAAAAUUUGAAAGAUAGAUAUGAGGUCUAAUAUCCAUGGAAAUGUCCUUUCCAUUCAUUCUGGACAAUACUAACAAGUAUUACAGUGAUCUUGAUGCUCAAUUGUAACAUCAUCAUCAUCAUCAUCAUCAUCAUCAUCAUCAUCAUCAUCAUCACAAUAAUAAUGGGAAAGUAUGGGAAACUAGGGUAUAAGAAUGUCUAAUAUGCUGGGAAAUGACUUUAAUUAGGUAUAACAAAAAUAUAUAUAGUUAUUGUGAAUCACGUCUUAGCUUCAUUAGCAUAGACAUUGUUGUUAAUAUAGAAUGAUAUGGUUUCAAGUGUACUAAAACACAUUAUCUUCUUAUUUAUGAGUUGUUGAAGUUGUUGAUAUUAAAAUUUGAUUUUAAUCCGGGAGAAUUGCUUACCUAUGGAUGUUUGUAAUAUGUGAAUAAAUAUGAUCGGAUGUUCACCCCUUUUAGGGAUAGCCAAAAUUCAAAUUAUCAUUGUACCAAAAAAAAGUUACACUAUUAGUCACUAAACUAUUGCUAAUUUUUGUUUCAGUUACUCAAUUAAAAAAAGUUACAAUUUCACCACUAAUGUUUUUGAAAUUAUUUUUUUUGUCACUCAACUGUUAAGUUGAACUUUUUAAUUGAUUUAAUAACAAUUUUAGUCCUUAAUUUUUAUACUUUAAGUGAAUUUGAUUUUGAUAAUAUAUAAAAUUAUAAAAGUUGAAAUUAUUUUUAAAAUUUUAGAACAUUAUAAAAUUAAAAAAAUAAAUAAAAUUAAAUAAAAUUUUAAAAAUAAAUGAAGUGAGAAAAUUAGGGAUAAUUAUUUUUAAACCUUACAAAAUUUCUUUAUAUUAUCUAUAUUGAAAUAUUCAAUACUCAUUCUCUAAAAAACAAACAUAGAAAAAACUAUUAAGCAAAUUUAUUUGUUCUAUGCUUUUUUACCUCAUCAACUACUUGACAUAGCUUUUACAUUAUAAGAAAAGAUAAAAUUCUGAAUAUAUUUUCAUUUUACAAUUUGGGUUUUGAAAAAAAAAAACUAAAAUGUAAUGAAAUUUUGAAUUGAGUUUGAAAAAGAAAAAUCAUGGUAUAUUUUGUACUCUUUUAACUAAAAAUAUGGCAUCAAGGUCAAUUUCGUAAGUAUUUGUAAUAUCAGUUCUAGAUGUUCUUCAAGGGCAUGAAACUCAACUUGAUAAUACUACUAAUUUGGUUUCGAGAAAUAUUCAGGAAACAUAUAAUAAUAAUCUAACUUUUUUGUUUUGUUUUUAUUUUAAUUUGUUAUCGGAUGUUAUUGAAUGAUGAUUUUCUUUAUAUCUCAUACAAUUUAGUUAUGAAACAACAUAUUCUAGAUUUUAUUUUUCUAGAAUUUUUACAUCCAUUUUUCUAUUUUAUAAAUAAUUGCGAGUUUUAUUAUAAUUUUAAAAAAAUCAGAGUCAAAUUGACAGAAAAUAUAAAAACUGAGCACUAAAAUUAUUAUUCUACCAACUAAAUCAAGUAUGACUUAACAAUUGGGUGACAAAAAAGAAAAACAAUUUCGAAAGCAUUAGUGAUCAAAUUGUAAUUUUUUUAGUUAAGUGAUUAAAACGAAAACUUACAUAUAGUUGAAUGACUGGUGUAGUUUACCCUAAAUUCUUUUAAAAAUUUUAGUUUAAAACUUUUUUUUAUCUAUACUAUGUUAAAGCCUUUUACUGAGUUGGCGUCAACCAUCAAUUGAGUCCCAGCUCGGUAAGAAAAUUACCAAAAAAAUUAUUUUAGGUGCAAAGUGAAAUUAGACUUUUCAUCAAUCAAAAAGCUAUUAAAGUGAUUAAACAAAAUGUCCUUUUAAAUUAAAGUAUUUUAUUUUUAUAUAUAUAAAAUUUCUCUAUAAAAAAUAUUUAUUUCUUAUUUAAAAAGAUCUUGUUUUAGUGACUUAAAUGAAAAUAUUCGAAUACUUCAGUAACCAAAUUGUAACUUUUUUUUAGUUAAGUGAACAAAACAAAAGCAACCUAUAAUUUAGUAACUAAUAGGGUAAUUUAACCAAAAACAAAACCUAAGUUUAAAUAGAACUCCAGCUAAAAAACGAAACCCAACUGAAAUUGAAGUCCAACUGUAGCUUCGUAGUUUGACUUAGCUAGAUGACAUGACUCCCACGUAGAAUACGUCCUUACGUCGCCGUACUGGUACUAUUGCUAAACUAUUUAGUCCUUCGUUAUUUUCAGAGCAGCAGCCGCUAAGCGGAGAAACUUGCAUCGGUGAGCUGAAUAAGAUGGCUUGGACGGCCAAAUUUCAGCUUCCCUUUAGACAAUCAUUUUCUCAAUCCCGACAUUUAUGUAAGUUUCAUUAAACUAUAUUUUCAUUUUUCUUUUCUUUCAUUUCUUUUAAAUAUUUGUUUUUUCUUUUCAUUUUCGACAGUUCAUGGAAAAAUUAGACCUUUGAAAACAUAGGUUCAUAUUUUUGAACCUAAACUACAAAGCAGAGCCUCAAAGUUUGAAUAUAUGCUAAAUAUAUAGAGAAAAUGUUUUAAUGGUGAAUUUUAUGCUCCUAAUACUUUAAAUUCAAGUCUCUAUACUUAGGAGAGCAUUUGGGAGAAAAAGGAGCGAAAUAGGAAUGAAAAUCGAAAAAUCGGAGCAAAUUUCAAGAGCCACACGGGCUGGGCCAUUGCAUACGGUCUAGACACACGACUAAGUGAGCCACACGGGCUAUCACACGACCAUGUGCCAGACAGUGUGGAAAUCGCAAAUUGCACUCUAAACACGCAGAAAAUCGUAAUUUUUAAGUUUUUUGAGCAUUAUAAGAUAUAUAUGACAAAGAUAAGAGGAGGGGAGUGAGUUGUCAUAUAAUAUUGAAGAAAAUAACUCGAAAAAUACUAUUAAAGUCGACUUUGAAGUAGAUUCCCAUCAAGAUUGAAGUUCUCCUUUUGAUUUCUUUGAAGUUUAUUAUGAGUUUCUUUAUUUCUUGUGGUUAUACUGUUUUUGGGAUGUUUUUAUUUAUUAUAUGUACUAAUUUUCCAAAUACUUAGGGAGAUAAACUUUAGGAUGGAUUCUAUUAUUUGAUUUCUAUUUUUAUGCAAUAAAUACUUAGAUCUUGUUCUCAAUUAUAUGUGCUUAAUUCAUAGUUUAAUAUUUUUAGACUAUUGAUUCACGUUUUAUGUGCUUAAAUCAGAGAAGAAAUAGACCCUGUUUAAGAGUAGAUCUAGCGUAAUUGAGUGGAGUUGUAUGCAAUCCUAAAAAUAGGAUGACAGAAAUCUACUAGAUUAGAGUCAAAUCUAAUAGAAUGAUCCAUAAAUCGAGUUAAUGCGAUAAUAGGGUUUUAAUUAGAAAGAAAUUUCAAUUAAUCAAUCUAGAGUCAGUUGCUCUUAUUUUUGAAGAGAGAUAUUAGCAUAAUUGAGAGAUUUCUACGGAUCAAAAUAGUAAGUGAAGAAAUUGCAUGAUUUAGAUUGAUAAUGACAGAUGAAGUCUAGGUGGAUUCUUUCCUGUGUAUUGUCUCGCUUUGUGGUUGUUAAUAGUUUAUUUUUCUGAUUGUUAUUUGUCGUGUUAUUUAGUUAAUUAAUUUAGUUAAUUUUAGUUUUAAUCAAUCACUCCAAUUUGUCUGUUAAAUAAUAAAAAGAUAAUAAUUACUAGUACUUUUAGCCCUCGUGGGAACUAUAUCUUUGCUCAUCGUAACUAUACUAUUAAUUGGUAAGUACAUUUACCUUAAUCAGAUUUUUUGUUUGGUUUAUGAUUGCAAUCGAUACACAUAACUUUAAAAGAUUAGUUGAUGAAGUUGAAAGACUAAAACUAUUACUGUAAGUGCUCUAAAACUAUUGCUUCGGGUGCAAAUCUAAUGUAUACAAUCAUGUAAAUAUUGAGCAAAGAAAUAUUAGAANNNNNNNNNNNNNNNNNNNNNNNNNNNNNNNNNNNNNNNNNNNNNNNNNNNNNNNNNNNNNNNNNNNNNNNNNNNNNNNNNNNNNNNNNNNNNNNNNNNNNNNNNNNNNNNNNNNNNNNNNNNNNNNNNNNNNNNNNNNNNNNNNNNNNNNNNNNNNNNNNNNNNNNNNNNNNNNNNNNNNNNNNNNNNNNNNNNNNNNNNNNNNNNNNNNNNNNNNNNNNNNNNNNNNNNNNNNNNNNNNNNNNNNNNNNNNNNNNNNNNNNNNNNNNNNNNNNNNNNNNNNNNNNNNNNNNNNNNNNNNNNNNNNNNNNNNNNNNNNNNNNNNNNNNNNNNNNNNNNNNNNNNNNNNNNNNNNNNNNNNNNNNNNNNNNNNNNNNNNNNNNNNNNNNNNNNNNNNNNNNNNNNNNNNNNNNNNNNNNNNNNNNNNNNNNNNNNNNNNNNNNNNNNNNNNNNNNNNNNNNNNNNNNNNNNNNNNNNNNNNNNNNNNNNNNNNNNNNNNNCUUAAAGUAUAUAUUUUUAAAAUUUAAACCAUUAAAAUUUCAACUAAAUUAUUUAAGCAUGAGAGACUACUGCUUGAUUUUGUUAGAGAGGGAAUAAUGGAGUUCACUUGCAAACUAAGUAUAAAAGGUGAAUGAAUAAUCACAUGAAUUAAGCAACAUAUCAAUUUAUUGGUUUGCUACAGUGCCAAAAUCCAUAUACAAAAUGCAAACAAUCUAAAUAAUACCUCCAUGAGCUGAGCUUGUACAAUGAAGCAUGAGAAUUGAGGACAAUUUGACACUGAUAAAUUUUCCGGACAUGGCACAUUAAGUAGAAUGUGAUCACCAAUCACAUCCCUUUCUUCUGUGGGACUGAAGACUUUUAGUUGAGGGCAAUUCUUAGGUAAACAGAUUCCAACGAUGGAAAUCCUUGAGAUAGAAUGUUUGUAAAGACAUAUUUCAAUAUUUGGCAAUCCACUCUUCGAAGAGUUCUCAAUUUUGGCCAACAAUGAUUCUGCAUGAAUGAACUACAUGUUUAGAUGUUAUACAAAAAAUAUAUUUUUUUUAAAUAAAAUUGAGGAAUAUCAUUUAUAAAACAUAAUUUAAGAGUUAAAGAUUUUUCUUUUCAAAACAUAUGAAAAAAAGAAAUAUAUUAAUCUUUUUACCAAUCAGAAAGAGAUGUAUUUAUUAUAUUUUAGAACUGUGAUACCCACCCACUUCAAAAUCAUUAAUCAUGAUUGUAGAAAAAUAAAACUACAAUAUUCAUCGUAAUAGCAGAUGAAAGAGAUUGAAUUCUAAUUUCAAUUCAACUUUAAAAUCAAUGAAUUAUAUAUAUGUUACAAAUUAACAUACAAUUGACAACUAACUCAACAUUAAUAAAUUUAAAAAUUUUAUUCACCCAAAGCUUUUAAAAUAAGGUUGAAAUAUUAAUGAUUUUAUGGACAUAAAAAAGAUUUGAGUCCAAAAACAAACAAAUAAAAAAGUAAAAAAGAAGUGCCUGUAAUCCAAAUCCAUCCUUAUUUUUUUCCACGUUGAAGACUUGUACAAGUCGAGGACAAUGUUCUAUUUUGAUAGAUUUCAGGUCGGGAAGUCCUUGAGCCAAUGUACUUGAACACAAAUAUUUCAAGUUUUUACAUUUUCUUAUGUCGACAGUUUCCAAUUUUGGCCAGAAUAGAGGAUAAUGAUUUUUCAUGUUUGAAACAUCUAUUUCAUCCACCUUUGCCACUUCUUCGAUUAAAUGUUCUAAAGAGAAGCAAUUUCGAAUGUAGAGCAAUCUCAAAUGCACCAAAGUUCGAGCAGUAAAUUUCGAAAAGAGAUAUGUAAGAUUUCCAUAUCCCGUUAUUUUAAUAAUGCAAUGUCCAUUCCAUAUGCAGCUCAAUUCUGGCAAUGACCUUAACUCUAAAAAUUUUAAAUUUGCCAUAAAUUCCUGUCAUCAAAUAAUAUUUAUUAGUCAGAACUAAUCAUUACUCAAAUAAAUCCAUUGUAUAAUGAUUUCAACAUAUAUUUAUAUGCACAAUAGUUUUAACAUCUCGCAUAUAUUAUCCAAUCAAUAAUAUGGUAGCCUAGAAAAAUAAAGGUAAAUUAAUUCAAUAAUUUUCUAAAAUAUAAUUAAAAUAAUCAUUAUUAUAUUACAUUAAUAUAAAAUAUAAAUAAAUAUAUUAAAGCGUAACAUCAAUAGAAAAUAAAUAUAUAAUAUUUCUCUUUUUUAAUUUUUUUCUAUUUAUAUUUAUACGUGAAUUAUUUAAAAUAUGAAUAUUAUACUAUUUGAUCAUAAAAAUUUGUAAUAUAAUUUGAUGUACUAAUUUUAAAAACAUAUAAUUGUUAUUUAACUGUAAAUUAAUUUUUAAAUUAUAACUUUUAAUAUAAAUAUAUUUUUUAAUCAACUAUUUUAAAGAUAGGGGUAUUUAUAAAAGUAUAUAUAGAAAACUUAUUUUUUUAAAUAAAAUUUACUAUUAUCUUCUAUAAUUAAUUAUAUAUUUUAUAUUAUAUGUCAUUUAUUAUAUUUUCCAGAAUAUUUUUAUACCUCUAUGCUAUUUAAUUUAUAAUUUUUUAUAUUUAAAAGUAUUAAAUUUAUUUAUAUGCUACCAAUAAUUUGAUUAAAAUUCUAACCUUUCAACUAAUUUAUUUUUAAAAAAUCUUCAAUAUGUAAAAGAUGUUCAAAAUUAAUUGGAGUUGAUAUAUUAAUAUAAUUCUUAAUUUAGUAACAUGUUGGCCUUAUAAAAUACAUGUUACUUGAUUUAACCUAAUAAAUAUUGUAUUACAAAGCUUAAGUAUAAUUGCAUUUCGAUUAAUUGUAAAAAUACAAAAGGAGUGCACUCUAUAGAAGCUAUAUUAAUUGGACAAUGGUGCCAGCUUUGCCAUCAUUGAGUAGUAUUUAAACCUAGACAACUAUAAAUGCCAAACCCUAAACCCUACUCAAGUAUGACCUCUCUUAUACAUAUUUAUACUUUAUUAUCAUUUUCAAUCUUGUUUCCUCUAUUCUAAAAUGUUGACUUACGCACAUUAGUGAGUGUUAGGAGCAUAGGCUUCAGUGUCUCUUAGCUCAAAUCUGUUUUAUACUUCACCAACUAUGACUUAGGGUGAGUUUGGAUGGGCGAUUGGGUCAGUGCGGUGCGCUACAGUAUCUAAUCUCACCGACACCGCUGUUUUUAAACUAACCGCAAGUAAACGCACCGCCCAUCCAAACCCACCCUUACUCCACCAACUAUAGAACCAGCUCACUCCAUUUUCUAAACCCAACAAAAAUGACAUCAACCUAUAUCAAUAGUUAUAUGCAAAAAACCAAAGAGCUAAUGUGAAACUAGUUUGGUUUGAUUCGAUUGAAAAAUAAUUAAUGUACAAUAUUCCUGUAAAUUAAAGGGUUGCAGAAUCUAUACCUUUGUUUCGCAAUGCACAAAUUCCUGUCAAUCAACGGAGAAACUAGGGCAACCUGUACUGUCAAAACUCUUAAUGCUGACAAUACAAGAUGAUAUCCUUCGGGAUAGAAGUGAAUGGGGCCUGUUAGUUCUUCAAGUGAUAACCAUUCCAAUUUAUCAAAUUGCAUCUCCUUUUUAGUGGUCACUUCCACUUCAUCUUCUAAUCCGAAUACUUCUUCCAAUUUAGAGUUCGUUUUAAUUUUAGACUUUCUAAGUUUUGGAAGAAUAGGAACAUAUCCAAAAGGAAAGAGAUUAUUCAAAUUUCCACAAUUUCUAACAGUGAUAUCAGUCAAAUUUGGAAAGCUUAUAUUAAAAUUAAUAGGAUUUUAUUAUAAAUUCUAUCCUUUCUUAGGGCCUGUUCUUCAUUACUUAAAAAAAGUACUUCUGACUCCAAAAGCACUUUUGGAAGAAAAUUGUGCAGAAUAAGCUGCUUUUGGCUGAAAUUUUUAGCUUUUCAGAAGUGUAUUUGAAAAGCACUUCUGAAAAGGAGAAGCUAAAAAUUUUAGCUUUUCCUCUCCUAAAAACACUUUUGGUGUUUAAUUUCUUUUUCACCCCUCCAAUAACAUAGUACUUUCCUUUUUUUUCUUGGUGCUUAAUUACAAAUAUGUUAAAAUCAUUAAUUAAAAAUAAAAAAAUAUUUUUUAAAAUACUAAUUACAAAUAUUUAAUGGUUAUAUUUAAAUAUUUAAAAUAUAUUUUAUAUAUUCUAAUUAAAUUUUAUAAAUAAUUGAUAUUUAUUGCUUAAAAAUAUUUAAAAUUUAUAUUUCAUAUAUUAAAAUAUUAAUAACAAGUUAUAAUGAUUUUUUUAUAUUCUUACUAAAAUAUAAUAAUAUUAACUAAUUUAAAUAUUAUUUAAAUGCAUAUUUGUUACUUUAUAAUAACAUGUCUAAAAUGGACAUUUUAUUUUUCAAAAGUACUUUUUGACAGCAAUGUUAAACACCCAAAUUUUAAACCAAACUUUUCAAAAGCACUUCUCAAAAGUACUUUUCCAUAGUAUUUUUCAAAAACACUUUUCAAAAGCAAUGUCAAACCAGCCUUUAUUGGUGAAAAAAUACCUAAUUAAAGGCUCAAAGGUUAUUUAUUUAUUUUUUUCUUUUGCGUUUUAAUGCAGCUUAGUCUUAAAUUUAUCUAUUCUUUUGGAAUUUAAUAUUUGUAAAUAAAUUGUUUUAAAGGAAUUAAAAGUGAAACUUGAACAAUCAAUGGCAGUCCGCUCCAGAUUUUCCUUCAGGCGAAGACGUAUCUUCCUUUAGGCGGAGACCUAUCUUUCUUCACAAAACAUUUUCUUUCACAGUCAAUACUCCAUAACUAAUUAUUAUUUCUUCCAAUUCAAUUCUUUUGGAUUACAAUCUUCAACGUAAUUUCUUUCUGCAACCAAAAAGCACAAAUACAAGAAUAGAUCUCGAUUGAUAAGGAUAUUGUUGUUAAUGCAGAAGGACGCAAGUUCGAGUGUUCUUAAGCUCAUUAUCCUCCUAUUUAUGAGUUGAGGAAGAACUAUAAAUAAUUCUAAUCGUUAUGUUCAAAAGAACAAAUAUAAUCCUAACUUACACCCGAAAAAAUUAACAAAAAAUAUCAUAGGAAUAAACAAUGUUACUUCUUUGUUAAUAUAUUUUUUAAAUAAAAACCCAUACCUUUUAAAACUAUUAAUUAUUUUUUUCUUAGUGAAAUUAUCUCAUAUAUAUAUAUAUAUUUGCAGAAUUUAAUCUUAUUAGAGUUGAAACAAAUUUACUAUUUUUAUAUGAAAACCAAUCUAGUUUUUAAUUUUUGAACUUAACAAUUAAGUUCACUUGUCUAGCAAUUUUUUUAGCCUGUUUUGGUACCUAAACUUAUGAAUAGAUCCAUUUUAGUACUUGAAUUUGGAUUCCAUCAGAAUUUAUUGACGUAACACUUUAAAAUUGUUUUAUAUCUUAAAAUUUUUAAAAUAUAUUUUUAAAUUUUUAGGUGAUGGCGUGCACAAUUUAAAGUAAUUUGUCAUUAAAAUUUUAUAUUUUUCAAAAUAAAAAAUUGAAUCUAAUUAUCAGACACUAAAUAAAAAUUACAAAUAUUAAAGUAAAUUUCCAUAUAUUAACCCAAAAAGGAACUCUCAUUUUUCUUUCUUUAAAUCUUCUAUGGACAAUAGUCUCCUUUUCACAUGGAGCUUUUGAUAUGCACAUGACACGUUAAAUUUUCCAUUGAAAUCAUCUUUGACUGGUAGAAUCCUUCCUCCUUUUUUUUGGUUAUAUAUGCACAUUAAUAAUUCUUAACUUUAAUUAUUUUUGUCUUAAUUGGCCACCUUUAUCUCAAUCAUGCUCUUCUUUAUUUUGUGUAGUUUAUUAUUUGUAUUGUUGAUGAGAAAUCCUUGCAACGAGAAGGAAGUUUCUCGGAAUUGAAUAUGAUUUUUUAUUUUCUAAAUAACAGUAAUACAAUUAAGUCUGGGUCAAUUUUUUAUAAUGAAAUUCUAGCUAAAUAAAUUUUGAAUCUUUGAUUAAAUGGUAAAAGAGUGAUGAUUUCUUUGGAUUUUUUUCUCAAAUAAUACGUUUCUUUAUGUUUUUUGCCAACUUUAUUGUUGUCCCCAGUCAUUCUUAUAAAAAGGGAAAUAACAAUGCUUUUGCCUAUUAAUCUCUUGAACUUUGACGUUCACAACCACUUUUAUGAGACUAUGGAGAAAUAAUUUCUUAGUUUCCCACUAGCUUUGAUUAAAGCAUCUUUAACUAAGCUGAUUUUUUUUAUUAAUUUUUGUUCUUCUUGAUGCUUGUUCACAAUCAGUUUUGAUGACAUAAAUGAAGCAUUAUAAAUUAAGAUGAUACAUGGAUGAAUCAGAUAUCAACUCAACCUCCAUUAUUUCUUGACCUUUUGUCAUCCAAACCUGCUUGUUUCACUUCGAAUUCUCCAUUUUCCUUUAGAAAUGGAGAUAUUCAGCUUGAAAAACCAAUGGAUAAAUCUUCUUUUCAUUAUUAUAUUUACCCUGCUGUCAAUAUCCUCCAAGCCUGCUACAUUGGCAUUGAGGAGCAACGAAAACGACAUGCUAGCUUUGCUUUCUUUGAAGGAUCAGCUUGUUGGGGAUUCUCAUGGAGUUUUAACUUCAUGGAAUGCUUCCUUUCAUUUCUGUCAAUGGCAAGGUGUUCAAUGUGGUCGUCGGCACCAAAGGGUAGUUUCAUUGAACAUGAGUGGCUUGUCAUUAGCCGGCUUUAUAUCUCCGGCUAUUGGAAACUUAACCUUCCUUAGAGAAGUUGACUUCUCUUAUAACAAAUUGCAAGGAAGCAUCCCAAGGGAAGUUGGCCACUUGAAACGACUCGUUUAUUUAAGUCUAGAACUCAAUCAUCUCAAUGGUGAAAUCCCUGAAGAGCUCAGCAAUUGUUCUAAUCUCCAAGAGAUUGCCUUCACUGCCAAUAACAUUACUGGAGAAAUCCCAGUGUCCUUGGGUAAUAUGAAGAAUCACAUCAAACUUCAUCUUGCUUACAAUCUUUUAAUUGGAGGUAUUCCAGCUUCCCUAGGAAACAUUUCCACCUUGAAAGUCCUAUCACUUCAACACAAUAAGUUGAAGGGAACUAUACCUAGUUCUCUAGGCAAAUUAUCCAACUUGGAACACAUGUAUAUUGGUAAAAAUAAGCUGUCCGGAUCAGUUCCUCCAGUGCACAACUUUUCAUCUUUGCUAGUUCUUGAUGCAGCUGAAAACCAAUUAUCUGGGAAUCUUCCGCCAGAAAUAGGCUAUACUUUUCCAAAUCUGGAAGCAAUUUUUAUUGGCCUUAAUCAGCUUACUGGAGAAAUUCCAAGGUCAAUAUCCAACAUAUCUAGCCUGGAACUAUUUGACAUCUCCUUAAAUGGUUUCACUGGAUCAGUUCCUGAGAAUAUGGGAAACCUGAGAAAUCUUCUAGUGUUAACCAUUUCUGGCAAUUACCUUGGAAGUGGGAAACCAGGAGACUUGAGCUUUCUCUCAUCUUUAAGCAACUGCAGCCGAUUGCAAUCUUUAGGUAUAAAUUACAAUCACCUUUAUGGGGUGAUUCCAGAUUCCAUAGCCAAUUUUUCAAUCUGGCUUGAAGAGCUUUUGAUGGGAGACAAUCAGAUCAUCGGACGUAUUCCUCAUGGAAUUGGCAAUCUCAUUAACCUGGAUUUUAUGGAAAUGAAGGGAACUUUCAUUGCUGGUGAAAUUCCCAUUUCCAUUGGAAAUCUUCAAAACCUUGAAGGAUUGUACCUCGGUUUUAAUCAUUUGUCAGGUAAAAUCCCAUCCUCCAUUGGUAAUCUCUCUCGACUAUCCGAUCUAGACUUAUCCAAUAAUAACUUCGCUGGAGCAAUUCCGUUAUCACUCAAGCAAUGCACAAAUUUGCAAAAACUAGAUCUUUCCACUAACAACAUUAAUGGUAGUAUCCCAUAUCAGUUAUUUGGUGCUUUUGAAAGACUGAUUUAUCUUAAUUUGUCUCACAACUCUUUCACUGGUUCCCUUCUAUCAGAUAUGAGAAACAUGAAGAAUCUUGUCGAGUUUUACGUUCAUAAUAACAAUUUCCAUGGUGAAAUUCCUAUGACACUUGGGGAGAGUUUAGAACUUACAACUCUCUUCAUGCAAAAAAAAUCAUUCCAUGGUACCAUCCCUCAAUCUUUUGCCUCAUUGAGAUCUCUUGAGAACAUAGAUCUUUCAAAUAACAAUUUGUCUGGCACCAUACCACCUGAACUUCAAAAACUUCCUUUUCUAGUGAGGUUAAACCUUUCUUUUAAUCAACUAGAGGGUGAAGUGCCAAAAAAAGGAGUUUUCAAAAAUGCCACUGGAUUUUCUUUCUUCGGAAAUAAAAACCUUUGUGGGGGAAUUCCAAAAAUACAGCUUCCCAAGUGCUUCAGUGAGAAACCAAAGGAAAAGGGAAAGGUUUUAUCAACCAAAACCAUUAUUGUUAUUAUCAUCAGCAUUCUUCUUGGUUCUAUUUUAGUUGUUCUUCUUGUUUAUCAUUCCUUGAGACACAAGGCAAGAAGGGGAACAUUUAUGCCAUCAUCUUUGUUCGACAAUGGCUGCUUGCGUUUAUCCUACAAAGAGCUUCUUGAAUGCACCCAUGGUUUUGCUUCCUCCAACUUGAUUGGAAUUGGAAGUUUUGGCUCUGUAAAUAAAGGAGUUCUUUAUCAACAUGAAAAGCUUGUUGCUGUCAAGGUACUUAACCUUCGAAACCAUGGGGCUGCAAGAAGUUUCAUUGCAGAAUGCAAGGCUUUAAGGAAAAUUCGACAUCGGAAUCUUCUCAAAAUUAUAACUUCUUGCUCAAGCAUUGAUUAUCAAGGCAAUGAAUUCAAGGCUUUAGUUUUUGAAUUCAUGCCUAAUGGGAGUUAUUUAAAAUAUGAAUAUUAUACUAUUUGAUCAUAAAAAUUUGUAAUAUAAUUUGAUGUACUAAUUUUAAAAACAUAUAAUUGUUAUUUAACUGUAAAUUAAUUUUUAAAUUAUAACUUUUAAUAUAAAUAUAUUUUUUAAUCAACUAUUUUAAAGAUAGGGGUAUUUAUAAAAGUAUAUAUAGAAAACUUAUUUUUUUUAAAAUAAAAUUUACUAUUAUCUUCUAUAAUUAAUUAUAUAUUUUAUAUUAUAUGUCAUUUAUUAUAUUUUCCAGAAUAUUUUUAUACCUCUAUGCUAUUUAAUUUAUAAUUUUUUUAUAUUUAAAAGUAUUAUAUUUAUUUAUAUGCUACCAAUAAUUUGAUUAAAAUUUUAACCUUUAAACUAAUUUAUUUAAAAAAAAUCUUCAAUAUGUAAAAGAUGUUCAAAAUUAAUUGGAGUUAAUAUAUUAAUAUAAUUCUUAAUUUAGAAACAUGUUGGCCUUAUAAAAUACAUGUUACUUGAUUUAACCUAAUAAAUAUUGUAUUACAAAGCUUAAAGUAUAAUUGCAUUUCAAUUAAUUUGUAAAAAUACAAAAGGAGUGCACUCUAUAGAAGCUAUAUUAAUUGGACAAUGGCGUCAGCUUUGCCAUCAUUGAGUAGUAUUUAAACCUAGACAACUAUAAAUGCCAAGCCCUAACCCCUACUCAAGUAUGACCUCUCUUAUACAUAUUUAUACUUUAUUGUCAUUUUCAAUCUUGUUUCCUCUAUUCUAAAAUGUUGACUUACGCAUUAGUGAGUGUUAGGAGCAUAGGCUUCAGUGUCUCUUAGCUCAAAUCUGUUUUAUACUUUACCAACUAUGACUUAGGGUGAGUUUGGAUGAGCGAUUGGGUGCGGUGCGGUGCGUUAAUAACUUACUUUUUGUUCUACGCUACAGUAUCGCUACAAAAUCUAAUCUCACCGCCACCACUGUUUUUAAACUAACUGCAGAUAAACGCACCUUCCAUCCAAACUCGCCCUUUGUCCACCAACUAUAGAAUCAGCUCACUCCAUUUUCUAAACCCAACAAAAAUGACAUUAACCUAUAUCAAUAGUUAUAUGCAAAAAACCAAAGAGCUAAUGUGAAACUAGUUUGGUUUGAUUCGAUUGAAAAAUAAUUAAUGUGCAAUAUUCUUGUAAAUUAAAGGGUUGCAGAAUCUAUACAUUUAUUUCGCAAUGCACAAAUUCCUGUGAAUCAAUGGAGAAACUAGGGCAAUCUCUUACUGUCAAAACUCUUAAUGCUGACAAUACAAGAUGAUAUCCUUUGGGAUAGAAGUGAAUGAGGCCUGGUAGUUCUUCAAGUGAUAACCAUUCCAAUUUAUCAAAUUUCAUCUCCUUUUCAGCGGUCACUUCCACUUCAUCUUCUAAUCCGAAUACUUCUUCCAAUUUAGAGUUCGUUUUUAAUUUUAGACUUUCUAAGUUUUGGAAGAACGGGAACAUAUUCAAAAGGAAAGAGACUUUUCAAAUUUUCACAAUUAAAUAUUAGUCAAAUUUGGAAAGCUUAUAUUAAAAUUAAUAGAAUUUUAUUAUACAUUCUAUCCUUUCUUAGGGCCUAUUCUUCAUUGCUUAAAAAAAAACACUUCUGACACCAAAAACACUUUUGGAAGAAAAGCUGUGAAGAACAAGCUGCUUUUGGCUGAAAUUUUUAGCUUUUCAGAAGUGCUUUUGAAAAGCACUUCUGAAAAAGAGAAGCUAAAAAUUUUAGCUUUUCCUCUCCCAAAAGCACUUUUGGUGUUUAAUUACUUUUUCACCACUCCAAUAAUAUAGUACUUUCCUUUUUUAAAUCUUAAUGCUUAAUUACAAAUGUGUUAAAAUCAUUAAUUAAAAAUAAAAAAAAUAUUAAACCUUUUAUUAAACCUUUUAUUUAUUUUUUAACCUAACUUAUAAAAGUUACUUUAUAUAUUAUUUUAAGUUUAUUUUACAUAUUACUUAUUUUAAAAUUAACCUAUGCUAUUUGCUUUAAAUUGAUUUAUAUUCACUAUUUAAAACAUGUUUACAUAUACUGUUUACUUAGUUUUAUCACCUAUUUUAAUUAUUUUGCAUGCCUAUUUUUAAACCUUAUUUUAUUAUACACUUAAUUUAUUUCAACUCUUGUAUACUUUCAUAUAUAUAUGUAUAUAUAUACACGUACAUUUUUGUACAUUAGCCUUUAAAUGUUAAUAUUUACACGUAAUCAUUACUCUCAUGUGUACGGUAUUCCUUGAUUGUAUUAAUUUGUUGUUUGUAUUCAUUAGCGUAUUUUUAAAUUUACGAAUAAUCAAUUCGCAUUGUACAUUAUCAUUCUAUCGCAUUUUAUUCGCUUAAAAGAUUACGUUUAAUAUCAUUCAAAUAUCGAGAGCAUUUUUAUACAAAAUUCUUUCAAAAUAACGCAACACUCGGAAUUUGGGAUCCUCAAAAAGAUUGUGUCCUAACUUACUGGAUUCCAAUCUUCCUCAGGAUCUAAGAGACCGAAUAUCCUUUUUAAUUAAAACAUAAAUAAAAAAGCUCAUUCUCGGGAAUUCGAUACGUGGUGUCCUAACGCAUUGGAUAUGACAUAUUGUUUUCUCAAUACGAUGAUUCUUCUAAUAAAUGAAAAUAAACGCAAUAUUCGAUAUCUAGGAAUUUUGUGAAAUUGAACCCUAACUUACUGGGUUUUGAUUUUUCAUCUUACCCAAAUAAUCGAAUAUCCUUUUCAAAAUGCAUGAGUUUUGAAAGUCAAAAGACAAACUUAAUUUUGAAGAUUAAAAAUGUUGUGCCCUAACUCACUGGGUGUGACACUUUAUUUCUUUGAAAUAAGAGUGCCUUAUUAUCCAAUUCAAUCAAUUCAAGUUAAAAGGAUCGUAUUUUAAAAUUUGUUCGAACUUUCGACACUAAGACAUUAAACAAUCGAUUCGGUACCAAUUUUGGGCAUCACGAGGGUGCUAACCCUUCCUCGUGUGUAACCGACUCCCGAACCUAUUUUCUUAAUAUUCGUAGACCUAAAAUCGUUUUCAAGGUGAUCCGAUCACACCUCAUUAAAAGAUCGGUGACGACUCCCAUUUUCAUUUUCAAAGUCGAUGCCCAUUUUCAAAAAAAUGGUUUCGACAACUUGGCGACUCCACUGGGGAUUUGGAGAGAGUCAAGCCGUAAAAUUGAUUGUUUUUGGUCUUAUUGUCGAAAAUUAAAAAUUUGAUUUGAAAACUACAAUCCUCUCUUCGCAUGUGUUUGUAUAAUUACUGUAAAUUGAGUUUUAUAUCUUGGCAUCAUAUUGCAUAAAGACUGUUUAGUCUCACCUAUUUUAAGUGGGAGUGAGAAGCUACUCUUUCGUGAGGUUUUCACCUCCGUGCAGGAUAGUGGAUCACUUUUGGAAUACAUCCAUACCUAUGUCUUCGUGAGAUUUUCAUCUCCGUGCAGCCAUAGGGAAAUGUAUUCCCCUGAACCGAACUCAGUCUAUAUGAGCCUAUAAUGGGUAAAGAUCGAGGAAUCUGCUGAUUCGAGUACCUUGACUUUAGAGCCAAACCGCAUAUAGAAGACCAUAGGAACCCAUCCUAGGUAGAGCUACUCCAAAUCCCUAGUGGUUACCCGACUAGGUACUUUUGUUUUCCUUGCUUGCUUCUAUUUUGUACUAACCCCUCUUGUUGUGUUUUGAUUAUGGUUGCAUUGCAUUUGCAUUUUAGGAAAGAGAUAUUGAUUCAAAUCUAAUUACUAAAUUAGAAAGCUCAUCAUGGAAUACGGAUUCCUUGAUAAAGUGGAAAGUAAUACGACUGCCCGAAUAUAUUCCAAGAAACAUAGGAAUGGUGAUGAAAGAGUUCGUGACUUCACUUCGUGGCCCGAAGAUUCAAGAUGAUUAUCUAAAAGCCUUCGACAUCCUAAUUUCCCUAAAGAAGCUGGUGAGCAUUACGAGGAUAGGCAGACAAUGGAUCGUGACCAGAAUCAAGAAAAAGGAGCUAGCAGUGGCAUCUAUUGGAAAUUUGCAAGAUUUAUUCUAAACAUGCGGAUGAAGGAAAGGAUCGAUGUUAUCUCUUGGAAUAUAAGGGCAAAGUCGUACAUGCAUCUGCUUAUGUAAAGAAAUUUGCCUUCUAGUAAAGUUUUCUAAAUGUAAUUGAAUCAGAAUCAACGUCUCUGUGGGUAUUCAUUUCAUGCAUUUGCAUUACAUGACAUCAUAUGCAUUAAAAUCCAUUGAAAGGGUCUAAUUGAGUAAAUUUAUUUCAGUUAAUCUAGAAAACCAAUCAACCAAACACCCUUACGGUACUUGUCGCAAAACUAAAGAAAUGGAUCAAAGGUUAGAGAAACUGGAGCAAAUGCCAAAAGAAAUGCAAGACCAGCUACAGAUGCAAAUGAAGGAGCAGUUGGAAAAAAUUCAACAAGAUAUGACAGAAAAGAUACUAGAAUCUCAAAAAGAUAUGAUGACUCAGUUGACUCAACUAUUGACUGGUAGAGUAAAUAAGGGGAAGAGCCCUAUGGCUAAUACUAAAUAAGGAGAUAAUGAUAAACCUCUCUAUCCUCCAGGUUUUACUCCCCUGCACGUACAAACCCAAGCUAAGGUGCACCCGCGCAAAUCCUCUGUCACAAUCGGACCUCUACAGUUUCAAGUCGGUGCCUCGAUGCCCAUGAAUUUCAAAGGUGGAUCAAGUUCAAGCCCAGGAGAUAACCCAAUUAAUCCUAUUAUUCCUAAUUUUGAUGAAAUAGCUGAAAAAGAAAAGGUAAACGUGGAAUUGCCAAAACAGUGGGAGGAUAGGUGUAAAUGGUUGGAGGAAAAAUUCAAAGCCCUGGAAAGUGCUGAUAGCCAUCAUGGAAUCGACGCUAAAGAUCUGAGCUUGGUUCCAGACUUAGUACUUCCUCACAAGUUCAUAAUGCCUGAAUUCAAAAAAUACAAUGGAAUUAGUUGCCCCGAGGCUCACAUCACCAUGUUUUGCAGAAGGAUGACUGGUUACGUUAACAAUGAUCAACUGCUAAUACACUGCUUCCAAGAUAGUUUGGUAGGGGCAGUGUCUAAAUGGUACAGUCUAGCACAAGCAUUCAUGAAACAUUACAAUCAUGUAACGGAUGUGACCCCUGAUAGAAUCACCUUACAAAACCUGGAAAAGAAAUCGAAUGAAAGCUUUAGGCAGUACGCACAGAGGUGGAGGGAAAUUGCAGUCCAAGUUCAGCCGCCACUUCUAGAAAAAGAAAUGACGAUGCUCUUCAUCAACACAUUGAAAGCCCUGUUCAUUACACACAUGUUAGGGAGUGCCACAAAAAGCUUUUCUGACAUAAUCAUGAGUGGUGAAAUGAUUGAAAGUGCCGUAAGAAGCGGAAAGAUUAAUGCUGGGGAGAAUAGUAGAAGGUCGGCCUCAAAGAAGAAGGAAAACGAGGUGAACAAUGUGAACACAUAUAAUAAAUCGAUUACAUUGAAUCAGCCAAGAAAGGUGGUUGCUAGUCAACAAGGUUCAUCAAGACAAGAAUCUGGUGUGAAACAAGACACUGAGAAACUCCAGUUUACGCCAAUUCCGAUGUCGUAUAAGGAGUUGUAUCAAAACUUAUUCGAUGUGUACAUUGUUUCCCCUCUCUACUCAAAACCCCCACAGCUUCCGUACCCCAGAUUGUACGACGCGAAUGCACAAUGCGAUUAUCAUGCGGGAAUGACGGGGCAUUCCAUAGAAAAUUUCGUUGCCUUUAAAAAAAUGAUUGAAAGGCUUAUUAGUAUAGGCGUCGUCAAAUUUGAUGAUUCUUCUUGUGCAAAAAAUCUGUUACCCAAUCAUAAUUGAUAAUAGGGUGAAUGCGUGAAGAAAGUGGGAAAAGUUCACAUCAAUGUUAUUUGUGAAAAAGCAACUGAAGAAGGGACCUUGUUAGAUAUCCGCCUUUAUAAUCUUGGGAAAGUUCUAAGCAACUAGACUGUGGAAGAAAUCCCUAUAGUAUUUAGAGCUUACUUAGAGUAAUAUUCAGAACACACUUGUUGGUUUUAGCCUAGAAGCAAUGAGAACUUCUUUGUGAAAUAGGCUAAUGUCUGAACGUUAUUAUUUUAAUGAAAUACAUCUUUGCGAUUAUUUUUAAGCCAAUAUUUUCAUUCUUUGCGAAUAAUUCUAGAUUCUUUCAUUCUUUUGGAUUUUCUUCCAAAACAUCAUUCAUUCAUUCAUAAUCAUAUUGUACAAAUAAUUAUUCAUAAAUUUAUACAUUCUUUUGUAUAUUCUUUGGUACUUAUUAUGGGUCCCUAGAUAUCAAUGACAUGAAUGACGCUGCUACAGGCUUAGAUUUUCCUUUUGAGCGAGGCGUGUGUUUAGAGGGAUCUCAUGACUUUGAAAAUGACAUAGAUCGUAGCUUAUCUCUGGACUUGUUGAGGAUGGUAGAACAAGAGGAUAGACAGAGCCUACCUUAUAAGGAAUCAUUAGAAAUUGUGAGCUGGGUGAAGUUUAAAAUUGACCUGACUGCAAAGAUGAAGCAAGACCUUGUUGAGUUACCUCUAGGGUUCAAAAAUGUCUUUGUAUGAUCAUACCCUGGAUAUGCCAGGGUUAAGCACUGAUAAUGAAAUCUGCACAACAGCACAAUGUCAGAAAUUUAUAGUAUGGACGAUGCAGUGAAAAUUCUUUGUCGGGGCAAUACCUUUCUGGUUGACUCAGCAUAGCUUUUCCCAUUUGAAGUAGAGUUUCCAUCUGUUCAGGUUUUGUUGGAUUUUAUCCUGAUUGAAGAGGAAGAUCCAAAGUUUUUUGUCGUAGUUUCACCCUAGAAGGCUCAUUGAAAAAAAUCCGAUAUCAAAAAAAGAUUAUCCAAAAAGGGAUAACAAGGACUUUGCUUAACCCUAUGAGUUCAGAUUCAAUAAAAAAGAGAAAAAAAGAAAAAAAUUGAAAAAAUAAAAGUCAAAAUAAAAAGUCAUCCAAAUCAAAAAUGAAAAAAAAAAGAGAAGAAGAAAGAAAAAAGAAGAAAAAGAAAAAGGAGAGGUCAAGGCGAAAACCCGCAAAGGGCGCUUUGACCAAAGGUGGAUUUGAGUUGAAAACCCAAAAAGGGUGACUCAAACUUUUAGCAAAAUAGGGCAUGGACGUCAUCAUCAACGAAGGUUUCUAAUGGGCAUUGUUUCAUUUUUGAGAUCAUUAAUUACUUCAGCAAACGGGUAGAGGCUGCUUCAUACGCCAAAGUCAUCAUAUGCUUAUAUAGAAUUCCAGAGAAUAUGGUAUUGGAAAAUGCAUUGAACUUGAAUGAUAGCACGAUAGCUGAGGUCUGUAAUCAAUUUAAAACUAGACACCACGGUUCGUCACUGUAUCGCCCAAAAAUGAAUUGCGGAAAAAUGACUGAGACUUACAAAGGCUGGCAUGAAAAAUUACCAUUUUCCCUUCUUGUUAAUCGAACAUCUAUCAAGGCUUCUACCAGAGCAACAUCAUUCUCUUUGGGUUUGUGGGAUGGAAGUAGUUUUACCCAUUGAAGUAGAAAUCCUUUUUCUCUUGGUAUUGGUUAAGCUAAGUGUUGGAUAAAACAGAAUGGAUCCAAUCGCGAUGUGAUCAGUUGAACCUGAUAGAGGAAAAUGCUAAAAGCUAUUCAGCACGGUCAGAUGAUGCGAGCCUGUAACCAAAAGGUUCGCCUCAGAGAAUUCUAUAAGUGGAACCUAAUGUUGAGAAAGAUCCUUCCUACACAAAAGGAUUUUAGAGGAAAAUGGAUGCCAAAGGCCUUUUCCAGAGAAGUUCUGAUCUUGAGUAGGACAGAUGGUAAAAAACUUGCCAAAUCCUGUAAACUUAGAUUCAGUCAAGAAUUACCUCGCCUGAAGAAGGAGAAAGGACCAAGGUGAAAACCCGCAAAGGGCGCUUUGAUUCCUUUAAAAAAAAAGAGACCAAGGUGAAAACCCGUAAAGGGCACUUUGAGUUUAAAAAUAAUAAUAAUGAAGAAAAAUAAAAAGAAAAUGGAGAGGCCAAGGUAAAAACCCGCAAAGGGCACCUUGAGACCAAAGGGGGUUUGAGUUGAAAACCCGAAAAGGGCGGCUCAAAUUUUGAUCAGAAUGGGGCAUGAUGUGAUUAGAGCAGUUCAAAUUUUAAUCAGAUUGGGGCAUGUAGUGAUCUUGCUAUACUUGAAUCAACAGGAAAGGGUAGGCGACAUCUUGGGGCAUCGACAAAGCACUGUAGAUCUCCUAAACAUAUGUCAAACUCAAAAUGGUCUUCAGAAAGUUUGUACAGAGAAGUUCAAGCUGCGAUAUCUGGGGCACCCAAUUUUUAUACUAUUUAUAUUAAAUUUGUUGUUCUUGGAAUAUUUCAUUCUUUUCCAAGAUACACAUUCUCAAUCAAUUUCUUUGUUAUCCUUCUUUACUAUUUUUGAUAAUUUUUUCCUUUCAAGCUAUGCUCAGACACCAGCGAAUCUUGCUUCCCCGACAUUGCAGUAAAAAAAGGAUUGAAGCUACAACAGCGAGUCUUGCUUCCAUGACAUCAUAGUUAUGGGUUACACAUAUUAUCUCCCCGACGUUGCAGUGGAGUAGAUCAAGGCACCAAUUCCUAUACCUCUGAAGAUGCAGUAGAAUGGAAUGAGGCUACUUGAAGAAGAAGAGCACCAAGGUCUAGCACGACCGGGCAAAAUUGGCCCUUUUUUUUAGUCUUUACUUCAUUCCCGUUACACGACAAUGAGCAAAGAGGGGCAGCUGUAAUAGGCCCAAUUUGCCCGGGCCCAAAAACACAUAUAAAAUAAACCAAAUCAAAAAAUAAUAAGUCCAAUUAUUGUCCAUUUACUUCUAAAACUCAUACUCAAAUACGUGGCCAAAUCAUUUUUAACCUAAACUACCCAAACAUUAAUCUAGCCCAAACCUAAACCUGAUUCUAAGCCCAGCAAACCAACUCAGCCCAAAUGGCCCAACAUCAGAAUACACAACAGCUAGCGCCAUAGCAACCAGGACCUAGCCUCUGCUCUCGCAUGUGUGCCACCGCCACGUACCACGCCUUCACGCGCUGCGCCGCACCAUGUCAUCGUACGGCCGUACCUGCACACAAGCAAACAAGCAGAAACGAACAGAAAACAGCAGUAGAUAAAAAAGAGAAAAAUAUAUUUUGUUGUAAUUUUUAAUUUCUUUUUAUUAUCGUCUAUAUAAAUCCAUUUUCCAUAAUUUGUAAGGGGGACACACGGACAUGAAAUCAAUACAAAAAAAUUGAAAAGAAGGUUUUCUUCUUUCUCUUUACCGUUCUUUUCUUUUUCCGAUUGCUUUUCUUUCUCUGUUUGUUUGCUAUUAAUCAUAUACAUAGGAAUAUAUAUAUAUAUAUAACAAAAAAGGGUUCAGAAACCUUACCUGGAUCGGUGCGUCGCCGAAUCCCUCCUCCGUUCAGGCCAAGAUAGAAUAGGCCAGGGGGCUUUCGGUGCUGAAGCGGUGCAGAGGGAUAGAGGUUGGUGUCUGUUUGUUAACAGACUGGUUUUAGGGUUAUGGGGGGUCUUAUAUAGUGCGGAAAACGGCACCUUUUAGGGCCUAAUUCAAUGGCCCUAAAACAAUGCCGUAUUGGUUGAUUAACCUUAACAACCCGCGCGGUGACCUGACCCGGGGAAGGAUCCGCACGUUUUGGCCUUUGUUGGGCGAUUUGCGCAAAUGCUCCUCUCUAUUUUGUGGCAUGUUCAAAUUGAUCCUUUCCAUUUUUUUUCUAAUUUUGCUCCGCAUUUUCGUCGUUGUUUCAUUUCGACCCAGCUUGCAACGCUGCGUUUUGGGGAAGCAGGAUAUUUCCCAAUCAGGCACCCAUGUAAUUCGAGUAUUGCAGCAGAGUCCUCCACCUUGUUUUUAAUUUCUUUGUUUCCUGUUAAUUAUAUUUUAAUUUUGAUUUAAUCCUUUUAUUAGUCAGCUUAUUAAUUAAUUUACUGUUAUUACUAUUAUUAGCAUCAUUGUGGUUUUCUUCCUACUUAUUAUAUAUAUUGUUUUAUUUUUUAUUUUAUUUCUGUGUUACCUUAUUUAUUUUUUUAUUCAUUUUUCUUUGUAUAUUGCCCUUAUCUUAAAUAUAUAUGCUGUAUGUAAUUUAAAUUUUUAUAUGGCAUCUUUUGAACUAUUUUACAAAUUCUGUUUUUAUUCGCCAUUAUUUAUCUAUUUAAAACUUUUAUACAUAGUAUAUGUUUAAAUAUAUAUAUCACUUUAUAUAUGUUAUUUUAAAAUUCUGUUUAUUUUCAACUUGUUUUAAUUCCAAUUUUCUCUUUUAUAGAUUAUAUUAAACCUUUUAUUUAUUUUUUAACCUAACUUAUAAAGUUAUUUUAUAUAUUAUUUUAAGUUUAUUUUACAUAUUACUUAUUUUAAAAUUAACCUAUACUAUUUAUUUUAAAUUGAUUUAUAUUCACUAUUUAAAACAUGUUUACAUAUACUGUUUAUUUAGUUUUAUCACCUAUUUUAAUUAUUUUACAUGCCUAUUUUUAAACCUUAUUUUAUUAUACACUUAAUUUAUUUCAACUCUUGUAUACUUUCAUAUAUAUAUAUAUAUGUAUAUAUAUACACGUACAUUUUUGUACAUUAGCCUUUAAAUGUUAAUAUUUACACGUAAUCACUAUUGUAUUAAUUGGUUGUUUGUAUUCAUUAGCGUAUUUUUAAAUUUAAGAAUGAUCAAUUCGCGUUGUACAUUAUCAUUCUAUCGUAUUUUAUUCGCUUAAAAGGUUACGUUUAAUAUCAUUUAAAUAUCGAGAGCAUUUUUAUACAAAAGUCUUUCAAAAUAACGCAACAUUCGGAAUUUGGGAUCCUCGAAAAGAUUGUGUCCUUACUUACUGGAUUCCAAUCUUCCUCGGGAUCUAAGAGACCGAAUAUCCUUUUUAAUUAAAACAUAAAUAAAAAAGCUCAUUCUCGGGAAUUCGAUACGUGGUGUCCUAACACAUUGGAUAUGACAUAUUGUUUUCUCAAGACAAUGAAAAUAAACGCAAUAUUCGAUAUUUAGGAAUUUUGUGAAAUUGAACCCUAACUUACUAGGUUUUGAUUUUUCAUCUGACCCAAAUAAUCGAAUAUCCUUUUCAAAAUGCAUGAGUUUUGAAAGUCAAAAGACAAACUUAAUUUUGAAGAUUAAAAAUGUUGUGCCCUAACUCACUGGGUGUGACACUUUAUUUCUUUGAAAUAAGAGUGCCUUAUUAUCCAAUUCAAUCUAUUCAAGUUAAAAGGAUCGUAUUUUAAAAUUUGUUCAAACUUUCGACACUAAGACAUUAAACAAUCGAUUCGGUACCAAUUUUGGGCAUCACGAGGGUGCUAACCCUUCCUCGUGUGUAACCGACUCCUGAACCUAUUUUCUCAAGAUUCGUAGACCUAAAAUCGUUUUCAAGGUGAUCCGAUCACACCUCAUUAAAAGAUCGGUUGUGACUCCCAUUUUCAUUUUCAAAGUCGAUGCCCAUUUUCAAAAAAAAUGAUUCCGACACUUACUUUUUGGAUUAUUUUAUUUACAAUAUCCUUAAUUAGUGGAAGAUAAAGAUAUCCACCUUAUUUGUAGUUGUUGGUUUCUUUUAUUUUAAUUUUUAUAAAAAGAAAGUGAUUGUUGGUAGAACUCAAAAAAUUUUAAAAAUUAGAAAAUUAUAUAAAAUUUGUAGAAACUUUAAAUAUAUAUAUAUAUUUGGAAAAAUACAUAAUACGAAGAAAGAGUGUAAAUACAAAGAAAAUGUAAGGAGAAAUCUAAAAAAAUAGUAAAAGAUAGUUAAGAUAUUUGUAUAAAACAAUGCAACCUUCCAUAUUUAUCUCCAGAAGAAACUCUGAAAGUUUUUAUUUUAUUUUAUUUUAUAUAUUUAAAAAAAAAAGUAUACUUUUUAAAGUUUUGGAAAGUUUUUAAAACUUUCCAUAUAUUUUUAUAUUUUUUUAAUUUUAAUAUUUUCUGAAUAUUUUGAAAUUAUUUUUUUGUAUUUUUAUCUAUUUUUAAGAAGAGAAGUAUAUAUAUAUUUUAAAUUUUGGGAAUUUUAUAUGACUUUCCAGGUUUUUUUGAUUUGUUAAAUUUUUUAUAGAUUUUUUUUGUUUGAUUUUUUUUCAUUUCACUUUUUUGGUAUUUUAUGUAUUUUUUAAAAAAUAAAAGUAAAUAGUUUUUUUGUCUUUCCAUUUUUUAUUUUUUAAAUUUGUUUUAAGAAAAUAUGAAUUACGAGACAUGAUAUGCUAAGAGCGCGCCACAUCAUUUUUUUAACGCCGUUAACAGUUGAGAAAAGGUGAUACAUAGUUAGAAACUUUAGGUGUCAAAUUAAUGCAAAAAAUUCUUUAAAUACUAAAGUGAUAAUUGAGUGAAGCUUUAGGGGGCAAAUAAUUCAUUAACCCUUUUACAAAUAGGAUAACUUGACCUAAAAAAUUUAACAAAAAUUAAUUAAAUUAAAGUAUAAAAAUUAAAUAUACAAGUUGCACAUAAUACAAAAAUGGAUUAUAAAAUUUAAUUGUUUAAAUUAUAGAUAGAAUUUCAUCAAGUCCUACGUUUUAAAACUUGUGUGAGUUAUUUUAUUCAAAAAUAUCAUUCAUUAGUGGAAGAAGAAGGUUUCACUUUUUUAUGUUUAUUUAUUUAUUUUUAUUUUUAGAAUAAAAUAAUUGUCGAAAGAAAAAUGGGUUUUGGUUGAUUAUUUUAUUUAAUAAGAAAUUAUGGUAUUUAUUUAUAGUGCUAAACAUAAUUUAUCUCUUCAAAUCUUUAAUAGCUUUACUAUCUAAAAUACUAUUAUUUUGAAACUCAUCCUUUGAUAUUUAAGUAUCACAAAUGAUAUAUAAAUUACUUUUGUUUUUCUAAGACUAUUCCUAAUUUGAAAUGAAAUUUCAAAUGUCUUUGACAUCAACUAAAUAAUCAACAUUACUAUAAUAACUAGAGCUGUCACUCUAAUCAUGAAUAUUUUUAUCCGUAUCAUUUUCAAUCGGUUACACUAGUAUUUUCAACCUUUGUUAGUCAAACAGUCAAUCAAACUGUUAAUCUAUUUAAAAAAAAAGGCUUAACACAUAAACUGGUACCUAGACUCUGUCAUUUUUUCUAUUUUGGUACCUAAAUAAUUUGUAACAUCCCAAACCUGACCUAGACGUUAAGAUUGAAUUUGGAAAAUUACAUCGGCCACCGAAAUAACCUAAUACGAUCGGAGGUUUUAAAACAGUUGUUUAUUAUUGAGGAAAACUUAGCAUGUUAUCUUUGUUUUACUAAAAGGUAUAAUUUUCCAAAAAGGAUGGAAUUUAAAGUUUAUUUAGUAAAAGUCGAUUCUCGAUUUUUAUAUGUUUUUCAAAUCUCAUUUACAUAAUAAUGUAGCGGAAAAAGUGAUUUUCAACUUUAGUUUAAUGAAAACUAGAUUUUUUAUGCAUGAUUAAUUAAUAAACCAUAUUUUAAUAACCUAAAUCAAAAUAAAAUAUCAUCCAUGGUGAGCAAUCCCAAAGCCUAAGCCCCAUGCCACAGUUCAAAUAAAAUAUUACAAUCUUUGUAUAGAAAAAAAUUGCAAAAAAUGAUCUAAAAUAAUAAAUUAAUAAUAUAUGAAAUAAACAAUCUCUGGAAAUAGUCCUAGUGGCAUUUAUACCUAAUCUAAAUGAAUUUCAAUAAUGAUCAUACAAUAGUCCUAGUGGCAUUCAUACCUAAUCUAAAUGACAUGCUUCCAAUAUAUGCAUGGGAUGCUAUGGCAAUUUUAUAAUAUUCACAUUCUUUCACAAGAAUCAAUCAAUCAAUCAUAAAAAAACAAUUUUGAUUCUCUAGAGUUUUUCUUUUAAGGGAAAAGCUGAAGAAGUGAAUGUGAACCGUGCACUAGGAAGGGUCCUAGGAAAGGGAGGUGAGUCAAAUUUGACCACUUAAAAACCAAGGCUUUCCUAGUCAAAGCCAGUCCUAAACAUGUAUUUUCAUUACCACACUUCUUAUUUUUUAAUCGAUCAAUUGUGGAUCAUCUAAUAUAUAUAUAUAUAUAUAUAUAUCACAAUUAUAACAUUACAUAAUAUAAAUAUUCUAAACAAUUAUAAAAUAGAUGUAUAAGAUGAUAGGUAAUUAAAAUAAAAUUGCCAACCAAGGUUUCCAUGGUUCUAUUUAUAGAUUAUAAAUGAAAAAAUAAAAUUACAUAGUUUUUAGUUUUUCGCCACAAGGUAUUCCUCGGGUCUUCAACUGCCAUCAGUCCAUAUUCUCCUCGUCACGAACACCUUUUUGGAAAAAUUACAUUUAAGUCUUAUAUCCGUUUUCGGAUCACAAGAAUUUUAUGAAUUUUAAAAAAUACCCUACAUGGAGAUGAUAGUCAACUAUCUAUUUCCUAAGAACCACAACCUCGAUAAUAAAAAAAAUUUAUAACAAAUAUAUAAUAUCGGAUCCAUUCUUAUAUAAAACUCAAUAUAUGCAUAAGAUCUAAAGAAUGUUACUCUCUAUGUAAUCAAAUCAUUUAAGAAAAAGUGAAAUUUAUUUUGAUUAUCUGUUUAUACUUAUAGAUAGAGUACAACCUAGCUCUAUUUAUACAAUAGACAUAUAUAUCAUUCACAAUCCAGACAAUUAUAUAUAACGUUAAUUCAGCCAAUCAUGUCAUGGAUUCUAGCAUUUUCAAUAUUAUUAGGGACUUAAUUGAAUAAAAAUAAAACACUAAAAAGUAGUUUGAAAACUAUUCAAGGACUAACCUGAACAAAUCAUAAAAUUCUAGUUAAAAUUGUAAAAUAGGGGCACAAGGCAGUGUGCAAUGCCUUAAGCCAUGCGAAGGGGUUACACGACCGUGUGACAAACUACGAAAAUGUGGAUCAUGCAAAAUCAAGGUACUAGGGAGACACAGUUGUGUGGAAGGUCCUUGAUAAACCAUAAAAGUAACAUAUUUUUAAUCCCAUUCUUGAUGCGUUUUUUGAUGAUAAAUUAUGUAAAUUAGUGAAAAUCAGACAAAUAGAGUUGUUCCUAGGAUCCACAUGGCCUGGGCAUUCCACACGGGCUGGCCACACACCCGUGUGAGCCACAUGGGCUGGCCACACGCCCAUGUGCCAGCCCGUGCCGAUAUCGCACCUUGUUUCUCAAAUACACAGAAAAACCUAAUUUUUAGGCUUUCUAAGCAUUCUAAAGUCUAUAAAUACCAAUUAGAAGAAAACCUAAUGGGGCACUCAAACAAGAUCGAAGAAAGCACUCGAAGAACGUCGUUGGAAUCGACUUGGAAGUGGAUCUAUGUUUCUAUUCAGGUUUAUGAACUAAAUUCUCUAGAUACCUAGGGAGGAUAUGAAACCUAUGAUGAAUCUUAUUAUUUAAUUUAUGUUUUUACGCGAUAAAUACUUGAUUCUUAUUCUUAAGUAUGUAUGCUUAUUUCGUGUUUUAAUAUUUUUAUGAUAUUAAUUCAUGUUUAAUGUGCUUAUUUCAGUGGAGCAAAAGUCCCUGUUUAAGAGUAAGUCUGACAUAAUUGAGUGGAGUUGCAUGCAAUCCUAGAAAUAAGACAACAUAAAUCUACCGGAUUAGAGUGAAAUCUAAUAGGGGAAUCCAUAGAUCGAGUUAAUGCAACGAUAGGGGUUUUAAUUAGAAAGAGGUUUCAAUUAAUCAACCUAGAGUUAGUUGUUUUUAUUCUCGAAAGAGAUAUUAACAUAAUUUAGGGAUUUCUAUGGAUCAAUACACAAGUGAAUAAAUAGUUAAAUUCAGAUUCAUAAUAAUAAGUGAAGUCUAGGUGGAUUCUUUCCUGGGCAUUAUCUAUCUUAUUGAUUAUCUUCGAUUAUUUUCCUAUUUCAUUCUUUGUUGCGUUCUUAGUUAGAUUAGUUUAGUAAUUUUAGAUUAAAAACAAUCACUCUAAUUUGUUGGCUAAAUAAUAGAAAAAUGGUAAUUACUAAUACUUUUAGUCCUCGUGAAUAUAAUAUUCCCUACUCACCAUAACUAUACUAUUGUUCGAUAGGUGCGCUUGCCUUAGUCGUAUUUAUAGUUAGUUUAGUGACCAUCAGUCCUAGGUCGUGCAAGAAUCGAAUACCCUUGGGUUUCAAGGGGACAUGGCCGUGUGACCCACACACCUGUGUGGCCCUGUCAUAGGCACGAUUUUUCCCUGAUUUGUCGAGAUCUUGAGCGAUGUUCCUCACGUUCAAAUCUGAUCCAAGGUCCUUAAAUCGGGUCUUUCAAACGACAAUUAUACAAGAGUUAACAUUUGUUUUCAGAAGUUGUGGUCAAUAAGGUAGGGACCAUCAAAACACCAAACCAUCUGAUGUAAAGAUGGUUUUCAGUGCUGGUUAUCCAGUUACAGAAAAAAAUAAUUUUAUCUCAUGUGGGCCAAUUUUGAACAUUACCGGCAUUGCCAAACAUUAUAAAGGAAUUAGAAAAAAAUAAAAAAUAAAUAAAAUAAAAGAGAGUUUUAUCUCUAGGAAUAUGGCAUUGUCAUAUUUAUCUCCCAAAAAAUUCUGAUAGUUUUUUUUUGUAUUUUAUAAAAAGAAAGAAAAGUAUAUUUUUAAAAAUUUGGAAAGUUUUUAAAACUUUCGAUUUUUUUUCUGAUUUUUUAUUUUUUCAAGAUUUUUCUGAAUUUUUUGAAAUUCUUUUGUAUUUUCUUUUUCUUUUUGUAUUUUUAUCUAUUUAUGAAGAAGAGAAGUUUUUUUUUAAUUUUUGAGAAUUUUAUAUAGCUUUCCAUAUUUUGUGAUUUUUUAAUUUUUAUUUUCACCUUUUUGGUACUUUAUAUAUUUUUAAAAAAUAAAAAAUAAAUAGUUUUUAAUUUCGUAAUUUAACCUAAUAAAUUUGACGAUAUCAUUUGAAUCAUGAUUGAAAUUUUAAAAUUUAAAAAAUUAAAAAUGAAAAUAAAUUAAAUUAAAGUAUAAAAAUAAAAAAUACAACUUACAUAUAAUAUAAAAAUUGAUAAUAAAAUUUAAUUAUUUAAAUUAUAGAAGAAUUUCAUCAAGUCUUACAUUUUAAAACUUAUGGGAGUUAUUUUAUUUAAAAAUAUCAUUAAUUGGUGGAAGAGGAAGACAUCCGCUUUGCUGGAGUUAUUGGUUUUACUUUCUCUUUUUUUUUUUUUUUUUUUUAGAAUAAAGUAAUUGCUGAAAGAAGACACGAUGAUGUAGAGGAAGUUUUUUAAAUUCAAAAGAUAAGCAUUAAGAAUGUCUUUAAUUAAAAAGUUGUCAUUAGAAAUUAAAUUUUGAAUAUCUUUAAUGCUAAUUAAAUGAUCAAUUUUAUUAUAAUAACUAGAGUUGUCACUUAAACAUGAAUGUUUUUAUCUGUAUCAUUUUCAACCUUUGUUAGUCAAACAAUAAGUCAAACUAUUAGGUAUAUUUUUUUAAAAGAAGGCUUAACCCAUUAAUUAGUACCUAGACUCUGUCAUUUUUCUCAUUUUCGUAUCAUUUUUUGGUCAUAAGUGCUAUCUAAAUCUAAACUAUUUUUCCCCAAAUCAAUACCUCUGUUGAGUCUAUUUUUUUUUUAAAAAGAUAACCAAUUAAAAAUUAUCAUUUAACAAAAAAAGAUAAAAGAUGUUAUUUUAUUUAUAUAAUUUAAAAAUAUUAAAUUUUUAUAAAAAUUUAAAAAUUAAAAAUAGAGAGAUUUAGUUCAACUAUGUUUUUACCUUCAUUCAACUGAUUCGUAUUGAUUCACGGGUAAACCAGUUUAACUCUUAUCUCUGAAUUGAUUUAAGUUUGAAAACAAAAUUAAUUGUGUACUACUUGAUACUUAAUACUUAUGUGUAACUCUAAUUUUUCUUGGUAAUUCAGUGUGGACAAAUGUAGUGAAGUGUUUAUGAUAUAACUCUAGAAACGUAUAUAAGCCCCCAAUUGAAACAGAGAAUUGAGGUCUGCUUAAGAAAAUUAGGGUUUUGUUGGGCGGCGGUGUAAUGGUGUAUUAGAGUUUUAGGGGUUUUGAUUGUAAGAGCUGCUUGUGAAUGUGCUAUUUGGUGUUUCAGUAUGACCUCCAAUUUUGAACCACUAAUCCUUUGGUUGGUUUUCCUUUGUGGGGGAUUAAUCAUCUUUUACAUCCGCUUUUAAUAAUAUAUAUAUAUACUAGUUUAAAUAUCACAUGUGGCAUGUGUGAUUAUUAUGAGAUUUCAAAUAUAUAGAAUAAAUUAAUUUAAUAGUUUGCAUACAAAUAUUAAAAAAAAGAAUUUAAGAAAAUUUUUGAAGUUGAAUUCAAUAUAUAUAAAUAUAAAAAUAAUUAAUUUCAUAAAAUUUUAAAAUUAGAUUCAAAAUAUAAAUACAUAAAAUAAUAAUAAAACUUAUAUCAAAUUACUGAAAAUUAAAAACUAUUUACUUUUAUUUUUAAAAAAUACAUAAAAUAACAAAAAAGUGAAAAUAAAAAAAUAAAAAAAUAUGGAAAGCUAUAUAAAAUUCUCAAAAAUUAAAAAAAAAAAACUUCUCUUCUACAAAUAUAGAUAAAAAUACAAAAAAAAGAGAAAAUACGAAAGAAUUUCAAAAAUUUAGAAAAAUCUUUAAAAAAUUUUAAAAAAUCAGAAAAAAAAACAUGGAAAGUUUUAAAAACUUUCCAAAUACUUAAGAAUAUACUUUUCUUUCUUUUUAUAAAAUACAAAAAAAAAUCAGAACUUUUUGGGAGAUAAAUAUGGCAUUAGAUAAAACUCUCUUUUAUUUAUUUAUUUUAUAUUCCUUUCUGAUUCUUUUAUAAUGUUUGGCAAUGUCAGUAAUGUUCAAAAUUCUUUUAUAAAAGUUCACUUCUUCUUGAAUGAUUUGAUUACAUAGAGAGUAACAUUCUUUAGAUCUUAUGCAUGUUUUGAGUUAUAUAUAAGGAUGGAUGCAAUAUUAUAUAUUUGUUAUAAAUUGUUUUAUAUUGUCAAGGUUGUGGUUAGGAAAUAGACCGUGGACAAUCAUCUCCAUGUAAGGCUAUUUUUUUUUAAAAUUCACAGAAUUCUUGUGAAUCGAAAACAGACAUAAGACGUAAAUCACUAAAAGAAAUGAAGCUUUUAGGGGCAUUUUAGUGGCGUUUAGAUCAAAAACACUGCAAAAGUUAUACAUUACUGGCGCUAAUCGAAAAACGCCGCAAAAGGUCAAGCAGUAGCGGCAUUUAUGAGAAAAAUGCCGCAAAAAGUCAAGCAUUAGGGGCAUUUUUUAUAAAACGCCGUAAAAAAUCAUUUUAUUUUAAACAAAACGGCACCAUUUUGCUCCUUGUAUUCUCACCCAUCAUCCAAGUGGCCAUCAUGUAUUCUUUUCAACAACUCAUGCACUGUUUCGUCCUCUUCUAUUUAUUAUUUAACUAGUUUCUUUAUAUUAAUUAAAAUACAAUUUAUUUUUAAUUUAAUAUUAAAAAUCUUCAGAAAAAUUAAUGACACGUAAAAAACAUUUGAAAGUAAAAACAUAGAAAAAUAUAUGUUAAAAAUGAAAAAAAUUAAAAUACUAUUAUUUAAAAUAAUUUUAUCUACUGUAACACACUGAUUUCUAACCAGAAGAUUUUGAUUGGGGAUUCUAGUUUAUAGAGAGGCUUGACUCCUUUUGUAGAUGAUGGCCUAAUUGAGAUAGUUGGAUUUAGAAAUAUCCUGUAUGGUCUUGUUUUGCUUGCUCCAAAUGGACAUGGGACUCAUUUAGCACAGGUAAAAUAAGAAGGCCCAUGACUGGUUUGCACUUUUUGACCUCAAGGAUUUUGAAAUUUUAGAGAUUAGACUGUAUUUGGGAAUUUGAAGAUAUAGCGGAAAUUGUAGCUGCUAAUCAUAUAGGUUCAUUGAUAAUGAGGUUGGAUCCUUCAUUAUUGGUAUAUAAAUUGUUGAAACCAUUUUUUUGAUAAAAGCGUCGACUUUUUAAAAUAUGAUAAAACAUGAAUCGCCACUGAUCUUUGAUUGAAGUGUGAUCGGAUUACCUUGAAAAUAUUUUUGGUCUACGAGUUUCAAAAAAAAAGGGUUGGGGAGUCAGUUACGUGCGAGGAAAGAUUAGUACCCCCGUAACGCCGAAGAUUGGUACCGAAUCGAUGAAUUAAUAUCUUAAUGUCAAAAUUUUGAAAGGAUUUUUAAAAUACGAUUCCCCUUAAAAAAAACUUGAAUAAAUUGAAUUAAAUGCUAAGACCCUUUGUUUUGAAGAAGUGAAAUGUAAUACCCAGUGAGUUAGGAUACAACAUUUCUAAUGCUCGAAAUUAAACUUGUCUUCUGACUUUAAAAACUCAUGAUUUUAGGUUUGAGAAGGAUACUCGGUUAUUUAAGUUAAAUGAAAAAUCGGAAUCCAGUGAGUUAGGGUUCAAUUUCUCAAAAUUCCCAAAUACAGAAUAUUGCCUACUUUUUUGAAAUCCUUACCUCGAGGUAACAAAAUGUCACAUCCCUUGAGUUAGGAUACAACCUUUUUGGAAUUCUCGAGAUAAAUUUUGGUUUUUGAAAUUGGUACAUUUUAUUGAAAAAGGGAUAUUCAACUAUUUAAAUUCAACGAAAAAAAUUGAAGCCCAGUAAGUUAGGGCACAAUCUUCUCGAGAAUCUUGGACCCCGAGUAUCUUAAAAUUUUCGGAAUAAAACUAGUUUAAUGUUUUAAUGAAGCGUAAUCUUCAAAACAAAUGUAAUGCGAUUGAAUGGUAACGCAUAAUACGAAAGAAUAAUUUGUAAAUAAAACAUAGACCAAGGAAUGAUGAAUAAAUAAUAAAAAAAUUCAACAAGCUUAGCAAUGAUUAUCUCAUGCGAACACCAACAUUAGCUAAUAGGAGGAAACUAAUUUAAAAUUGAGCAAAUUUACAUAAACACCAAUAAAGUGUACAAGUUUAAACACCAUUUAAGAAACAAAUGACAUGAAAGAAGGUAAAUUGAAAUUAAUAAAUUAUAUUUAAAUGAAUAACAUGUAGAAAAAUUCGAAAUAGAUAAUACAUGAAAUUUAUAAUAUAUAAAACAAUACACAUAUUAAUUUAAAAAAUGAGGAGUUUGAUAAUAAUAAAAACAAUAAUAUAUGUACAUAAUAAUAAUACAAAAUGGUUGAAAUAUACAAAAUAAGUUUAAAAAAAAUUAUAAAUGUAAAAGCCAAAAGAUGAUAAUAUGUAUAUAAUAGUAUGGUAUGAAAGUAUUAUUAUAACUUUUGGAAUAUAGGAAUAUAAAAGAGAAUUUAAAAAAAGAUUAAAAAAACUAUAUCAAAAGAAUAAUACCAAAUGCAAAAAUAACCCUAGCAAGGCCAAAACACGCGUAUCUUAGCCGCCUCUGGGUCGGGUCAAUCGGGUAUGGUCUUAUACGAUGCCGUUUUGGGGCCACUGAAGCAGGCCCCAAACGACGUCGUUUUUAUUACUUUAUAAAAUCCCAAACCAAAACCUUAUCAGAAUGUUUUUUUCACUUCUAAGGAAAAUAAAACAAAAACAAAACCCUAGGCUAUCCUCCCUCCGCCGUUCCCAGCCGAAACAACAGCCCCUUCAACUCUGAUUUUAACAGAGCAGACGAGGGCCGAUGGCGGACUAGUAGAGGUAAAUCUUCUCUCCUCUUCCUUUCGGUUUAUAUUUUAAUAAAAAGAUGAUAAAUCCAAGAGCAAAAAAAAAUUGACAGAAUCUGAAUAAUCACCUUGAAAUAACAAAGCUAUUUGAUUUGUAUAUAUAUUUUCGUAUCCAGUAUCCGUUUUACAAAUUUGCAAUGGCUUUAUAUAGCCAAAUAAAAAUACAAAAAAAUUUUUGCUAUUAUUUUGUUAUUCCUUUGCAGGUAUGCAGCCAACCUGGAGGCAGAGGCGCACGUGGGGAAGGAGCGGCGCGCUGGAGGCUUGUAGGCUAGGGUUUCUGCAAUUGGGUUGGAGUUUGCGCUUUUGCAAUCGGGUUGGAGUUUGCGCUUAGUUGGUUUACUGGGCUAGGUUUAACUGGGUUUUUCUUAUUGGGCUCGGGGUUAAUUUGAGUUUUAGGUUUAGUGUUUUGGGUUAGAGUCUGUAUUAGGCAGUGAGUUUGGGCUUUAAAUUUGGGUUUGUAAAAAUAAAUUGGACUGUUUUAUUAUUUUAUAUUGGACCGGGCAAUAUUAGGUCAUUACAUAAAUAUUAUGAGUCGGGCAUAACAGUGAUUGUAACUUGUGAGUAGGGUUAUUAUACCGUAUCGAUAUUGAUAAAAUUAUUGAAGAUUUUACUUUUGUACUGUUCUGCUUUUGUUGCCCGAGAUGCAAUUUUUCUCCCUGUUUAAAGCCCAUGUUUGUACGGUGUGCCAAAAGUUGAACUUGAAUUAAAAACAUAAUAUUUAAAUUCUAAAUUUAAAUUCAUUAACUUUUAUAUUUAGUUUUAAAGUUAAAAUUUUAAUAGAAAAUUUAAUUUAAUUAAUAUUUUUUAUUUAGUAUAUAGUUUAAAGUUCAAAUUUCAAAAAUAAAAUAAAAUAAAAUAUUUUAUCAUAGAGAUAAAUAUUAUUUAAUUAAAAUAAUUUUUUUUAAAUAUCAUGUUCUUUAGUAACGUUUGUGGGAAAAACACUGCUAAAGGUUAUGUUCUAUCAUACACAAAUUAUAUCAAACACUUAACUAAAAACAACCGAGCAACAUUGCUCCACCUACUGAUGUAACAUGGCUUUGAAAGCUACCCUAAAACGGUCAUUCUUUCACCCCACCUCGUUUCCAAUCUAUAUUCUCGUUGAAAAUUGCAUUUCGAACACUGGUAGACUCUUCAACCGCAUCUUGCUCAACCAAUUGAGUAGCCUUGGAAAACAAUUGAAGAAAAAUUUAUAACUGAAACUUUAAUCUCAUGUCAUCAAGAAAAAAAAAUAGGAAACACAUAUAUACUCAAGGAAUUUAAUUAAAAAUUUUGCAUGUUAUGCCUUCAGUUGUAAUUGUUAUAAUUACAUAGAAUAAAGUAGGAUUAAAGGGUUGUAGGAUAUAUACCUUUGUUUUGCAAUGUACAAAUUCCUGUGAAUCAAUGAAGAAAUCAGUAGUCAACUUAGGGCAAUCUCUUACUUCCAACCGUAUCAUUGCUGGGAAUACAAAAUGAUAUCCUUUGGGACAAAAGUGGAUGAGGCCAGGCAGUUUUUCAAGUGAUAACCGUUCUAAUUUAUCAAAUUCCAUGUCCUCUUCAGCUACCACUUCCACUUCCACUUCAUCUUCUAAUUCGAAUACUUAUUCCAAUUUAGGAUUCCAUCUAACUAUGAGAACUUUAAGCUUUGGCAGAACAGAAACAAAUCCAAAAGGAAAGAGACUGUUCAAAUUUUUACAAUUUGUAACAUCGAUCCGAGUCAAAUUUGGAAAGCUCAUAGGUUGGAGGCUAGUAUCACCAUUUGAUGAUGAUGAAGAAACUUGAUCCUUGGCUAAAAUGAGUCGUUCUAUUUCCUCACACCCCUCGAUGAAAAGACCCUUCAAAUGUGAUAAACCGCGAGCCAUCAUAGGUGAAAAUAUAUAUCUUAGCUUCUUGCAAUCACUCAGUGUUAGAGUUGUAAGGUUCUCAAGGGUUACAACUUGAGCAAAAUCGUUCCAUAUAACCCGCACUUCUAAUAAAUUCCUCAAUUCCAAUUUUUUUAUGCUUGAGAACGAGUACCCGCCUUGAACUUGAAAUACUUCUUCAUGAUUCCCAACUACUAUACAACCUUCAUUCAAUACAGGAACAUCAGUGUUGCAUAAUUGGCGGCUAUUUCCCACAUUACUAAGAACCAAUUCCUGCAUACACAGAAAUCCUAAUAAAUGUCAUAAAAACACACUAGUGUAAAUGUUACCCAUAAGUCUUCAUAAUUUUACAUAUUCCAAGUAAUAAAAAAUACUACUUCUCUAAUCCCAGUGCUACAUGUAUCUUUGAUUUUUUUUAAAGGAUAUAUUUUUUAAAUCUAAACCCCUAAAAUAUCUACCAAAUUCAAAAGGCCAUUGCUUGAUACAUUUUUAUUUAAAGAGUGAACAAUGGAAUUCAUUUACAAACUAUGUAUAAAAGAGGAAUGAAUUAUCACAUGAACUAAGCAACAUAUCGAUUUGCUGAUUUGCUAUAGUGCCAAAAUCCAUAUAUAAAAUGCGAACAAUCUAAAUACCUCUAUGAGCUGAGCUUGUACAAUGAAGCAUGAGAUUUGGGGACAAUUUGACACUUUUAAAUUUUUAAGAAAGGGCACAUUAAGUAGAAUGUGAUCACCAAUCACAUCCCUUUCUUCUGUCGAACUGAAGACUUGUAGUAGUUGAGGGCAGUUCUCUAAGUAAACAGAUUCCAACAAUGGAAAUCCCUGAGAUAAAGUGUUUGCAAACACAUAUUUCAAUCGUUGGCAAUCCCCUAUCCGGAGAGUUUUCAAUUUUACAUGAAUGAACCACAUAUUUAGAUAUUAUACCAAAUAUAUUUGUUGAAAUAAAAGUGAGGAAUAUGAUUUAUUAAACAUAAUUUAAGUUUUAAAGAAUUUCUUUACUAAAACAUAUGAAAAAGAAAUCAAUUGAUCUUUGAAUGUACCAAUUAGAAAGAGAUGUAUUUAUUAUAUUUUGGAACUGUGAUACCCAACCACUUCAAAAUAAAUGAAUUAUAAAUAACUUUUAAAAUAAGGUUGAAAUAUUAAUUAUUUUAUGAACAUUAAAAUGAAUUUGAGUCCAAAUACCUGUAAUCCAAAUCCAUCCUUAUUUUUUUCCAUGUUGAAGAUUUGUAUAAGUCGAGGACAAUCUUCUAUCUCAAUAGAUUCCAGGUAGGGAAGUGCUUGACUUGAACACAAAUAUUUCAAGUUUUCACAUUUUGCAAUCCUGACACCUUUCAAAUUUGGCAAGAAUAGAGGAGACUGAUCUUUUGUGUUUGAAAUAUCUAUUUCAUCCAUGUUUUCUGCUUCUCCGAUUAAAUGUUCUAAAGAGUAGCAAUUCCAAAUCUCGAGAAAUUGCAAAUGCACCAAAGUUCGAGCAGUGAUUUCCGAAAAGAGAUAUGUGAGUUUAUCACAUUUAGUUAUCUCUACUCUAUGGAGGUAAUGGUUCGGUCCAUUCCACAUGUACUUCAAUUCUGGCAAUGAUCUUAACUCCAAAACAGUUAAAUUUGUCAGAGAUUCCUGUCAUCCAAUAGUAUUUGUUAGUUUAAUCUAACCACUAAAAUAAAUUGAUUGUACAAUGAUAUACACACUAAUUUUAAUAUCUCACAUAUAUUAUCAAAGCAAAACAAAAAUCAUAAUAAGGUAAAUUAAUUCAAUAAAUUUCUAAAAUAUAAUUAUUAUAUUACAUUAAAACAAAAUAUAAAAAAAACAUAUUAAAGCGUAACAUCAGAGAAAAUAAAUAUAUAAUAUUUCUCUAUUUUAAUUUUUAGUAUACAAAUAAUAAAGAGCGUGGCUCUUGAACAAAAGCUAGAGGCUGCAUCGGUUUGUUUGAAUACUUAGAAUUUCAAAAAUCGAUAAAUUACAAUUAUAAAAAGUAAUAAUAUGUAAACAUAUAUAUAUGUAAUAUUCAUUAAAAAUACUCUAUGAAUUUUAAAAUAUUUAUCAUUAAAAGUACCUGUGAUCCAAGUUCAGGAAGCACAAUGCUUUGUUCCAUGUUGUAGAUUUGUAUAAGUUGAUGACAAUUGUAUAUGUAAACAGAUUCCAAGGAUUGAAUCAAAGUGUUUGAAGAAAUAUAUUUCAAACUUUCACAAUCUUUUAUGCGAAGAACUUCCAAUUUCGGCCAGCAAUAAAGAAGACAAUCAUUCUGCAUGUUUCAAACCCAUUUUCGUAAGUUAUUUAUUUAAAUUUCAUAUACAAUCACAAAUCAAAUCAAAGUCCAUGAUCCAAGAGAUUAUUUUGGGCAAUUUUGAAUCAAUCCAAUCUUCAAAAGAUAAUAUUUCAAGUGACUCGAUCUUCAAUAAUGGGCUAAAAAUCAACCAUAGACUCAGUCAUAGCCCAUAAAAGUCAUUCAAUGAGUUGUCAAUAUAAUAAAUAUGGAGAUUAUCUCUAUAUUGAUUUGGUGCUCUAGGGAGUAGGCACUCGCUCUAACACCAAAAUGCUAGUUUCAUAUUUUUCAAUAAUAUCAAACUGGCCUUGUAAGUUAGCAAUCCAAGGAUAGAAGAAAGGUGGCAUGGAAUUAAUUGAAGGCUUUUCUAUAAAGAAAUAAAACCUAAAUAAAAAGGAGAGACACAACAAUUCAUGACAGUUUAUAAGCCUACAAAUAGGUUUAAUAUAUUUGUGAUAUGUAUAAGCGAGCGUGUGGACGAGAAGAAAAAGGACGAGAAGAAAAAGGAAGAGUGUGAAACAAAACAGAGGUGUGUGUGACUUUGUGUGCACGAAAGUGGAAAUAAACAAGGAGUGAAUGGUACUGUGUAUAACUAGUUGUAGGUAGUAAUUGAAAGGAAGAGUAAAAUAUAUUUGUAUUUUGCAUUGGUGUGUUUGUUUUGAGUAAUAAAAGUUACUUUCUUUAGUGGCUACUACGCUUCCAACAAACCCGAUACACAUAAAUAACAUAAAAAUAAAUACCAAACCAAGCAUUUCACUUCAAAUUGGUUUUUGGUUUUCUUGCAAUUUGUUUCAUCCUUAAAAGAAUGCUAUCAUAAAGCUAAAACAAUUAAGAAGAUUAAAAAAAUUGGAGAGAAUAGGUAUCCCUACCUCAAUAAUCUCGUCUUCUUCGCCAAAACCAAUGACUUGCUCUAGUCGAUCGCAUUCGUUUAUAUAAAGUUCUUGUAGAUGCAACAUACUUAAAGCUAGGCAAGGUGAGAAGAUUGUUUUCAGAUUAUCACAAGAUUGAAUUCUCACAGCCUUUAGACUUUGGAGGCUUGCAAUUGCACGAUGGGAUGGCUUUACUUCCCAUAUCCUCUUCAAUUUCGGCAAUGAAUGUAGGCUCAAUGUUGUUAAAUUUGAGAGCAAUGGUGUCUGAUAUUUCAUUUUUUCAGAAACUUUAUCUAUUUGAAAUAUCACUUGUAACUCUUUACACCUGUGGAUAAUCAGUUGCUUAAGGUUUUGCAAGAACCUAGUCGGGGAAACACCAUAGCACAACCCUUUCAAAGAAACCAUGCUUGCUAUAUUUAAUUUCACCAAAUUAGAGAAUGCAACAGUUGACCCUUGAUCAUUUAUUGUAUCAAUCAAGAAUUCCAUAUCAUUGCAAGAUACUAGCACCAGAGAAGUCAACUCAUUUACUCCCAUUUCAUCUAUGCUUGGCACAAUAUUCUUUUGUCCACCAACAUUGCUCAAACUCAACGCUUCCACAUUGCAAAAUAAAUUGUUAAAUGCACUUAAUGAAGAUGAGAAAUUUUGAAUAUCCAAUCUUCUAAACGCCUCCGGAUUGAUACUAUAAUUUUUAUCUCCAACUACUAUAGCGUACCUUGGUAGUUUAGGGAGCACAAAAUCUUCUAGAGGAAUUUGAUUUGUAGAAAGUGUCAGUGAUAGUGCAGUUAAACGAGACAAUGACUUCAACUCCAAUAAGUUGAGAUUAUUGGCGGUUAUAACAUGUAACUCUUGUAGUGAAGUCAACCUAUUAUAUUCAUAAAGAAAGUAGCAUUAAUUGACAAUCCACAUUCGAUGAGGUAAAAAAAAUUGUAGCUCGUUAAAGUAGUUCAUAAAAAAGAAAGAUGUAAAAAAAAAGGUCAAAAACUUGAAAUAAAUCAAGAUAAGUAAUAAAAGGACGCUAUUAAAAUUAAAUAAAAAAAUCUCUAAAUUUUUUUAUCACUUCAAAGAAAUUUUCAAGAGGUUAACUUUUUUUUUUCUUUUUAACAAUUUAUCUCAAAAUUUCUGGGUCUAAAACAUAAGUAAAUUUUCUUUUUUUUUAUAAUAUUUUUUUUCACUCUCAAAUUUUAUAAGAAAGUCAUUUUACCCUUCGAUUUAAGUUUUUACCUUUUAUAACCCUUAAAUUUGUGGUUUUUUUGUCAAACCAUCUCAAAAUGAAUAGAAAAGUUAAUGUUUUAAAAUUUUGCUGAUGUUGAUAUACGUGAAUUGACAUACGAAUAACACAUUAUCCAUAAUAUAUAUAUUAAAACAUAUCUAAUAGUAAAAAGACAAAGUAUUUAUCUUGAUGUUUUAUUAAAAUUUAAAGUCUUUAUUGUAUUAAACUUCCUUAAUUAAUUUUUAUUGAAUAUUUUAUAUAUUUUUUAUAUAUUUACUUUAAUAUAUAUAUAUAUAUAUAUAACUUAAUUAUAGUUAAUAAAAUUUUUUAUUGUCCUUGGCAAUCCACAUAUCUAUCCACAUAUACUUUAGACAUUACAUUAUUUGUCUUAUAUGCCAAGUCAACAAAUAAUUUUAAAUUUAUAAAAAUAUUCAAAAAAUAAAAAAUUGAAAUUCAAAAAAUAUAAAAAAAUCAUAAACUUAAUAAAAUAUAGCAUGAAGUAAGUAUGGAUUGGAAUGUGGGUGUUCAUGUUUAAAAACUUAACAUUUUAGUUAGUAUUUCCGUUAAAAAAUAAUUCAACAUUUUUUUAAAGGUUGAUGUGCUUUUUUAAAUGUCCAUAACCAAAUUUAAUUAAAAACUAAAAAAGGACUUUCAUGUUUAAAAACUUAACAUUUUAGUUAGUAUUUCUGUUAAAAAAACAAUUCAACAUUUUUUUAAAAUGUUGAUGCUCAAAUUUGAUUUUUUUUAAAAAGGUUCAGAACCAAAUUUAACUAAAAAACCAAAUAAGGACUAAAUGGAUAAAUAAUACAAAUGUUAAGAACUAAUUUUAAAAUGUUUUAAUACUUAUUGCCUUGACCAUUUGAAAUAUAUACUGUGAUAUCUUCACGUGCAAGGAACAUGAAUUCUAAAAUAAAUAAAUAAAAUACCUAUUAAAAUAAUUAAUAGGAAAAUAAAUUAUGUCAAACAAAAUACGAAUAUGACAAAAAGAAAAUUAAAUCUGAUGCACUCUUACCUUGAUGCAAUGUUUGAAUUAUACAUUUCUUCUUCAAAUUCAACACAAAGAUGUAAAUAUUUCAGAGCAGACAACUUCACAAAUUCUUCACUUAUCUCAUCAAUAUUAGUGUCAAUCAAUGCAAGAAUCUCAAGGCUUCUCAUAUUUGUCAGUGAUGAUGACAAGUUUUCCAGCAUGCAAUUAAAACACCACAAAGUUUUAAGAUUUGGUAAGGAAGGGAAUCCUUUCAGUGUGAAGCUGACACGUUGGAGAACUAAAACUUGGAGGGCUUUCAUUUCUUCAAAAUAUGUACCGAAAACCACUAGGAAACCAUCUCGGUUCCUCUUCCUCUUGCCCUCUAAAAACAAAGUUUUGAGCUUUGAAAAUUCCACUUUAUCAGGAAAUUUUUUUAUGAUACUACUACAAUUCCAUAAAGCGAUUGCAGUAUAACUUUCAUCCAUAUGAGGCCAUUCUUCCGACGUAUCUUUUACCAUGAACCUAUUUUCUCCCGUUGAUGUUAGCCAAUGAGCAAAAUCUCGAAUCACAUCAUGGAUUCUAAUCAGGGAUUUUGAAAUUUUAGAGAUUAGACUGUAUUUGGAAAUUUGAAGAUAUAGCGGAAAUUGUAGCUCCUAACCAGAUUAGGUUCCUUCAUUAUGAGGUUGAAUCUUUCAUUGUUGGUAUAUAAAUAUUAUGAAUCGGGCAUAACAAUGACUAUAACUUGUGGGCAGAGUUAUUUUAUCGUGUCGAUAUUGAUAAAAUUAUUAAAGAUAUUACCUUUGUACUGUUUUGAUUUUUGUUGCCCGGGAUGCAAUCUUUCUCUUUGUUUGGAGCCCAUGUUUGUAAGGUGUGCCAAAAGUUGAACUUGAAUUAAAAACAUAAUAUUUAAAUUAUAAAAUUAAAUUCAUUAAUUUUUAUAUUUAGUUUUAAAAUUAAAAUUUUGAUAGAAAUUUUAAUUUAAUUAAUAUUUUUUAUGCAGUAUAUAAUUUAAAGUUCAAAUUUUAAAAAUAAAACAUAAUAUAAUAUUUUAUAAAUUUUUUAAACAUCAUGUUCUUUAGCGGCGUUUGUGGAAAAAAUAUUGCUAAAGAUCAUGUUCUAUCAUACACAAAUUAUAUCAGAAACUUAACUAAAAACAUCCAAGCAACAUUGCUCCACCUACUGAUGUAGCAUGGCUUUGAAAGCUACCCUAAAAUCAUCCAUUUUUCCAUGCAAUGUGUGGUAGUUGACUCUCGCCCUGACUAUCGGCUCCAACAUAUAUUCUCAUUGAAAAUUGCAUUUUGAAAAGUGGUAGACUCUUCAACCGCAUCUUGCUCAACCAAUUGAGGUACCUUAGAAAACAAUUGAAGAAAAAUUUAUAACUGAAACUUUAAUCUCAUGCCAUCAAGGAAAAAAAAAUAAGAAACACAUAUAUACUCAAGGAAUUUAAUUAAAAAUUUUGCAUGUUAUGCCUUCAGUUGUAAUUGUUAUAAUUACAUAGAAUAAAGUAGGAUUAAAGGGUUGUAGGAUAUAUACCUUUGUUUUGCAAUGUACAAAUUCCUGUGAAUCAAUGAAGAAACCAGUAGUCAACUUAGGGCAAUCUCUUACUUUCAACUCUAUCAUUGCUGUGAAUACAGAAUGAUAUCCUUUGGGACAAAAGUGAAUGAGGCCAGGCAGUUCUUCAAGUGAUAACAAAUUUAAUUUAUCAAAUUCCAUCUCCUCUUCAGCUACCACUUCCACUUCUUCUAAUUUGAAUACUUGUUCCAAUUUAGAAUUCCUUCUAACUAUGAGACUUUCAAGAUUUGAAAGAACAGGAACAAAUCCAAAAGGAAAGAGACUGUUCAAAUUUUUACAAUUUAUAACAGCGAUCCGAGUCAAAUUUGGAAAGCUCAUAGGUUGGAGGCUAGUAUCACCAUUUGAUGAUGAUGAAGAAACUUGAUCCUUGUCUAAAAUGAGUCGUUCUAUUUCCUCACACCCCUCGAUGGAAAGAUCCUUCAAAUGUGAUAAACUGCGAGCCAUAAUAGGUGAAAAUAUAUAUCUUAGCUUCUUGCAAUCACUCAGUGUUAGAGUUGUAAGGUUCUCAAGGGUUACAACUUGAGCAAAAUCGUUCCAUAUAACCCGCACUUCAAAUAAAUUCCUCAAUUUCAAUUUUUUUAUGCUUGAGAACGAGUACCCGCCUUGAACUUGAAAUACUUCUUCAUGAUUCCCAACUACUAUGCAACCUUCAUUCAAUACAGGAACAUCAAUGUUGCAUAAUUGGCUGCUAUUUCCCAUGUUACUAAGAACCAAUUCCUGCAUACACAGAAAUCCUAAUAAAUGUCAUAAAAACACACUAGAGUAAAUGUUUCCCGUAAGUCUUCAUAAAUUCUAAUCUCAAUGCUACAUAUAUCUUUGAUUUUUUUAAAGGAUAUAUUUUUUAAAUCUAAACCCCUAAAAUAUCUACCAAAUUAAUUAAACACUAAAGGCCAUUGCUUGAUACAUUUUUAUUUAAAGAGUGAACAGUGGAAUUCAUUUACAAACUAUGUAUAAAAGAGGAAUGAAUUAUCACAUGAACUAAGCAGAUUUGCUAUAGAGCCAAAAUCCAUAUAUAAAAUGCGAACAAUCUAAAUACCUCUAUGAGCUGAGCUUGUACAAUGAAGCAUGAGAUUUGGGGACAAUUUAACACUACUAAAUCUUGCAGAAAGGGCACAUUAAGUAGAAUGUGAUCACCAAUCACAUCCUUUUCUUCUGUCGAACUGAAGACUUGUAGUAGUUGAGGGCAGUUCUCUAGGUAAACAGAUUCCAACAAUGGAAAUCCCUGAGAUAAAGUGUUUGCAAACACAUAUUUCAAUCGUUGGCAAUCCUGUAUCCAGAGAGUUUUCAGUUUUGUCCAGCAAUGAUUCUACAUGAAUGAACCACAUAUUUAGAUAUUAUACAAAAUAUAUUUGUUUAAAUAAAAGCGAGGAAUAUGAUUUAUUAAACAUAAUUUAAGUUUUAAAGAAUUUCUUUACCAAAACAUAUGAAAAAGAAAUCAAUUGAUCUUCGAAUGUACCAAUUAUAAAGAGAUGUAUUUAUUAUAUUUUGGAACUGUGAUACCCCAACCACUUUAAAAUCAUUAAUCAUGACAAUAAAAAAAAUAAAAAUACAAUAUUCAUUGUAAUAGUCGAUGAGAGAGAUUGAACUCUAAAAUCAAAGAAUUAUGAAUACAAUUUUUUUUAGUCCAACCUGAAGUUUUGAAUAAAAAUAUUAAUAUUUAAAAAUGGACUUUGAUAAGUUAUUCUAAUAGUUUUCAGACUAUAGAGGUUAACGCAAUGAUUCUGACAAUGAUAUCAAUAGUUAUUAGUUAAAUUUACCAAAAUUCUUGUCAUCAAAUAAUAUUUAUUAGGUAGAACUAACCACUACUCAAAUAAAUUCAUUCUACAAUUAUAUUAAUAUAUAUUUAUACAAACACUGUUUUAAUAUCUCACAUAAAUUAUCAAAUUAAAAUAUGGUAGCAUUGCAAAAACAAAUCAUAUUAUGGUAAAUUAAUUUAAUAAUUUUCUAAAAUAUAAUUUAAAUAAAUAUUAUUAUAUUAAAUAAAUAUAUUAAAGCUUNNNNNNNNNNNNNNNNNNNNNNNNNNNNNNNNNNNNNNNNNNNNNNNNNNNNNNNNNNNNNNNNNNNNNNNNNNNNNNNNNNNNNNNNNNNNNNNNNNNNNNNNNNNNNNNNNNNNNNNNNNNNNNNNNNNNNNNNNNNNNNNNNNNNNNNNNNNNNNNNNNNNNNNNNNNNNNNNNNNNNNNNNNNNNNNNNNNNNNNNNNNNNNNNNNNNNNNNNNNNNNNNNNNNNNNNNNNNNNNNNNNNNNNNNNNNNNNNNNNNNNNNNNNNNNNNNNNNNNNNNNNNNNNNNNNNNNNNNNNNNNNNNNNNNNNNNNNNNNNNNNNNNNNNNNNNNNNNNNNNNNNNNNNNNNNNNNNNNNNNNNNNNNNNNNNNNNNNNNNNNNNNNNNNNNNNNNNNNNNNNNNNNNNNNNNNNNNNNNNNNNNNNNNNNNNNNNNNNNNNNNNNNNNNNNNNNNNNNNNNNNNNNNNNNNNNNNNNNNNNNNNNNNNNNNNNNNNNNNNNAUAAUGCUUUAAUAUUUUUAUAAUUUAAAAUAAGUAUUAUAUUGCAGACAUGAAUACUUGAAUUCAAUUUCAAACAAUUUCAUUCUCCAUUCCUAAUUAUAAAAAAUAAAUUCAAUUUUAUUUAUAUCGAUUGUGUGUUUUAUAAACAACUGUGAAGCCCCUAGUUUGUUUGAGUUAGCUUGUUGCUUUUUUGGGUAGACACCCUGUGCAUCUAACCAUUGGUAUGCUAAAAGAAACUAAGCAGCAUAUACAUGUUUUUAUAUUUUAUCUUUUAAUUAAUAAUCUAUGAUAUGCUCAAUUUUUUUAUAAUAAAAUAAAUAACUUACUAAGAUGUGUGUUUGAAACAUGUAGAAUGACUCUCCUCUUUGUUGUUGGCCGAAAUUGAGGAUUCUUCGCAUAGAAUUUUGCCCAAAUUUGAAAUAUGUUUGUGCAAACACUUGGACUCAAGGGCUUCAAUCCUUGGAAUCUGUUUACAUAAGAGAUUGUUCUCAACUUAUACAAGUCUUCAACAUGGAACAAAAUAAGCAUGGACAAGAUAUUGUGCUUCCUGAACUUGGAUCACAGGUACUUCUGUAUUUACAUUUUUAAGGCUGAGCAAAGAGUUGAAAAAAUUGAAAUUAAUUUGAAUUGUAGUGUUCAAUUCAAUUUUUUGUUGAAUUACAACUAUUUAAAAAUAUAAAAAGUUAUAACUUAAAAAUUAAAUUACAACUAUAUGUUUUUAAAAUUAGUAUAUCAAAUUAAUUUAUAAAUUUUUAUUAUCAAAUACUAAUAUACUAUAAUAUUCAUAUUUUAAAUAAUUCAUGUAUAAUUAUAAAUAGUAAAAAUUAAAAUAGAGAAAUAUUAUAUAUUUAUUUUCUAUUGACGUUAAGCUUUAAUAUAUUUAUUUAUAUUUUAUAUUUAUUUAAUAUAAUAAUAAUUAUUUAAAUUAUAUUUUAGAAAAUUAUUAAAUUAAUUUACCAUAAUAUGAUUUGUUUUUGCAAGGCUACCAUAUUUUAAUUUGAUAAUUUAUGUGAGAUAUUAAUACAGUGUUUGUAUAAAUAUAUAUUAAUAUAAUUGUAGAAUGAAUUUAUUUGAGUAGUGGUUAGUUCUACCUAAUAAAUAUUAUUUGAUGACAAGAAUUUUGAUAAAUUUAACUAAUAAAUAUUGAUAUCAUUGUCGGAAUUGAGGUGCAUAUGAAAUGGAUCGAAUCAUUGCGUUAACCUCUAUAGUCUGAAGACUAUUAAAAUAACUUAUCAAAGUCUAUUUUUAGAUAUUAAUAUUUUUAUUCAAAAUUUCGGGUUGGACUAAAAAAAAUUGUAUUCAUAAUUCUUUGAUUUUAAAGUUGAACGAGUAUCAGAGUUCAAUCUCUCUCAUCGACUAUUACAAUGAAUAUUGUUUUUUUUUAUUUUUUUAUUGUCAUGAUUAAUGAUUUUGAAGUGGUUGGGGUAUCACAGUUCCAAAAUAUAAUAAAUACAUCUCUUUAUAAUUGGUACAUUCAAAAUCAAUUUAUAUCUUUUUCAUAUGUUAUGGUAAAGAAAUUCUUUAAAACUUAAACUAUGUUUAAUAAAUCAUAUUCCUCACUUUUAUUUAAACAAAUAUAUUUGGUAUAAUAUCUAAAUAUGUGGUUCAUUCAUGAAGAAUCAUUGCCGGACAAAAUUGAAAACUCUCCGGAUAGUAGAUUGCCAACGAUUGAAAUAUGUGUUUGCAAACACUUUAUCUCAGGGAUUUCCAUUGUUGGAAUCUGUUUACCUAGAGAACUGCCCUCAACUACUACAAGUCUUCAGUUCGACAGAAGAAAGGGAUGUGAUUGGUGAUCACAUUCUACUUAAUGUGCCCUUUCUGCAAGAUUUAGUAGUGUCAAAUUGUCCCCAAAUCUCAUGCUUCAUUGUACAAGCUCAGCUCAUAGAGGUAUUUAGAUUGUUUGCAUUUUAUAUAUGGAUUUUGGCACUAUAGCAAAUCAGUAAAUCGAUAUGUUGCUUAGUUCAUGUGAUAAUUCAUUCCUCUUUUAUACAUAGUUUGUAAAUGAAUUCCAUUGUUCACUCUUUAAAUAAAAAUGUAUCAAGCAAUGGCCUUUUGAAUUUGGUAGAUAUUUUAGGGGUUUAGAUUUAAAAAUAUAUCCUUUAAGAAAAUCAAAGAUACAUGUAGCAUUGAGAUUAGAGAAGUAGUAUUUUUUAUUACUUGGAAUAUGUAAAAUUAUAGAGACUUAUGGGUAACAUUUACUCUAGUGUGUUUUUAUGACAUUUAUUAGGAUUUCUGUGUAUGCAGGAAUUGGUUCUUAGUAACAUGGGAAAUAGCUGCCAAUUAUGCAACACUGAUGUUCCUGUAGUGAAUGAAGGUUGUAUAGUAGUUGGGAAUCAUGAAGAAGUAUUUCAAGUUCAAGGCGGGUGCUCGUUCUCAAGCAUAAAAAAAUUGAAAUUGAGGAAUUUAUUAGAAGUGCGGGUUACAUGGAACGAUUUCGCUGAAGUUGUAACCCUUGAGAACCUUACAACUCUAACACUGAGUGGUUGCAAAAAGCUAAGAUAUAUAUUUUCACCUAUGAUGGCUCGCAGUUUAUCACAUUUGGAGAAUCUUUUCAUCGAGGGGUGUGAGGAAAUAGAAUGACUCAUUUUAGCCAAGGAUCAAGUUUCUUCUUCAUCAUCAAAUGGCGAUACUAGCCUCCAACCUAUGAGCUUUUCAAAUUUGAAACGGAUAGUUGUUACAAAUUGUAAGAAUUUGAACAGUCUCUUUCCUUUUGGAUUUGUUCCUGUUCUUCCAAAGCUUGAAAAUCUCAUAGUUAAAAGGAAUUCUAAAUUGGAACAAGUAUUCGAAUUAGAAGAAAAAGUGGAAGUGGUAGCUGAAGAGGAGAUGAAAUUUGAUAAACUAAAAUGGUUAUCACUUGAAGAACUACCUGACCUCAUUCACUUUUGUCCCAAAGGAUAUCAUUCUGUAUUCCCAGCAAUGAUAGAGUUGAAAGUAAGAGAUUGCCCUAAGUUGACUACUGGUUUCUUCAUUGAUUCACAGGAAUUUGUACAUUGCAAAACAAAGGUAUAUAUCCUACAACCCUUUAAUCCUACUUUAUUCUAUGUAAUUAUAACAAUUACAACUGAAGGCAUAACAUGCAAAAUUUUUAAUUAAAUUCCUUGAGUAUAUAUGUGUUUCUUAUUUUUUUCCUUGAUGACAUGAGAUUAAAGUUUCAGUUAUAAUUUUUUCUUCAAUUGUUUUCCAAGGCACUUCAGUUGGUUGAGCAAGAUGCGGUUGAAGAGUCUACCACUGUUCGAAAUGCAAUUUUCAACGAGAAUAUAGAUUGGAGCCGAGGUGGGGGUGAGAGUCAACUACCACACAUUACAUGAAAGAAUGGAUGAUUUUAACAUAUUACAAUGCAUGUCUAUAACUAGUAGUACAUAAAAUAUUAUUUUUAUUAAAUUAAAUUUUGAAUUAGAUUUUAAAUUUUUAUUGAAGAUAAAAGAUAUUCUUAAUAAUUAAUAUAUAUACUUACGCUAGAAUAAAUUUAGAAAACUUCUUGUUGUUAUUAAAUCAAGACCCCUCUAUAUAUAACACUAUUAAUUCCCUCAAUUUAAAACAAAAUUUAUGCCAAAGAUGUUUUGAGUUUGUUGGCAAAGUUGAAGAUUUGGGACUUUGAUCAUCUAGGUUUAGUCGUAUUAUCUCGUUCAAAUUUUAUUAUAUGUAGGUCACCUUUUAGAUAUAUUUUAAUUUAUAAUUCAUUAUAUUUUUUAUUGAAUUGAUUAUGGUUCUAAUUAAUUAAACAUGUAUUACUUGUGAUUUGUAUUAUAUUUGUAAACUCCAAAAAAAAUUAAAUAAAUUAAUAACAUGACAUUAUUAAGACAAUUAAAAUUCUUCUCUGGCGCUUAGUUGAUGACAAUUAAAAAUAUAGGCCCGAAAAAUGAGCUUGGACAAAAAAUAAAGCCCUUUUUUAAAUAGGCCUGGCCUUGGAUAAGGUAGUUUUGGCCCGGCUCGAAUUCACUAAAGGACAAAAAAAAUCUUUUUUUAAUAUUAUUUUCUUAUUGUUUUGUCUCUAUUUUGCUGCCAUUUUGCUAUUAUGCUGCUCCUAUUUUAUUGUUAUUAUUUGGAUCUUGUAUAAAACUUAUUUUAUUGUUAAUUUUGUUAUUAUUUUAAAGACAUUUGUUAAUUUUGUUAUUAUUUUAGAGGCAUUUGCUUGCUAAGUUGCAUCUAUCUUAGUGUUAUUUAAGUAUACAUAUUUUUUAAAAUUUAUUUUUCAUUUGUUGGAAAUAUUUAUUUUGAUGUUUUUAGUAUUUUUGAUGUAUUAUAUAUAUUUUAAAACUAUAUAAAAAAUAAUAUAAAAAUUAAUAUGGACGGGUCGGGUAGGGCCCGGGUUUUAACAUUUUUAUUCGAGUCGGGCUUGGACAAAAUUUUAGGCCCACUUUUCGUCCCGAAUCUAGCAAACGGGUCUAAAUUUUUAGUUGAGCCCGUCUUAAACCCGACCCAGCCCGGCCCGGCCAUGCACACCUGGCUUGAUGUAUAUCAAAAAGGGUGCUCAGAUAUGUCAAAGGUACAUUAAACCAUGGCUUGAUGUAUAGCAAAGCUAAAAGUCUGAGGUUGGUUGGCUAUACAGACAGUUAUUAGGCUGGUUCGAUUGAUGACAUGAAAAGCACCUCUAGGUAUGCUUUCAAUAUCAAUUUAAUCAUGUUCUGUUGGAGCUCAAAAAAGAAAACAUUAGUGGCUCAAUCUAGUGCUGAAGCAGAAUAUGUUGCAGCAACAAGUGUUGUUAACCAAGCCAUUUGGCUAAGGAAAAUCAUGGCUGAUUUAAAUGUGCAUCAAAGGGAAGCAACAGAGAUCUUUUGUGACAAUCAAUCUACUAUUGCAAUUGCAAAGAAUCCAAUGUUCCAUGAAAGAACAAAACAUUUCAGCAUUAAACUUCAUGUUGUUCGAGAAAUGGAGUAGGCACAGGAGGUGAAACUGAUUAAUUGCAAUUCAGAGAAUCAACUUGCUGACAUUUUGACCAAGGCCCUUAGUGCAACAAGGUUCGAGCACUUAAGGAAGAAAUUAGGAGUUUGCAACAUGCUAACCAAGGAGGAGUGUUGAAUGUUGGUCAGCAAGCAGCCAUGAAGCAGACAACAAGCAGGCCAUGAAGACCAAGCCAUGCAGGUGCUGCUGGAACAAGCUCAACUAUUCCUAUUUUGUUCAUUUUGUAAUCUUAAGUUAAUGUAAUGUACCUUAGUUCAAUUUGAACUAAGUUAGGCUUAUGAUUGAUGUAAUUAGAUGGUGUAUGAGCUGUAAACUCAGCUUUGUCCAUGCUUACAAGUUUUGUUUUUCAAUUUUCAAUGUAUUAGUGGUGGUAGGUAUUGUUUAGGUGACUGUUUACUAUUUUUUGUCUUAAGCUCGAUUGAUUCUUAGGUAAGCCUCGAGCCUUGCUGUUCAAGUUUUCAGCAAACUUGUUUGUUUCUUUGUUCUCAACACCAACAAGAUACCAGGUUGAAUUUUCUUCUGACAAUUCAUUAUAGUGUAAACUUGUUGAUGACAUGUGGUCAGAAGAAUUUUACAAUCCUCAUGUGCAACACCAAAUGGAAUUCCGAUGGUCUCCGGUUCAAAUUCUUCCCAAACGUCAUCGAAAAUUACGAGGAUUUUGUUCACGCCUUGCAUACUCCUGAAUAGCUCUUCUACUUUUCCUUCUUGUCUACUUGUUUCAAAUUUUAAACGAAAAAUAUCUGCAACUUUAUCUUGAAUUUUGUUGAUGUUUGGAUUUUGGGGCACAUAGUAAACAUCACAACUUUAUCAAAAAGCUUUUUGUUCUAGAGCAUGCUUCCCAAGUUUUUUGGCUAAAGUUGUUUUCCCGACUCCUGGCUUUCCGUACAGACCAAUCAUGUUGAAACCCUUAGCAUUUAUAGCCUCCAUGAUCCCGAUGAAAGCUGAUUUUGAAGAUUCAGAGUACCUGAAAUCCUUAGAUGUGAUGAACUCUAUUCCUUGAAGAGGAGCACGACGGCCGAUUGGUGAAAAGUUACAAGUCUCUAAAAGUUUCGAGAUAAGAAGAGUCUUCUUCGCAAGUUUCUUACUUAAGCAAUAUCUCCAGCCCCAAUUAGGACACCAUUUGGAACAGUUGAUGUGACCUAUUUCAUCUUCCAGGAUCUGGGUUACUCCCAACUCAUUUUCAGCCCUUGUUAACCAGUCCCCAACAUCCUUCUCGAUUGCCUCGGUUCGCCUUAUAGCUGCAUCAACAUCAUUUUUCACCCUAUCUUUCUUCAAUUCAACUGCUUUACGUUGAUUUUUGAAUUCUUCAACAAUUUUUCCAAAACGGAAAAAGUAGCUAAGAUAAGGUGAGGCGUAUUCCGUUGCCUAGUUUCCCACGGUGUUGGAAGAAACAGAGACAACAAGUUCAUCUAUUUUUCUUGAUGAUCUGAUGAGGUUGAAGAAAGAAUUUUAUAAUUGGUAAUAAGAUCAACAGAAAAACAAAUUAAAGUAAUUGUGGAUGUUUGCCUAGCUAAUGAUAGUAGGAAUUAUCAAUGGAUUUGAAAAUCUUGAUUCCAAAUAGUAAAAAAUCGAAUGAAAACUACUAAUUAAGAAACUGUAGUUUUCUUCUGAAACAAAGAGAUUAUCAUGUUUGCUUACAAAAGGAAAUAUAGGAGAAAAUGGAACUUAUUCAUGAACUUACCUCUAUGUUUCUCUCCUGUUAUCACCACUUGAAUACGAAAAGGUAAGAGUCAAAUACAGCUUUUUUAGCUCUCUUCUACCUUCAGAUCGUAGAUUGUAGCUGUAAAACAUCAAAAGGCCAAUACUACUGCAGAAAAGCAAAAACCAAGACAACAAAUCAGUAGAUAUAACUGGGUAAAAUUUAUGAGGAGCGGUUCCUUAAAGCUUACCUUCAUUAAAGCCUCUUUUUCACUGAUCUUUUGUGAACUGAAAAUUAAGAAGAAGUCUGAUUUUUAAGUAUGCUUAAUUUUGAUGGAAGAAUUCAAUCCCUUAAUUAGUUUGCUGGUUUGUUCUUUCCGAAGCUCAGUCUACUUGAGUCAAUGUUCCAAAAUUGGAAAAGAUAAAACCUGACAACCUAUGGUAGUAAUUAAAUUAUUGCCUACUUGGCCAUCUGUACUUGACCGAUUGGCUUACCUUUUCUUUUAUUGGAAACUACACUUGCUCGAUAAAUUAUCAUUUAAUUUACAUUUUGGUACUUAAAAUUUUAAAAAAUUUUAAAAUAGUUAUUAAACUAUACGAAAGUUUUUAUUGUAUCGUCUACAUCAAUCGAAAGCUCUCAUUUUCCUUCUCUUUCACAAUUCAGUUUUUAUUCAUGAAAUAGUUUUGUUCGCCACGAAUUUAUGAACCGAAGUCCAAACAAAUUUUUUCUUCGAUACAUUAACCAUCAAAUUGACUUAGAUCUAAAGUAUAUUAUUUUAGUCAUUGAUGAGUAUUGAUCCACUGCAUUAAUCGUCGAAUAGUUGCUUUGAGCUCACUAAUCAAACUUUAAAAAAAAUUGAUAAACUAAUGACUUAAAUAAAAAGUUUGAUUAAUUCAAUGAAAUUUUUUUAAAAUUUUAAAUUAAAUUAAUAACUUUAGUGUUUUUUUUCCAAAUUUCAACCAACUAAAAGGAAAAAGAAAGACUAUUGCGAUUCUUGCAAUGUCUUUCUUAUUUAUUGUUGUCUUAUUAGGGCUAGUUUGGAUGGGCAGUGUGUUUACCUCCGAUGAGGUUAAAAACAGCGGUGGCGGUGAGAUUAGUUACUGUAGCGGUGAGAUUAGAUACUUUAGUGGUGAGAUUAGAAACAAUGGUGGAGUGUGUGUUUGGAUUCAAACGCAGCUGUAGCGGUGAGGUGAGAAUAAAAAAUGACUAUUAAGAACAUCAGAUUAGAAUUGAUAUAUAAUAGAAGUUUUUUAAAUUAUUUUACUUUUUUAAAAUUAUUAAAAUAUGUGAAUUUAUAAAUUCAUUUAAUAAAAUAUUAAAAUGUAUCUUCCAGUAUUUUAAUGAUUUAUAUAAUUAAUUUAAAUUAUUUAUUAGAUAAAAUGAUAAUUAUUUUUAUUUUUUAUAGUUAAAUAUUUUUUUAUAACAAUGAUUAAUAUUAUUUUCACAAAUAGUAACAUUAUAAUUGGAUCAAAUUUGGGAAAGAAAUUAGUUUAACUUUCAAGGAUAAAAUGAUAAAAUAAUAAAUAAAAGUAAUGAUAUUUUUGUCUCUUAAAAAUACCAACUGCACUAGUGGAGAACAAUGGACAGUCACUUUUUGUCUUUUUCCUUAUUUUAUUAUACUUUGUUCAUUUAUUUGCUUGUAAAGAAUGAAAUUGUACAUAAUCACAUUUUACUGUUGGGAAAAUAUUCUGAAAUUUAAUUCCAAUGGGAAAAUCUCAUCUAUAUAUAUAUAUGUAUGUAUGCUGUAUAAAUGAAGAAUUUCUUCUCUUAGAAUAUAUUAAUUGUUGAAACAGUGACAAUUAAUUUACGUCCUUACCUUGAUUCUGUAUAAUUAUAUAUGAAAAUAUGAUUGAUGCAUGUUAAUAUAUUAAUUCAUUUUGAAUUAAAUUCGCAUUUUAUUAAGUUUUUGUCGUUAAUUAAAUAAUCAAUUAAAUUUCUCUAUUAAUAAUUUAUGUUAUUAACUAUUAAAAUAAAUUGAUAGACCAGUUAAAUGAUGAUAUGUGACAGCUUUUGGUUUAAUUUAAUAUUUUUUUCCAUAAAAAUGAUUAAAGAUAAUAAAAAUAUAAAAUAUCAGAAAAAUUAAAAAAACUUAUAAAUAUUAUAAAAAAUAUAUAAAAUUGAAAAAUAGUAUUAGCAUAAAAACUUGAACUGGUUAGCUCGAAAUUAGCAAGGGCACCAAUCCGAGGAAAGCCAUUAGACCAAUUAACUUAGAAAUUAGGCGGUUGAACUGAAUUUUUAUUUUAUAAUAUUUUUUAUCAAUCUAAAAUUUUAUUAUCCAACUAUUAACAUAUUUCAAAAUGAAAUAUUCUAACUAAUAUUUUUAGAACUGAAUUGGUGGUUUGAACCUUUAAGGCGACAAGUUUGAAAGUUCGAUUGAUCUGUUCAAUUUAAUUAAAUAAAAUAUUAAAAAUAAAAAAAUAUUAAAAAAAUCUGUUCAACUGUUUCAAGUCAACCAAUUUAAUGGCUUUCUCCAAAUCAAUACUUUUAUCGAUUUCAAUCUAGUCGGUCCAACCGAUUGAUUUGGUUUAGUUCAAGUUUUUAUAAGUUUAUAUCAAUUUUAAUAUUUUUAUGAUUUUUAUAGAUUUCUAAUAUGUUUUUAUAAAAUUUUAAAUAUUUUAACGAUUUCUUUAAGUUGAUAUCAAUUUUCAUAUAUUUUUAAUAUUUAACAUGUUGAAUAUUUUUUAUAAUUUUAUUUUAUUUUUAUAAUUUUUUCUUAUUUUAUAUAUACUAUUUUUUAAUUUUUUUAUAUUUUUUAGGAAAAAAUUAGGUUAAAUCAGAAGCUGUCACAUGUCACCAUUUGAUGGGUCCACCAAUUUAUUUUAACGAUCAAUGUGAUUAAUGACAAAAACUAUUAGCGGAGAGACUUAAUUGAUUAUUCUAAUUCAAGACAAAUAUUUAAUUGAAUGUGAAUUUAAUCUAAUAAUUUAAUUAUUAUUUUUUCAAUUUUUUAAAUACUUUUUUGACAUAUAAAGCUUUUAUUUAAAUACCCAUUUAAGGUUAAAACGGAGAUUGACACAGUACUAACAAUAUUCAUGCAUUUUUGGGAGCAUAAAUAUCAAAAGCUUUUUAUAGUGAGGAACAGAAGCAUAUGGUAUACUAACAUUUCCUGUAGCAACACCACACCCUUGCAUUGCCAUCCAAUCUCCCUUUUUGAAAAUGUAAAGCACCUAUCAACCACUCUCAUUCAUCCAUGGCAGGACAACAUAUGUAACAAUUUCGUGGUAACCCUGAUUUAAAGAUGUCAGGUUUUUGUUGAGAGCGAUAAAAUGUAAUCACAUAUGAGAGUUUUGAUAAAAAUUUCAUAAUAAUUAUAGGAAGAAUUUUGUUUUCGAAUUAGGAUGUUGUUUUCAGGGUUCGAGCAUUGUAUAUUUGGUACAUUUAGAUUUAUUUUCUCAAUAUUAUAUUAUCGUUUGUUUACUUAUUUAAUAAAAAGUCAAAGUUUACUUUGUUUGUGGUUUCUAUCCUCUUUAGAGGAGUUUGAUCUUCUCUAUUUUACUUAUAUGUUUAUGCGAGUCAAUCCCCAACAGUGUGGAUGGUCAAAUUUAUAAAUUAAACAAAUAUUUACCUUUGACUAAACUUUUUUCCAUAGAUAUUUCUGAAUUGAACUUGAGUUUUUUUAUUUAAAUUUUGUUUUCAUUUAAUUUUAGUUUUCAAUUUCAUAAAAGAAAACCUUCUAAUUUACUUUUAUUAUUUUUAUUUGAAGAACUAAAGUUAUUAUCAAUAUACGUGGAUACAACUCUAGUUGUCGCUUUCCUAAUUUAAUUUUUUAUUAUUUUUAUUUGAUGAACUAAUUUCUCUUGUUCGCCAAAUGACUGUAAGAUAUCUAGCAAGUUAAGGCUAUGGUAUAUGCGUUAGUUAUGACUACCAAAACGAUUCAUGCCUUAUUUUUCUUGAAGAUUGAAACGAAGUUGAUGGAUUUUUCGAUUAGCCACAAUAGAGAUCAUAUAUAUGAUUCUUAUGCCAAUACUUAUAAUCAUAGAUGAUGAAAUUAUUGAGAUUUUAGCUAUGAACGGAGUUCGCAUGCUUCGCUGCAACCAUCAUCUUCUUAUUCAAGUAUGUUAUGAAGAAAUUGUUUAAUUAAUUGCCACUAACACAUCAAAAUUUCAAUAGGCGACAAGGAAAUUAAGAUCUCAACAAGGAGAGUCAAUUAAUAUAUAUAUAUCACAAUGGCUGAACUAAACCAAAACCCAACAAUUUCUAAUCAAAUAACUUCUCUAUUUUUUUCUAAAAAUAAAAAAUUCUCUCACUAUUUUCUUUUAAAAAACCCAAAUGGAAAGUUAAAAAGAAAAGAAAAGAAUGAAUUCUUUUUUAAUUGGAUUUAAUAAAAUUAUUUUUUUUAAAAAAGAAAAGAAUGAAUUCUUUUUUAAUUGGAUUUAAUAAAAUUAUUUUUUUUAAAAAUUAAAUUCUAAGUUUAUUUUUAUUUAGUUUUGUGGCUAUUAAAUAAAAAUACAUUAUCGUCAUAAUUGUAAAUUAUAGUUUUAACGAUCACAUCAGAUUCAUCGUUAUAGAGUUUACAAUUAGUAAAAAAAUAAAUAAUUAUUAUUAAUUUAGCGAUUAAUUUAUUAUUUUUCGUAAUUAGAUGAUAAAGAAAAAUUAUAUUUAGACUAGAACCAUACUUAGACUAGAAAAGAAGCUAUAAUUAACAUCUUAACCUAUUGGAUUAAUUUUCAAAAACUUUUUAGUAAACUUCAUUAAAUUGUUAAUGCUUGUUUGAAAACUUUUAUAGAAUUCUUAAAAAAAAAAAGUUAGAGUUGUGUGAUCUGAAUCUCGUUUGAUCCGACUUGAAAAGUUUGAGGUACACUUAUUAAAGAAAUAAAAUAGAGAGGCAAAAUUGAAAAUCUGUGGGGGUGAAGUUAAAUCCAUAUGGGACUAAAUUUCUUCUAUUAGACGGAUUGUUUAACCCCGUGCAUAACCUCAAAACUUCUUAUAUUAUUGUUUUUCAACAUUAGUGAAUUUCUCUCCUCUACCUACGAUUUUCACGGUAAGAGUUUUCCAUCUAAAAUCUGUGUGUUCCUAUUUUUCUUUUUUAUUGCUUUGCGAUAAUCCUACUAUUAUUAUUCAGUAUAACAAAUUGAAUAUAUAUGUUGAAUCAUUUAACACACUUUCAAAUUAAAAUAAUAUUAAUUUCAACAUAACGAAGUUUCCAUCAAUAGCCAUUGACAUGUUAAUGGCAUUACUAAUACAAUAUGUUAAACUCAAAAAUCCAACAUUAUUAUUAAUAUAACAAACAACUCUUCUUUUUGCAACUCUCACUUGAAGAGAAAAGAUAGUAAGGUUUCAUUAAUUGCAUAUUAUAUCUUAUUCGUCUAAACAAAACAUAAAUAUUAAAACACUUGGCUUGAACUAAGCUUCUCAGUUCCAUCCUUAUGGCAUCUAAAAUACCUGCAACUUAAGAAGGGGAAAAAAAAAAGUAGAAAUAUCUAAGUGAUGAAAAGAUUGAAGUAAUUUGUAGAGAUAAAAAAGAUCUUAUUACUUGUUGAUUAUGCAGCAAAUUUAAGUUCAGUCCUCACUAUGUAAUCGAGUUGGAUGAAGUUUGUCUCGAAUGGAACAAAGCUUGGUGACAUCAUUCAUGCCCAUCCGGUCACUUGGUGAUUCACUGGAAACAAAUGAGUCCUAUUUUGAGUAUUGAAAUUAAGCACUGAAUAUGCCUACCAUUUCCCAAAAUGUUUCUAUUGCGUGUAAUGUUUGCAAUUGUUCCUCGAAUGUCUCUUUGUUGAAGAAGAAUGGGAUCUGUAAUCUCAGUAAUUCCUUCAGGCAAAGUUGACUUAACAAAGUUGUGAAGACUUCAAACUUUCUUUAAACCUUUCAUCAGUUGGCCUCUUCCCUGUAAACAUCUCUAGAAAGAGGAUCCCAUAACUAUACACGUCACCUUUAGUUGACAACUCACUUCCCAUGCCAUAUUCUACAAUUCAUUCAUCACAAAAUUUACAUUAUAAAAAAAUUGCAGAGGAAAACCCUCUAAAUAUUAGAAAAAACUACUUUUAGGAUGUAUGUUUUUCUUUUAAAUAAUGGAUGAAAUAAAUAAACUUACCCGGUGGAGCAUAACCAAUAGUUCCUCUAAAUCCAAGGGAGCUUCACUGGUUAGCAGAAUAGCUAACCCUAUCUGUAGAAAGGAGUUUUGCUAAGCCAAAGUCACUUAUAGGGGCAACCAUUUCCUCAUUGAGUAGAAUAUUGCUUGGCUUGAGGUCACAAUGAAUGAUCGGUGUCUCGCAACGAUGGUGUAGAUACUCCAGUGCGUGGGCAACAUCUAUGGCCACACUAACCCUUUGGAAGAAGUUCAGGUUUCUCACGGUCUCUUGUUCAUUCAUGUCAACGGAUGGAUGCAACCAGUCCUCCAAGCUUCCUUUUUCCAUGAACUCAUAAACCAAGGCUUUGAAAUCAUUACCUUGAUAAUCAAAACCUGAAACAGCAGUUAAUACCUUAACAAGAUUUCGAUGUCGAGUGUUCUUUAAGGCCUCACAUUCAGCCAAGAAACUCCUGGAUGCUCCACGAUUUAGAAGAUUAAGCACCUUUAUUGCAAUUACUGCUCCACUCUCUUCAUGAAUUCCUUUGUAUACAACACCAAAACUUCCAAAACCAACCAAAUUUUGCGUAGAGAAUCCAUUAGUAGCCCUUCGGAUGCUUUGAUAUGAUAACUGUAAAAGUGAAUUUUCUACAAACGUUGUUGUUGGUUGCUGCUUUUUCUUUUUUCUAAACCACACGAUAAGGAAGAAAGAAAAUACCAAAGCCACUCCUAAAAUCACAACAGCAAUUGCAAUUUUUACUCUAAGAGGAGUAUUUGAUGAUGUUUUUGAGUUACAUCUCGACAAGUGUAACUCGGGGUUGCCUCCACAAAGUUUAUUGUUUACCUCAACUAAUGUAGCACUUGCGUUCUUAAAGACUCCUUCACUUGGUAUCACUCCCUCAAAAUCAUUAAAAGAGAGAUUUAAAUACUUUAAUUCCCCAAAAGUCACAAGAAAUUCUGGAAUCCCACCUGAGAGAUUAUUUCCAGAUAUAUCCAAUUUCACAAGACCUCUCAAUGAACUUAAAGAUGAAGGAAUGGGCCCUUCAAACAAAUUUCCAUCCAGGUAUAGGUACUCUAGACUUGCACAUUUACCAAGGCUAUUUGGAAGCCAACCAGAUAACCUAUUUUGAGAGACAUAGAACUCACCUAGAUGUUUUAGAUUUUCUACUGCAACAGGAAGCUCACCGGUCAAAUAGUUUGAUGAUAAGUCAAGUGCAAUGGACAUGGAUGGGAUGCCAAGUACCUCAAGGAGUAUUGCUCCACUAAGAAGAUUAUUAGAAAGAUAUAUUUCAAGCAAAUUUUGGCAAUUACCUAGACUAAAAGGGAUGCUGCCCUGAAGAUUGUUAACAUCUAAAGCAAGACUGGUUAACACUGUUAAAUUUCCAAUAGAAUGGGGAAUAGUACCAAAGAGAAAGUUCCUAUAAGCAGACAAUUUCCUUAGGUUCUGAAGCCUUCCAAUAUCAAAGGGAAUCGAACCUGAUAAUUGAUUAUUUUAUGUUGCUAACACCUCUAAGUUGAUGAGAUUUCCAAUCCCAUCUGGGAUUCUUCCCCAUAUCUUGUUCUCAUCUAUUACUAAACGCAAAAGUGUGCUAGAAAAAUUUCUAAUGCAUUCAGGAAAUUCCCCCCCCCCCCAAAAUUAUUUCCGUCUAUAUAUACAAGUUCUAGUUUGGUACUAUUAACUAAUGUGCAGAGGAAGUUCAAGUCACCUUCUCUCCCAUGUCCCAAAUGGUUUGUGGCUAGGAGAAAACUAGACAGUUUAUCCAACUUUUCUAAGGAAGGCACGUUUCCACGGAGUCUAUUAUCAUAUAGCUGAAGUUCAUUCAGAUUUGAGGCAUUGGAUAGUGAAACAGGGAUUUGUCCAGAGAUUUGGUUUCCUGAUAUGGAAAAGACCUCAACAUAUGGCAUAGUGGUUGCAAAAUUAGAAUGAAUUGUACCUUGAAUCUUGUUUCCACCAAUAUCAAAGACUCUAAUAUUGGAGAGGUUGAACAGUGCAGCAGGAAAAAUGCCAGAAAUUGAAUUUCCUGCUACUAAGAAAUAUGAAAGAUUUGCCAAUUGUCCAAGAUUUUCAAGUAUAAUUCCAGUUAAUCCAUUGAUCGUCAAAGCAAGUACCUCUAGGGAUGACAAGUUGCCCAAAGAAGGUGGGAUACUCCCUCUCAAACUGUUGUUGUAAAAACUCAAGUAUUUCAGGUUUGAUAAGAAACCUAGCGAAGCAGGUAUUUCUCCUGUUAGUUGGUUACCUCUCAAAUUAAGAACUGCAAGCUUAGAACAAGCAGAUGUUAAGUAUGACUCCUAUUUUCAGUUAAAUUAGAAAAAUAAUCUUUUAGUUAAACUCUAUUUAUUUAUUUCAGUCAAACACUAAUUAGUUUAGAUUAUUUUAUUAUUAUUUGAUAUAUGAAUUUAGCCUAUAAAUAGGCUCUUUUACAACCUUAGUAAACACCCAUAUUAGAGAUUAGAACUCAUAACACAUUUAGAGAAUUUUGUGUUUACGUUUUGAGGGUUCUUUGUUUUCAGGUUUUUGGGGUUUAGUUUUAUCUCCAUCUUUUGUACUCUUCGUUCUUUUGCCAUUAUAAUAAAAUUAUUUUUGCCCGUGGUUUUUUAUCCUCUUUAGAGGAGUUUUUCCACGUUAAAUUUGUGUGUUUAAUUUCUCAAUUUAUUCUGCUAUUUUUGUUACUUGUUGCUUAAUCGGGUCGAUCCCUAUCAGCAGAUAAAUUGGAAGGAAUUUCCCCACUAAUGGAGUUAUUGGCCAGGUCUAGUGUUUCCACUCUUUUUAAAUGACCAAGUUCUUGAGGAAUCUCGUUGUAGAAGCUAUUUUCCUCAAGAUUCAACUCCUUGAGAAAGCUCAAAUUUCCAGUGUAUGGUGAUAAAGAUCCCGACAGUUUCAAGAAUUGCAAUUCCAACUUGGUGACUCUCCGAUGCUUGCGGCCGCAUGUAACACCUCGCCACUGACAAAAGUGAAUAGUAUUAUUCCAAGAGGUCAUAACCUUGAGUUGAUCACCAGUUAUCUUGGCUUUAAACUGAAGUAGUGCUUCUUGAUCAGUGUCAUUUCCUCUAACUACAGGGCUUGUUAAACCACACCAGUUAAGACCUUGAAAGUUGAACAAUGAGAGAAGAAUUAUAACUUCAAUGUAAACAAGGAAGAAAGUGUUGGACGCUUCCAUAUGCUUUCUUGAUAACACCAUCAAGAAAUUGAUGAGAUUGGUUUGUAUUUGAGAGUAUUUGGUCCGUCAUCAAGAAUUAGAGAGAAAUACAAGUAGCUUUCAAAUAUUUUCCUAUUCCAUCUCCAGUUAACUGGUUCAACUUUUCAGACUUUGAAAGUCAUGUGGCUAUGAUUUCCAUGGGCCAGCUAUACUGAUAUGUGUCUGCUUCGGGUUGGAUUUUAUGGUUGAUAUUUUUUUUCCAUAAUCGAGUUAUAUUUGCUACACUAACUUUGCUUUUUCAAAUGCUUCACAACUGGCAUGCAUCAAUAUUAAGAUUCUGUACAUAUUGCCCCAAUGAGUAAGCUAUGAAGUUUUAUAUCUAUCCUAUUUCUCUUGAGUAAGCAAGACGACAUACAUGAAAUGGUAGACAUAAGAUGAAACGUUAUACAUUGAUCAUCUUUGUCCUCCUCACCCAGUAAAUGGUUGCUUGAAGAAAAGCAUGGAUGGUGGAUGGUAAUUCAAAGCUGAUUUUUUAUUAAGCAAAAAUAGAUGCAUUUUACCACCACUUUCUGCAUUUCACUUCUAUCAAUAUAUAUAUAUAUUCAGAAAAACAUUAAUUUAUUGUAUAAGAAAAUGAUUGUGAGAGACUUCUCGAGUAAUCGCUAGAGCCCCCCACUUGGAUCAUUAUCUACACAAAGUAGACUGCGAUUUCUUUGUGGAAAAAGAAUGAAAAAUUACGUUUUGAUUUCCAAGGUCACAAGACCUGAAUGCCUUUUUUCCACGAAUGAAUAAUGCAGAAGCAUACUAAAUCAAAGAGUGGUUUUCACGAAAUCAUGAUUAAACUAAUGACCAGGAGUAUAUACACAAAAUUCAAUAUUAAAUAAGAUCCCAAUUUAUCAAUUUAUCUUACAAGACAACUAGAGGUAGCUUUGUUUUUUUUUUUCAGGUCAAAUUUAAUUUGGUUUUUAUAUUUUAAUUUUUAGAUUUUGAGUCUUAGUAUUUUUUUAUUUAAUAAUUUUAGUUCUUUAGCCCAAAUUUACUAUUAGAGUUAUUGAUGUGGCAAUUAUAAAAAAAUAAUUUUUUAAGUCUUUAAUGUUUAUAUAUUUUUUAAUUUAGUACUUAUUCUCUUAAAGUACAUAAAAAUUAUAAAUAAUAUAGUUUUUCGUAUUUUAAAUAAAAAUCAUUAAAAAUUAUAAUUUUAAAAAAUCCAAAAGUCAUGCAAAAACAGAGAUGCUUUAAAAUUAGAAAAAAACUUUUUAUGGUAUUCAUAUAUUUAUUUCCUAUCUUUAUAGAAAUAUUUCUAUCUUUAUUUCCUAAGAGAGAAUUUUACUAAUUUAAGAUAUUAUAUAUAUUUAAAUAAUUAAAUCAUCAUAAUAUUUUUGGUAUUCAUAUCUGUUUUACAAUCUAUAUUCGGGAUUCGUAGCUACUCCUCCAUUUUAUGUCAACUUUAAAGUUUGAACCUGCGUCUUCCCUUGAAAAUGUAAUAUGUCUUACAAUUGCACUAAAUAUUUGUUGGUAAUAAUCAUAAAAUAUUUAGUACAUAAGAAUGAUACAUGCAAAUAUAAUAAUUUAAGGUUUAUAAAAUUUAUUUAUAAAUUAAAAGUGAUUAAGUAAAUAAUAAUGUGUAAAAUUUGUGGGUUGGUUUUUAAUUUUUAUGGUUGAUAAUCUCUUUUCCAUUAAUUGAGUCAUACUUACUAUACUAGAUUAUUUUUUUAAAAAAAUUUCAAAUGCUUGACAUCAAUAAUACAUAUUAGGAGUGUGAACAUAAAGGAAACGAUGUAAAGAAAAGUCAUAUUGCCCCAUUGAGUAAGCUACGAAGUUUAUGGAUGAAUCCCACAAAGGAAGACAUAUUGCCCAAUGACUAAGGUAGCACGAUAACUUUCACAAUUAUUGCAGGAAAGACUUUUCUUUACAAACUUAAAUUAUUGAAUUAUUUUAAUUUUAUAUAAAGUUAAAUAUUAGAAAGACCUUUUUAAAAUGGUUCUAAAUUAAUAGGGACUAAUGAUGCAAAAAUAAUGAUAAAUUAUUGAAUUAUUUUAAAUCAUGAGGUCUAUUGCCGAUAUAACAAGAAAUGAGGGACAUCAUGAAAGCAAUUUUAAAAAAAUACAUUCUGAACUUAUAGGUGAAAAUGCAGAAGGAUUUAUGUUAAGGGUAAAUUUUCUAGAUAGCUACUUGAGUUUAUUCGUGUUCCUAUUUUGGUCAUUCAUUUUAAAAUUUGUUUUUUCAGUUACUCACAUUAGAUAAAUUGUAAGUUUUAGUUAAAAAAAUAUAUUAUAAGCAUGAUCAUGUAUGUUAUAAAAUGAUAUAUGUUAUUUAAAUCCUAAACAAAUUUUAACAGUAUGACAAAAAAGUAUACUAUAAAAAAUUUAACGUGUUAUAAAAUUGUUAUAAUAUAUUUAUUUAUAAAAAAGUUAAGUUAAAGGGAUGAUUAUAUCAUUGAGGUUGCAUUGAUUAAUUCGGUUUACGAGAUGGAAAUGUCAAGUGCGAAUGUUUUUUAUAUGUGAUGAUUAUGUAAUGCCAUGAGAAUUUGUUUAUUGGUGUGAUUUAAAAUGUAUCUAUAUUUUAUUAUAUAACUUGUUUUGUAAUCUAUUUGAUAAAUGAUAAAAAUUAAUUCGGUCACUAUGGGAGGUGAAUUAUGGUUUGUGAAGCAUAUCUAUAUUCGGCAAUAAUAGAUAAAAUAUAUAUAUGUCAUGGGUGAAUGGUUAAACACUUGGGCUAGUACAAUGUGUACAUUUAGUAAGGUUAGUUGGUAAUGAAAUAACAGGUUUUGGUUUAACAUCGAAUAGAGAAAAUUUGUACUAUCUUUGUGGCUAAUUUUGAUAGCUGAAUGGGAGAUGAAUGUAUAAUGUAUAUGUGACACUUAGCUUACGAGAUAUUAAGUAAUUGAUAUAUUACAAUAGUUAAAUAGGAAAAAUAUGACAAUAUGAGAAAAUGUAAUGAUAUACGGAUCAAUUCAGGUACUCGUGAUGCAUUUAACAAGUAAGUGAAAAUUUAUAAAUUCAUACGAUGAGAAAAUGAAAGAUUUUGAGUAUAUAUUGGGUCACGUAAACCCUAAUUAGCGACUCAAAGAUAACAAUUUGAAAGUUUUAAUUUGGAUGAAAUUUUAUAACUCGGUUUAAUACGGUUACAAGUGUAUGAGUUAUGGUAAUGCCUCGUACCCUAUUCCGGCGUCACAUACGGGUAAGGGGUGUUACAACGCCUAACAUUUACGGAAGAAAUUACAAUUUUAUUUUAAUUUAUUACAUUUCAAUUUAUUUAUUUACCAACGUAAAUAAAUAUAUAAAUUAAUCUAUUAUUAAUUUAGUAAUAAUAAUCAAUUUAAAAUUUUAGGUUAGUCAAAAUUUCGCGAUUGGUGGUGUAAAAAUUAAAUAAAAUAAAAGACGUUUGUAUAAUAUAUUAUCAAAUUUUUAUUAAUAAUGAUUUAACUAUACAUUAAAGUAUAUAUAAAAUAUUAUAAUAUUCAAUAACAAGAAGCAGCUUUAUAUAUUUUAGUUCAAUAAAAACUUCAAUGUUAACGAUAAUUAAAAUAAAUAAAAAUAAAUAAUAUUUUGCCUAAAAUAUAAAAAUAUAAAAAAUGGAAUUUUACAUUAACAAAGACAUUGACUUUAAUGGUAAUAAAAAUAAUGAUUAUUUUAUUAUAAUAAAGAAAAGAAUGAUGAACAAUACUUUGUUUUAUGAAUUUAAAUAAAAAAAAGUUAAAGCAACGACUUCCCAUUCUUCUUCCUCAUCCAAUGUGUUUUUUGCUUCCAAGUUCUCAAACCUCUGUUUCUCAUCAUUUCCACUCUUUGUUUUUUGCUUUCUAAUUCUCGAAUCUGUGUUUCUCAUCAUUUCCUUUUUUGCUUCCAUAUUCUCAAAUCUGUGUUUCUGGUCAUUUCCUUUUUUGCUUCCAUAUUCUCAAAUCUGUGUCUGUGAUCAUCACCAAAAAAAAAAAAAUCUGUGUGUGUGAUAAUUUCCACUAUUUGUUUUCCAGUUUUCACAUUUUCUUUUAUUGUCUCAAUUAAGGGGAAAAAAACCAGCAAACUUUCUUUUAUUUCUGAAAACCAAACUUUCUUCAUACCUUGAUUUCCACUUGGCAAAAGAAACAGCGCAGAGGAUAGUUCAGUGAAGGUAAGUUUUGAGGAACUGCUAUAUAUUUUCAUGUUUUUGUUGAGUGGAUCUCCGUUUUAUUUAUUGGCCUUCUCUAAUUGCUAUUAGUUUGGUUUCACUUGUGAUUUUAUUUUUCAUAAAAAAAGGGUUUCAUACAAGAACCUUGGAACUAGGGUGAGUAUUUGAUUAAAUCAAGUCGAAUCGAGUCAAAAAAUUUUGAGUUAAUUGAGUUGAUAAAUCCUAUUUUAGCAAUCAAACUCAAUUUAAAAUUUUUUAAUCAAAUCAAAUCGAGUAAAAAAUUUCGAGUCAAGUUGAGUCGAGUAAACCAAUCCUAUUAUUUAUAUUCAAUGUUGCAUUUACAUGUACCGAUUGUUUAACUAGUAGAUAAAGUACAAUAUUAUUUAACUGCAUAAACAAUAUAUAUAUAAUGGUUUUGCCUCUUAACUUAAUAAGUAAAUAUUUAUCAAAAUGACGUAAUUUUACCUUUUAACUUAAUGGUUUUGAUUUUUAACUUUAAAAAGGUACACAUUUUUGGAUAACUCGAUUUGUGUAAUUCAUAUUUGAGUCAAUUCAAGUUUAUCCGAAUAACUUAAUUAGCUCAAAUAACUCGAACUAAUUAAAUUAAAUUUUAAAUUUUUUUAUCAAAAUUUUUGAAUCGAAUCAGAUUUUACUGAAAAAGUGUAUAACAUGCGGAUCAAACAGGAAAGGGGCAAAUGAAUAGUUUCCUUUCUCCAUUCAUUAGUCUUCUCAUUUUUUUCAUUAAACAUUUUAGAGAGCAUACAAACUCUAAUUCUAUAGGAACUUAAAAGCAUCCAAUCUAUAAUCCUUUUUAGGAUUUCUUAAUGAGAAAUUGUUUUUGAAAGAAUAUGAUGGUAUUUCACAUACAAAUUAUAGCUCCGAUUUAGAAUGAAUAUAAUGGGAAGAGUAAUUACAUGUAUGGUUAUAUUAUUUGCAUUACAUUAAUUAUUUAUUUAUUUGUGAUAUGAAGGUUAAAACAUGCUCUCAAUUUUAUUAUUAUUAUUUUUCUAUUACAGCUACUUAUUUCUCUCAAGCUCUAUCUACUUUCUGGUAUUCACAGACAGAAAGAGAGGUAUUUUCUACCUUCUUCAAUAAUAACAUCUUUGGUUUACAUCAAUAUUUACAGCUUAAUCUUAUUUGGUAGCUUCCACUCCAUUUUUUUUACUACAAAUACUGAUUUUAUUUGUCAAAAUUGCUUUUAUUUCUCUUUAUGUUUAUUCUUACUAAUAACCAAUGUUUUUGUUCAACCUCAUCAGACUAUCAACAAAAAUGGCCGAAUAUGUUGCCCCUGCUGCUGUCGAAAUUGUGGCAGACCAGGCAAAGGAAUACGCAUCACCCUAUCUCCGUUACUUUUUCCGUUAUGGAGAGAUUGUUGAAGAUUUCAAGAAUCAACGAAUGGCACUUAAAUUGAGGAAACAGAGGGUGGACACUCAUGUCGAUGAGGCUAAAAGGCAAACUGAGAUCAUCUAUGAUGACGUUAAGGACUGGCUUAGAAAUGCUGAGCAAGAACUGGAAGAAACCCAGAACUUGAAAGAUGAAAUAGAUCGCGUCAAGUGUUUAAAAUGGUGUUCUAAAUGGGGCUGGCGAUAUUCCUUAAGUAAGAAACUGGCAGAGAAGAUUCCUAUUAUCUCUAAACUUUUAGAGACUUCUAACUUUGCACAGGUGGGCUAUCGUCGUCCUCUUCAAGGAAUAGAGUUCAUCACAUCCACUGAUUUCAUGGACUCUGAAUCUUCAAAAUCAGCUUUCAACCAGAUCAUGGAGGCUAUAAAUGCUAAGGGUGUCAACAUGAUCGGACUGCACGGAAUGCCAGGAGUUGGUAAAACAACUUUAGCCAAAGAAGUUGGGAAGCAUGCUCGAGAACAAAAGUUGUUUGAUAAAGUUGUGAUGUUUACUAUGUCCCAAAAUCCAAACAUCAGAACAAUUCAAGAUAAAGUUGCAGAGAUGUUUGGUUUAAAUUUUCAUACAAAUACCGAAGAAGGAAGAGCAGAACAGCUAUUCAGGAGUAUGCAACGCGUGAACAAGAUCCUCGUAAUUGUCGACGACCUCUGGGAAGAAUUCAAAAUGGAGAGUAUCGGAAUUCCAUUCGGUGAUGAACACGGGAGUUGUAAAAUUCUUCUGACUACACGUCGUCAACAAGUCUGCACUAAAAUGAACUGUAAGGAAAUUCAACUUGGCAUCUUAUCCGAAGACGAAGCAUGGGUUUUAUUUCGAGAUAAAGCUGGUUUAGAAGAUGAUUGUUCCACCUUGAAUGAUGUAGCCAAAGAGGUUGCUGCUCAAUGUAAGGGAUUGCCUCUUGCAAUUGUUGUCGUGGCCAAAGCUUUAAAAGGUGAGAGUUUAAAUGGGUGGAGAGACGCAAAUCAGAGAUUCAAGGACUCAACGCAUUUGUAUGAUGAAGAAGUCCUCGGGAGUGUCCUCGAGCCUCUUAAGCUUAGCUACUAUUACUUGAAGAAAGGCAUUAACCAAAUGACGGGAAAUCACAUCCAAAUGUGUUUCUUACUGUGUUCCCUUUUUCCUGAAGAUGAAGAAAUCCGUAUUGAGGAAUUGGUUUUAUGCGGAAUUGGAGUAGGAUUGUUCCCUAAUGUUUACUCGAUUGAAGAAAAAAGGAAGAAAAUUGUUGAAGCACUAAAAAAACUCCAAAAAUCUGGCUUGUUAUUGGAAACUGAUGGUGCAGAUACGAUUAGAAUCCAUGAUGUGAUUCGAGAUUUUGCUCAUUGGCUAACAUCAACGGGAGAAAAUAGGUUCAUGGUAAAAGACACGUUGAAAGAAUGGCCUCAUAUGGAUGAAAGUUAUACUGCAAUCGCUCUAUGGAAUUGUAGUAGUAUCAUAAAAAAUUUUCCUGAUAAAGUGGAAUUUUCAAAGCUCAAAACUUUGUUUUUAGUGGGUGAGAGGAAGAGGAACCGAGAUGAUUUCCUAGUGGUUUUCGGUACAUUUUUUGAAGAAAUGAAAGCCCUCCAAGUUUUACUUCUCCAACGUGUCAGCUUCUCACUGAAAGGAUUCCCUUCCUUACCAAAUCUUAAAACUUUGUGGUGUUAUAAUUGCAGGCUGAAAAACUUCUCAUCAUCACUGACAAAUAUGAGAAGCCUUGAGAUUCUUGCAUUGAUUGGCACUGAAAUUGAUGAGAUAAGUGAAGAAUUAAUGAAGUUGUCUGCACUGAAAUAUUUACGUCUUUCUAGUGAUAGAUUUGAAUAAAUGAAUAUCCCCCCAAACUUGGUAUCAAGGUAAGAGUGCAUCAGAUUUAAUUUUCUUUUUAUCAUAUUCGUAUUUUGUUUGACAUCAUUUAUUUUUUUAUUAAUUAUUUUAAUAGGUAUUUUUAUUAUUAUUUUAGAAUUCAUGUUCCUUGCACGUGAAGAUAUCACAGUAUAUAUUUCAAAUAGUCAAGGCAAUAAGUAUUAAAAUAUUUUAAAAUUUAGUUCUUAACAUUUGUAUUAUUUAUCAAUUUAGUCCUUAUUUGGUUUUUUAGUUAAAUUUGGUUCUGAACCUUUUAAAAAAAUCGAAUUUGAGCAUCAACAUUUUAAAAAAAUGUUGAAUUGUUUUUUUAACGGAAAUACUAACUAAAAUGUUAAGUUUUUAAACAUGAAAUUCAGCAUGACAAUACAUAUUUACUUCAUGCUAUAUUUUUUUUAGUUUUGAAUACUUUUAUAAAUUUUAAUUUUUUUAACUUGAUAUAUAAGACAAAUAGUGUAAUAUCUACAUGAAGCACAAAUGGAUUGACAUGUGUGCAGGGGCGAAGACAAAAAAUUUUGUUAGAGGGAGCCGAAAUUAAAUUUUAAUUUUUACGAUAGUAAAAAUAUAAUUUUACCAUUUGAAUAGCCUAUAUCUUUAUAAUUUUUAAAUGAUUAAAUUAAAAUUUUAUCAUUUUUAGGCACAUCAUACCUAAAUAUUUUUAUUAUUCUCCAAUGGACGAAGGAAUCAAUUUCCCCCCUGGCUUGGUAUCAAGGUAAGAGUGCGUUAGAUUUAAUUUUCUUUUUAUCAUAUUAUUAUUUUGUUCGACAUCAUUUAUUUUCCUCUUAACUACUUUAAUUGGUAUUUUUAAUUUUAGAAUACUAGUUUUGACAUCAUUUUUCAAUUUAGUCCUUAUUCGGUUUUUAAUUAAAUUUGGUUAUGGAUAUUUAAAAAAGAGCAUCAACCUUUUAAAAAAAUGUUGAAUUAUUUUUUAACAGAAAUACUAACUAAAAUGUUAAGUUUUUAAACAUGAACACCCGCAUUCCAAUCCAUACUUACUUCAUGCUAUAUUUUAUUAAUUUUAUGAUUUUUUUUAAAUUUUUUGAAUUUCAAUUUUUUAUUUUUUUGAAUAUUUUUAUAAAUUUAAAAUUAUUUGUUGACUUGGUAUAUAAGACAAAUAAUGUAAUGUCUAAAGUAUAUGUGGAUAGAUAUGUGGGUUGCCAAGGACAAUAAAAAAUUUUAUUAACUAUAAUUAAGUUAUAUAUAUAUAUAUAUAUAUAUAUCAAAGUAAAUAUAUAAAAUAUAUAUAAAAUAUUCAAUAAACAUUAAUUAAGGAAGUUUAAUACAAUAAAGACUUUAAAUUUUAAUAAAACAUCAAGAUAAAUACUUUAUUUUUUUACUAUUAGAUAUGUUUUAAUAUAUAUAUUAUGGAUAAUGUGUUAUUCAUGUGUCAAUCCACGUAUAUCAACAUCAGCAAAAUUUUAAAGCAUUAACUUUUCUAUUCAUUUUGAGAUGAUUUGACCAAAAAAAACCACAAAUUUAAGGGUUAUAAAAGGUGAAAAUUUAAAUAGAAGGGUAACAUGACUUUCUUAUAAAAUUUGAGAGUGAAAAAAAAAAUAUGAUAAAAAAAACAGAAAAUUUACUUAUGUUUUAGACCCAGAAAUUUUGAGAUAAAUUGUUAAAAAGAAGAAAAAAAGUUAACCUCUUGAAAAUUUCUUUGAAAGUGAUAAAAAAAAUUUAGAGAUUUUUUUAUUUAAUUAUAAUAAUGUCCUUUUAUUACUUAUCUUGAUUUAUUUCAAGUUUCUGACCUUUUUUUACAUAUUUCUUUUUUGUGAAUUACUUUAACGAAUUACAAUUUUUUUUACCUCAUCGAAUGUGGAUUGUGUCACAUAAAUUUUCAAUUAAUGCUACUUUCUUUAUGAAUAUAAUAGGUUGACUUCACUACAAGAGUUACAUGUCGUACCCAAAAUUAAUCUCAACUUAUUGGAGUUGAAGUCAUUGUCUCGUUUAACUGCACUAUCACUGAGACUUUCUACUAAUCAAAUUCCUCUAGAAGAUUUUGUGCUCCCUAAACUACAAAGGUACAUUAUAGUAGUUGGAGAAAAUUAUAUUAUCAAUCGGGAAGCGUUUAGAACAUUGGAUAUUCAAGAUUUCUCAUCUUCAUUAAGUGCAUUUAACAAUUUAUUUUGCAAUGUGGAAGAGUUGAGUUUGAGGAAUGUUGGAGGACAAAAGAAUAUUGUGCCAAGCAUAGAUGAAAUGGGAGUAAAUGAGUUGACUUCUCUGCAGCUAAAAUCUUGCAAUGAUAUGGAAUUCUUGCUUGAUACAAAAAAUGAUCAAGGGUCAACUACUGUUGCAUUCUCUAAUUUGGUGGAAUUAAAUGUAGAAAGCAUGGUUUCUUUGAAAGGGUUGUGCAAUGGUGUUUCUCCGACUAGGUUCUUGCAAAACCUUAAGGAAGUGAUCAUUAAUGAUUGUGAGGAGUUACAAGUGAUAUUUCAAAUAGAUAAACUUUCUGAAAGAACGAAAUGUCAGACACCAUUGCUCUCAAAUUUAACAAAAUUGAGCCUACAUUCAUUGCCGAAAUUGAAGAGGAUAUGGGAAGUAAAGCCAUCCCAUCGUGCAAUUGCAAGCCUCCAAAGUCUAAAGGUUGUGACAAUUGAAUCUUGUGAUAAUCUGAAAACAAUCUUCUCACCUUGCCUAGCUUUAAGUAUGUUGCAUCUACAAGAACUUUAUAUAAGCUACUGCGAUCGACUAGAGCAAGUCAUUUGUUUUGGCCAAGAAGACGAGAUUAUUGAGGUAGGGAUACCUAUUCUCUCCAAUUUUUUUAAUCUUCUUAAUUGUUUUAGCUUUAUGAUAGCAUUCUUUUAAGGAUGAAACAAAUUGCAAGAAAACCAAAAACCAAUUUGAAGUGAAGUGCUUGGUUUGGUAUUUAUUUUUAUAUUAUUUAUGUGUAUCGGGUUUGUUGGACACGUAGUGGCCACUAAAGAAAGUAACUUUUAUUACUCAGAACAAAUACACCAAUGCAAACUACAAAUAUAUUUUCCUCUUCCUUUCAAUUACUACCUACAACUAGUUAUACACACCAUUCACUCUUUGCUUAUUUCCACUUUCAUGCACACAAAGUCACACACCUUUGUUUUGUUUCACACUCUUCCGUUUUCUUCUCAUCCACACACUCGCUUAUACAUAUCACAAAUAUAUUAAAACUUUUUAUAGGCUUAUAAACUGCAUCAUGAAUUGUUGUGUCUCUCCUUUUUAUUUAGAUUUUAUUUCUUUAUAGAAAAGCCUUCAAUUAAUUCCAUGCCACCUUUCUUCUCUCCUUGGAUUGCUAACUUACAAGGUCGGUUUGAUAUUAUUGAAAAUUAUGAAACUAGCAUUUUGGUGUUAGAGGGAGUGCCUACUCCCUAGAGCACCAAAUCAAUAUAGAGAUAAUCUCCAUAUUUAUUAUAUUGACAACUCAUUGAAUGACUUUUAUGGCUAUGACUGAGUCUAUGGUUGAUUUUUAGCCCAUUAUAAAAGAUCAUGUCACUUGAAAUAUUAUCUUUUGAAGAUUUGAUUGAUUCAAAAUUGCUUAAGAUAAUCUCUUGAAUCAUGGACUUUGAUUUGAUUUGUGAUUCUAUAUGAAAUUUAAAAUAAAUAACUUACUAAAAUGUGUUUGAAACAUGCAGAAUGAUUGUCUUCUUUAUUGCUGGCCGGAAUUCAGAGUUCUAAGCAUACGAGAUUGUGAAAGUUUGAAAUAUAUUUUUACAAACACUUUGAUUCAACCCUUGGAAUCUGUUUACAUAGGGAAUUGUCAUCAACUUAUACAAAUCUACAACAUGGAACAAAACAUUGUGCUUUCUGAACUUGGAUCACAGGUACUUUUAAUGAUAAAUAUUUUAAAAUUCAUAGAGUAUUUUUGCUUUCAUUUAUUUUUAAUGAAUAUUACAUAUAUAUAUAUAUGUUUACAUAUUAUUACUUUUUAUAAUUGUAAUUUAUUGAUUUUUGAAAUUCUAAGUAUUCAAACAAACCGAUGCAGCCUCUAGCUUUUGUUCAAGAGCCACGCUCUUUAUUAUUUGUUAUAUUUAUAUUAUAUAUUUAUUUUCUCAUGAUGUUACGGUUUAAUAUGUUUCUUUAUAUUUUAUUUUAAUGUAAUGUAAUAAUUAUUAUUUUAAUUAAAUUUUAGAAUUUUAUUGAAUUAAUUUACCUUAUUAUGAUUUUUGUUUUAGUUUGAUAAUAUUUGUGAGAUAUUAAAAUUAGUGUGUAUAUAAAUAUAUAUUUAUAUCAUUGUAAAAUCAAUUUAUUUUAGUAGUUAGAUUAAACUAACAAAUAUUAUUGGAUGACAGGAAUCUUUGACAGAUUUAACUCUUUUGAAGUUAAGAUCAUCGCCAGAAUUGAAGUACAUGUGGAAUGGACCUAACCUCCAUAGUCUACAGAUAACUAAAUGUGAUAAACUCACAUAUCUCUUUUCGGAAAUCACUGCUCCAACUUUGGUGCAUUUGCAAUUUCUCGAGAUUUGGAAUUGCUACUCUUUAGAACAUUUAAUCGGAGAAGCAGAAAACAUGGAUGAAAUAGAUGUUUCAAACAUAAAAGAUCAGUCUCCUCUGUUCUUGCCAAAAUUGGAAGUUGUCAAAAUUAGAAGAUGUGAAAACUUGAAAUAUUUGUGUUCAAGUCAAGGACUUGCCUACCUGGAAUCUAUUGAUAUAGAAGAUUGUCCUCGACUUAUACAAAUCUUCAACAUGGAAAAAAAUAAGGAUGGAUUUGGAUUACAGGUAUUUGGACUCAAAUUCAUUUUUAUGUUCAUAAAAUAAUUAAUAUUUCAACCUUAUUUUAAAAUUUAUUUAUAAUUCAUUUAUUUUAAAAUUGAAUCAGCAAUUAGAAUUCUAUCUCUCUCAUCGGCUAUUACCAUGAAUAUUGUAUUUUUAUUUUUUUAAUAGUCAUAAUUAAUUAUUUUAAAGUGGUUGGAGUAUCCCAAUUGCAAAAUAUGAUAAAUACAUUUCUUUAUAACUGAUACAUUUCUUAUUCAUAUGUUUUGAUAAAUAAAUUCUUUAAAACUUAAAUUAUGUUUAAUAAAUCAUAUUCCUCACUUUUAUUUAAACAAAUAUAUUUUGUAUAAUAUCUAAAUAUGUGGUUCAUUCAUGUAGAAUCAUUGCUGGACAAAACUGAAAACUCUCCGGAUAGUGGAUUGCCAACUAUUGAAAUAUGUGUUUGCAAACACUUUAUCUCUGGGAUUUCCAUUGUUGGAAUCUCUUCACCUAGAGAACUGCCCUCAACUACUACAAGUCUUCAGUUCGACAGAAGGAAGGGAUGUGAUUGGUGAUCACAUUGUACCUAAUGUGCCCUUUUUGAAAAAUUUAGAAGUAUCAAAUUGUCCCCAAAUCUCAUGCUUCAGUGUACAAGCUCAGCUCAUAGAGGUAUUUAGAUUGUUCGCAUUUUAUACAUGGAUUUUGGCACUAUAGAAAAUCAGGAAAUCGAUAUGUUGCUUAGUUCAUGUGAUAAUUCAUUCCUCUUUUAUACAUAGUUUGUAAAUAUCAAGCAAUGGCCUUUUGUGUUUAAUUAAAUUGGUAGAUAUUUUAGGGGUUUAGAUUUAAAAAAUAUAUCCUUUAAAAAAAUCAAAGAUACAUGUAGCAUUGAGAUUAGAGAAGUAGUAUUUUCUAUCACUUGGACUAUGUAAAAUUAUGAAGACUUAUGGGUAACAUUUACUCUAGUGUGUUUUUAUGACAUUUAUUAGGAUUUCUGUGUAUGCAGGAAUUGGUUCUUAGUAACGUGGGAAAUAGCCGCCAAUUAUGCAACACUGAUGUUCCUGUAUUGAAUGAAGGUUGUAUAGUAGUUGGGAAUCAUGAAGAAGUAUUUCAAGUUCAAGAUGGGUACUCGUUCUCAAGAAUAAAAAUAUUGGAAUUGAGGAAUUUAUUUGAAGUGCGGGUUAUAUGGAACGAUUUUGCUCAAGUUGUAACCCUUGAGAACCUUACAACUCUAACAUUGAGUGAUUGCAAAAAGCUAAGAUAUAUAUUUUCACCUAUGAUGGCUCGUAGUUUAUCACAUUUGGAGGAGCUUUUCAUCGAGGGGUGUGAGGAAAUAGAACGACUUAUUUUAGCCAAGGAUCAAGUUUCUUCAUCAUCAUCAAAUGGUGAUACUAGCCUCCAACCUAUGAGCUUUCCAAAGUUGACCCGGAUCAUUGUUACAAAUUGUAACAAUCUAAACAGUCUCUUUCCUUUUGGAUUUGUUCCUGUUCUUCCAAAGCUUAAAAGUCUCAUUGUUAAAAGGAAUUCUAAAUUGGAACAAGUAUUCGAAUUAGAAGAAAAACUGGAAGUGGUAGCUGAAGAGGAGAUGAAAUUUGAUAAAUUAGAUAGGUUAUCACUUAAAGAACUACCUCCCCUCAUUCACUUUUUUCCCAAAGGAUAUCAUUCUGUAUUCCCAGAAAUGAUAGAGUUGAAAGUAAGAGAUUGCCCUAAGUUGACUACUGGUUUCUUCGUUGAUUCACAGGAAUUUGUACAUUUCAAAACAAAGGUAUAUAUCCUAUAACCCUUUAGUCCUACUUUAUUCUAUGUAAUUAUAAUAAUUACAACUGAAGUUUCUGUUAUAAUUUUUCUUCGAUUGUUUUCCAAGGCACUUCAGUUGGUUGAGCAAGAUGCAGUUGAAGAGUCUAUCACUGUUCGAAAUGCAAUUUUCAACGAGAACAUAUAUUGGAGCCGAGGUUGGGGUGAGAGUCAACUACCACACAUUGCAUGAUAGAAUGGAUGAUUUUACGGUAGCUUUCAAAGCCAUGUCACAUCAAUAGGUGGAGAAAUGUUGCUCGGUUGUUUUUAGUUAAAUGUUUGAUAUAAUUUGUGUCUGCUAGAACAUAACCUUUAAUGGCGUUUUUUCACAAACGUCGCUAAAAAACAUAACCUUUAAAAAAUUAUUUUAAUUAAAUAAUAUUUAUUUCUAUGAUAAAAUAUUUUAUUUUAUUUUAUUUUUGAAAUUUGAACUUUAAACUAUAUGCUAAAUAAAAAAUUAAUUAAAUUAAAUUUUCUAGUAAAAUUUUAACUUUAAAGCUAAAUAUAAAAAUUAAUGAAUUAAAAUUUAGAAUUUAAAUAUUAUGUUUUUAAUUCAAGUUCAACUUUCAACUUUUGUCACACCUUACAAACAUGGGCUAAACAGGGAGAAAAAUUGCAUCUCGGGCAACAAAAAUCAAAACAGUACAAAGGUAAUAUCUUCAAUAAUUUUAUCCAUAAUAUCGAUACGGUAUAAUAACCCUGCUCACAAGUUACAAUCAUUGUUAUGCCCGACUCAUAAUAUUUAUGUAAUGACCUAAUAUUGCCCGGUCCAAUAUAAAAUAAUAAAAUAGUCCAAUUUAUUUUUACAAACCCAAAUUUAAAGCCCAAACUCACUACCUAAUACAGACUCUAACCCAAAACACUAAACCUAAAACUCAAAUUAACCCCGAGCCCAAUAAACUAAACCCAGUUAAACCUAGCCCAGUAGACCAACUAAGCCCAAACCCCAACCCGAUUGCAGAAACCCUAGCCUACAAGCCUCCAGCGCUCCGCUCCUUCCCCACGUGCGCCUCUGCCUCCAGGUUGGCUGCAUACCUGCAAAACAACUAGCAAGAGAAAGCACUAGAAGCAGGAAUAACAUAAUAAUAGCAAAAAAUAAGAGAAAAUAGCAAAAUAAUUUUUGUAUUUUUAUUUGGCUAUAUAAAGCCAUUGCAAAUUUGUAAAACGGAUACUGGAUACGAAAAUAUAAAUACAAAUCAAAUAGCUUUGUUAUCUCAAGGUGAUUUUUCAAAUUCUGUCAUUUUUUUUUACUCUUGGAUUUAUCAUCUUUUUAUUAAAAUAUAAACCGAAAGGAAGGAGGAGAGAAGAUUUACCUCUACUAGUCAGCCGUCGGCCCUCGUCUGCUCUGUUAAAAUCAGAGUUGAAGGGGCUGUUGUUUCGGCUGGGAACGGCGGAGGGAGGAUAGCCUAGGGUUUUGUUUUUGUUUUAUUUUCCUUAGCAGUAAGGUUUUGGUUUGGGAUUUUAUGAAGUAAUAAAAACGACGUCGUUUGGGGACUGCUUCAGUGGCUCCAAAACGGCAUCGUAUAAGGCCAUACCCGACCGACCCGACCCAGAGGCGGCCGAGAUCCGCUUGUUGUGGCCUUUCUAGGGUUAUUUGUGAAUUUGGUCCUCCCUCUUUCAUAGUGCUUUCGAAUCAGUUUUUCUUUAUUUGUAAAUUCCAUACUACAUUUUGCUUUUGUUUCAUUUUGGCCCAGGCUGUACGCCGCGUUUUGGAGGGACCAGGGUUAUUUCCCCAUUGGUCCCCCAUAUUAUUCGUACGCUGCAUUUUGACCCCUCAGUUUUAUUUUAUUUGCGAAUUUUCUCUUUAAUUUGGUUUCAAAUCCAAUUUAAUUUUAUUUGUUUUAUUGGAUUAAAUGCAUAUUAUUUUCUAUAAAUUUAGUUUUAAAUCUAAUAUUUCCAUAUGGUUUAAGAUUAGUGUUAUUAUUAGAAUUUAUCACCAAAAUCAUUAACAUUGUUUAUAUUUAUCUUUGUAGUUGUUUUUUAUUUAUCAUAUAUUACAAUUUUAAGUUUUCGUUUAUUAUUACUUAGAUUUAACAUAUUUUAUGAUUCGUAUAUUCUUUUGAUAUAGUUUUUGUUAUCUUUUAUUUUUUUUAAAUUCUCUUUUAUAUUCCUAUAUUCCAAAAGUUAUAAUAAUACUUUCAUACCAUACUAUUAUAUACAUGCAAUUUUCAUUUUUUUAUUUCAUGAACAUAUUAUUGAUUUCCUAUUAUUAUAAGGGUAAGCUACCAAAAUAGUCACUUUUGUUUGCCUUAGUUACAUUUUAGUCACUUGUGUUUGAAAUAUUACGUUUUAGUCACUUACAUUAUCGUGUUGUAACAUUUUAGUCACUGAGUCGUUAAUUGCCAACAAUGGUGUAACAGUAAGCUGAUGUGGCAUGUUAAAUCAUCAUUUCAAACAAAAAAUUUAGGUUAAAUUCUACAAUUGGUCCCUAUAUUUUUUCAUUUUAAACAAUUUUAUAAUUUUCUUUUAAGUUCUUUUAACUUUUUUUUUCCAUUCUCUUCUGCUUCUCCCUUUAUUUUCCUCCCUUCUUCAUUUCUUUUAUCAUAGUUUUUCUAUGUUUUCCAUUUGUAACUACUCCACAAGCUCGCCUCACUCGAAAAAAUUAAAUUGUUCAAAAAAAAUAAAACAUAGCAAAACUACGUUGAAAGAAAUGGAGAAAGGAGGAAAACAAAGGGAGAAGCAUAAGAGAAUGGAAAAGAAAGAAAGUUAAAAAAACAUAAAAGAAAAAAAUUAAAUUGCUCCAAACGAAAAAAUAUGGGGACCGAUUGUAUAAAUUAACCUAGAAUUUUUGUUUGAAAUGAUGAUUUAAUGUGCCACAUCAGCUUAUUGUUACACAGUUAAUAGAAAUUAACGGCUCAGUGACUAAAAUGUUACAACAUGAUAACAUAAGUGACUAAAACGUAACAUUUCAAACAUAAGUGACUAAAAUGUAACCUGAACCAAACAAAAGUGACUAUUUUAGUAGUUUACCCUUAUUAUAAUUAUCAUCUUUUGGCUUUUACAUUUAUAAUUUGAUUAAAAGAGGACUAAAUAAAUAAAUAAUAAUAAAAAUAACAAACAAAACAGUUUGUAAAAAAAUAAAAAAAUUUGAAGUUAAAUGGACCUAGGACCGAACUGAAAUUAAAAUAAAAUUAAAGAGUAUAAAUUGUAAAUAAUAAAAAAAUAACUAAUAAAACAGAAACAAUGAUCAAAAUAAAUACGCUAAAAGGCAUAGGGACUAAACGAGAAAUUAUCCCAAACUCCCUAAACGCACAGCUUCACAUGGGACUAAAAUGAAACAGGGAUAAAAUUAUACGGUAAAAUUAAAAGAAAAAGAAAAGAAAGAAAAAGGACCAAAUUGUAACACGUUGCAAAAGUGGAAAGACCGCACGCGCAAAUAACCCAUGCGCUAGAAAAACGCGGAUCCUAGCCUGCGGGUCGGGUCGCGCACGGGUUGGCAUCAAAGCGACGCCGUUUAGCAUCUGGGGGAGUUAAUUCAAAACGGUGCCGUUUUGAUAAGCUAUAUAAACCCCUUUUUUUUCCAAAAAUUUCAUUUAACCCCUCAUUUUAAAAAAAGAAACUUUAAAAAAAACCUUUCAAGCUCUCUUCCCUCUUUCCUGUUCUAGCCAAGUGUCCAGCUAUCGGCCACUGUGGCGGCUGCCAAUUAUCGGCGACGCCAUCCACAGCGACCGAAAAAUCCAAAAAGGCAAUUUUUUUGGCUCUUCAACUCCUCGAGCCUAAAAAUUACCAAUUUUCAUCGGAAUCGACGGACCUCAACCGCUUACGGUGGCCCAAAUGCGAGAAAAGGGUAAGAUUCAACUCCUUUCUUUUUUUUUAUUUCCCUUAAAAACUAGUAGAAAUAUCAGUAGAAAAGAAGAAAAACAAGUAAAUAAAAAAAACAAAAGAACUACCUUUUUUUCAAAAAUUUUUCAAUUGCUCUUUUUUUUGUAUUGAUUUCAUGUCUUUAAAAAAAUACAUUAAUGACUCAUGGCUUUUAUAGCCGAAAAAUACGUUUUUUUUGCUAUUGUUUUUUCUCUGUGUCUGCUGUGCAUUUUUGUCUUAUCUGCAGGUACUAGGCGUGUGAAGGAUGGCGUGCGGUGAUGGUGGUGGGCGUGGGAGGAGCGGCGACUAAAGGGCAAGCCUAGGGUUUCUUUUUUUUUUUAAAAAAGAUGUUUAGGCUUUGGGCUUAUUGGGCCACUAGGGUUUUUAUUUUGGGUUUGUAAUAAUUUGGACUUGGACUCUUUUAUUUUUUUGUUUUAUUUAUUUGGUUCUGGGCCUGGGCAAAUUGGGCCUGCUACAACAUGAUUGGCUGAAUUAGUGUUAUAUAUAAUUGUCUGGAUUGUGAACGAUAUAUAUGUCUAUUAUAUAAACAGAGCCAGGUUGUACUCUAUCUAUAAGUAUAAACAAAUAAUCAAAAUAAAUUUCACUUCUUCUUAAAUGAUUUGAUUACAUAGAUAGUAGCAUUCUUUAGAUCUUAUGCAUAUAUUGAGUUAUAUAUGAGAAUGGAUGCGAUAUUACAUAUUUGUUAUAAAUUGUUUUUAUUAUCGAGGUUGUGGUUCUUAGGAAAUAGACCGUGGACUAUCAUCUCCAUGUAGGGUUAUUUUUUUAAAUUCAUAGAAUUCUUAUGAUCCGAAAACAGACAUAAGGCUUAAAUGUAAUUUUUCCAAAAAGGUGUCCAUGACGAGGAGAAUAUGGACUGAUGGCAGUUGAAGACCCGAGGAAUACCUUGUGGCAAAAAAACUAAAAACUAUGUAAUUUUAUUUUUUUUUCAUUUAUUUUCUAUAAAUAGAACCAUGGAAACCUUGGUUGACAAUUUUAUUUUAAUUACCUAUCAUCUUAUAUAUCUAUUUUAUAAUUAUUUAUAAUAUUUAUAUUAUGUAAUGUUAUAAUUGUGAUAUAUAUAUAUAUAUAUAUAUAUAUGAAAUGAUCCACAAUUGAUCAGUUAAAAAAUAAGAAGUGUGGUAAUGAGAAUGUGCAUGUUUAGGACUAGCUUUGGCUAGGAAAUGCUUAGUUUUUAAGAGGUCAAAUUUGACUCACAUCCCUUUCCUAGGACCUUUUCUGGUGCACGGUUCACAUUCACUUCUUCAGUUUUUUUCUUAAAAGAAAAACUUUGGAGAAUCAAAAUUAUUUUUUUAUGAUUGAUUCAUUCUUGUGAAAGAAUGUGAAUAUUAUAAAAUUGUCAUAGCAUCCCAUGGAUAUAUUGGAAGCAUGUCAUUUAGAUUAGGUACGAAUGCCACUAGGACUAUUGUAUGAUCAUUCUUGAAAUUCAUUUAAAUUAGGUAUGAAUGCCACUAGGACUAUUGCCACAGAUUUUUUAUUUCAUAUAUUAUUAUAUUAUUAUUUUAGAUCAUUUUUUGCAAUUUUUUCUAUACAAAGAUUGUAAUAUUUUACUUGAACUGUGGCAUGGGACUUAAGCUUUGGGAUUGCUCAUCAUGGAUGAUAUUUUAUUUUGAUUUAGGUUAUUAAAAUAUGGUUAAUUAAUUAAUCAUGCAUAAAAAAUCUAGUUUUCAUUAAACUCAAGUUAAAAAUCACUUUUUCCGCUACAUUAUUAUGUAAAUGAGAUUUGAAAAACAUAUAAAAAUCGAGAAUCGACUUUUACUAAGUAAACUUUAAAUUCCAUCCUUUUGGGAAAAUUAUACCUUUUAGUAAAACAAAGAUAACAUGCUAAGUUUUCCUUAAUAAUAAACAUCCGUUUUAUAAACUCUGAUCGUACUAGGUUAUUUCGGUGGCCGAUGUAAUCUUCCAAAUUCGAUCUUAACGUCUAGGUCAGGUCUGGAAUGUUACAAAUUGUUUAGGUACCAAGAUGGAAAAAAUGACGGAGUCUAGAUACUAAUUUAUGGGUUAAGCCUUUUUUUAAAAAUAGAUUAAUAGUUUGACUAACUGUUUGACUAACAAAGGUUGAAAAUACUAGUGUAAGCAAAGGCCCGAUUGAAAAUGAUACGGAUAAAAACAUUCAUGAUUAGAGUGAUAGUUCUAGUUAUUAUAGUAAUGUUGAUUAUUUAGUUGAUGUCAAAGAUAUUUGAAAUUUCAUUUCUGAUAGCAUCUUUUUAAUUAGGAACAGUCCUAGAAAAAAAAAAGUAAUUUAUAUAUCAUUUGUGAUACUUAAAUAUCAAAGGAUGAGUUAAGCCUAUUCAAAAUAAUAGUAUUUUAGAUAGCAAAGCUAUUAAAGAUUUCAAGAGAUAAAUUAUGUUUAGCACUAUAAAUAAAUACCAUAAUUUCUUAUUAAAUAAAAUAAUCAACCAAAACCCAUUUUUCUUUCGACAAUUAUUUUAUUCUAAAAAUAAAAAUAAAUAAAUAAACAUAAAAAAGUGAAACCAAUAACUCCAAAUAAAAUGUCAUCGUCUUCCACUAAUGAAUGAUAUUUUUGAAUAAAAUAACUCUCACAAGUUUUAAAACGUAAGACUUGAUGAAAUUCUAUCUAUAAUUUAAACAAUUAAAUUUUAUUAUCCAUUUUUGUAUGCAACUUGUAUAUUUAAUUUUUAUAUUUUAAUUUAAUUAAUUUUUGUACUUUAUUUUUUAAAAUUUAAAAUUUCAGUCAUGACUAAAUAGUAUUUAUUAAAUUUUUUAGGUUAAGUUAUCCUAUUUGUAAAAAAUACAUAAAAUCAAACAAAAAAAAAUCUCAAAAAAAUUAACAAAUAAAAAAACAUGGAAAGUCAUAUAAAAUUCCCAAAAAUUUAAAAAAUAUAUAAACUUCUCUUCUUAAAAAUAGAUAAAAAUACAAAAAAAAUAAUUUCAAAAUAUUCAGAAAAUAUUAAAAUUAAAAAAAUAUAAAAAUAUAUGAAAAGUUUUAAAAAAUUUCCAAAACUUUAAAAAGUAUACUUUUAUUUUUUUAAAAUAUAUAAAAUAAAAUAAAAUAAAAACUUUUUCUGGAGAUAAAUAUGGAAGGUUGCAUUGUUUUAUACAAAUAUCUUAACUAUCUUUUACUAAUAUUUUAGAUUUCUCCUUACAUUUUCUUGUAUUUUCUCUCUUUCUUCGUAUUAUAUAUUUUUCCAAAUAUAUAUAUUUAAGGUUUCUACAAAUUUUAUAUAAUUUUCUAAUUUUUAAAAUUUUUUGAGUUCUACCAACAAUCACUUUUUUUUUUCCUAAAAAAAAGAACAAAAGAAAAAAGAAGUGAAACCAACAACUCCAAAUAAGGUGGAUAUCUUUAUCUUCCACUAAUUAAGGAUAUUGUAAAUAAAAUAAUCCAAAAAGUAAGACUUCAUCAAACUCUAUCUAUAAUUUAAAUGGUUAAAUUCUAUUAUUCGUGUUUAAGUUCCAUAUUAGUCUUUAUUUUUUUAUAUAAGAUCUGAAUUUGUAUCAAACAAGAAUCUAAUAAAAAUUUUAAUUACCUCUCCGUUCAAGUUAAGACUUCAAAAUGAAGACUCUUCGUAAUUCUUUUCUUCAAUUAUUUGAGGAGCCCAAAGAAAAGUAAACUCAAAUUAAUGGUGUGAACUAACAAUUUCACGUCUUUAAAUAUGGAAAUAUUUGUUCUGCUCUAAUCACAUGCCUUAACCACUAUUAUUGGUUUUUCGAGAACAAAAAUUUUAUUUUCUUAGUCUUGAAUCGAAUCAAGUAGAAUCGAAUGGAAAAAAUUCAAGUUGAUAAGUCUUAUUUUAUCAUCUUAACUUGAUUUGAAUUUUCUUUUUAAAAUAUAUCAAAUCAAGUAAAAUGAAAUUUGAGUCGUAUCAAGUAAAAUUAUUCGAGUUAUAUUAAAAAAUUAAACAUAUCAAAUUCAAAUCUUGUUAUCAUACAACUAAUUCUAUUUUAGAGCAUAUAAAUUUGAAAGCAUAUAUAUUUGAAACUCUUUCAAAGCAAAAUAAUUGAAAAUAUAAAAUACUUUAGUAUGAUAAAUAUGAACCAUUAAUUUACUUAUUUACGUCCCCAAAAUUAUUAUUUUAGAAUUUUUAAAAUUUUUUUAUAUAUUCUUUAGAAUUUUUAUUUUUUAAAAUUUAAGAAAUGCACUUUUUCUAGCCAAAACUCACAUUUGUUGAACUUAAUGUAGAACUAAUUGUUAUGCAAGGUUCUCAACACAAUCCUCAAAUGCUCUUCAUGAUCACUCUCACUCUUAGAAUAUAUCAAUAUAUCAUCAAUAAAGACUACAACAAAUUGAUCCAAGUAAGGUUGGGAUACCCUGUUAAUUAAGUCCAUGAAUAUUAUUGGUGCAUUGUCAACCCAAAUGACAUCACCAAAAACUCAUAGUGACUAUAUCUUGACCGAAAGGCUGCCUUUGGUACAUCAUCACCUUUAAUCCUUAUCUGAUAAUAACUUAACCUUACAUCAAUUUUGGAGAAUCCCACUUAACUGAUCAAGUAAACCCUCAAUCCUUGGUAAAUGAUAUUUAUUCUUUAUCGUGACCUUGUUCAACUAACGGUAGUUAAUACACAUGCGCAUAAAUUACUUUCUCAUUCAAGCAUGUCAUCAUUCAUGCAUCACUUGAAAGCUCAUCAAACAUACAUCUACGAAUUCGUUAAGAGCAUUAUUGUAACAUCUUAUUACUCAGGGCUUGCCCAUACACCCGUCAUUACCUUGCCUCUCACUUGCCUAAUUGUUUACUUUAGAUCUUUUUCAGAGUUCAUUCAUCUUCUCUUAGCCUUACUCCACCAAUGAGAGAGAAGAUAUCUCUUCUUAACCUAUCUCAUGCCCCUAACUUAACCCCAAGUCUAUAUUGGAACUAGGCACACGUCACAUAAAUCAAUUGGUGGUUUUAUCCAAAUCUUACCAAUUCCAAGAAUAUUAAUCAAGUGAUUUCCUUUAGUUCUUAACCAUUUUAGUUCAUAUUCAAUUAAACUUUAACCAUUUUUUCUUUAUAACUUAACUGGCUCAAGGCCAUCGUUACUAAGUGCACUUAUUGUUGACAUAGACUUCUCAGCACACGGUUUAAUUCCUCGUUACUUAUAACAUAUUCCACCCAUCCUUUUUACGCCAAUCAAAGGCUUUUGGGUAAAUCCUUUCUAUCAGAUAUACUUCUUACUCGCUAUGGGCUAACCUAGUGCUCGCCAAUCUCAAGGUGCCAUAGGCGCACUCAAAUAGUUCUUAUUCAUAAUCUAGCUUUAAUCACUAUACCCUUCUAGACUCAUAUUACCUAUCUUAUUUAUUCAAACAAUAUUCAGAUACUAAGAUUUCGCCGAGCGGCUUGUUACACCCAUUACUCGAGACAUGCUGUGAAAUAUUGACAGAUUAAGGCUUACUUUGGAUGGGCGGUGUGUUUACCUCCGGUGAGGUUAAAAACAGUGGUGGCGGUGAGAUUAGAUACUAUAGCGGCGAGAUUGGAUACUGUAGCAGUGAGAUUAGAAACAAUGGUGGAGUGUGUGUUUGGAUUCAAAAGCAACUAUAGCGGUGAGUGAGAAUAAAAAAUGACUAUUAAGGACAUCAGAUUAGAAUUGAUAUAUAAUAGAAGUUUUUCAAAUUAUUUUACUUUUUUAAAAUUAUUAAAAUAUGAGAAUUUAUAAAUUUAUUUAAUAAAAUAGUAAAAUAUAAAUUUAUAAUAAAAUAUUUUUUCUUUAGCCAUCAACGUUUUCUUUUUUUUCAUCAAUUUUUUUUUACUUUUCUUUAUUCAAUUUAUUAAUAAAUGAAAAGGGACAAAAAAGGCAUGUACGCUGCGUUUGUAGUUUUGAAUUUUCAAUUGGGCAUAAAUGGAGCAGUGGAAAUUUUGGGGUGUGGCGCGACCUACUCCCUUCCACUGCACUAGAAGUUGGUCAUCCAAAGAAGGUUUUGUGCUGCGGUUGCACAAAAAUCAGUAAAAAAUGCACUGUACUGAUGCUAAACGGGGAUCCAAAGGAGGCCUAAGUUUGCAUUUGAGUUUUGACAUAAAUUUUGACCAAGUAUAAUUUUCAAACUUGGCAAAUGAGAAUAUUAUACACCUUUAUCUCAUUUAUAUCAUGUAUUUGGAUAUUGAAAUUCAAUUAAGGAAUUUAGCGAAAAAUGUGAUUAAUUAAGUUUAGAGACUGUAGAUUUUUAAUUAAAAAAAAAGCUUAACUUAGAGACUUAAAGCUUAACUUAGAGACGGUAGAUUUUUAAUUAAAAAAAAAAAGCUUAACUUAGAGACUUAAAUGGUAAUUAUUCAAAAGACUAAAAUGAGAAAUAAAGCAAUCAUAAAUUGAGGAUAGUGGGAAACGUCAUUAUAUUAAGCUAAUUAAAUAUUAAUGCUGAACUAAUAAGUAAAUUAAUUAGGUUUAAUUAUAAAUUAAUGUAAGUAAAGAAGUGAAAUGUUAGUGGAGAAAGAUAUAAACAUCAUCAUCUUCAACCUUUUAUGCCGUCCAAAAAUAAAAAAGAAGAAAGCAUUUAACCUACUUUGGACAUUCAACUACCAUUUUCAACUAACAUCGACCUGGAACCUUAGAGGGAAAGAGAAAACGGAAGUUAUCCACGAUUAAUGCGAAACUAGAAUUGAGUAACUAAAAUUAAAAAUUUUGAAGGGCAUAGGCGGAGAGGUGGAUAAAAAGUAGUGUCUUUUAUUUGCCAUCCGCUAAAUAACUAAGGAUGGACAAAACAUUAAAGUUAAACCAACUACUCGCCAUUGUUGUUUCUUCAUCCAAAUUCCCAAAUCUGUGUUUGUGAUCAUUGUGCCAAGCAUAGGUAAAACGGGAGUAAAUGAGUUGACUUCUCUGAAGCUUGCAUCUUGGAAGGAUAUGGAAUUCUUGAUUGAUAUAACAAGUGACCAGGGGCCAGCUGUUGUAUUCUCUAAUUUGGUGAAAUUAAAUAUCCACAACAUGGUUUCUUUGAAAGGGUUGUGUUAUGGUCUUUCUCAAUCCCAUCGUGCAAUUGCAAGCCUUACAAGACUAAAGGUUGUGAGAAUUGGUUCUUGCCAUCAACUGAAAACAAUCUUCACACCUUGCCUUGCUCAAAGCAUGCUGUAUAUAGUAAAACUCUUCAUAUUUCAGUGCGAUGGAGUAGAGCAAGUAAUUGGUUUUGCCCAAGAAGACGAAAUUCCUGAGGUAGAGAUAUAUAUUCUCCCUGAUAAUCUUGUUAAUCUACUUAACUAGAUCACAGGUACUUCUGCAUUAAUUGUUAUAUAAAUUACAAAUAUAUAUUGUAUAAUAUCUAAAUGUGUGGUUCAUUCAUGCAGAAUUACUACUGGCCAAAAUUGAAAACUCUUCGAAUAAUGGAUUGCCCAAUAUUCUCAUGCUUCAUUGUACAAGCUCGGCUCCUGGAGGUAUUAUUUAGAUUGUUUGCAUUUUAUAUAUGGAUUUUGAUACUGUAGCAAACCAGUAAAUCAAUAUAUUGCUUAAUUCAUGCGAUAAUUCAUUCCCCUUUUAUACUUAAUUUGCACGUGAGUCCCAUUGUUCACUCUUUAAAUAAAAAUGUAAAGUCAAGAAUUGGCCUCUCAUGUUUAAAUAAUUUGGAUGAAAUUUUAGGGGUUUAAAUUUUAAAAUAUAUCCUUUUAAAAAAAACAAAAGAUACAUGUGGUAAUGAAAUUAGAGAAGUAGUAUACAUUAUUACUUGGAAAAUGUAAAAUAUGAACACUUAUGGGUAACAUUUACCCUAGUAUGUUUUCAAGACAUUUGCUGGGAUUUCUGUGUGUAUACAGGGAUUGGUUAUUAGUAACGUGGGAAUCAUAUGGAAAACUGAUGUCCCUGUAUUGAAUGAAGAUUGUAUAGUAGUUGGGAAUCAUGAAGAAGUAUUUCAAGUUCAAGGUGGGUACUCGUUCUCAAGGAUAAAAGAAUUGGACUUGAAGAAUUUAUUUGAAGUGCUGAUUAUAUGGAAUGAUUUUGCUCAAGUUGUAACCCUUGAGAACCUUACAACUCUAAAGUUAAGAGAUUGCAAGAAGUUAAGAUGUAUAUUUUCACCUACAACGGCUCACAGUUUAUCGCAUUUGGUGAAUUUUUUCAUCAAGGGGUGUGAGGAAAUAGAACGACUCAUUUUAGCCAAGGACCAAGUUUGUUCUUCAUCAUCAUCAAAUGGUGAUACUAGCCUCCAACCUAUAAGCUUUCCAAAUUUGACUAACAUCACAGUUAGAAAUUGUGGAAAUUUGAAAAGCCUCUUUCCUUUUGGAUAUGUUCCUGUUCUUUCAAAACUUGAAUGUCUGAAAUUGAAAAUGAACUCUAAAUUGGAAGAAGUGUUCGAAUUAGAAGAUGAAGUGGAAGUGACAGCUGAAAAGGAGAUGAAUUUUUGAUAAAUUAGAAUGGCUAUCACUUGAAGAACUACCAGGCCUCAUUCACUUCUGUCCCAAAGGAUAUCAUUUUGUAUUGUCAGCAUUGAGAGUUUUGACAGUAAGAGAUUGUCCUAAGUUGACUACUGGUUUCUUCAUUGAUUCACAGGAACUUGUGCAUUGCAAAACAAAGGUAUCGAUCCUACAACCCUUUAAUCCUACUUUAUUCUAAGUAGUUACAACAAUUACAACAAAAAGGCAUAACAUGCAAAAAUUAUAUAAAGAAAAUAUGUGUUUCUUAUUUUUCCUUGAUGACAUGAGAUUAAAAUUUCAGUUUUAAUUUUUUCUUCAAUUGUUUUUUAAAGACACCUCAAUCGGUUGAGCAAUCGGUUGAGCAAGAUGCGAUUCAAAAUCCAAUUUUCAGCAAGAAUAUAAAUUGGAACUGGAGGUGGGUUGGGAGUCAACUACCACUCGUUACAUGAAAAUGGAUGAUUUUAGGGCAUCUUUAAAAGCCAUGUUACAUAAAUCAAUAAGUGGAGGCCUAUGUUGCUAAGAUUUUUUUGAUCAAGUGUCUGAUAUAAUUUGUGUCUAACACGAGUUUUUUUAAUUUUUUAAAGAUUUUUUUCAUAUAUUUGGAGUAUCAUAUUUUUAUAUCCAUACCCAAACGGGACAUGAAUGCAAAAUGGAAAAUGAAGAUUUUCAAUAUAUCAACUAAAUGCAGGUAAAAACAUGGUUGUAGAUCUCAAUUUUUAGUUCUUUUUUAUUUUCUAAUUUUGCCUAUGUAAUGAUCAAAUUUAGUGUGAUUCACUUGUUUUUUAUGUUUAUUAUUUUUUGUUAAAAACAACUGCAUUGAUAAUUGUGCUUCUGACUGGAAUAGAAGCUUGUUUUAAUGGAGUUGUGAAGCAAAAUGAUACAUCUUUGUCCAUAGUUCCAACUAAUAACUUAGCUAAUUAUAGUUAUGUUGCAACUUUUAUUAUAUGCUUUUGCGUACGAGUGAAAAUUUCAUUGCAUCAUGUACUUGUUUUUUUGUGUUAAACUAUAUUCAAAAUCGAUAAAAGUAUCAUGGAGGUCCCUAUACUAAAAGUUAGAUUGUAUUUUAUCCUCUCUACUCAAAAUAUGAGCAAAUCAGUCCCUGUACAUUAAAUUAAAAAGCAAAAUGGUCAUUCUAUUAAAAAUUUCUUCCAUUUCUACCAUUAAAACUUGGUCCUUGAAUGUCAACAUGAGGUACACAUAGCACGUCACAUGUUACUGUCUAGUUAUUUCUUCAAUCACACUAGUUUUUAACUGUACAAAUAGAUGAAUGGAUGAAUUUUUUAACAAAAAGGACCAAUUUACUCUUUAAUAUAAUAUUCAAGGACUAUUUUGCCCAUUUUUUGAUUAAAGGAGGCAAAAUGCAGUCUGACUCCUAAUAUAGCGGCCUCUAAAAUGCUUUUACCUCAUUAAUUUGGACCUUGGAAACUAUGACUAAGUGUUGUUGAAUCAUAUUACCGAUAAAUGUUCAUCGACAACCCUAACAUUGGGAAAACUUCCAAAAUUAUUUCCCCAUGAUGAGAAUGGAAUUUAUAUAGUAUGCGUCCAAAAUUACCUAUUCAACAAUAAAAGAUAUUUUUGAAAUAAUAAAUGUUUUUUAAAAUUGAAAUAAUAAAUGUUAAUUUUAUUCUAAUUGGACUUUAUUUUAUUUUUUUAAUAAUACAAAAACUAAAUUGAUUUAUUUGAUAGUAAAGGGAGUAAUUCAUCAAAUCCUUAUAAUAGAAUAGUUGUUACCUUUGCACAGUGGACAACAUGAUAGGCUUAUUGUGACUUUGUUUUGUAGACAGGUUGUGACUUGUGAGGAUUUCUUUUAACUUGUUUUUUUAUUUUUUAUUUGUUGGCUUGACAGAUUCAAGACUAGACAACCUGGGUUAGAAGGCCAAGGUUAUGCAUUAAUUGUUGACGCUUUGAAGUAAGCAGUUUCCACACACAGGGCAAAGGAUAUUGUACAAUUUUUUUGUGAGUUGGAAUUUCUUGUUUUGCUUAGAUUAAAGCUUCUGUGAUCUUACAAGAGUUAGGAUUAAUGGCUAUGGAAUUGGGAUUGUCGUCGGGCAGUUGUCUGAACUUUUGUUGGAAAUGUUGAAGGUCUGAAAAAACUAAAGCAAGUUAAUGAAACUUGAGAAAAUAUUAUUCUUUAUUGGCUGCUCUUAUGAUUAUAUUAUUAUUUGCAAGGUUAUGUGCUUGCUGACAGGUAAUGAAUAAGUGGGCUAUGUAAAUUAAGCAAAUAACAUGGAUCUGUUCUUGAUUUCUUAGCCAUACUUAAAUGUUAACUGUGAUUUAACUAUUGUUGUUUCUAAUCAAUGAGAAGUUUUUGAGCUUUGCUCUGAAGUGCUUGUUCUGUGACUGAUGGACUACUGUGUUGCAAACUACUGCUGGAUGGUAUAGACUUUAUUCAAAUUAUUGUUUAAUGCUUGGUUUAACGUAUAAACAUAAUAUCCCUUCUACAGUUCAAGCGAGAAUGCAUAGAAUGACCGCACGCCAUGAUUCUUGUGCUGCUUCUGAUUUUAAUUAACAAAGCAUAUUUGUGUGUGAUCUUAUGUUUGGUUCUGCUUUUACUAAAUUAAGCUUCUAUUUCUCUUAGUUAUACGUUGCUCAUGUAUUUGAACAAUUGCAAAUUAUGUCAUUCUUUUCCAUCCUCCAUAUUAUGCAGAACCUAGGGUAACUUUAAGAUUUUGUUUGGUAGAGUGGAAAGAAAAUUGAAAAUUUGGAGUAAAAAUUUAAAAGGAUAACAUAAUUUUUUUUAUAGGUGUGGUUGGUAAAGUAAAAAAUUGAAAGUAAAGAAAAUAAAAUAUUUAAAAAAUAUAUAAUUUUGAACUAACAUAUAAAUCUCUCUCUUGUUCUGAGGCAAACUGUUGUGAUAGCCAAACCAGAAUUGAGAAAUUUUAAUUUCUCCCUUAAAAUUUGUUAGGCUAUCAAGACUUACAAAAAUAAAAGCCUACCUAAAAGUAUAAGAUUAGUAGAAAGCGACAUCCAUAGAGGUCGAUAAUAAAUUUAUUUCUUCAAACAAAACAAUAAAAGUAAAAUGGACGGGGAUUUUAUUAAAUCAAAAACUAAAUUUAAAUUUAAGGCUUCAAUUGAAAGUAACAAUUAAUUAAAAGUUUUAGAAAAAAUCAAUGGGAAAAAGGUCUAGUCAAAGGUUAACUAAGUGUCAGUUGUUGACUGAUCAGUGUCGAACAACUAAUUUCUCCUUACCCUAUUCGAUAUCUAAGAGGCAGGUCGUUUGAAAUUACUUCUCUAACUGAUAAAUAAUCUUGAAACUCAACGCCUAAAGUUUAAUUUACCGAUAGCAUUAAGAAUGAGAGAGACAUAAUUCUAACCAACAAACUCACCUCAAUGGAGUUUAUUUAAGCUAUAUCACACAACCACACUACAUAAACGUAAACUAAAAUAUAAACGAGUUAUACAAUUUGUCACUGGUAUUAGAUAAAAUUAGAAUUUAAUUAUCCAAAUUGACUCGACAAUCAUUGUAAGCUAUCAAAUACUGGUUGGACAUUCAAUAAACUUGAGCAAUUGUAAUUAAAACUAAAGAUGCAUGAAUACUAAAGAACAAAGAAGAAUUAAAACACAAAUAAGUCUCACGAAUUUAUUAAGUCAUACCUUUUUUUUAUAUAUUCUUCAUGUCCACGUUUGGGGUUUGUGGUUGCCCCUCCCAACAAUGUCGUCUCCAAAGUUUGAACCUAUCUCCAAACUUUGAUGUUACCUUUGACAAGAAAAGUGGGUUUAGAAUCUCAUAAAAUAAAAAUAAAAAAAUAAAAUUAAGAAUGACUAAGUCUAAGUCUCCCAAAUCUUAACCUAAGAAUGUAUAUGUAUAGGGAAAAAUAAUAUAAUAGAGAAAAUACAAAACUGCCCUUCUUAAAUAAAACAAAAUUCUUCUAGAUUUUUUGGUAAUUUUCAUGUCAAACUUUCAGGCUGUUUUUGGGUUCCUUUCUAAUGUUUUUCGACUUCUUCUAUAAAUAACUUUACCUAGAUCUUUCAAUUCCCUUCGAAUCAGAAUAUUAUAAGUCCAAAACAGAAGUCUAUAGCUCAAGUUACAGCGAAAAUACUGAAGCUACAUUCUAUUAAAAAUCUAAAUUGCAGAAAACUUUUCAAAAAUAAACUUUAACAUCACUUUUAUCCGAUUAUUCCCUAAAUACAUAAUAAAUAAAGUUUAAGUAUAAAUAAGAUUUAAGAACAUAAAUAGCAUAAUUCAGUGGGAGAAAUAUUACAAAUAAAUAGAAAAAUUAAGCACUCAUCAAAAUUUUUAGAAAAUUUUAAUAAGCCCCUCAAAUUUUUAAAAUUCACAUUAUACCUUUUAAUUAUAUAUUUUUAAAAAUUUUAAUUAAACUCUCUUAAAUUUUUUUUUUUUGAAAAUUUUCAUUAGUCUCACAAAAAAUUUUAAAAUUUUAGUUAGUCACCCAAUUUUUUUUAUUCUCAUUAAAUUCUUUUUUUUUUUAAAUGUAGUAUCGUCCAAACUCGAUACCAUGAUAUUGUUAUGGCACUUAAAAAACUCCAAAAAUCAGGCUUGAUAUUGGGAACUGAUGAUGCAGAAAGGAUACGAAUGCAUGAUGUGGUUCGAGAUUUUGCUCAUUGGCUAACAUCAACCGGAGAAAAUAGGUUCACGGUAAAAGAUGAGCUGAAAGAAUGGCCCGAUAUGGAUGGAUGUUAUAGUGCAAUCGCUUUAUGGAAUUGUAGUAGUAACAUAAAAAAAUUUCCUGAUAAAGUGGAAUUUUCAAAGCUCAAGACUUUGAUUUUAGAGGGGGAUUGGGAUUGCGAUUGGAACUGGGACUUGAGGCAGAAGCGGAAGCGGAAGCGGAAGCGAGGUGAUUUACUAGUGGUUUCCAGUAUAUUUUUUGAAGAAAUGAAAGCCCUCCAAGUUCUAUAUCUAGAAAGUGUCAGUUUCUCACCCAUAGGAUUCCAUUCCUUACCAAAUCUUAAAACUUUGUGUUGUGUGGAUUGCGAGCUGGAAAACUUCUCAUCAUCACUGAAAAAUAUGAGAAGCCUUGAGAUUCUUGCAUUGGUUGGCACUAAAAUUGAUGAGAUAAGUGAAGAAUUAGUGAAAGUGUCUACACUGAAAUAUUUACGUCUUUCUGGUGUUGGAGUUGAAGAAGAAAUGAAUAUUACCCCUAACUUAGUAUCAAGGUAAGAGUGCAUCAAAUUUAAUUUUCUUUUUUAUCAUAUUCCUAUUUUUUUUAUGAAUAUAAUAGGUUGACUUCACUGCAAGAGUUACAUGUCAUAAGCAAGAGCAAUAUCAAUUUAUUGGAGUUGAAUUCAUUGUCUCGUUUAACUGCAUUAUCAGUGAUACUUUCUACUAAUCAAAUUUCACAAGAAUAUUUUGUGUUCCCUAAACUACAAAGGUAUGCUAUAGUUGUAGAUGACUGUUUUAGAUAUUUGAAGGCACAAACCCUUAAAACAGUGACAAUUGCAAACUUUUCAUCUUCAUUAACUGCAUUUAACAAUUUAUUUUGCAAUGGGAAAAAGUUGAAGUUAAGGAAUGUGAGUGGACAGAAGAACAUUGUGCCAAGCGUAGGUAAAACGGGAGUAAAUGAGUUGACUUCUCUGAAGCUUGCAUCUUGCAAGGAUAUGGAAUUCUUGAUUGAUAUAACAAGUGAUCAGGGGCCAACUGUUGUAUUCUCUAAUUUGGUGAAAUUAAAUAUCCACAACAUGGUUUCUUUGAAGGGGUUGUGUUAUGGUCUUUCUCGAUCCCAUCGUGCAAUUGCAAGCCUUACGAGACUAAGGGUUGUGAGAAUUGGAUCUUGUCAUCAACUGAAAACAAUCUUCUCACCUGGCCUUGCUCAAAGUAUGCUGUAUAUAGAAAAACUCUUCAUAUUUCAGUGCGAUGGAGUAGAGCAAGUAAUUGGUUUUGCCCAAGAAGACGAAAUUCCUGAGGUAGAGACAUAUAUUCUCCCUGAUAAUCUUGUUAAUCUACUUAACUAGAUCACAGGUACUUCUGCAUUAAUUGUUAUAUAAAUUACAAAUAUAUAUUGUAUAAUAUCUAAAUGUGUGGUUCAUUCAUGCAGAAUUACUACUGGCCAAAAUUGAAAACUCUUCGAAUAAUGGAUUGCCCAAUAUUCUCAUGCUUCAUUGUACAAGCUCGGCUCCUGGAGGUAUUAUUUAGAUUGUUUGCAUUUUAUAUAUGGAUUUUGAUACUGUAGCAAACCAGUAAAUCAAUAUAUUGCUUAAUUCAUGCGAUAAUUCAUUCCCCUUUUAUACUUAAUUUGCACGUGAGUCCCAUUGUUCACUCUUUAAAUAAAAAUGUAAAGUCAAGAAUUGGCCUCUCAUGUUUAAAUAAUUUGGAUGAAAUUUUAGGGGUUUAAAUUUUAAAAUAUAUCCUUUUAAAAAAAAAACAAAAGAUACAUGUGGUAAUGAAAUUAGAGAAGUAGUAUACAUUAUUACUUGGAAAAUGUAAAAUAUGAACACUUAUGGGUAACAUUUACUCUAGUCUGUUUUUAAGACAUUUGUUGGGAUUUCUUGUGUAUACAGGGAUUAGUUAUUAGUAACGUGGGAAUCAUAUGGAAAACUGAUGUCCCUGUAUUGAAUGAAGAUUGUAUAGUAGUUGGGAAUCAUGAAGAAGUAUUUCAAGUUCAAGGUGGGUACUCGUUCUCAAGGAUAAAAGAAUUGGACUUGAAGAAUUUAUUUGAAGUGCGGAUUAUAUGGAAUGAUUUUGCUCAAGUUGUAACCCUUGAGAACCUUACAACUCUAAAGUUAAGAGAUUGCAAGAAGUUAAGAUGUAUAUUUUCACCUACAACGGCUCACAGUUUAUCGCAUUUGGUGAAUCUUUUCAUCGAGGGGUGUGAGGAAAUAGAACGACUCAUUUUAGCCAAGGACCAAGUUUCUUCAUCAUCAUCAUCAAAUGGUGAUACUAGCCUCCAACCUAUAAGCUUUCCAAAUUUGACUAACAUCACAGUUAGAAAUUGUGGAAAUUUGAAAAGCCUCUUUCCUUUUGGAUAUGUUCCUGUUCUUUCAAAACUUGAAUGUCUGAAAUUGAAAAUGAACUCUAAAUUGGAAGAAGUGUUCGAAUUAGAAGAUGAAGUGGAAGUGACAGCUGAAAAGGAGAUGAAUUUUGAUAAAUUAGAAUGGCUAUCACUUGAAGAACUACCAGGCCUCAUUCACUUCUGUCCCAAAGGAUAUCAUUUUGUAUUGUCAGCAUUGAGAGUUUUGACAGUAAGAGAUUGUCCUAAGUUGACUACUGGUUUCUUCAUUGAUUCACAGGAACUUGUGCAUUGCAAAAAAAAGGUAUCGAUCCUGCAACCCUUUAAUCCUACUUUAUUCUAAGUAGUUACAACAAUUACAACAAAAAGGCAUAACAUGCAAAAAUUAUAUAAAGAAUAUAUGUGUUUCUUAUUUUUCCUUGAUGACAUUGUAGAAGCCCAAUUUUACCGGCCCAGUAGAAAAAUAAAACAAUUAAAACCCAAUACCAGUCCAUUUACAACAGGGCUCGACUAGCCCACAACUUAAACAAUUUCAGCCAAACAAAAGAAAGGCAGACACCCUAGCGCCGCAUGCCUCCUCGUCUGCCACCCCCAGUGCCGCGUGCUCACCAACCGCCUUUCGUCGCACGUCGCCUCAGCACCGCCACUGUCGCCUAUCGUUGGCCUUCUGCGCGCAUUGAUCACCUGCAAACAGAGAGCUACAUGCAAACAGAAGUAACAAAGAAGAAAAAACCAAAAUAAAAACAAACAAAACAAAAAAAAACAGAUGACAAAACGACAAAAGCAAUCAUCAAAGAGUUUGUAACUUGGGCUAUAAAAGCCAUAAGCUUUUCCUUUGUACGGGUUCGGAUUGUUUGGAGAAUAUCAAAAAUAAGAACAACAGAGGUUGAUUUUUUUUCGUCGUCGUUUUUUAUUUCUUUUAUUUCUUUUUUUGUUGUUUUGUUUGUUUUGUUUUACAAAUCUGUUAAAUAGAAAGAAAAUAAGCAUAAAGGAAGAAAAAUACCUAAAAUCGCCGUAAACCCCACCACCGGGGGCCUUGUUUGGCCGCUGAAAUCGGACCGGUAAAAGGGGUAGGGGGAUUCUCUUCUUUCGGCUUUCGAGCCCAAGGGGUUUGGCCUUCAAACCGUCUUUGAAUCGGGUAAAAGAUCCGACCUUUGCGUCGCUCCGACCACUGUCUACGGCGGAGCUACGGUGGCGCAGAAGGUGGUCCCGUUGACCGGAGGGGAAGACCGAGAGAGAGAGACUUUUAGCUCUCUGUGUUUUUUUUUUAAAAAAAAUAAAGGAGAAUGAUUUCUUUGGUUUUUUUUGGUUUGUUUUGCUAUUUAUAUAAGCUAUAAAACGACGUCGUUUGGGGCCUGCUCCAGUGGCCUCAAAACGACGCCGUAUAGACCACCCCCAUGAGCGACCCGACCCGUGAGAGGGGAUCCGCGCGUUUUCCCUUUAGGGGAUAUUUGCGCAAUGGAUCUUUCCCCUUUUACGGUAUAUCUCAACACAGUCUUUGGGUUUUCUCUGAUUUUAGCCCCAAAGUAAUGUUACUGUUUCAAUUCAGUCCUUAAACAGUGGGGAAUCCAUCGGUUAAAACGCCGCGUUCCAGGUCCGGGGAAUAUUGUCCUGAAAGUCCCUCGGGUUUUAGGCGCGUUUCAUUUAAGCCCAAGUCAACCUUGUUUCAUUUAUUUGCAGUUUAAACCUCGACUUUUAGCCGGAUUUCGAUUCGGUCCUAAGCCUGUUAUUUGUUUAUUUAUUAAAAAAAAAGGAAAAAGUUCUGUUAAUAUUUUUUGUGCUUAUUUAUUUAUUUAUUCAUUUAUUUAUUUUAAAUUUACACCAUUACUUAUUUUAUUAAUUAUUCAUUUUUUAUAUACAUUGGUUUGUAUAUUGUAUUCUUGUCACUAUUAUUACUAUCAUAUUUCAUUAUUGUUUAUUUGCCAUUUUUAAAUACUUUUAAAAAUUUAAAUUCAUGAUUAUUGUUUUUUUAUUAUGAUUAUUGUAAUGUUGUCAUUGGUAUUAUUACUUUUUAUUUAUGCAUGUGAAUAUCGGAAUUUGUUAGCAUCAAUACUAUGUGUAUUCUUUUAUGCAUAAUAUUUCAUCGUUAUUUCGAAUGUAUAUUGCAAUAUUGUUAUUAGCCACAUAUGAUCCUCUCAAGGUUUUCAAACGACUCUUUUUUUUAAAUGUAUUCAAAACACGUAUUCUAUCUUAAGAUAUUCCAUUAAUAUUCAUUCGAAUUAAAAUCUCAAAAUAAGGCAAUAUUUCGCGUUUGGAAGAUUUGGGAAACCGUGCCCUAACGUGCUGGGUUUUGAUUUCUCGCUCGACCAAAUAGCCAAAUAUCCUUUUAACUUUCAAAAUAAGGCAUUAUUUUGCAUUUGAAAAUUCGAGAGAAUGUGCCCUAACGUGCUGGGUUGCGAUUUCUCGUUUGAUCAAAUAGCUAAAUAUCCUCUUAAAUCUCAAUCCAUGUCAUUCGUUUUUUUUUUGGGUCGUACUUUAAAUCUCUUUAAAGUUUUCAAUAUUCGAUACCAAGACACUAAUUAAUCAACUAGGUACCAAUUUUGGGCGUAUCGAGGGUGCUAAUCCUUCCUCGUACGUAACUGACUCCCGAACCCAUUUUUUUGAAUUUUGUGGACCAAAAUCGUUGUUUUAAUAAAAAAAUAAAUCGUUUAUUAAAAACAACCACUUUUCGAGGUGACCCGAUCGCACCUCAUCAAAACAAAGAUUGGUGGCGACUCUCGUUUUCAUUCUUUUUUCAAAAUCCAAGUCGACCCCAUCUCCAUCAAAAAAUGGUGUCAACAGCUUGGCGACUCCGCUGGGGAGAAAAACACGAGAGUCAAGCCACGAGUUAAUUACUUUUUGUCUUUUCAUCGAAAAUUAAAGAUUUUGUUUAAAUUUACGAUCCUUUCAUUGCAUUUCAUUCGUCUUGAUUUUGGUUUUAUCAUUAUGAUUUGAUUGCUGUGGUAGUUUAAGCUUGGUAUACUACUCCAUUGCAUUGCAUGACCGUUGGUCACACCCUUCUAAGUGAGAGUGAAAAACUAGUCCUUCAUGAGGUUUUCACCUCCGUGUAGGAUAGUGGAUUGCUUCCGGGAUACAUCCGUACUUAUGUCUUCGUGAGAUUUUCAUCUCCGUGUAGCCAUAAGGAAAUGUAUUCCCCUGAACCGAACUUGAUCCGUAUGAGCCUAUAAUGGGUGAGGAUCGAGGAAUCUGCGGGUUCGGGUACCUUCGCUCUAGAACCGAACCUCAUGUAAUGAGCCUUAAGAACUUACCCUAGGUAGAUCCAUACCAAACCCUAGUGGCUACUUGAAUAGGCAAUUUAUUUGUUCUUAUUCUUUUCUUUCAUGCUUUAAAAUCUAGCUUGAUAUGCGAUACUAACUUAUCCUGUUUUUGCUUUGAUUACAUGACAUUUCAUUUCUAAAGAGGUAUUGGUUAACAUUCGAUAUCUAAAUAGAAAAGUUUAACAUGGAAAGGGAGUUUCUUGGUAAAGUGGAAGACAAUGCGGCCGUCCGAGUUUGGUCUGAAAAAGUUCAACAAGAAAAAGGUGAUAGCCUCGCGGAAGGAUACGUAUCAGAAUUAUGGGACUUCACUCGCAUUAGUGUGACUCAGGAUGGUGUGCAAGAAUUAAAUGAGAUAUGGAAUCAGUGGGAUAAUGAGAUUAAGCAACUCUUUUACAGCAACUAUGGUGAUCUAUCUUGUUUACUUGAUGUGAAGAUAGAGCCCUUACGCAAUACUGGAAUCCAGCUUAUAGUUUUUUCACGUUUGGGAAAGUAGAUUUGGUACCUUCAAUAGAGGAAUAUACGACCUUGCUACGGUGUCCGAAAUUCCAAGUUGACAAAGUCUAUUCAAGAUCGGCUAAUGCCCCGACAUUCUUGAAGAAAUUAAUGUGCAUCACAGGAAUGAGCGAGUAAUGGGUCACAGCCCGGAUUAAGCAAAAGGGAGACAGCAAAUGCAUACCUUGGAGGAACUUGCGAGAUUUGAUCUUGGCACAUCCGGAUGUAAAGAAGAGGGUUGAUAUUUUCGCAUUGAGCAUUUAUGGUCUGAUUGUCUUCCCUAAGGCAUUAGGCCAUAUGGAUGAGGCGGUUUCAGAUUUGUUUGAUAGGCUCGACAAGGGGGUCACACCGGUCCCGGCAAUUUUGGCGGAAACCUUCAGGUCCCUAAAUGCAUGUCGAAAAGCGGGUGAGGGAAGAUUCAUCGGAUGCGCGCAGUUGCUAUUGGUGUGGUUCCAUAGUCAUUUUUGGAAGGUGGAAAAAGUCUCCUAUCGGGUCUUCUCAGAAAGCUACUCCCCAUUAAAGGAAUUAGCAACUACGCCAAGAAGAGACGACAUCACAGAGGAGAAAUGGAUGAUGAUUCUUCAAAAUAUUCAAGAAGAAGACGUUGAAUGGAUGGCCCCAUGGAUGAUUCCUAACGAGAUCUUGUAUCGAUGCGAGGACUUCGACUGGGUUCUUCUAAUUGGAAUUUGGGAAGCUAUCGGAUAUACCCCUUUGCUGGUAUUAAGACAAUACGGAUCGAGACAAUUCAUACCGGUGACGCACGGGCUGGCGCAAUGUGAAUUCUCUUAUAAGGAUGAUAACUAUAAGAGGAAAAUUCAGGAAAUAUCUAACGCAUGGAAACAAGUUCACCGGAUGAAAAAAUUAGCCGUAGGGGCCAUGACAACUCCUGAAUAUCAUGGAUGGUGGAAUAAAAGGGUUAAUGACAAUAUCCCUGGUCCGAGAGAAAACUGCGUGCAUUCGCUAAAGGAGCAUCUGCAAGUGGUUCCGUCAGAAUUAGAGAUCAUCAAGUAGGACUUUGAAAAAAGGAGUUUAGAAUGGGGAAAGAAAAUAGAGCAACUAGAAGAGGAGAAGAUGCGUUUGGGGCUAGACGUUGAUAUCCAUAAACUGGAAGCCGAGAAAUUAAGGAAAGGGAAGAACAAGGCCGAGGAGGAUUUGGACAGUCUGAAAACGGAUUAUAAGAAACUACGGUUAUCAAUGAGGACUACCGGUUUAGGUAAAACAUCGGAGCAGUGGCGCCAGGAGAUUAAAGAAGAAAGAACCAAGGCAGACAAAUGGGAGAAAGAAUUCCAAGAUGCCCGAGCUCGAGAAAGUGUUUUGGAGAAAAGCUUAUCAGAAUGUCAGAAUGAGAAAACGGGGUUAAAAACUCGGGUCGAAGAACCGGAAAAGUCACUUCAUUUGUACCGCAGUUGCAAUUUCGUGAUCGAACUAAAAGCGAGUUUGAAAAAGAUUGAUGAAUUGAAUAGAAGGAUAGGAGAGCUUGAAGAUGCUUUGCAAAACUCUGAACUGCGAACGGAGCUUCUUGAAAGGAGUAGCGAGCAGUGGCAAGAGCAAUUCCAUCAUUCUCAAAAUCAAAUUAGGGAAAGGGAUUACAUUAUGGGCGAAGUCGUGACCCAAGUACGAGAAGUAGCUGAUCAUUUACAAACCCUAGCAGUUCAGGCUGAUGUACUGAGCUUAAAGUAUGAAUCAGAAUCGAGCCGAGGACGAGAUUUAGCUUGGCUCCUUAGGAAGGUUAAGGCUUUGGGUAUAAAGGCGAGGCCAUAUAUGUAAUCCAUUUUAUGUAAAGGAAUUUGCUUUCUAGUCGAGUUUUUCUAAUGAAGUUGAAUUAGAAUCAAUGCCUCUUUUUGCAUUCAUGCAUCUACAUUACAUCGCAUUAUAUGCAUUAAAGUUUUAAAAUGGGACCUAAUUAAUUUAAAAUUAUGAACAGAGAGAGAGAGAGUUACCCUGGAAACUAACGAAAACCCGCCAACCAUUUAUCACUACGGUACCCAUCGCAAGACAAAAGCCAUGGAUCAAAGAUUCAAAAGACUCGAACAACUCCAAAAAGAGAUGCAAGAGCAAAUGCAAGAACAAUUAAAGAAGAUUCAGCAAGAUAUGAGGAACGAAAUGGUAGAAUCUCAAAAAAACAUGAUAGCUGAAUUGACGCAGUUGAUAAAAGGGCGAAACGACAAAGGAAAAGACCCCGUGGUUAAUAUAGAUGAAGGAAAUAAUGAUGGCCCUCUCUAUCCCCCAGGCUUCACUCCUCCUUAUGCGCAAACCCAAGCUGGGGUACACCGAGGCAGAUCGUCUGUCACUAUCAGGCCUCAGCAGUUUCAGACCAGCACCUCAAUGCCAGUAAAUUUCCAAACUGGAAUAGGUUCUCAUCUAGGAGAAGCCCCUACCAAUCCCAUAGUACCUGAUUUCGAUGAAAUGAUGGAGAAAGAGAAAACAAAUGAAGAAUUGUCAAGCUGGUUGGAGGAAAAAUAUAAAUGGCUCGAGGAGAAAUUCAGGGCCAUGGAAAGUAGUGAGAAUUAUCAAGGGAUCGAUGCUAAAGAUUUGAGUUUAGUCCCGGAUUUGGUACUUCCCCACAAAUUUAAAAUGCCAGAAUUUGAGAAAUACAACGGGACUAGUUGCCCAGAAGCUCAUAUUACCAUGUUCUGCAGACGUAUGACUGGGUACAUUAACAAUGACCAACUGCUUAUACAUUGCUUCCAAGAUAGCCUCGUGGGGGCAGCAUCUAGGUGGUACAACCAGUUAAGUCGUACCAAAAUUGGCUCAUGGAGGGACUUAGCACAAGCAUUUAAAAAAUAAUAUAGUCAUGUAGCUGAUAUGGUUCCCGAUAGAAUUACCCUCCAAAAUAUAGAGAAAAAGCCUAAUGAAAGUUUUAGGCAAUACGCGCAAAGAUGGAGGGAGGUUGCCGUUCAAGUCCAACCCCCACUCUUAGAGAGAGAGAUGUCAAUGCUCUUCAUCAACACAUUGAAGGCACCAUUUAUCACACACAUGUUAGGAAGUGCCACGAAGAACUUCUCCGAUAUAGUUAUGAAUGGAGAGAUGAUUGAAAAUGCCAUCAGGAGUGGGAAGAUCGAGUCUGGAGAAAGUAACUGAAGAUUGACUCCGAAAAAAAAGGAGAAUGAGGUAAACAACGUGAGCACCUAUAACAAGGGUUACUCGAAAUCAAUCACUGUGAAUCAACCAAGGAAGGUGGCUACUAAUCAGCAAAGUCCGUCAAGAUAGGAAUCUGGCAAAAGGCAAAACAUCGAGAAGCUCCAGUUUACGCCAAUUCCAAUACCGUACAGGGAGUUAUAUCAAAAUCUGUUUGAUGCGCAUGUUGUCUCUCCUUGUUAUUUGAAACCUCUGCAACCUCUAUACCCCAAUUGGUAUGACACGAACGCGCAAUGUGACUAUCAUGCGAAAAUCAUGGGGCAUUCAAUAGAGAAUUGCACAGCCUUCAAAAGGCUGGUGGAAAAGCUUAUCGGUAUGGGUGUUGUCAAGUUCGAUGAUUCACCCAGUGGGGAAAAUCCAUUGCCUAACCACGCUGACAAAGGGGUGAACACGAUAAGCGGAAAUACAGGGAGGAAAAUCAAAACAGAUAUUGCAGAAGUAAAAUCCCCACUGAAAUGAGUUUUGAAACAAAUGAUAGAUAUGAGAUUAAUCAUUCAGAAUCUAGAGAAGAGACCAAGAGGGAUGAAGAGCUACUGUGAGUUCCAUACCGAGAAGGGUCAUAAUAUCCAAGAAUGUACAGAAUUUAGGACCAUGGUACAAAAUUUGAUGAACAACAAAGAGCUAGAAUUUUAUGAAGAGAUCAAAGGACUAGAAGAAUGAGAAGUUUACGCUUCGGAGGAGGGACCUACGAGUAAAGCCCAAAAUCAACCGGUGGUGAUUAUUUCAAGGCCAAGAAGCACAGGGUCUGGAAUACAACUGGCACCAAAGGUCAUAAUCCAAAAACCUGUAGCCUUUCCUUAUAAGGAUAGCAAAAAGGUUCCUUGGAAUUAUGACUGCAACGUGACAAUCCCGGAAGAGGAAAGCCCGGUAAACGCUUCAGAAGAGGGUAGUGAUGUAGGCUUCCAUACUCGUAGUGGAAAAUGCUACGACCCUGCAAAUACAAAAGGGGAGCCUAUGAAAGGAAAAGCCUUAGCGGUUGAACAAAAUAAAACAAAGAUGGCCAGAAUUGAAUCGCAAGUUAACAAACCGGUGACUGAAAAUGAGGCUAGAGAAUUCUUAAAAUUCUUGAAGCACAGUGAGUACAGCAUGGUGGAGCAACUGCAUAAGCAACCGGCUCGUAUCUCAGUGCUCAAGCUACUUCUAUGUUCGGAGACACAUCGUAAUGCGUUGAUAAAAGUGCUAAAUGAGACUUAUGUUGCUAACGAUAUCUCUGUGAGCAAGCUGGAUCGCCUGGUUAAUAACACAAACGCCGACAACUUCAUCUUCUUCAACGAUGAUGAGAUUCCACCAGGUGGUAUGGGAUCUACCAAGGCCUUACACAUCACUGCCCGUUGUAAGGGGUGUAUACUACCGGGGGUACUCGUUGACAAUGGAUCGGCACUGAAUGUUUUACCCCUAUCUACAUUAAACAGGCUACCUGUGGAUAUUUCUCACAUGAAGUCAUGCCAAAAUAUAGUGAGAGCAUUUGACGGCACUGAGAGAAAAGUGAUGGGAAGAAUCGAGAUACCUCUAUUGAUUGGUCCAAGUACAUACGAGGUGGACUUUUUGGUAAUGGAUAUCAAACCAUCUUACAAUUGCCUAUUGGGGAGGCCUUGGAUCCAUUCUGCGGGGGCUGUACCAUCAUCACUUCACCAAAAGUUGAAAUUGGUGGUAGAGGGACGAUUGGUGACUAUAGGUGCAGAAGAAGACAUCAUUGCAUCAUUCACCGAUGAUAUGCCAUACAUAGAGGCUGAUAGUGAAGCGAUAGAAUGUUCAUUCCGAUCAUUGGAAUUUGUAAAUGCCACAUUUGUCAUCGAGAGGAGCAAAAUCCCAGAGCCUAAGAUAUCCAAAGCUACGUCAAUGUGCUUACAGCUAACGAUGGGAAAGGGAGCGUUGCCUGGAAGAGGACUUGGAAAAUACCUCCAGGGACAGGUCAGAGUACCGAUCCUGGUUAACAAACAGGACCGUUAUGGUUUGGGAUAUAAGCCUAAUGCGAGGGAAAGGAGGAAGGAGAUGGAGAAAAGGCAAGUUUGAGCGGGAUAGAAGCCAAGUGGGGACCGAUAACCUUUCCCCAUAUAUCUAAGACAUUUGUUUCAGGGGGAAUUGUCUACCCUGAAGAGGAUGACGAGGUUACAGAAGGAAGGAUUGGAAGGUUGGACAUCAAUGCCAUAUCCGCGGAAGAAAGGGUGGAAAGAAAUUUAUCGGGUAUUCGCCCUUACGAACCUGGUAGCGUUCUGAAUAACUGGACUGCAGAAGAAAUCCCUGUAACAUUUAGAACUAAUUCAGAGUAAUGUUCAGAACACUUGUGGCCCUAAGCUUGGGGGUAACAAGAAUCUUUUGUAAAAGGCACAUGUCCAAAAUCUAAUUUCAAUGAAAACUUAUCAUUCAGUCUCACCUUGAGCAAAUAUUCUUUCAUUCUUUUCUUCAUUCCAUUUAUAAUCAUACUGUGCAUACAAGUAUUCUUAGAUUCUUUUAUUUGGGCCUCUUUUCGUCCCAAUAACAGGUCUUCAGAUGUCAACAAGAUGAGUGACGCUGUUACUGACUCAGAAUCCCUUUUUGAACAAGACGUGAGUAUGGAGGAUCUUCAGGAUUUUGAAGAUGACCAAGACAGUGUUUUAUCUCCAGAUCUGUUAAGAAUGGUGGAGGAAGAAGAAAAACAAAUCCUAUCUCACAAAGAGUCGGUGGAGGUUGUGAGAAUAGGAGAAGGAAAAGAGGUAAAAAUUGGCGCUUGUAUUGCCACGCAAAUAAAACAGGACCUCAUUGAGUUGCUCAGAGAAUUCAAAGAUGUUUUCGCAUGGUCCUACCAGGAUAUGCCGGGGUUAAAUACUGAUAUUGUGGUGCACCGACUGCCCAUAAGAGAGGAGUGUAGACCAGUCCAACAGAAGCUCCGUAGGAUGAGGCCUGAUGUUUUGUUAAAGAUAAGAGAGGAGGUUCGGAAGCAGUUUAAUGCAGGAUUCUUGCAAGUGGUCAAAUACUCAGAAUGGGUAGCUAAUAUAGUCCCAGUUCCUAAGAAAGAUGGGAAAGUUCGAAUGUGUGUGGACUACAGAGAUUUGAACAAAGUCAGCCCAAAGGAUAAUUUUCCAUUGCCACAUAUCGACACUUUAGUGGAUAACACGGCAGGUACUCACUUUUCUCCUUUAUGGAUGGUUUCUCAUGAUACAAUCAGAUAAAAAUGCAUCCUGAAGACAUGGACAAGACCACGUUCGUAACCAUGUGGGGCACAUUUUGCUACAAGGUGAUGCCAUUUGGAUUGAAGAAUGCGGGGGCGACAUACCAAAGAGCCAUGGUGACCUUAUUUCAUGACAUGAUGCAUAAAGAGAUAGAAGUCUAUGUAGACGACAUGAUUGCGAAGUCUAGAACAGAGGAGGAGCAUGUACAAGUUUUGAGAAAAUUGUUUAUGCGGUUAAGAAAGUUCCAACUAAAGCUUAACCCGGCCAAAUGCACUUUCGAGGCUAGAUCUGGAAAGCUUCUAGGGUUCGUGGUCAGUGAAAGAGGGAUCGAGAUUGAUCCGGACAAAGUCAAGGUCAUACAAGAAUUGCCUCCACCGUGCACUCAGAAAGAAGUUUGAGGUUUCCUGGGAAGACUGAACUACAUCGCCAGGUUCAUUUCGCAGUUAACAGAGAAAUACGACCCAAUUUUUCGUCUCCUUAAGAAGCACAAUCCGGGCGUAUGGAAUGAGGAGUGCCAAAGAGCUUUUGACAAGAUUAAGUAUUACUUGUCUAAUGCUCCGGUACUAAUGCCACCAUGCCCAGACAAGCCCUUAAUACUGUAUUUGGCAGUAUUUGGAAAUUCUAUGGGGUGCGUGUUGGGCCAACAUGAUGAAUCAGGAAGGAAAGAAAAAGCGAUAUACUAUCUCAGCAAGAAGUUCAAUGCUGUGUUGCGCUUUAGUUUGGGCGAUGAGGAGACUGAGACAGUACAUGUUAUAUCAUACCACUUGGCUAAUCUCAAAACUCGACCCAUUAAAAUACAUGAUGGAGUCAACUGCUCUGAAUGGAAGAAUGGCCCGAUGGCAAAUUCUGCUAUCUGAAUUCGACAUACUCUAUGUAAAUCAAAAGGCUAUAAAAGGGAGUGCAAUAGCAGAUUUUCUAGCUAGUAGAGCUCUAGAAGAUUAUGAGCCUUUGAACUUUGACUUUCCGAAUGAGGACAUAGUAUAUGUAGCAAUCAUCAAAGAAGAUACCCGAGAGGGAAAUGUUUGGAAAUUGAACUUCGAUGGAGCUUCAAAUGCUAUAGGCAAUGGUGUUGGGGCAGUUUUGGUAUCCCCGAGCGGAGAUCAUUAUCCAUUCACUUCUAAAUUAGAUUUUGAUUGUACAACCAAUAUGGUUGAAUACGAAGCAUGUAUCAUGGGUAUUCGUGCAGCCAUAGAGCAGAAAAUCAAAGUGCUAGAAGUAUAUGGAGACUCGGCACUAGUAAUCUAUCAGCUCAAAGGAGAAUGGGAGACAAGAGAUCCCAAACUGGUCAACUACCGAAAAUUGAUUAUGGAACUAAUUGAGGAUUUUGAUGAUAUCACUUUCUGCUACCUCCCACGAGAGGAAAAUCAGAUGGCUGAUGCAUUGGCUACAUUAGCUUCUAUGAUCAAAUAAAUAGACAGGAGGAUGUGAAGCCAAUCCAAAUGGGCAUUUAUAAAGCUCAGGCCCACUGUUGCAACAUCGAUCAAGAGGAAGGAAAAGACGAUCACCUUUGGUAUCAAGAUAUAUUGCGAUACGUGAAGAAUCGUGAAUACCCAGACCAGGCAACAGAGAAUGAUAAGAGAACAUUAAGAAGGCUGGCUAGUGAUUACGUCUUAGAUGGAGAGAUCCUGUAUAAAAGGGGCAGAAUCAAGUGCUACUAAGAUGCGUAGACUCUACUGAGGCCAAACAAAUCCUGGAAGAGGUCCAUGAUGGUGUCUGUGGAACACAUGCCAAUGGUUUCACAAUGGCUAGGCAAAUCAUGAGAUUCGGAUAUUAUUGGUCCACUAUGGAAGGGGACUGUAUCAAAUAUGCCAAGAAAGGCCACAAAUGCCAAGUAUAUGGAGACAAAAUUCAUGUACCUCCCUCACCUCUGCAUGUCAUGACUUCCCAAUGGCCUUUUUCCAUGUGGGGCAUGGACGUCAUUGGACCAAUAUCGCCAAAAGCUUCAAAUGGCCAUCGGUUCAUCUUCGUAGUGAUCGAUUACUUUACCAAAUGGGUAGAAGCCUCUUCAUAUGCUAACGUCACGAAGGCAGCGGUUAGUAGGUUCUUAAAGAAGGAGAUCAUAUGUCGUUAUGGAAUGCCAGAAAGGAUAAUAUCUGACAACGCGCUAAAUUUGAACAACAGUACGAUAGCGGAGGUUUGUGGCCAAUUCAAUAUUAAGCACCACAACUCAUCGCCAUACCGCCCAAAAAUAAAUGGCGCGGUGGAGGCAGCCAAUAAGAACAUCAAGAAGAUUGUGGGGAAAAUGACCAAGACUUAUAGAGAUUGGCAUGAGAAGCUUCCAUUUGCUCUUUUUGCUUAUAGAACGUCUGUCAGAACCUCCACCGGGGCAACGCCUUUCUCAUUGGUCUAUGGAAUGGAGGCAGUUUUACCCAUUGAAGUAGAAAUUCCUUCCCUUCGAGUCCUGUCAGAAUUAAAGUUGGAUGAAGCAGAAUGGAUCCGAUCUCGAUACGAUCAGCUGAAUCUUGUCGAAGAGAAAAGGCUAAGAGCUAUCCGACAUGGUCAAAUGUACCAAAAGCGAAUGAUACGAGCUUACAAUAAGAAGGUUCGCCCUAGGGAAUUUCAGGAAGGGGAUUUGGUACUGAAGAAGAUCCUUCCCAUACAAAAAGACUUUAGAGGAAAGUGGAUGCCAAAUUGGGAAGGACCAUAUGUGGUGAGGAAGGCCUUCUCUGGAGGAGCACUGAUAUUAACCGAAAUGGAUGGAAAGACUUUGCCUAACCCAGUGAAUUCAGAUUCGGUGAAAAAGUACUUCGCCUAAAAAAAAAGAGGAGAGGCCAAAGUGAAAACCCGCAAAGGGCGCUUUGUGACCAAAAGGGCUUUGAAUUGAAAACCGGUAAAAGGGCGAUUCAAGUUUUGAUCAAAGGUGGGGCACUCGGUAGUCUUACUAUGCCUAAAUUAGCAAAAAUGAGGGAUGAUACGUCUUGGGGCAUCAACAAAACAUCCUGAAUUUUCUAAGCACAUAUAAAGUUCAAAGGGUCCUCCAAAAGUUUGCACAUAGAAGCUCAUGCUAUGAUAUCUGGGGCACCUGUUUUCGUCUUAUUCAUUUUGUACCUUAGCAAAACAUGCUAUUUUGAUUAACUUAUUCACUUCGAGCUUUACUCUCAAUAAAUUUUCAUCGUAAUCUUUUUCAUCUCAUUUUAGCAAAUUUGUUAUCUUGUUAAUCUAUUCAUUGCGAGCAUUGUUCUCAAUAAAAUUUCAUCUUGUCCAUUGUAAUAAUCUUUUUCAAGCAUUUUAUUGAAAUAACGAUUAAUGGACCGAAUAUUCAAGCAAAAGGAGUUUUGCAUAUUACUCUAAAGGAUUCUAAAUAAUACAGGAACCUGAAAUAAGACUAUUAUUUAGAGCACAGCAGGUUUAAAGGGUGAAAUGUCUAAAAAGGAAAGUCUAAAUUAAGACUAUCUUUUCAGAUUUUGUUGUCCAAACAUGGAUUGAGCAACACGACAAAAUGUCGUGUUGGUGACAAAACUUCAAUGAAGAGAGAAGCAAGGAUCACCAAGUGAUAAGAAAAGGUUUUCUCGGAGAAGAAAUUUUUCAAUUAAGCAUGAGCAUUUGGUAUGACACCUAGGAUUGAGGUAAAGGACCAAAGGGUUUCACAUCCUUGAAUUAGGAGAAAAUUGAGAAAGGUCAUAUCUUUCUACCCUUGGGUUAUAGUGGGAGAAUGAUGGUUCAAAUUUUAUGUCCUAGUGGAUUGAACUUUGACGUUCACAGUGGGGGCAAUCAGAUUAAGUGUUUCUUUGGAUAUGUCAGCCGAGCAAGAAGGCGUUGUAACACGUUAGGGACAAAACCAUAUUAAGCUUUUGCGUGAUGAUAACCUAAGCAUUAAGGAAUCACUUUCAUGACGUUCUGCAUUCAUUCAAAUGUCAUUCAUACACAUCUAGUUAGGAGCAUUUGAUUCAUUCUGGUCAUGUCAUCCUAAUCACUAGACACAAUUAGGUUCAUAAAAUCGAACAUACAGGUCAUGUUCCCCAGAAAAUAGAUCAGUAAAAAUUGAAAACAAAGCCUUGCCUCCAUCGGUUGCAAUGGAACUGGUUGAAGAUUUUAAGUCUUAUCUCCCUAAGCAGUAGCGGAGCAGACAAAAUCACAGAUCUUAUCUCCCUAAGCAAUAGUGGAGCGGAUCACAUCCAGUCUUAUCUCCCUAAGCAGUAGUAGAGCAGACAAAAUCACAGAUCUUAUCUCCCUAAGCAGUAGUGGAGCAGAUCACAUCCAGUCUUAUCUCCCUAAGCAGUAGUGGAGCAGACAAAAUCACAGAUCUUAUCUCCCUAAGCAGUAGUGGAGCGGAUCACAUCAAGUCUUAUCUCCCUAAGCAGUAGCGGAGCAGACGAAACCACAGAUCUUAUCUCCCUAAGCAGUAGUGGAGCAGAUUAAAAACACAAGUCUCAUCCCCAUGGAGUUGUAGCAGAGUAGAUUGGAGUAAUAAGACACAGUGGACUGGAAUGAGGCUACUUGAAGAAGAAAGGCACCAAGAAGUCAAGACUCGGCAAGCCCGGGCAAAUUUGGUCUUUCUUGGUCUUUGCUCUGUUUUCGUUACAUGAAAACGAGCAAAGAGGGGCAGCUGUAGAAGCCCAAAUUUGCCGGCCCAGUAGAAAAAUAAAACAAUUAAAACCCAAUACCAGUCCAUUUACAACAGGGCCCGACUAGCCCACAACUUAAACAAUUUUAGCCAAACAAAAGAAAGGCAGAAACCCUAGCGCCGCAUGCCUCCUCGUCUGCCAUCCCCAGUGCCUCGUGCUCACCAACUGCCGUUCGUCGCACGUCGCCUCAGCACCGCCACCGUCGCCUAUCGUUGGCCUUCUGCGCGCAUCGAUCACCUGCAAACAGAGAGCUACACGCAAACAGAAGUAACAAAGAAGAAAAAACCAAAAUAAAAACAAACAAAACAAAAAAAACAGAUGACAAAACGACAAAAGCAAUCAUCAAAGAGUUUGUAACUUGGGCUAUAAAAGGCAUAAGCUUUUCCUUUGUACGGGUUCGGAUUUUUUGGAGAAUAUCAGAAAUAAGAACAACAGAGGUUGAUUUUUUUUCGUCAUCGUUUUUUAUUUCUUUUAUUUAUUUUUGUUGUUGUUUUGUUUGUUUUGUUUUACAAAUCUGUUAAAUAGAAAGAAAAUAAGCAUAAAGGAAGAAAAAUACCUGAAAUCGCCGCAAACCCCACCGCCGGGGGCCUUGUUUGGCCGCUGAAAUCAGACUGGUAAAAGGGGUGGGGGAUUCUCUUCUUUCGGCUUUCGAGCCCAAGGGGUUUGGCCUUCAAACCGUCUUUGAAUCGGGUAAAAGAUCCGACCUUUGCGUCGCUCCGACCACCGUCUACGGCGGAGCUACGGCGGCGCAGAAGGUGGUCCCAUUGACUGGAGGGGAAGACCGAGAGAGAGAGACAUUUAACUCUCUGUGUUUUUUUUUAAAAAUGAAGGAGAAUGAUUUCUUUGGUUUUUUUUGGUUUGUUUUGCUAUUUAUAUAAGCUACAAAACGGCGUCGUUUGGGGCCUACUCCAGUGGCCUCAAAACGACGCCGUAUAGACCACCCCCAUGAGCGACCCGACCCGUGAGAGGGGAUCCGCGCGUUUCCCUUUAGGGGAUAUUUGCGCAAUGGAUCCUUCCCCUUUUGUGGUAUAUCUCAACACAGUCUUUGGGUUUUCUCUGAUUUUAGCCCCAAAGUAAUGUUACUGUUUCAAUUCAGUCCUUAAACAGUGGGGAAUCCAUCGGUUAAAACGCCGCGUUCCAGGUCCGGGGAAUAUUGUCCUGAAAGUCCCUCGGGUUUUAGGCGCGUUUCAUUUAAGCCCAAGUCAACCUUGUUUCAUUUAUUUGCAGUUUAAACCUCGACUUUUAGCCGGAUUUCGAUUCGGUCCUAAGCCUGUUAUUUGUUUAUUUAUUAAAAAAAAGGAAAAAGUUCUGUUAAUAUUUUUUGUGCUUAUUUAUUUAUUUAUUCAUUUAUUUAUUUUAAAUUUACACCAUUACUUAUUUUAUUAAUUAUUCAUUUUUUAUAUACAUUGGUUUGUAUAUUGUAUUCUUGUCACUAUUAUUACUAUCAUAUUUCAUUAUUGUUUAUUUGCCAUUUUUAAAUACUUUUAAAAAUUUAAAUUCAUGAUUAUUGUUUUUUUAUUAUGAUUAUUGUAAUGUUGUCAUUGGUAUUAUUACUUUUUAUUUAUGCAUGUGAAUAUCGGAAUUUGUUAGCAUCAAUACUAUGUGUAUUCUUUUAUGCAUAAUAUUUCAUCGUUAUUUCGAAUGUAUAUUGCAAUAUUGUUAUUAGCCACAUAUGAUCCUCUCAAGGUUUUCAAACGACUCUUUUUUUUAAAUGUAUUCAAAACACGUAUUCUAUCUUAAGAUAUUCCAUUAAUAUUCAUUCGAAUUAAAAUCUCAAAAUAAGGCAAUAUUUCGCGUUUGGAAGAUUUGGGAAACCGUGCCCUAACGUGCUGGGUUUUGAUUUCUCGCUCGACCAAAUAGCCAAAUAUCCUUUUAACUUUCACAAUAAGGCAUUAUUUUGCAUUUGAAAAUUCGAGAGAAUGUGCCCUAACGUGCUGGGUUGCGAUUUCUCGUUUGAUCAAGUAGCUAAAUAUCCUCUUAAAUCUCAAUCCAUGUCAUUCGUUUUUUUUGGGUCGUACUUUAAAUCUCUUUAAGGUUUUCAAUAUUCGAUACCAAGACACUAAUUAAUCAACUAGGUACCAAUUUUGGGCGUAUCGAGGGUGCUAAUCCUUCCUCGUACGUAACUGACUCCCGAACCCAUUUUUCUAAAUUUUGUGGACCAAAAUCGUUGUUUUAGUAAAAAAAAUAAAUCGUUUAUUAAAAACAACCACUUUUCGAGGUGACCCGAUCGCACCUCAUCAAAAAAAAGAUUGGUGGCGACUCUCGUUUUCAUUCUUUUUUCAAAAUCCAAGUCGACCCCGUCUCCAUCAAAAAAUGGUGUCAACAGACAUGAGAUUAAAAUUUCAGUUUCAAUUUUUUCUUCAAUUGUUUUUUAAAGACACCCCAAUCGGUUGAGCAAUCGGUUGAGCAAGAUGCGAUUCAAAAUCCAAUUUUCAGCAAGAAUAUAAAUUGGAACUGGAGGUGGGUUGGGAGUCAACUACCACUCGUUACAUGAAAAUGGAUGAUUUUAGGGCAUCUUUAAAAGCCAUGUUACAUAAAUCAAUAAGUGGAGGCCUAUGUUGCUAAGAUUUUUUUGAUCAAGUGUCUGAUAUAAUUUGUGUCUAACAUGAGUUUUUUUAAUUUUUUAAAGAUUUUUUUCAUAUAUUUGGAGUAUCAUAUUUUUAUAUCCAUACCCAAACGGGACAUGAAUGCAAAAUGGAAAAUGAAGAUUUUCAAUAUAUCAACUAAAUGCAGGUAAAAACAUGGUUGUCGAUUUCAAUUUUUAUUUCUUUUUUAUUUUCUAAUUUUGCCUAUGUAAUGAUCAAAUUUAGUGUGAUUCACUUGUUUUUUAUGUUUAUUAUUUUUUGUUAAAAACAACUGCGUUGAUAAUUGUGCUUCUGACUGGAAUAGAAGCUUGUUUUAAUGGAGUUGUGAAGCAAAAUGAUACAUCUUUGUCCAUAGUUCCAACUAAUAACUUAGCUAAUUAUAGUUAUGUUGCAACUUUUAUUAUAUGCUUUUGCGUACGAGUGAAAAUUUCAUUGCAUCAUGUACUUGUUUUUGUGUGUUAAAUCAUAUUCAAAAUCGAUAAAAGUAUUAUUGAGAUUCCUAUACUAAAAGUUAGAUUGUAUUUUACCCUCUAUACUCAAAAUAUGAGCAAAUCAGUCCAUGUACAUUAGAUUAAAGAGCAAAAUGGUCAUUCUAUUAAAAAGUUCUUCCAUUUCUACCGUUAAAAAUUGGUCCCUGAAUGUCAACAUGAGGUAGACAUAGCACGUCACAUGUUACUGUCUAGUUAUUUAUUUAAUCACACUAGUUGUUAACAGUACAAAUGGAUGAAUUUUUUAACAAAAAGGACCAAUUUACUUUUUAAUAUAAUGUUCAAGGAUUAGUUUGACCAUUUUUUUAUUAAAGAAAGAAAAAUGCAGUCUAACUCCUAGUAUAGUGGCGUCCAAGAUGCUUUUACCUCAUUAAUUCGGACCUUGAUAACUAUGACUAAGUGUUGUUGAAUCAUAUUACUGAUAAAUGUUCAUCGACAACCCUAACAUUGGGAAAACUUCCAAAAUUAUUUCCCCAUGAUGAGAAUGGAAUGUAUAUAGUACACGUCCAAAAUUACCUAUUCAACAAUAAAAGAUAUUUUUGAAAUAAUAAAUGUUUUAUUUAAAUUGAAAUAAUAAAUGUUUUAUUUAAAUUGAAAUAAUAAAUAUUAAUUUUAUUCUAAUUUGAUUUUAUUUUUUAAUAAUACAAAAAUUAAAUUGAUUUAUUUGAUAGUAAAGGGAGUAAUUCAUCAAAUCCUUAUAAUAGAAUAGUUGUUACCUUUGCACAGUGGACAAUAUGCUAGGCUUAUUGUGACUUUGUUUUGUAGACAGGUUGUGACUUGUGAGGAUUUCUUUUAACUUGUUUUUUUAUUUUUUAUUUGUUGGCUUGACAGAUUCAAGACUAGACAACCUGGGUUAGAAGGCCAAGGUAAUGUAUUAAUUGUUGAUGCUUUGAAGUAAGCAGUUUCCACACACAGGGCAAAGGAUAUUGUGUACAAUUUUUUUGUGAGUUGGAAUUUCUUGUUUUGCUUAGAUUAAAGCUUCUGCGAUCUUACAAGAGUUAGGAUUAAUGGCAAUGGAAUUGGGAUUGUUGUCGGGCAGUUGUCUGAACUUUGGUUGGAAAUGUUGAAGAUCUGAAAAAACUAAAGCAAGUUAAUGAAACUUGAGAAAAUAUUAUUCUUUAUUGGCUGCUCUUAUGAUUAUAUUAUUAUUUGCAAGGUUAUGUGCUUGCUGACAGGUAAUGAAUAAGUGGGCUAUGUAAAUCAAGCAAAUAACAUGGCUCUGUUCUUGAUUUCUUAGCCAUACGUGAUUUAACUAUUGUUGUUUCUAAUCAAUGAGAGGCUUUUGAGCUUUGCUCUGAAGUGCUUGUUCUAUGACUGAUGGACUGUGUUGCAAAUUACUGCUGGAUGGUAUAUAGACUUUAUUCAUAUUAUUGUUUAAUGCUUGGUUUAACGUGUAAACAUAAUAUCCCUUCUACAGUUCAAGCGAGAAUGCAUAGAAUGACCGCACGCCAUGAUUCUUGUGGUGCUUCUCUUAGUUAUACGUUGCUCAUGUAUUUGAACAAUCACAAAUUAUGUCAUUCUUUUCCAUCCUCCAUAUUAUGCAGAACCUAGGGUAGCUUUAAGAUUUUGUUUGGUAGAGUGGAAAGAAAAUUGAAAAUUUGGAGUAAAAAUUUAAAAGGAUAACAUAAUUUUUUUUUAUAUAGGUGAGGUUGGUGAAGUAAAAAAUUGAAAGUAAAAAAAAUAAAAUAUUUGAAAAAUAUAUAAUUUUGAACUAACAUAUAAAUCUCUCUCUUGUUCUUCAAAACAAAAUUGGGAAAUUUUAAUUUCUCCCUUAAAAUUUGUUAGGCUGUCAAGACCUACAAAAAUAAAAGCCUACUAAAAGUAUGAGAUUAGUAGAAAGCGACAUCCAUAGAGGUCGAUAAUAAAUUUAUUUCUUCAAACAAAACAAUAAAAGUAAAAUGGAAGGGGAUUUUAUUAAAUCAAAAACUAAAUUUAAAUUUAAGGCUUCAAUUGAAUGUAACAAUUAAUUAUUUAAGUUUUAGAAAAACUAAUGGGAAAAAGGUCUAGUCAAAGGUUAACUAAGUGUCAGAUGUUGAUUCAGUGUCGAACAACUAAUUUCUCCUUACCCUAUUCGAUAUCUAAGAGGCAGCUCAUUUGAAAUUACUUCUCUAACUGAUAAAUAAUCUUGUAACUCAACGCCUAAAGUUUAACUUACCGAUAGCAUUAAGAAUGAGAGAGACAUAAUUCUAACUAACAAACUCACCUCAAUGGAGUUUAUUUAAGUUAUAUCACACACCCACACUACAUAAACAUAAACUACGAUAUAAACGAGUUAUACAAUUUGUCACUGGUAUUAGAUAAAAUUAGAAUUUAAUUAUCCAAAUUGACUCGACAAUCAUUGUAAGCUAUCAAAUACUGGUUGGACAUUCAAUAAACUUGAGCAAUUGUAAUUAAAACUAAAGAUGCAUGAAUACUAAAGAACAAAGAAGAAUUAAAACACGAAUAAGUCUCACGAAUUUAUUAAGUCAAACUUUUUUUUAAAUUUUUUUUGGUAUUCUUCAUGUCCAUUUUAUGGUCUAUGUUUGGGGUUUGUGGUUGUCCCUCCCAACAAUGUCGUCUCCAAGGUUUGAACCUGUGUCUCCAAACUUUGAUAUAACCUUUGACUAGAAAAGUGGGUUUAGAAACUCAUAAAGUAAAAAUAAAAAAAUAAAAUUAAGAAUGACUAAGUCUAAGUCUCCCAAAUCUUAACCUAAGAAUGUAUAUUUAUAGUAAAAAAAAAUAUAAUGGAGAAAAUACAAAACUGCCCUUCUUAAAUAAAACACAAUUCUUCUAGAUUUUUUGGUAAUUUUCAUGUCAAACUUUCAGGCGGUUUUUGGGUUCCUUCCUGAUGUUUUUUGGCUUCUUCCAUAAAUAACUUUACCUAGAUCUUUCAAUUCCCUUCGAAUCAGCAUAUUAUGGGUCCAAAACAGAAGUCUACAGCUCAAGUUACGGCGAAAAUAGUGAAGCUACAUUCUAUUAAAAAUCUAAAUCGCAGAAAAUUUUUCAAAAAUAAACUUUAACAUCACUUUUCUCCGAUUAUUCCCUAAAUACAUAAUAAAUAAAGUUUAAGUAUAAAUAAGAUUUAAGAACAUAAAUAGCAUAAUUCAAUGGAAGAAAUAUUACAAAUAAAUAGAGAAAUUAAGCACUCAUCAAAAUUUUUAAAAAAUUUUAAUUAAUCCCCUAAAAUUUUUAAAAUUCACAUUAUACCUUUUAAUUAUAUAUUUUUGAAAAUUUUAAUUAAACUCUCUUAAAUUUUAUUUUAUUUUUAAAAAAAUUUUCAUUAAUCUCACAAAAAAUUUUAAAAUUUUAAUUAGUCACCCAAUUUUCUUUAUUCUCAUUAAAUUCCUAUUUUUUUUAAAUGUACUAUCCUCCAAACUCGAUACCAUGAUCCAUCAUUGCUCUCAUUUUCUCUCUAUUCAUCAUUCCAAUUUUGAAGAAUUAAUUUUUAUGCAUUAAAAUGAAAAAUAAUUAAUUCUCUUAUUUUUUUUCCUCAUCCCUUUUUUCCCAACCAAACAUACGUAAAAUUUAUUUUAUUUUCCACCUCAUCAAAUACACACUAAGUGCUUUCCUUGUUACUAAACAAUUGUUAGGGUGUACUCUAAUUUGUUCUAAUAACCCCACCCGCAUGUUCCCUUUCUCCCCCACCAGCUUUUUGUUUUUGCAGUUCUUAAAAAAGGUUAAGUUUUAAUUUUGGUCCUUCUGAUACGUUUAAAUUUAAAAUUUAAUCUAUAUACUUUAAUUUUUAAUAUAAUUUAGCCCCUAUAAUUUUUAAUGUUAUUAAUUAGCCAACGUGACAUAUUUUUUGGGGGCAGGAGUUGCCUUUUGUGUUUUUUUUAAUGGUCAAAUUUCAAUUUUGACCUUGUACUAUGCUAAAACUUAAGAUUUAAUCUAUAUACUUUAGUUUUGUUAUUUAAUUUGAUUCAUCUACUUUCAUAAUUUGAUUCAACAUUAUUUUUAUUAUUACAUGACUACCAAGUGUAAUUUCUUUUUAUUUCAAAAUAUCACACCAAUGAAUUUAGUAUAAGAAUUUUAACAAUGGUGACUAUUGCACUUGAAUUUUUAAAUUAAGCUGUCUAAUUUGAAAUAUCACACCAAUCAUUACUAUGUUGUCUAAUUUGAGCGAUUAGCUCUCAAUAGAGGUGACUCUCUAUCUGUCUCAGCCACAUCCCACAAAUCAUGAGUUUGCAGAUAUAUCUUCAUUUUCACUACUCAUAUAUGAUAGUUUUCACCACCAAAUACAAGUGGUGGUGAAAAACUCAUGUUUUACAACAACAAAACAACUUCUCUUUCUUUCCUUCUUUCUUUACAAUCAACAAAGAACAAAACAACUUCUCUUUCUUUCCUUCUUUCUUUACAAUCAACAAAGAACAAAGGCCCUCAAAGAUGACAGGCUUUUGAUACCAUUAGUUGGGAUUUGAAUUGAGUUAAUCCACAAAGAAUUGAUUUAAAUCAAGAUGAAUCAAUUCAAAUAAUAAACAAUCGAUUCAAAAUAGAGAAGAAUCAAUUUAAACAAAAAAUAAUCGAUUCAAAAGAAGUAAAAACAGACAACAAAUAAAAAUGAGAAGCCAAAACAAGGAGUUAGAAUAUGUUUUUCACUAGAUUCAAUUUUCAAAGGGGAGUGUUUUUUAAGUUACAUAGAAUACAAAAUACGUAACCACUCCCACUAACAACAUUGAAACUUAUAAAACAUAACUUGUAAACAUAUUAGCCAAAUCAAUACCUAAACAUAAACAAAUCAUCUAAUCAACAAAACAAAUUACAACUGAGUUAGACUAGCUUGCUUGUAACAAAAGUUUCAGCUGCAUGUUUGUGCACCAAAAAUUCUUGCUGCUGCAUUGCUGGCCAACAUUCAACAAAUGUGCUGGCGUGGAGAUGGAAUAAAAAUGGGUAUUCUUUUUUAUUGCUGCUACCUGUAAAGCUAUAGUAGGAGAUGAUUGGGAAGCUGGAGAUAAGGUUUGUAACUUGGUUUGUAAGUGUCAAGAACCCAAACAUAUCUGUUAAUUUUUAUAACUAUUGCUUAAUGGACUAAUGAUGAGUAAUGAGCAAUAGACAACUGUUGUUUAUGUCUAUUUUAUUUAUGUUGAGAGACUGUAUGUUUCGCUCAAAACAUAUGGAAAACAAUACUUCAAAAUGUAGAGAGUUUCACGUUCUUCACAUUACAAUUAAAGGAAUGGCUAACGUGGAACUUAAACAACAGUGGAGAUUUCAGAAUUGAGGGAACCAAUUGGUGCUCCUUAUUUCCUAUUGUUUGCUGGUUUUUAUGGAAGAAUUGCAAUGCUUUUGUUUUUGAAGAUGAGAAUAGUAGUUGAAUGGUUCGAGAAAAUGCAGAGUAAAGGUGAAAUAUCUCAAUUAUUAAUACUAACUUAGUGAAUGCAAAGCAAUGAGUAACAUUUUUUUUUAAAUUUUAAACAAAUAAAAACCACACUAACAUGAAACUAACUAAAAUCGAAAACCAUUGGAAAUUUAAAAUUAACUCACUAUGACCCACAAAUUCCAAAACCUGAACUGACCAUUUCGGAUUGAUUGUACCCAAAAUCAACUUCACUCAGUAAAAUUCAAAACUCUACUCUAUUUCAUUUCACCAGCUUUUGCUACCUAUCUAUUGUCCCUUCCAUAAAACCCGGUUCGAAGCAACCUUGCUUUGGUUGCAUGAAGUUCAAUGAUGGCAUCUCUAAUUCUCAAUCUGUCAGUAGCCACUUCAGUGGAGCAUGAAACUCCAAUUUUAGUGAAAGAAACAAAGCAUUCCCAUAUCUCAGCUUCCAUGUUUGGCUUAUUUCUUAUUCUCUUCCUGUUCACACCAAUUUCUUCAACUAAACGAACAUCAAAAAUCUCCUUCAAGCCUUCUUGUAUUGCCAUUUUGCAGAAAUUAUGAAGGCUUAAGCCAUCAUGAAACAAAUCACAUGUCGGUCUCCUUCCGGUUAUCAUUUCUAAAAGCAUAAUACCGUAGCUAUAGAUAUCACAUUCUGGAGAGAAUGAUCCACUCAUGCCAUAUUCUGCAAUAAUAUUGCGUUAAAAAUUUAAAAAUCUUUAAUAGAAAUUGUUAAGAAAUGGCUUAAAAUUGGUAGUGGAUUGUUGUUGUUGGUAGUGGGUUGUUGGUGGUAGUGGAUUAGUGGAUGGUUGUUGGUGUCCAUUUUCAACCACAAAUCUUUGCCAAAGUUUUGGACAAUUAUGUCCUUGAACUCUCUUAUAAAUAGAGAGGUUCAUUAGCCAUAUUGAUCAUCCCAAACCAAGAGAGAGCAAAUCUUGUUCUUUGAAAGCUAGGAUUUUAGCUUUCGGGUUUUCUAUAGGGGUUGAGAGUUGUGAGGUUCUCGGGUUGUGUCUUGAGUGUAAAACACUUGUAAUCUUCAUCUUGUUAUAGUGAAAUUUCUUUUCGCCUCUGCCCGUGGACGUAGGCAUUAAAGCCGAACCACGUAAAUCCUUGUGUUCACUUUAUUUUUCGUUCCGGUCAAUUUACUUGUAGUCAUAUCGGAGUUCUCGAAUCGAUCCUUUCCGCAACAAAUUGGUAUCAGAGCGUAGUUGAAGGAGUGAUAAUAUUUUCUGAAUUGCCCUGUGACUGCAGCUUUGUCUGAUCUUUCACAUCAGGAAGAAAAUAUUAUCAUUCAUUCAAAGGUUCCAAAUUAUGGCUACAAGUGUUUCAUCGACUAAGUAUGAUGUCGAGAAAUUUACCGGGAAAAAUAGUUUCAGUUUAUGGCGCAUCAAGAUGCGGGCAGUGCUGGUUCAACAAGGAUUGCUAAAAGCAUUGUCUGGUAAAGAUAAAUUACCAAGCACGCUUUCGGAAGAGCAAAAGGAUGACAUGUUAGAAAGAGCACAUAGUGCUAUUCUGCUAUGUCUAGGAGAUGAAGUGCUACGAGAAGUAGCGGAUGAGAAAACCGCGUCCGGUUUGUGGCUCCGGUUAGAGAGCAAGUACAUGACGAAGUCAUUGACGAACCGGCUCUACCUCAAGCAAAGACUCUAUGCCCUGAAGAUGGAGGAAGGUACACCUGUUUCCCAGCACCUGGAUAAAUUCAAUUCCAUUAUCAUGGAUUUGAAUAAUAUCGAUAACAAAAUCGAUGAUGAGGACCAAGCAAUAAUUGUUUUGUGUUCUUUGCCUCCCUCGUAUGAGAAUUUUGUUGAUACAAUGAUGUACGGUCGUGAUGACCUGACUCUAGAGGAGGUGAAAAAUGCCUUAAGUUCCAGUGAGUUGAGGAAGAAAAUCACUGGUAAGGUGGUCGAAAACAAUGAAGGCGAAGGCUUGGUUGCUCGAGGAAGAUCCAAGGCAAAGGGUGGAAGUUCAAGUAAAAGCCAUCCUAGAUCGCAGUCCAAGAAGAGAAUACAGUGCUACUACUGUAAGAAGUACGGGCACAUGAAGGUAGAUUGUCCGAAAAGGAAGGAGAAAUCAGAAUCACAGGAGCAACAAAAUGAUCGUGCGAAUGUAGCUGAUGCAGAUUCUUCAAGUGAUGCCGAGAUCGUUCUUGCAGUAUCCGACUCUUACGCUGGUGGGAGAUGGAUUCUUGAUACGGGAGCUACAUUUCAUAUAAGUACUUCGAAAGAUGCAUUCUCAACAUACGAGAAGCAUUCUGGUUCAGUACUAAUGGGAAAUGACCACGCAUGUCAAGUCAUGGGGAUUGGCACAGUUCGUAUAAAGAUGUUUGACGGUAUUGUUAGAACUCUAACUGAUGUUCGGCACAUUCCAGAAAUGAAGAAAAAUUUGAUCUCUUUGAGUACGUUGGACAAGAAAGGCUUUCGGUACUCUGCUGAAGGUGGAAUUCUCAAGGUAUUCUCGGGUGCUUUGACUGUGAUACGUGGUAAUUUGGAGCGGGGCCUUUACUUCCUCGAUGGUUCCUCGGUUACAGGUGUUGCGGGAGUGUCAUCAUCAGAUGAUCUAGAUUCUGACACCACGAAGUUAUGGCAUAUGCGGCUCGGGCAUAUGAGCGAGAGAGGCUUAUCGGUGCUAAGCAAACGAGGAUUAUUGUCUGGGCAGUGUACAGGAAAGUUGAAUUUCUGUGAGCACUGCGUCUUCGGUAAGCAGACUCGGGUAAAGUUCAGCACUGGGAUUCACAAGACAAAAGGCACAGUGGAUUACUUCCAUUCUGACCUUUGGGGGCCUUCUCCGACAAUUUCUAAAGGUGGUUACAGAUAUCUGCUUACCUUUAUCGAUGAUUACUCGAGAAAGGUUUGGGUGUAUUUUCUGAAGAGCAAGUAUGAGGUUCUCAUCAACUUCAAGCAAUUUAAAGCUUUGAUCGAAAAUCAAACAGGAAAGAAGAUCAAGCGAUUCCGGACGGAUAAUGGCUUGGAGUUUUGCUCAGGUGAAUUCAAUGAGUUCUGCAAAAAUGAAGGAAUAGUGAGACACCGCACUGUUCGUCGAACACCACAACAAAAUGGAGUUGCAGAACGCAUGAAUAGAACUCUCUUGGAGCGAGCUCGUUGCAUGCGAUCAAAUGCUGGGCUCGGUGAAGAAUUUUGGGCUGAAGCUGUUAAUACUGCUUGUUAUUUGGUUAACAGAUCUCCGUCAACAGCUAUUGAGCUGAAGACUCCUGAGGAAGUAUGGUCUGGUUCUCCUGCUGAUUACUCUGGUUUAAGAGUGUUUGGCUGCCCUGCGUAUGCUCAUGUAAAUGAGGGAAAACUCAAACCGAGGGCGAAGAAAUGCAUAUUUCUUGGAUACGGCCAAGGGGUGAAAGGAUACAGGUUGUGGUGUCCUGAUCCGGUUUCGUCCAAGUUCAUCAUCAGCAGAGAUGUGACUUUUGAUGAGUCAUCCAUGCUUCGAUCCACCACAAAUUCCCGGGAAAAGGAGGAGUCAGAUAGAAUGGGAGAUCACGGUGUUGAGAAGCAGGUGGAGUGUCAGGUGGACGCUCCAAUUCCUACGGAAGGUACUUCAGUCCAGGAUGAUCAAGUUGAGGUGCAAGAUUCCGAUGAAGAUAAGUCACCUCAAGAAAAACCAUAUAGCAUUGCCACUGGAAGAACGAAGAGACAAAUCAAACCAAAUCCGCGUUACGCUAAUCUGGUGUCUUUCGCGCUCAGUGUGGCGGAGUCCAUUGGUAUAGAACCUUCCAGUUAUAAUGAGGCUGUCACGUGUGAUGAGUCGGCACAGUGGGCAAUUGCUAUGAGUGAGGAGAUAGAAUCUCUUCACAAGAACCAUACUUGGGAGUUGGUUAAGCCGCCAAGUAACCAGAAGAUAGUUGGUUGCAAAUGGGUCUUCAAGAAAAAGGAAGGCAUCCUAGGGGUUGAAGCAACUAGAUUCAAGGCACGAUUGGUUGCUAAAGGCUUCACUCAGAAAGAGGGGAUUGACUACAAUGAAGUUUUCUCCCCAGUCGUAAAGCAUUCUUCCAUUCGUGUAUUACUUGCCAUGGUGGCCAAGUCUGAUCUAGAACUUGAGCAGCUUGACGUAAAAACGGCGUUCUUGCAUGGUGAGCUCGAGGAAACAAUCUACAUGCGUCAACCAGAGGGUUUUACAGUUCCUGGUAAAGAAGACCAUGUCUGUCUAUUAAAGAAGUCUUUAUAUGGAUUGAAACAAUCCCCAAGGCAGUGGUACAAGCGGUUUGAUAGCUUCAUGAUUCAGCAUGGUUACACAAGAUGUGACUAUGAUGCUUGUGUCUAUCAUCGGAAGCUCUCAGAUGGUUCGCACAUUUAUUUGUUGCUGUAUGUUGAUGACAUGUUAAUUGCUUCCAAAAACAUGUCGGAAAUCAACAAGUUAAAGUCGCAGUUGAGUGGUGAGUUCGAGAUGAAGGAUCUGGGUGCUGCCAAGAAAAUUUUGGGCAUGGAUAUUCACAGAGAUCGCAAGGCGGGCAAGCUUCGUGUGUCGCAGAAGAACUACAUUGAAAAGGUUCUUCAACGCUUCGGCAUGGAUAAAGCGAAAACUGUGAGUACUCCGUUGGCACCACAUUUCAAACUCUCUGCAGAGUUGUCACCACAAUCUGAUGAAGAAAAGCAGCAAAUGUCUCACAUUCCAUACUCGAGUGCAGUUGGAAGCGUGAUGUAUGCAAUGGUUUGCACUCGUCCAGACAUUUCACAUGCAGUUAGUGUGGUCAGCAGAUACAUGAGUUGUCCUGGCAAGGAACACUGGCAGGCCGUGAAAUGGAUUCUCAGGUACUUGAGAGGUUCUGCAGAUUUAUGCUUGGUAUAUGAUCAGAGUGACUGCACUAGCAGUGUCACGGGCUAUGUGGACUCUGAUUAUGCUGGAGAUCUGGACAAAAGAAGAUCUCUGACGGGUUAUGUUUUCACUUAUUCUGGAGGCGCCAUUAGUUGGAAAGCUGUGUUACAGUCUACCGUAGCCUUAUCUACGACUGAGGCGGAAUAUAUGGCGUUAGCAGAAGCAGUGAAAGAAGCAUUGUGGAUGAAAGGUCUAGUAAGCAGUUUGGGUUUACAACAGGAUUUCACUGUUGUAUUUUGCGAUAGCCAGAGUGCCAUACAUCUGACUAAAAAUCAGAUGUUUCAUGAACGGACCAAACACAUUGAUGUCAGAUAUCAUUUUGUUCGGGAACAUGUUACGCAAGGUGACAUUGUUAUCAGCAAGGUUGCUACCGAGAAGAAUCCUGCAGAUAUGUUAACUAAGGUGAUCCCUGCAUAUAAGUUCAAGCAUUGCUUGGACUUGAUAGGUAUUCGGGAUUGAUUAGCGCCAGAGAGGCGUUUGGAAGAGGUGAUCCAGUUCACUAUGAUGUUCAGCUUGGUAAAUUUCAAGCCAAGGUGGAGAUUUGUUAAGAAAUGGCUUAAAAUUGGUAGUGGAUUGUUGUUGUUGGUAGUGGGUUGUUGGUGGUAGUGGAUUAGUGGAUGGUUGUUGGUGUCCAUUUUCAACCACAAAUCUUUGCCAAAGUUUUGGACAAUUAUGUCCUUGAACUCUCUUAUAAAUAGAGAGGUUCAUUAGCCAUAUUGAUCAUCCCAAACCAAGAGAGAGCAAAUCUUGUUCUUUGAAAGCUAGGAUUUUAGCUUUCGGGUUUUCUAUAGGGGUUGAGAGUUGUGAGGUUCUCGGGUUGUGUCUUGAGUGUAAAACACUUGUAAUCUUCAUCUUGUUAUAGUGAAAUUUCUUUUCGCCUCUGCCCGUGGACGUAGGCAUUAAAGCCGAACCACGUAAAUCCUUGUGUUCACUUUAUUUUUCGUUCCGGUCAAUUUACUUGUAGUCAUAUCGGAGUUCUCGAAUCGAUCCUUUCCGCAACAGAAAUCAUUUGGUUUCUCCCUUGAUUCAGUGUUAGAGACUUUACCUGGGGCAACGUAGCCAAUUGUUCCCUUGAUUACUGAGGAACUUGUUUGAUCGCUUCCAAUAUUGCUUGUGACGGUAGACAAGAGCUUUGCCAAUCCAAAAUCGGCGACGUGUGCAACCAUAUCAUCGUCAAGAAGGACAUUGGAAGGCUUCAGAUCGCAAUGAACAAUCAUCGUCUCGCAACCAUGAUGAAGAUAAUCUAUAGCAUUGGCCAUGUCAAUAGCAAUGUCUAACCUUUGAGCAAAGUUCAAAUACCUUGACUGAUCAUGUUGCUCAUGUAACCAGCUUUCUAAACUCCCAUUAGGCAUGAAUUCAAAAACUAAAGCCUUGAAUUCAUUGCCUUGAUAAUCAAUGCUUGAGCAAGAAGUUAUAAUUUUGAGAAGAUUCCGAUGUCGAAUUUUCCUUAAAGCCUUGCAUUCUGCUAUGAAACUUCUUACCGCCCCAUGGUUUCGAAGGUUAAGUACCUUGACAGCAACAGGCUUUUCAUGUUGAUAAAUAACUCCUUUAUAUACAGAGCCAAAACUUCCAGUUCCAAUCAAGUUGGAGGAAGCAAAACCAUGGGUACAUUCAAGAAGCUCUUUGUAGGAUAAACGCAAGCAGCCAUUGUCGAACAAAGAUGAUGGCAUAAAUGUUCCCCUUCUUGCCUUGUGUCUCAAGGAAUGAUAAACAAGAAGAACAACCAAAAUAGAGCCAAGAAGAAUGCUGAUGAUAAUAGCAAUAAUGGUUUUGGUUGAUAAAACCUUUCCCUUUUCCUUUGGUUUCUCACUGAAGCACUUGGGAAGCUGUAAUUUUGGAAUUCCCCCACAAAGGUUUUUAUUUCCGAAGAAAGAAAAUCCAGUGGCAUUUUUGAAAACUCCUUUUUUUGGCACUGCACCCUCUAGUUGAUUAAAAGAAAGGUUUAAUCUCACUAGAAAAGGAAGUUUUUGAAGUUCAGGUGGUAUGGUGCCAGACAAAUUGUUAUUUGAAAGAUCUAUGUUCUCAAGAGCUCUCAAGGAGGCAAAAGAUUGAGGGAUGGUACCAUGAAAUGAGUUUUUUUGCAUGAAGAGAGUUGUAAGUUCUAAACUCUCCCCAAGUGUCAGGGGAAUUUCACCAUGGAAAUUGUUAUUAUGAACGUAAAACUCGACAAGAUUCUUCAUGUUUCUCAUAUCUGAUGGAAGGGAACCAGUGAAAGAGUUGUGAGACAAAUUAAGAUAAAUCAGUCUUUCAAAAGCACCAAAUAACUGAUAUGGGAUACUACCAUUAAGGUUGUUAGUGGAAAGAUCUAGUUUUUGCAAAUUUGUGCAUUGCUUGAGGGAUAAAGGAAUUGCUCCAGCGAAUUUGUUAUUGGAUAAGUCUAGAUCGGAUAGUCGAGAGAGAUUACCAAUGGAGGAUGGGAUUUUACCUGACAAAUGAUUAAAACCGAGGUACAAUCCUUCAAGAUUUUGAAGAUUUCCAAUGGAAAUGGGAAUUUCACCAGCAAUGAAAGUUCCUUUCAUUUCCACAAGAUCCAGGUUAAUGAGAUUGCCAAUUCCUUGAGGAAUGCGUCCGAUGAUCUGAUUGUCUCCCAUAAAAAGCUCUUCAAGCCAGAUUGAAAAAUUGGCUAUAAAAUCUGGAAUCACCCCAUAAAGGUGAUUGUAAUUUAUAGCCAAAGAUUGCAAUCGGCUGCAGUUGCUUAAAGAUGAGAGAAAGCUCAAGUCUCCUGGUUUCCCACUUCCAAGGUAAUUGCCUGGAAUGUUUAACACUAGAAGAUUCCUCAGGUUUCCCAUAUUCUCAGGAACUGAUCCAGUGAAACCAUUUAAGGCGAUGUCAAAUAGUUCCAGGCUAGAUAUGUUGGAUAUUGACCUUGGAAUUUCUCCAGUAAGCUGAUUAAGGGAAAUAAAAAUCGCUUCCAGAUUUGGACAAGUACAGCCUAUUUCUGGCGGAAGAUUCCCAGAUAAUUGGUUUUCAGCUGCAUCAAGAACUAGCAAAGAUGAAAAGUUGUGCACUGGAGGAACUGAUCCGAACAGCUUAUUUGCACCAAUAUACAUGUAUUCCAAGUUGGAUAAUUUGCCUAGAGAACUGGGUAUAGUUCCCUUCAACUUAUUGUGUAGAAGUGAUAGGACUUUCAAGGUGGAAAUGUUUCCUAGGGAAGCUGGAAUACCUCCAAUUAAAAGAUUGCCAGCAAGAUGAAGAUUGAUGAGAUUCUUCAUAUCACCCAAGGACACUGGGAUUUCUCCAGUAAUGUUAUUGUCAGUGAAGGCAAUCUCUUGGAGAUUAGAACAAUUGCUGAGCUCUUCAGGGAUUUCACCUUUGAGAUGAUUGAAAUUCAGACUUAAAUAAACGAGUCGUUUCAAGUGGCCAAUUUCCCUUGGGAUGGUUCCUUGCAAUUUGUUAGAAGAGAAGUCAACUUCUCUAAGGAAGGUUAAGUUUCCAAUAGCCGGAGAUAUAAAGCCGGCUAAUGACAAGCCACUCAUGUUCAAUGAAACUACCCUUUGGUGCCGACGACCACAUCGAACACCUUGCCAUUGACAGCAAUGGAAGGAAGCGUUCCAUGAAGUUAAAACUCCAUGAGAAUCCCCAACAAGCUGAUCCUUCAAAGAAAGCAAAGCUAGCAUGUCGUUUUCGUUGCUCCUCAAUGCCAAUGUAGCAGGCUUGGAGGACAUUGACAGCAGGGUAAAUCUAAUAAUGAAAAGAAGAUUUAUCCAUUGGUUUUUCAAGCUGAAUAUCUCCAUUUCUAAAGGAAAAUGGAGAAUUCGAAGUGAAACAACCAGGUUUUGAUGACAAAAGGUAAAGAAAUAAUGGAGGUUGAGUUGAUAUCUGAUUCAUCCAUGUAUCAUCUUAAUUUAUAAUGCUUCAUUUAUGUCAUUAAACUGAUUGUGAACAAGCAUCAAGAGGAACAGAAAUUAAUAAAAAAUCAGCUUAGUUAAAGAUGCUUUAAUCAAAGCUAAUGGGAAACUAAGAAAUUAUUUCUCCAUAGUCUCAUAAAAGUGGUUGUGAACGUCAAACACGUUCAAUAGACUAAUAGGCAAAAGCAUUGUUCUUCCCCUUUUUAUAAGAAUGACUGGGGACAACAAUAAAGUUGGCAAAAAACAUAAAGAAACGUAUUAUUUGAGAAAAAAAAAUCCAAAGAAAUCAUCACUCUUUUAACGUGUCAUGUGCAUAUCAAAAGCUCCAUGUGAAAAGGAGACUAUUGCCCAUAGAAGAUUUAAAGAAAGAAAAGUAAGAGUCCUUUUUGGGUUAAUAUAUGGAUUUAAUAAUGAAAUUUACUUUAAUUAGAUUCAAUUUUUUAUUUUGAAAAAUAUAAAAUUUUAAUGACAUGUUACUUUAAAUUGUGCACGUCAUCACCUGAAAAUUAAAAAAUAAAUUUUAAAAAUUUUAAGAUAUAGAACAAUUUUAAAGUGUCACGUCAAUAAAUUCUGAUGGAAUCCAAAAUUAAGUAUUAAAAUGAAUCUAUUCAUAAGUUUAGGUACCAAAACGGACAAAAAAAAAUGCUAGACAAGUGGACUUAAUUGUUAAGUUUAAAAAUUAAAAACUAGAUUGGUUUUCAUAUAAAAAUAGUAAAUUUGUUUCAACUCUAAUAACAACUUUAUUUUGUUUUAAUUAAAUUCUGCUAAAAAUAUAUGAGAUAAAUUCACUAGGAAAAAAAUAAUUAAUCGUUUUAAAAGGUAUGGGUUUUUAAUUUAAAAAAAUAUAUUAAGAAAGAAGUAACAUUGUUUAUUCCUAUGAUAUGUAGUGCUAAUUUUUUUCAGUGUAAGUUAUGAUUAUAUUUGUUCUUUUUAACAUAAUGUUCAGAACUAUUUAUACUUCUUCAUCAACUCAUAAAUAGGAGGAUAAUGAGCUUAAGAACACUCGAACUUGUGUCCUCCUGCAUUAACAACAAUACCCUUAUCAAUCGACAUCUAUUAUAUAUUUUUUAAUCAGUCAAAAAGAAGUUUGUAUUUGUGCUUUUUGGUUACAGAAAGAAAUUACUUUGGAAGAAAUAAUAAUUAGUUAUCGAGUAUUGACUGUGAAAUAAAAUGUUUUGUAAAAAAAGAUAGGUCUUGGCGUAGAGGAAAAUCCGGAGCGGACUGCCAUUGAUUGUCCAAGUUUCACAUUUAAGUCCUUUAAAAUAAUUUAUUUACAAAUAUUAAAUUCCAAAAGAAUAGAUAAAUUUAAGACUUGAUUUUGACCUUAAGACUAAGCUGCACUAAAACGCAAAAGAAAAUAAAUAAAUAAAUAACCUUUGAGCCUUAGCUAUUUUUAUAAACAAAGUACAUGUUUAUUUUUUAAAUUUAUUACAUAUUUUAAAAAAUAUAUAAAAUAAUUAAAUGAUAUUUGAUCUAAUUUAUAAUAAUUGUGCGGAUAAAAUAAUAUUUUAAAGUAAUGAAAAAAAAAGUGAGAAGCAAGUAAUAGCGAAAUAUUAAGUAAUUAGAUAAAAUAACCUGUCCUUCAAAUAUAAGUCAAAUUUUCACCCAUAAGAAAUGAUAGAAUUUACAAUAAAAGCAAUAUAAGCUUUCAAAAUUUGACAAAGAUCACUAUUACAAAAUGUGAAAAUUUGAAAAGUCUCUUUGCUAUUGGAUCUGUUCCUGUUCUUCCAAAACUUGAAUGUCUCAUAGUUAAAAGGAACUCUAAAUUGGAACAAGUAUUCAAAUUAGAAGAUGAAGUGGAAGUGGCAGCUGAAAAGGAGAUGAAAUUUGAUAAAUUAGAAUGGUUAUCACUUGAAGAACUAUCGAGCCUCAUUCACUUCUGUCUCAAAGGAUGUCAUUUUGUGUUGUCAGCAUUGGAAGAUUUGAAAGUAGGAGAUUGUCCUAAGUUGACUACUAGUUUCUCCAUUGAUUCACACGAAUUUGUGCAUUGCGAAGCAAAGGUUUAGAUUCUGCAACCCUUUAAUUUACAGGAAUAUUGCACGUUAAUUAUUUUUUGAUCGAAUCAAACCAAACUAGUUUCACAUUAGCUCUUUGGUUUUUUGCAUAUAACUAUUGGUAUAGGUUGAUGUCAUUUUUGUUGGGUUUAGAAAAUGGAGUGAGCUGAUUCUAUAGUUGGUGGACUUAAGUUAUAGUUGGUGAAGUAUACAACAGGUUUGAGCUAAGAGGCACUGGAGCCUAUGCUCCUAACACUCCCUAAUGCAUAAGUCAACAUUUUAGAAUAGAGGAAACAAGAUUGAAAAUGAUUAUAAACUAUAAAUAUGAAUAAGAGAGGUCGUACUUGAGUAGAGGUUAGGGCUUGGCAUUUAUAGUUGCCUAGGUGUAAAUACUACUCAAUGAUGGCGAAGCAAACAUCAUUGUCCAAUUAAUAUAGCUGCCAUAGAUUGCACUCCUUCUGUAUUUUUACAAUUAAUUGAAAUGCAAUUAUACUUUACGAUUUGUAAUACAAUAUUUAUUAGGUUAAAUCAAGUAACAUGUAUUUUAUAAGGCCAACAUGUUUAUGUUUAUUAUUUUUGUUUAAAACAGGUGCGUUGACAAUUGUGCUUCUAACUGGUAUGAAAGCUUACUUUAAUGGAGUUGUGAAGCAAAAUCAUAUAUCGUCUCUUUACUUUAAUGGAGUUUUGAGGGUUAAAAAAGUAACUAUACUGCAAGGGAAGAAAAUGUCAUAUAAUAACUUAUUUGAACUAAAUUUUCCUUUUUUUUAAAAAAAAAUUGAACUCAGUUUGAGGUUACAAGCAAAUUCACUUACAAUGUUGAGUGCUCUUUUCUUGCAUGAAGUGUGUGGUAAUUAAACAUACAAAGUGCAGUCCAACAACAUGUUUAGAUAGUCAACUCAUUCAUAUGAAUUUUAUUAAGCAAAGUUCAAAGAGAUCGACCAACAGAUUAUACACAUAACAUUGGUCGAGAUGACAAUGUAUCCCUAUGACCACUAAUCACCUGCCAUGUUCCCAUGGUCUUACCAUUCAUAUCCUAAAAUACCCCUAUGAUUUAAUUAGAAUGACUAGAAAGCCCUAAACUCCAUAUGUUCAAGGCUUACUGCAAUUCCAGGGUAUCUGUGUUUUUCUAAGAGCAUGACACAGGAGAUUUGAAAGCCCUAAACUCCAUAUGCUCAAGACUUAGUUCAAGAAUAUAUUUCAGUUUCAGUUGAUGGAAACAGGGGUACAACUACUAAGGAAUUGAAGGCCCUUCAAAUCAAACAUUAAACAGAGUUGACCCAUAACAUUUGAGUUCUUGGCUUGUAGUUGGAAGAGGAACACCUCUUCAACCCCACAAUUGUUGAGUUUUACAUCUUCCUAAUUUAUGAAGUGGUCUCCCUGUGUUUUAGACAGUCUAGCAUUAUUCUUUUCAUCAUGGGUAACAUAAUUUAUGCAUAACAUGCUACUGAAAUAGUUCCUAGUAAGUAUUAUUUGAGCCAGCAAUAAUCAUCAGCAAAUCCUGUAAGAUAACUUGAUAAAUAACAACUAAAAACUUACACACAUAUAUAUAUGGGAACAUCAAGAACAUCUUCUUUUGCUUACCUCCUUUGGUGUUUCCAUUGCUUUUGCUGCUAAUCUGAUAGAUUGAAGUCUCUACAGAACCCUCUCUGCGACUUUCCAGAUCAAGAUCCGAAAAGCCAAAGGGCAAAGAUAUAGAUUUAGGUUUUCUGCUUUGCUUGCUCCUUGGAGUUGAAUGAAAAGAAAAAUGAUGAAUAUCUAAAAAUAUAUAUAUAUUCUGCUAGUUGUUGAAACACGUGCCAAAGAAGGUAAGAGGAAACUUGGCAAUUCUAUUUCGGUUCAUGUUUCUGUACUUUGUCUUGUCAUAAUUGUGUUUAUUUUUUAUAGUUUGAGAUUCAUGUAUUUAUGUUAUUUUCUUAUAUCAAUAAUACUUUACAUAUUUUUUUUCAUGAAAUCAUAUUUUAGAUUAUGUUCUUUUAAUCACCUUGCAUUCAACUACCGGAACAAAGUCAAAACUAAUCACUCUAUAUACUGGAAAUGCCUUAAGUUUUCACAAGGAAGAAUCGAUAAACUCAGUUGACAUUAUUUUCUGGUUCCAAGUUUUCACAUGUAUGCACAUGCAUCUUCAUCAAUUUUCAAGCACUCAGUUUAAUUUCACAUUUUUCUUAAGAAUUCUUAAUCUAAUCUUGGGUCAGAUUGGUUUAAACCAUUUGACCAAAUUUCACAUCACACUCUAUCUAAGAUGCAUUACUGUCAAAUAAACAACAUAUUUAACCAUUUUACAAAUGGAAAAGUGCUCCAGACAGAUUCUCAUAUAGAACAAAAAGUCUGCCGUUGCUACAAAAAUAAAGGGACUAGUGCAAAACAUUCUUUCAUUCCAUUGUUUCAGUUAAUGAAAGAUACCUUUGCAACAAACUUCCCAAAAAUGUACCUUUUUUUUUUACAUUAUGAAGACGGGUUUUUUUCCUGAAAAAUGAAGACUGAUUUUAAAUUUCAGCACAAUUACAAACUUGUAAACAGACUACCUGACAUCCGAAAUGCAAUCCGAUGGAUGCACCAAUGCAAACAGGUGACGACAAUAAGGUUGCUUAAACGAACUGGUUCAUUGAUUUUCAUCAGCAACAAUGGCUUUUCCAGGCAACGGAAUCAACAAGCAACCUAUCCAACAAGCUUUGGCCUGGAAGCAUAAAUAAAUGAUAGCCCAAUUCUUUACUGCAUCAGAUUUCCGGUUCAGAAACUAAACUAAGUACCCGAAGAUUUCUCAUUGGCAUCAGAAAUGUCAGAGUUUCGUUCCUGAUCUCUCUUUCCCCUCCAGAGUAUAAUUUGUUCAUCCUUGAACAAAAUAGGUACGCAAGGAGCCAAGUCCUACAUUUACAGGAAAUAAGAAAUAAACCCGGAAAAUUAGAGUUGGAUUGAAGAACAUCAACAUUUCUACUAAAAAUUCUUGUAAACAGCAGAAACAAUGAGAAAAUAGGAGAAUACCCUUAGCUUUACACCGAUCCUUUUGCAGUCACUCGUACCAACAUGGGUGCAGUCUAGUCUAAUCACCUCCUUAGUCUCGAAUGCCUCCUGGACCCUGGCCACUACGUUUACAUACACUCCAUUCCUCGCUGAACAUAAGAUUUCACCAUCAGUAAUUACUCGAACAAUCCAUUUAUUGUUAUCAAUGAUUUUGCAAUGGUCACAAACACCAUCAAAUCAUUUCUUUUGAGCUACAUUAGCCGAAAGCACUGAUGUUGGUUCGGAAGCAACCGACGUUGAAGCAUGAAAUCUUUGAGAUUCUUCUUCAUGGUCAGCAUUUUUCUUUGAGUGUUCACAAAAACCACAAAAAGAAAACGCAACAAACGCAUCAUAUUCAUCCCACAGUAGACACAUUUUUGGUGAAGUAUACAGACACUGAUGUUGUCCCUUGACAAUGAGAAGCAAUCUCACGAUGCAAAAAGAAAACUCGAGAACGAUCAACUUUAUUAAAACGUUCACUAAGAUCUGUCUAAACUGUCGCAACACUAGAAGCAAAGACUAUUUCGGCUGAAAGCUCAUUGCUAACAGUGUUUAAAAUUCAUGACAACACUAGAGCAUUGCAUAUAUCCUGUACAAGCACAAUUUCGCUCGGGCCUAAACAAACCUAAACCUACCCAGACCCAAAUACUAACCCGAUUCAAAACAAGCCCAAACAUUAUGGCCCAAACCCAACAAAGACUAGGGUUUCAGAACCCUAGCCCCUUCCACAUGCGCCGUACCAUUCUGACCCCUGCUCUGCCAUCGCCGCACAUCCCAUCAGCGCCGACGCCGUUCACUCCUACCUCUGACGCCGCACCUACUCCUGCAAAAACAGAUGCCAAACAGAGAGAAACAAGCAAAGGCACAGGAGAUAAUAGCAAAGCUCAAUUUAUUUUUAUUUUAUUUUAUUUCGGGUAUAAAAAACGAUUUGUAAACCGAAAUGGGGGGAUUUUUCGGAGUUUUUUCUCUUUCGGCAAAAGCCGAACACUGUAAAAGGGGAUUCUUUUUUUUGUUUCUUUUGUAACAUUUCACAAAACCAAGAAAUAUAAAAAUCAAAGGUGAUUUUCGUUUUGCAUUUCUUUCUUUUUUUAUCUCUUUUUUAUUGUUGUUUAUUUUUAUUUUUAUUUAUUUAUUUAUUUAUUUUGAAAAACAGUUUACAUUUGCAAAAAAGAAAAAAAAUAUAAAGAGAAAGAGCAAAAAAAAUACCUUUUCUGUUUUUCGGCCACCGUGUACGGUGCCGGCAUGGUGGCGCUACGGCGUUGGCUCGCCGGAAGCUUGGCCGGAUUUUGGGGAGAAGAAAGGGGGAGAGAGAGAAAAUUUUCGGAUUUUUUUUUCUGAAAAGAGGGGGAAAUGAAAUUUUUUGGAAAAUUUUUGAAAUAUAUAGGACUGUGAAACGGCGCCGUUUUGGCCCAUCUCCAAAAUGCCCAAAACGACGCCGUUUUGUCUUGGAUCGGACCGACCCGACCCGAACCGCCAAGGAUCCGCGUGUUUCUGGAUAAAAGGGGUUAUUUGCGCUCCUGGUCCUUCCGCUUUUGAGGCUGUUUACGAUUGGGUCCUAUUUUGUUUUUGUUUUUCAAUUUUGCCACAAAAUUUCAUUUUUCUCUCGAUUUGGUCCUCAAUGAAGCUGUGCGUUUUAGAGGAGAAGGGAAAUUGUCCCUUCCAGCCCCUCUAUGUUAUUCGCACAUUCAAAUCAAUCCCUCCUUUUUUUAUUUUGAUUUCACCCCGUAUUGUUUGCUUUUAUUUCGAUUUAGUCCCCUUUUUAGCAUUUUUAUUAUUUUCUUCAUUAUUUUAAUGUAUUAUCAUCUUUUAUUAUUUAUUAUAUUAUUAUUAUUAUUAUUAUUAUUUUACAAUUUCAAAUAUGUAUAUAUAUAUGUGAAUAAGUUUUUAUAAUAUAUGUAUGUUUUUUUAUCCGUAUAUAUAUAUAUGCACAUUGUUUUAUCUUAGAAUUUUUUUAUGUACAUAUCUACGUUCUUAUAAUGUACAUGUUUAUAUUUUAUAUAUAUUUUUAUAUAAUCUAUUUAUAUAUGUAAAUACUUAUAUUUUCAUGUUUUAUAAUUCAUAUAUAUAUCCUUUAUUUAUUCUCUUCAUUUAUUUAUUUAUGAACAUAUUUGUUGUUAUUUUAUCUUGCUUUAGUUUUGUCUAUUUAGUAUUUAUCAUGAUGCCUGCACAAUUACUUUUAUAUUAUUCUUAUUACUAAUUUAUAUUUCGUUUUGCUCGUAAUUAUUUUAUUUACAUUAUCAUCAUUAUCAUCAUCAUUCCAUCACACUCAUUUUUAUUUAGAUUUCAAAAAAAAAAGAAAUUUUAAAAAAUAUAAGUAAUACUCGGUAUUUUGGAUCUUCGAAAAAAUCGAGCCCUAAUGUAUUGGGUCCCGAUUUUCUUCGUUGAAUUUAAAUAAUCGAGAUUACUCUUUUAAAAAUGAUAAAAAGCUCGUUAUCGAGAAUUCAAUACGUUGUGUCCUAAUGUAUUGGAUGUGACACGUUGUUUUCUCGAGACGAAGAUUUUUCGAAAUAAAUGUAAUAUUCAAUGUUUAAUAUUUUGAUAAAUUGUGCCCUAAUGUAUUGGGUUGCGAUUUUUUUCAUUUAAUUUAAACAAUUGAAUAUUCUUUUGAACUUUAUUACACGAAUCUUUUCAAACUCAAGUUUUAAAUGAUAUCGGGAAUUAAAAAAGGAUCGUGUCCUAACUUACUGGUCGUGAUCCUUUUUUUAUCCAAGAUAGUUAAAUAUCUUUUGAACAAGCAUUUUCAUUCGCGUAUUGGGAAUUCGAGACAUUGUGUCCUAACUUACUGUAUAUGAUUCUCUUUCUCGAAUAACGUAAAACAUGCCCUUUCCCCAAAUUUUUAUUUAAUACAAGGAUCGUAUUUUUAAUUUUUCCAAGUUCUCGAUUUUCGACAUCAAGACAUUAAGUAAUUGACUAGGUACCAAUUUUGGGCGUAUCGAGGGUGCUAAUCCUUCCUCGUACGUAACCGACUCCUGAACCCGUUUUUCUGAAUUUCGUGGACCAAACUUGUUGUUUUAAUAAAAUCAAACCGUUUAUUAAAAACAACCACUUUUCGAGGUGAUCCGAUCACACCUCAUAAAAAAAGGAUUGGUGGCGACUCCCGUUUCAUUUUUUAAAACCCAAGUCGACCCCUUUUUUCAUCCAAAAAAUGGUGUCAACAGCUUGGCGACUCCGCUGGGGACUUUUUUUAAAAAUAAGUGAGUCGAGCCAUGAGUUGAUUACUUUUUGUCUUUUUGUCGAAAAUUGAAAAUUUGGUUUAAAUUUACGAUCCUUUCAUGGCAUUUCAUUCUUCAUUAUAAUAUUCAUCAUUGUGGUUUAUAAUUGCUCUGUUUGUUUAAAUUUUGGUAUCUUUUGCAUUGCAUUGCAUGACCUAUGGUCACACCCUUUUAAGUGGGAGUGAGAAGCUACUCCUUCGUGAGGUUUUCACCUCCGUGCAGGAUAGUGGAUCACUUUCGGGAUACAUCCGUACCUAUGUCUUUGUGAGAUUUUCAUCUCCGUGCAGCCAUAGGGAAAUGUAUUCCCCUGAACCGAACUCGGUCUGUAUGAGCCUAUAAUGGGUGAAGGUCGAGGAAUCUGCUGGUUCGGGUACCUUAACUUUAGAGCCAAACCUCAUAUAGUGGACUUAGGAACUUAGCCUAGAUAGAGCCACUCCAAACCCCUAGUAGUCACCCGAUUAGGUACUUUCUGUUCUCCUUGUUUAUUUUUGUACUAACCCCUUUUAUUGUGCUUUGAUUAUGAUUGCAUCGCAUCUGUAUCUGCAUCUUAGGAAAGAGACUACUAAAUUAGAAAGCUUGUCAUGGAAUACGGAUUCCUUGAUAAAGUGGAAAACAAUACGACUUCCCAAAUAUAUUCUGAGAAACACAAGAAGGGCGAUAAAAGAGUUCGUGAUCUUUACUUCGUGGCCAAAGGGUUCGAGACGAUUGUCCAAAAGCCUUCGACAAACUGACGAGCCUUAUGAAGAUGGGCAGAUGAUGGAUCGCGACCAAGAUCAAGAAAAUGAGCUAGCAAUAGCAUCUAUUAGCCAGAUUACCUCAAACAUGCGGAUGAAGAAAAAGACCGAUGUUGUUUCUUGGAAUAUGAGGGUGAGGUCGUAUAUGUAUCCAUUUUAUGUAAGGGAAUUUACUUUCUAGAAAAGUUUCCUAAAUGUAAUUGAAUCAGAAUCAACGUCUCUUUAGGCAUUCAUUUCAUGCGUUUGCAUUACAUUGUAUUAUAUGCGUUAAAAUCCAUUGAAAGAGUCUAAACGAGUAAAUUUAUUUCAGCUAACCUGGAAAACCAACCAACCAAACACCUUUACGAUAUCCAAGUAAAGACUAGAGAAAUGGAACGAAGGUUGGAAAAAUUAGAGCGAAUGCAGAUUCAGAUGCAGCAGCAAUUGACUGAAUUUCAACAGGAGAUGAGAGAUCAGAUUCUAGGAUUACAGAGAACCAUGAUAAGUCAGUUCAACCGAUUGCUAGCUGGAGAAAAAAGGGAGGACUCGAUGGACCACUCGGGGGUUGAUAAUGAGGAUUUUGCUUAUUCCCUAGAUUGUACUCCGAUAAGUGCACAGAUACAGCCAGAUGGGCGUUCACACGGGGCACCCUUUACUAUCAGAUCACAACGGUAUCAGACUGGUACAACAACACCAGUGGGUUGCUUGACGGACCCAAGGUCCAAAGUGAGGAACAAUUUUCCUGUUGCUCUCGACAACCUGGCUGAAACAAAGCAGGCGAGGGUGGAAUACCUAAGUACCACAAAGGCCCCAAGGAAGGAGGGGAAUAAAUGGGAUAAUGCGGGCAGGUAUAACAAGGGCCACCCAAAACCAAUCACUGCGGGCCGACCAAAGACAGAAACCACCAGCUAUCAGAGGUCUUCAAAGCAAGAAUCAGGAGUGAAACAAGGUACUGAGAACCUCCAGUUCACGCCAAUUCCGAUGACGUAUAAGGAGCUGUACCAAAAUUUAUUCAAUGCGCACAUCGUUUCCCCUUUCUACUCAAAACCUCCACAGCCUCCGUACCCCAAAUGGCAUGAUGCGAAUGCACAAUGCGAAUAUCAUGCGGGAAAUACGAGGCAUUCCAUAGAAAAUUGCAUCGCCUUUAAAAAGGUGGUUGAAAGGCUUAUCAGUAUAGGCAUUGUCAAAUUGGACGAUUUAUCUAGUACAGAAAACCCGCUACUCAAUCAUACGGAUAAUGAAAGGAAUGCGAUGAACGAAAAGAUGUUGGGAAACGUUCACAUCAGUGCCGAAUACGAAGAAGCAACCGGAGAAGAGAUCUUAUUAGAUGUUCGCCCUUAUAAACUUAGGAGUGUUCUAAAGAAGCCCCUGUAGUAUUUAGAGCUUACUCAGAGUAAUAUUCAAAACACACUUGUUGCUUUCAGCCUAGAGGCAACAAGAAGUCUUUUGUGAAAUAGGCUCAUGUCUGAACGCCGUUAUUUUAAUGAAAUGCAUCUUUGCGAUCUUUUAAACCAAUAUUCUGUCAUUUCUUAUGAAUGAUUAUUAUUUUUAUUCUUUUAUUCUUUCAUCCAAAUCAUUCUUUCAUUCAUUCAUAACCAUAUUGUGCAGAUAAUUAUUCUUAAAUUCAUACAUUCUUUGUAUAUUCUCUUGCACCUACAAUAGGUCCCUAGAUAUCAACGACAUGAAUGACACUGCUACAGACUUAGAAUCUCCUUUUGAGCGAGACAUGUGUUUAGAGGGAUCUCACGACUUUGAAGAUGACAUAGAUCGUAGCUUAUCUCCAAACUUGUUGAGGAUGGUAGAACAAGAGGAUAAAUAGAUCCUACCUCUCAAUGAAUCAUUAGAAAUUGUGAGCUUGGUGAAGGCUGGAAUUGACCUGACCACAGAAACGAAGCAAGACCUUGUUGAGUUACCUCUAGAGCUCAAAGAUGUCUUUGUAUAUCAUACCAGGGUAUGCCUCGAUUCUUAUAAUAAAACCUGCACAACAACAUGAUGUUAGAAAUUUACAGUGCGAACGAUGCAAUUCUUUGCCGGGGCAAUGCCUCUCUCAUUGAGUCAGCAUAGCUUUGCCCAUUUGAAGUCGAGUUUCCAUCCCUUCAAGAUGUUGAAGGAUUUUAUCCUGAUUAAAGAGGAAGAUUUAAAGUUUUCUGUCAUAGUUGCGUCCCAAAAGGGUUCUAUGAAACAAAUCUGGUACCAAAGAAGGUUUUUCACAAACAAUAUGAAAGUGGAAGAUGAAAGUGGAAGACUUUAGAAUAACAUUAAUUCUGGUCGAAAAACAUGACUAGGACUUGCCUGAUCUCAUGAGUUCAGACUCAAAAAAAAUCAAAAAAAAUCAAAAAAAAAAACAUUAAAAAACCAAAGAUAGGAAAAAAGGAGAAGAAAAAAAAAAGAAAAAGAAAAAGAAAAAAAAGAGGUCAAGGCGAAAACCCGCAAAGGGCGCUUUGACCAAAGGUGGAUCUGAGUUGAAAACCUGAAAAAGGGCGACUCAAAUUUUAAGCAAAACGAGGCAUGGACAUCACCAUUAUCGAAGACUUCUAAUGGGCAUUGCUUCAUUUUUUUGAGAGGCUACUUCAUGGAUCAAGGUCAUCCUAUACCGAUACAGAAUUUCAGAGAGGAUGGUAUUGGAAAAUGCAUUGAACUUAAAUGAUAGCACGAUAACUGAGGUCUGAAAUCAAUUCAAAAGCAGACACCACGUUUUGUCACCAAAUUACCUAGAGGUGAACAAGGACUGGCAUGAGAAGUUACCAUUUGCCCUCAUUGUUUGUCGAACAUCUGUACUGGGGCAACACCUCCCUUUUUGGUUUACAGGAUUGAUGUAGUUUUACCUAUUAAAAUCCCCUCAUUGCUUGUUGGAGGGAUCCAAUCGCGAUGUGAUCAGUUGGCCCUAGGAAAAGGGUUAAAAGCUAUUCAUCAGAGUCGCAUGUACCAGAAAUAAAUGAUAUGAGCCCACAAUAAACAGGCUCGUCUCAGAUUCCACGAGAGGGCUAGAUGUUAAAAAAGAUUCUUCCUUAACGAAAGGAUUCCAAAGGGAAAUGAAUGCCAAACCAGGAAUGUCCCUAUGUUGUAAAGAAGACCAUUUUCAGAGGAGCACUGAUCCUGAGUGAGAUUGCUAAUCCUAUAAACUCGGAUCCAGUCAAGAAACACUUCGUUUAAAGAAAAAGGAAGGACCAAGGUGAAAACCUGCAAAGGGCACUUUGAGUCAAAAAAAAAAGAAAUGAGAAAAAUAAAAAUGAAAAAUGAAAAAAUGAAAAAGUAAAAAUGGAGAGGCUAAGGGGAAAACCCGCAAAGGGCACCUUAAGCCAAAGGGGAUUUGAGUUGAAAACCCGAAGGGCGGCUCAAUAUUGAUCAGAAUGGGGCAUGAAGUGAUCAGAUUGGGGCAUACAGUGAUCUUACUAUACCUAAAAGGGUAAGGCAACAUCUUGGGGCAUUGACAAAGUCCUGUAGAUCUCCUAAACACAUGUCAAACUCAGAAUGGUCUUCAGAAAGUUUGUACAGAGAAGUUCAAGCUGCGAUAUCUGGGGCACCUAACCUUCAUACUAUUUAUAUAUUGAAUAUGUUCCAAUCAAUUCCUCUUUUAUUCCUGCUACCCUUGAUAAUUCAUUCAUUUCGAGCUAUGCUCUCAAAUCAAUUCUAUUUUAUCCAUUGUUAUAUUCUUUUUUUUUGCAAGCAUGUUGCAUUGGAAUAAUGAUUAAUGGACUAAUAAUACUUUCACAAUGGAAGUUUUGCAUAUUACUCUAGAAGUUUCUAAAUAAUAUAGGAACCUGAAACAAGACUAUUAUUUAGAAAGCACCAAGUUUAAAGGGUGAAAUAUCUAAGAAUGAAGAGUCUAAGUUAAGAUUAUCCCUUCGGAUUUUGUUGUCCAAACAUUGAUUGAACAAAAUGACAAGAUGCCGUGUUGGUGACAAAGCUUCAAUGAACAAACAAGCAAUGAUCACAAAGUGAUAAAAAAGGUUUUCUCGGAGAAGGAAAUUUUGCAAUUGUGCAUGAGCAUUUGUAAUGACACCUUGGGAAAGAGAUAAAGGGCCAAAGAGCUUCACAUUCUGUAUCCUUGAAUUACGAUAGGAGAAGAUUGAGGAAAGCCAUAUCUUUCUACCCUUGGGUUACAGUGAGAGAAUGAUGGUACAAAUUUUGGUGUCCCAGUGGAUAUAACUUUGAGGUUUACAGUUGGGGCAGCCUGGCUAAAUGUUUCUUCAGAAAGCACCAGUUGAGAAGGAAGGUGUUGUAACAUUUCAGUGACAAAGCCUUAAUAAACUUCGAGUAGGGAUAACCUAAGCGAGAUCAUUCUCGGAAAAAUAAAAUUUUGCAUUCAUGCAAACACCAUUCACACAUGUCUAGUUAGGAGCAUUUGAUUCAUUUUGAUCAUUCCAUCCUAAUCAUUAGGCAUAAUUAGGCUCAUUAUACAGGUCAUGUUCCCCAGAGAACAUGUCAGUGAAUAUUAGAGAUCUUAUCUCCCUGAAGUUGCAGUGGAGCAGACGAAAGAAAUCAAUCCUAUCUCCCUGAAGUUACAGUGGAGCGGGUUAAAACCACAGAUCUUAUCUCUCUGAAGUUGCAGUAGAACAGAUCGCAUCCAGUCUUAUCUCCCGGAAGUUGCAGUGGAGCAGACGAAAGAAAUCAAUCCUAUCUCUCUGAAGUUGCAGUAGAGCGGAUUAAAACCAUAGAUCUUAUCUUUCUAAAGUUGCAGUAGAGCAGAUCACAUCCAGUUUUAUCUCCUUGAAGUUGUAGUGGAGCAGACGAAAGAAAUCAAUCCUAUCUCCCUGAAGUUGCAGUGGAGCGGGUUAAAACCAUAGAUCUUAUCUCUCUGAAGUUGCAGUAGAGCAGAUCGCAUCCAGUCUUAUCUCCCUGAAGUUGCAGUGGAGUAGACGAAAUAAAUCAAUCCUAUCUCCCUGAAGUUGCAGUGGAGCGGGUUAAAACCAUAGAUCUUAUCUCUCUGAAGUUACAGUAGAGCAGAUCACAUUCAGUCUUAUCUCCCUGAAGUUGUAGUGGAGCAGACGGAAGAAAUCAAUCCUAUAUCCCUGAAGUUUCAGUGGAGCGGGUUAAAACCAUAGAUCUUAUCUCUCUGAAGUUGCAGUAGAGCAGAUCGCAUCCAGUCUUAUCUCCCUGAAGUUGCAGUGGAGUAGACGAAAGAAAUCAAUCCUAUCUCCCUGAAGUUGCAGAGGAGCGGGUUAAAACCAUAGAUCUUAUCUCUCUGAAGUUGCAGUAGAGCAGAUCACAUCCAGUUUUAUCUCCCUGAAGUUGCAGAGGAGCGGAUUAAAACCACAGAUCUUAUCUCUCUGAAGUUGCAGUAGAGUAGAUCGCAUCCAGUUUUAUCUCCCUGAAGUUGCAGUAGAUUAGACGAAAGAAAUCAAUCCUAUCUCCCUGAAGUUGCAGUGGAGCGGAUUAAUACCACAGAUCUUAUCUCUCUGAAGUUGCAGCAGAGCAGAUCGCAUCCAGUCUUACUUUCCUAGCGUUGCAGUGGAACAGAUUGAAGCUACAACAACGGAUCUUACUUUCCUAGCGUUGCAGUAGAACAGAUUGAAGCUACAACAGCGGAUCUUACUUCCCUGACAUUGCAAUUAAAAAUAUUGAAGCUACAACAGCAGAUCUUACCCCCCUGAUGUUGCAGUGGAAUAGAAUAAAACCAUGAAUCACAUCCCCCUGAAGUUGCAACAGAGUGGAUUGAAGCUAUAAGACGCAUCUUUCUAAAAUGCAGACGAAUGGAUCGAAGCAACAAGAUAGUGGGUUGAAAUAAAGCUACUUGAAGUGAAUCGUCAAGAGAGGUCAAGACUCGGCGAGAUCGGGCAAAAUUGGGCUUUCUUAGUCUUUGCUCUGUUCUCGUUACACGACAACGAGCAAAGAGGGGCAGCUGUACAAGCCCAAUUUCGCUCGGGCCUAAACAAACCUAAACCUACCCAGACCCAAAUACUAACCCGAUUCAAAACAAGCCCAAACAUUAUGGCCCAAACCCAACAAAGACUAGGGUUUCAGAACCUUAGCCCCUUCCACAUGCGCCGUACCAUUCUGACCCCUGCUCUGCCAUCGCCGCACAUCCCAUCAGCGCCGACGCCGUUCACUCCUACCUUUGACGCCGCACCUACUCCUGCAAAAACAGAUGCCAAACAGAGAGAAACAAGCAAAGGCACAGGAGACAAUAGCAAAGAUCAAUUUAUUUUUAUUUUAUUUUAUUUCGGGUAUAAAAAUGAUUUGUAAACCGAAAUGGGGGGAUUUUUCGGAGUUUUUUCUCUUUUGGCAAAAGCCGAACACUGUAAAAGGGGAUUCUUUUUUUUGUUUCUUUUGUAACAUUUCACAAAACCAAGAAAUAUAAAAAUCAAAGGUGAUUUUCGUUUUGCAUUUCUUUCUUUUUUUAUCUCUUUUUUAUUGUUGUUUAUUUUUAUUUUUAUUUAUUUAUUUAUUUAUUUUGAAAAACAGUUUACAUUUGCAAAAAAGAAAAAAAAUAUAAAGAGAAAGAGAAAAAAAAAUACCUGGCAUGGUGGCGUUACGGCGUUGGCUCGCCGGAAGCUUGGCCGGAUUUUGGGGAGAAGAAAGGGGGAGAGAGAGAAAAUUUUUGGAUUUUUUUUUCUGAAAAGAGGGGGAAAUGAAAUUUUUUGGAAAAUUUUUGAAAUAUAUAGGACUGUGAAACGGCGCCGUUUUGGCCCAUCUCCAAAAUGCCCAAAACGACGCCGUUUUGUCUUGGAUCGGACCGACCCGACCCGAACCGCCAAGGAUCCGCGUGUUUCUGGAUAAAAGGGGUUAUUUGCGCUCCUGGUCCUUCCGCUUUUGAGGCUGUUUACGAUUGGGUCCUAUUUUGUUUUUGUUUUUCAAUUUUGCCACAAAAUUUCAUUUUUCUCUCGAUUUGGUCCUCAAUGAAGCUGUGCGUUUUAGAGGAGAAGGGAAAUUGUCCCUUCCAGCCCCUCUAUGUUAUUCGCACAUUCAAAUCAAUCCCUCUUUUUUUAUUUUGAUUUCACCCCGUAUUGUUUGCUUUUAUUUUGAUUUAGUCCCCUUUUUAGCAUUUUUAUUAUUUUCUUCAUUAUUUUAAUGUAUUAUCAUCUUUUAUUAUUUAUUAUAUUAUUAUUAUUAUUAUUUUACAAUUUCAAAUAUGUAUAUAUAUAUGUGAAUAAGUUUUUAUAAUAUAUGUAUGUUUUUUUAUCCGUAUAUAUAUAUAUAUCUUAGAAUUUUUUUAUGUACAUAUCUACGUUCUUAUAAUGUACAUGUUUAUAUUUUAUAUAUUUUUUUAUAUAAUCUAUUUAUAUAUGUAAAUACUUAUAUUUUCAUGUUUUAUAAUUCAUAUAUAUAUCCUUUAUUUAUUCUCUUCAUUUAUUUAUUUAUGAACAUAUUUGUUGUUAUUUUAUCUUGCUUUAGUUUUGUCUGUUUAGUAUUUAUCAUGAUGCCUGCACAAUUGCUUUUAUAUUAUUCUUAUUACUAAUUUAUAUUUAGUUUUGCUCGUAAUUAUUUUAUUUACAUUAUCAUCAUUAUCAUCAUCAUUCCAUCACACUCAUUUUUAUUUAGAUUUCAAAAAAAAAAGAAAUUUUAAAAAAUAUAAGUAAUACUCGGUAUUUUGGAUCUUCGAGAAAAUCGAGCCCUAAUGUAUUGGGUCCCGAUUUUCUUCGUUGAAUUUAAAUAAUCGAGAUUACUCUUUUAAAAAUGAUAAAAAGCUCGUUAUCGAGAAUUCAAUACGUUGUGUCCUAAUGUAUUGGAUGUGACACGUUGUUUUCUCGAGACGAAGAUUUUUCGAAAUAAAUGUAAUAUUCAAUGUUUAAUAUUUUGAUAAAUUGUGCNNNNNNNNNNNNNNNNNNNNNNNNNNNNNNNNNNNNNNNNNNNNNNNNNNNNNNNNNNNNNNNNNNNNNNNNNNNNNNNNNNNNNNNNNNNNNNNNNNNNNNNNNNNNNNNNNNNNNNNNNNNNNNNNNNNNNNNNNNNNNNNNNNNNNNNNNNNNNNNNNNNNNNNNNNNNNNNNNNNNNNNNNNNNNNNNNNNNNNNNNNNNNNNNNNNNNNNNNNNNNNNNNNNNNNNNNNNNNNNNNNNNNNNNNNNNNNNNNNNNNNNNNNNNNNNNNNNNNNNNNNNNNNNNNNNNNNNNNNNNNNNNNNNNNNNNNNNNNNNNNNNNNNNNNNNNNNNNNNNNNNNNNNNNNNNNNNNNNNNNNNNNNNNNNNNNNNNNNNNNNNNNNNNNNNNNNNNNNNNNNNNNNNNNNNNNNNNNNNNNNNNNNNNNNNNNNNNNNNNNNNNNNNNNNNNNNNNNNNNNNNNNNNNNNNNNNNNNNNNNNNNNNNNNNNNNNNNNNNNNUGGAAUCUUCACUUGAAUUAUGGCUUGUGACUUACCUAAACAAGCUUGGGAAAGGCUGAAGGAGGAGUUCAUGGGAUCGGAUAAGACAAGGCAGCAACAAGUGAUCAACCUUAGAAGAGAAUUUGAGAAUUUGAAAAUGAAAGAGUCAAAGACUAUUAAACAAACUCUGGUAGGAUCAUGCCCACUGUUAACAAUAUUAGACUCUUAGGAGAAGACUUUAGUGAAAACAAGGUUGUUGAGAAAGUUAUCACCACACUCUUUGAAAGAUUUGAGUCAAAAAUCUCUUCAUUGAAGGAGUCGAGGGAUCUCACAACCAUUUCUUUGUCUAAGUUGGUGAACUCACUUUAUGCACUUGAGCAAAGAAGGGUCAAUAGGCAGGAAGAACACCCUGAGGGAGCCUUUCAAGCAAAAUCCAGAGAAGGCUCAGGCUCAGGCUUAAGUUAGAAAGCAAAGAAGCCUUGGGUUGAUAGAGGGAGAAAUUAAGAAAAGAUAGAGGGAGAAGAAGGUUUCCACCAUGCAUUCUCUACAAGAAGACUAAUCAUUUAAAGAAGUACUGCUGGAACAUGCCAGAUGUUCAGUCCAAAAGUUGUAAACAAUAUGGUCAUCAUGAAAAGGUAUGCAAGAACAAAGAGAAGGCACAAACUCAGCAGCAAAUUCGAGCUAAUGCUGCUGAGGACCUUUAAGCUCAUGAGGAGCAUGUCUUUUCUACCUCAUGCUUUGAAACCACAAGCAAAGUCAAAUAUAGUUGGCUUGUGGAUAGUGGCUGUUCACAUCACAUGGUAGCUGAUGAAAGCUUGUUCAAGAACCUUGAUAGGACCUGUAUCUGAAAGAUCAGGAUUGGUAAUGGGAACCUGAUCGAAGCCAAAGGUAGAGGUGAUGUUGUGAUCAACACUGGUUUAGGUAACAAAGUUAUUUUAGAUGUGCUUUAUGUGCCUGAUAUAGAUCAGAACUCACUUAGUGUAGGUCAGUUGGUUGAAAAAGGCUAUUCACUUGUUUUUAAAGAUGGUUCUUGUGUUAUUAAAGAUUUUUACAGCCAGGAGAUUAUCUUAGUACCUAUGGCAGAUAAAUGUUUUAUGCUUGAUUUAAGUCAGCUUGAGAAGAAGGCUUAUCAAAGUCUAGCUGACAGUACUGGCCUAUGGCAUAGAAGACUAGGCCAUGUCAAUUUCAAAUCCCUCGAAUUGUUGUACAAGCUGAAUUUGGUAGAGGACAUUACAAAAGUUGAGGUAAGGGACACUGUUUGUGAGGCAUGCCAACUUGGUAAGCAAGCCAGAUUGCCUUUUCAGUCAACAAGGCAUGGAGGGCCUGAGAAAGGCUUGAAUUGGUACAUUUUGAUGUUUGUGGACUAAUGAAGACCCCUUCACUGAAUGGCUGGAAGAAGGCUAUGGAAGCUGAACUUGACAUGAUCCACAAGAAUGACACUUAGGAUCAGGUGGAUAGACCAGAUCAGAAGAAAGUCAUAGGUUUCAAGUGGGUUUUUAGAGCCAAAUUUAAUGCUGAUGGCUCAUUGAACAAGUACAAGGCAAGGCUUGUGGUGAAAGGGUAUAGCCAGCAGCAUGGCAUUGAUUUUAUGGGGACAUUUUCUCCAGUAGCAAGACUAGACACCAUCAACCUUCUGUUUGCCUUGGCUGCACAGAAGCAAUGGAAAAUCCAUAAACUUGAUGUUAAGUCAGCCUUUUUAAAUGGCUUCCUUAAAAAAGAGAUGUAUAUCGAGUAGUCAGAUGGUUUCAAAGUCCAAGGAAAAGAGGACAAAGUUUAUAGGCUGAAGAAAGCACUUUAUGGCCUUAAGCAGGCACCUCGAGCUUGGUAUGACAGAGUUGAUGCUUAUCUGUCUAGGCUCAGAUUUGAAAAAAGCCUGAGUGAACCAACAUUCUAUAUGAAAAAGUCCAAAGAUAAGACCUUGCUGAUUGUUUCAAUCUAUAUGGAUGAUCUGUUGGUGACUAGAAGCAAGGAAGAUUUGAUCCAAUAAUUCAAAGAAAAAAUACAAGAAAUGUUUGACAUGACUGACUUGGGAAUCAUGACAUACUUUCUUGGUAUGGAAGUAAACUAGUCUGAUCAAGGCAUUUUUAUUAGCCAGCAUGCUUUUACUUUAAAAAUUCUCAAUAAAUUUAGCAUGGAAAAUUACAAACUAGUGAGCACACCAUUGGCUCAAGGGAAGAAGCUGACAAGUUUUGGAAAUUAGGAAAGAGUUGAUGAAAAGGAGUAUAGAAGCUUAGUUGGUUGUUUGCUUCACCUAACAGCAACCAAACCUGAUCUCAUGCAUGCUGUUUGUUUAUUGUCGAGGUUUAUGUAUUGUUGUAACAUAACUCAUCUCAAGGCAGCUAAGAGGAUACUAAGAUAUGUCAAAGGAACUUUGAAGUUUGGGGUCAUGUUCAGGAAAGGAAGUGAGCUAAAACUAGUUGGUUACUCAGACAGUGACUGGGCUGGCUCUAUCUAUGAUAUGAAGAGUACCUCAAGCUAUUUCUUUACACUAGGCUCGAGAGUUUUCUGAUGGAGUUUUAAGAAGUAGAAAACAAUUGCUUAGUCCACAGCUGAAGCUGAAUACAUAGCAGCUGUAGUAGAAGUCAAUCAAGCCAUUUGGCUUAGAAAGUUGCUAAAUGAUCUAAAUGAAGAGCAACUUGAACCUACUGAAAUCAAGGUUGACAACCAAUCAGCAGUGGCAAUAGCGAAAAAUCCAGUUUUUCAUGGCAAGACAAAGCAUUUUAAGAUUAAGUUUCAUUUUGUUCGAGAAGCUGAACAAUCCAAAGAGGUAAGUCUUGUUCAUUGUAGCUCAGAAGAUUAAUUCGCUGAUAUUUUGGCAAAGCCUCUUGGUACAACGAGAUUAGAAGACUUAAGAGAUUCAAUUGGUGUUUGUUGCAUACAGUCCAAGGAGGAGUGUUAAGCAUUGGCCUGCAAUGCAACAAGUGACCAACAAUAGCAGCUCAGCUAGCUUGCCAGCACCGAGAUUGAACCAGAAGAAUUUAGUCAUUUUGCUUAUUUUGGUUAUUAUGUAACUUGAUCAAGUUAGCUUGUGACUUGAUAUCUAAAUUUAGUAAGUUUCAGAUUUGAAUUUGAUGGAUGUAAUAGCUGACAUUAUCAGCUUUGCUUUUGAGUAUUACUUAAGUUAAAAUUUAGUCAAUUAUAGUAGGAGCAGUUAAGUGUUUAGGUAACUUCCAUUUAUCUUUGUAACCACUAUAUGUUUCAAAUUUUGAAUGAAAUGAGUAUUCCUUCAGUUACAAUACUGGUCAUUGUUUUUCAUUUUUUGUUUUUGCCAUUUUUGGUUUUGUUUACUGCUGUCAUUGAUCCAACAAUUUCUGACAAGACUGCUGCUCAUCUGAGCUUGUCAUCUUCUUUGUCUAAAUAAUCCUUCGCCUCCAACGCACUUGCAAUACUAUCUUGUACCUUCAUUACAUUGAACUCCUUUGAUAUGGUAACCCAGAUUACUCUUUCGAAUCUUUGUUCUUUCAAAAGAUCAUUGUGGAUGUGCUUCAUGAUCGUGGUUUUACCCAUAUUGCCCAUCCCCCAUCCCCCAAACCCCAAUAUGUUUUACCUCCUCUUGCAUCAAACAUGCCCAAAUCUCUUUUCUGGCAGCUUCCUCCCCAACUAGUUCUGAUGUUGGUAGUGGCAACCCAACACUUGGACCAUCCAUGGUAAGAGCUUCAGAGGCAUUAGGAGCUUUAUUAAGAAAUUCCUUUAUUUCUCGAGUCUUUUCAUCAACCAGCUUUCCGUUCCAAGCAUGACAAAGAUAUCUCCCAUUUCUGACUUGAUUUUUCACAUCCCGUGCUUCUGCAAUCAUCUUUUUUGCAUCUUUCAACCAAUUUUCAACUCCCUGCUUUGGUAUCUUCCCCCUGGAGAAAGAAGCUCUGCUUUCAAUUACAUCUCUAUGUCUUCCAUUUUACAAUUCAAUUCAUCUCUGUUCCUCCCGAAGUUUCUCACAUAAUCAUUCAGCUUUCUGUGAUAUUUCAAGUAUUUACAAACAGGAGGUCCAAGACAAUUCGCAAUGUCAACAGCAGGCUCUACAUAUUCCAUUGCUCUGCCCCUGCAACGCAAUCAUAUGUGUUAGUCUAUUGGAUUUUUGAAUAAUUUUUUAUAUUUUAGUGUAAGCAUGAAAAGGAAGCAUAAUGUAAUGGCCUUUAUUAGAUGGAGCUAUGGAUAGGUGGCAGACAGAAAAAUGAAGAAAAUCUGGUCACCAGAGUUAACCUCUCAAUGUAUAUAAAAUGCUAGAUUCAAGUGUGCAACAGUUCAUGACGGAAUAUUAAGAGCUAAAAUGUUCAACAGUUUGAGAUUUCUAUCUAUGAUAGAUUAUGUUUGCUGGUCAUCCUAUCCUGUCUUAAAAUCUAAAACUGUUGAUAAUCAGUAGAGGAAAUCAUUGCCUUAUUACCUGACUCAGUGGCAGGAAUGUGUGGAAAGAUUAGAAUUGAAAAUGAAGCAGUGAAGUUCACUUCCUUGACUAUCUUACAAAGCUAGCAGAUAAUAAAAAAUAAUCAUUGCAUAGUCAUGAAUGAAGCAAGGAAAAGCAUGUAAUGAAGGAAGCAAAUGAAAGAAAAGUAGGUAGAGUGGAUGGUUGAAAUUUUGUGAAAGAAGAAAGAAUGUUGUGGGUACAAAGGCAAAGUAUUAAUAAGGAAUCCCAUCUUUUUUUACUUUUCCUUUACUUCUGCCAUUAUAGUUGGCAUUUUGGGUAUUUGAUUCUCAGCAGUUGUAUCUAUCAGCUGAUUUACAAUUUGAUUCUUCUUUAAAUCUGUAAUAAUUCACUAAUCUGACAUGUCCUUUCCAUUCAUUCUGGACAUUACUUACAAGUUUUGCCAUCAUCUUGGUGCUCAAUUGUAACAACAACAUCAGUAGCAGCAGCAACAUAAUAAUGGGAAAGUAUGGUAUAAGAAUGCCUAAUUAUAUGUUACAACUUGAAAUUAAAUAUACUAGUCGGCAUCCUAUAAAAAAAUAUAGUUGUUCUUACAUAUGAUGUUUGUAAGACGUGAAUAAUGUGAAUAAAUCUAUUCAAGUACAUAUAAAUUCCUUCAUAAGUUACACUUGUAAAUCUAAAUUGUGGUUUAUUGAUUGGGUGUUCACCGUUUUUAGAAAUAGCAUAAAUUCAAGUUAUCAUUGUACCCAAAUUUGAAAUUGUUUUAAAAUUUUAGAAUAUUAUAAAAUUAAAAAUUAAAUAAUAGUAGAUAAACAUUUCAACAAGAAAUAAUUAUUUUUAAACCCUCUAAAAUUUCUCUUUAUUAUCUAUAUCGAAAAAUCUAAUAUCCAUUCUUCAAAAGAAAUAUAGAAAACAAAAACAUUAAGCAAAAUCAUUUAUUUUCUGUUUUUUACCUCUUCUGUUCCUUAACAUAACUUUUACAUUAUAAAAAAAGAAAAAAUUCUAAAUAUAAUUUAUUUUUACAAUUUGAGUUUUGAAAAAUAAUUGAAAUGUAAUGAAAUUUUGAAUUGAGUUUGAAAAAGAAAUUUUGGUGGUAUAUUUUGUAUUCUUGAUACUAAAAAAUGGCAUCAAGUUCAAUUUCAUAAGCUUUUGUCAUAUAAGUUCUAGAUGUGCUUCAAAGACAUGAAACUCAACUUGAUAGUAUUUCUAAUUUGGUUUUGUUUUGUUUUUAAAUUGUUAGUGGAUUCUAUUGAAUUAUAAUUUCCUUUAUUUAGCUAUUCAACAAUAUAUUUGCAAAGUAAGAUAUUUGACUAUGAGGGUGUAUUCGUCUUUUUAUAUAUUUAUAAAUCAAUAAAAAUUUAUUCAUAACAAGAUUUGAAUCAAGGACACCAUGCAUAUAAAUAUUUUUCAUUUACUUAUGAACUAAAGCAAUUUUUACUUUUUACUUUUCACUUUAAACUUUAAACUUUAAUAAGUAUAUAUGUAUUCAAAAUUUGUGUAUAUAAAAAAUAUUAUUGAUUUAGUGUCGCAAAUAAACACGACACAAACUCAGGAUUGAAGAUAAAACAAUGAUAAACAAUUGUAUUUUUUAGUAUUUUUUUGUUUAAAUUUCAUGUGUUAUUAUUAAUUAGUUCUAAAUCUGAUUGCAAGUUAAUUUUAUAUAUUUAAUGUACCUAAUUUCGGUAAAAUUUUUAAUAAGAUGCUAUUAAACUUGUGAUUUCUUACUUAAAUUUUAUUAGGGACACAAUUGGAGUGCUAAAGUUCAGAAACAAACAAAUCGGACUAAAUUGGAACAAAGAGCAAGCGAGAGGCUAAAUUGAAAGUUUCAGAAUUAUUUUUAGGCUGACAAAAAAAUUAGAUUUUUUACUUUGACAAAUUCUAUUUUUGGAAAAAUCUAAUUUAGUGGUUGCUUGUUGAGCACGAUUCUAGGAGUAAAAUUAUGUGAAAUUUAUUUGACAAAUUCUAUUUUUGGAAAAAUCUAAUUUAGUAGUUGCUUGUUAAGCACGAUUCUAGGAGUAAAAUUAUGUGAAAUUGAUUCUUUGAGAUGUGUAUAUAAAGAUUUGUAAUUGCGACAUGAAUACACACUUUCAAUUUAAAAAGGCAAUUUAGCACAUUCUUGUGUCUAUUGCAUUUGAAGCAAUCUGUCAUUGUUUUUCUCUUUUUAUAUUUUGGUGCAAUUGCCCUUUUAGACUUUUAGUUCCCUCUCUUCUUCACUUAUUAUCUUUUUCCAUUAAAUUUCACUCUCAUAAUCCAAUCAAGUAUGAUUUAUUUCAUGUUCAACUAAUCUUUGUUUAGCUUUUGACUGGUUAUCAUUUCGAUCAAGAAACAUGAGAAAUGAAGCCACGCUAAAACCUUACAAUACGUAUUCAGUAUCUCUCCAGAAUAUGAGAUAGUUACAAUUAUCCCUUAAAGUUAAUUCAAUUUCAACUCAAAAAGUGUGGAUUUGAGUUGUUUGGUGUACAGUUGAGAAAAUGAGUUGGUUACAUUAGUCCCCAAUUUUUAUACUCUCUGUCAAUUUGAUCUUGAUAAUAUAUAAAUUAGUAAAAAUUUAAAAUUAUUUUAAAAAAUUUAUCAAAUUAUAAAAUUAAAAAUUAAAUAAAAAUAGAUAAAAAUUCAAAAAUAACUAAAGUGAGAGAAAAUUAGGGUAAUUUUUUUAAACCCUCCAAAAUUUCUCUAUAUUAUCUGUAUCAAAAUAUUUAAUACCCAUUCUUUAAAAAAAACAUAGAAAAGAAAAAUAUUAAGCAAAAUUAUCUGAUCUCUAUUUUUUACCUCUUCUGUUUCUUGACAUAACUUUUACAUUGUAAGAAAUGAUAAAAUUCCGAAUAUAAUUUAUUUUUACAAUUUGGGGUUUGAAAAAUAAUUUAUAGGUAAUGAAAUUUUGAAUUGAGUUUGAAAAAAAUUUGUGGUAUAUUUUGUUUUCUUCUAAAUAAAAAAUGGCAUUAGGGUCAAUUUUAUAAGCCUCUAUAAUACCAAUUCUAGAUGUCGUUUAAGACCAUGAAACUCAACUUGAUAAUAGUAAAGAUUCGGUUUCGAGAAAUAUUGAGGAAUCAUGUAAUGAUCUAACUCUUUUUUUUUUUGGUUUUGUUCUCUUUUUAAUUUGUUAUCGAAUUCUAUUCUCUAUCUUCUAAUAUUCCUAGAUUGUUUUAUGAAAAAUUACUAUAGAAGUUCUUUAUAGAAAUUGGUAUUCUUGCUAUGCUCUAUUCAAUGCUCGGUGAAUUGUUUUUGUCAGUGCAAAACGUUGACAAUCAUUAGUAUUGACACCAUUUUUUGAUGAAAACGGGGUCGACUUGGAUUUGAAAAUGAAAACGAAAAAACGAGAGUCGCCACCAAUCCUUUUUGAUGAGGUGUGAUCGGAUCACCUCGAAAAGUGGUUGUUUUUAAUAAACGAUUUGAUUUUAUUAAAACAACGAUUAUGGUCCACGAAAUUUAGAAAACAGGUUCGAGAGUCGGUUACGUACGAGGAAGGAUUAGGACCCUUGUAAUGCCCAAAAUUGGUACCUAAUUGAUUAGCUAAUGUCUUGAUGUCGAGGAUUGAAAACUUUGAAGAAUUUUAAAAAUACGAUCCUUGUGUUAAAAUGUUGAAAAUUUUGGGAAAAUAAGCAUAUUUCACGUUAAUCGAGAAAGAGAGUCAUAUCUAGUAAGUUAGGAUACAAUGUCUCGAAUUCCUGAAACGCGCAUGAAUGCUAAAAAUUUACUUAUUUAAAAGAUAUUUAGCUAUCUCGGAUGGAAAAAAGGGAUCAUGACUAGUAAGUUAGGACACGAUCUUUUUUCAAAUCCCCAGAUCGCUAAAUAUCUUUUAAAUAAGUAAAUUUUUAGCAUUCGUUCGCGUUUCUGGAAUUCGAGACAUUGCGUCCUAACUUACUGGAUAUGAUUAUCUUUCUCGAUUAACGUGAAAUAUGCUUCUUUUCCCAAAAUUUUCAACAUUUUAACACAAGGAUCGCAUUUUUAAAAUUCUUCAAAGUUUUCAAUUCUCGACAUCAAGACAUUAGCUAAUCAAUUAGGCACCAAUUUUGGGCGUUACGAGGGUGCUAAUCCUUCCUCGUACGUAACCGACUCCUGAACCUAUUUUCUAAAUUUCGUGGACCAUAAUCGUUGUUUUAAUAAAAUCAAAUCGUUUAUUAAAAACAACCAGUUUUUGAGGUGAUCCGAUCACACCUCAUCAAAAAGGAUUGGUGGCGACUCCCGUCUUUUUGUUUUCAUUUUCAAAUCCAAGUCGACCCUGUUUUCAUCAAAAAAUGGUGUUAACAGCUUGGUGACUUCAUUGGGGAUGCAAAAUAAAAGAGUCAAGCCACGUGUUGAUUAAUUUUUAUCUUUUGUCGAAAAUUGAAAAUUUGGUUUAAAUGUACGAUCCUUUCGUUGCAUUUAGUCCGUCAUUUUUGUGGUCUUUAAUAUGUUUACUUUUUUGGUUCAAGCCUUUUGAUAUUUUUGCACAUUGCAUUGCAUGACCGCGGGUCAUACCCUCUUAAGUGGGAGUGAGAAGCUACUCAUUCGUGAGGUUUUCACCUCCGUGCAGGAUAGUGGAUCGCUUUCGGGAUACAUCUGUACUUAUGUCUUCAUGAGAUUUUCAUCUCCGUGCAGCCAUAGGGAAAUGUAUUCCCCUAAACUGAACCCAGUCCGUAUGAGCCUAUAAUGGGUGAGGAUCGAGGGAUCUACUGGUUUGGGUACCUUUGCUUUAGAACCAGACCACAUGUAGAAGACCUUUGGAGCCCACCCUAAGUAGAACCACACCAAACCCUAGUCGUCACCCGAAUAAGUGCUCUUUUUGUUCCUUUCUUGCUUACUUUUGCUUUGUACUAACCGUUUUGUUUUGUUUUGUUUAUUAUUGCUUUGCAUUUUCAUCAUAGAAAAGAGGUGUUGAUUCAAAUUUGAUUGCUAAAUAGAAAAGCUUGUCAUGGAAAACAAAUUUUUUGAUAAAGUGGAAUAUAAUGCGAUUGCUCGAAUAUAGACUGAUUAAACACAACGAGAGAAGGCUGAAAGUUCAUGAAGGAAUAUACGACUAUACUUAGCUACCCGAGGAUUCAAACCGACAAAGAUUAUUUGAGAGCUAUUACGAAACUAAAGAGUAUCGCGGGGAAGCAAUGGGUCGUGGCUCAGAUCAAAUAAAAAGGAGAUAGUAGAGAUAGAUUUUGUAAAAUUCACAAGAUUUGAUCCUAGCAUCUGUAUAUGAAGAAAAAGAUCGAUGUCUUUACCUGGAAUAUGAGGGCAAAGCCGCAUAUGUAAUCCGCUUUAUGUAAAGAAAUUUGUCUUAUAGAAUAGUUGUUCUAAUGGAGUUGAAUUCAGAAUCAAUGCCUCUCUUUCUUUUUGCAUUCAUUCCAUGCAUUUGCAUUACAUUGCAUCAUAUGCAUUAGAUUUUCACAAAGUGACCCUAAUUAGGUAAAAUUAUUUUAGUUACCCUGGAAACCAACAAAAAUCUACCAACUAGAUAUCACUAAGGUACCCGUCGCAAAACAAAAGCAAUGGAUCAGAGAUUAGAAAGAUUAGAACAAUUGCAAAAGGAGAUGCAAGAUCAGAUGCAAGAAAAAUGAGCUAAAAUGCAGCAGGACAUGGAAGAAUCCCAAAGAGAUUUAUUGAGUCAUUUAAAGCAGUUAAUGGCUGGGAGGCAUGAUAAGGGGAAGAGCCUUGUGGUAAAUUCUGGGGAUGAUCACGACGACCGUGCCUAUCCUCCAGGUUUCACCCCAACUAAUAUCCAGGCGCAACCAGAGGUGCACCCACAGAGGGUACCUGUCACCAUUAGAUCCCAAUACGAAGUCAGUGUCCCAGUGUCGAUGAACUUUCUAAUAGGCUCAGGUUCUAAUCCCGGGGAUAAUCCUACCAAUCUCGUGGUUCCUGAUCUCGAUGACGUAGCAAAAAUAGAGAAGGCAAGAGCGGACCUUCCAAAACAACUAGAAGACCGUUGUAGGUGGCUAGAAGAGAAGUUUAAAGCCAUGGAAAAUGCCGAUUACCAUCAAGGAAUGGACGCUAAAGAUUUGAGCUUGGUACCUGAUUUGGUGCUCCCUCCCAAAUUUAAAAUGUUAGAGUUUGAGAAGUAUAACAGGACUAGUUCUGUCGAAGGAUGACGGGGUACAUCAACAAUGAUCAAUUGUUAAUUCUUUGCUUCUAUGAUAGUUUGAUCGGGUUAGCUGCUAAAUGGUACAACCAGUUGAGCCGUGCUGACAUCCAUUCAUAGAAGGACUUGGCACAGGCUUUUAUGAAGCAAUACAGCCAUGAAACAUAUAUGACAUCUAACAGAAUUACACUGCAGAAUAUGGAAAAGAAGCCAGGUGAGAGCUUCAGACAAUAUGCCCAAAUAUGGAAGGAGGUAGCGACACAAGUUCAACCACCUCUUUUGGAGAAAGAAACCACGAUGCUUUUCAUCAACACUCUGAAAGCACCGUUCAUUAACCAUAUGUUAGGAAGUGCUACCAUGAUGUCUGGCGAGAUGAUUGAAAAUGCUAUAAGAAGUGGGAAGAUAGAUGUGGGGGAAAGUGCCAAAAGAUCAACCCCAAAGCACAAAGAAAAUGAAGUGAGCAACCUGAGCUUGUAUAAUAAAGGUAAUUCAAAAUCAGUCACUAUAGGCUAGCCAAGGACGGUAGCAGCUAGCUAUCAAGGCCCCUCAAAGCAAGAAUCUAACUCGAGGCCAAACACAGAAAGACUCCAGUUUACACCUAUCCCGGUGAUAUAUAAGGAGUUAUAUCAGAAUCUAUUUGAUGCGCAUGUAGUAGCCCCUUUCUACUCAAAACCCCCACAACCUCCGUACCCCAAAUGGUACGACGUGAAUGCAUAAUGUGAUUAUCAUGCGGGAAUUACAGGGCAUUCCAUAGAAAAUUGCAUUGCCUUUAAAAAAGUGGUUGAAAGGCUUAUCAGUAUGGGCAUUAUCAAAUUGGAUGAUUUAUCUAGUGCAGAAAAUUCGCUACCCAAUCAUGAUUGAUAAUGGAGUGAAUACAAUGCAUGAAGAAGUUGGGAAAUGUUUACAUCAAUGUUAUUGAAGAAGAGACCUUAUUAGAUAUUCGCCCUUAUAAACCUGGGUGUUCUAAAUAAUUGGACUGCAGAAGAAAUCCCUGUAGUAUUUAAAGCCUACUUAGAGUAAUAUUCAUAACAAACUUGUUGCUUUUAGCCUAGAGGCAAUAAGAACUCUUUUGUGAAAUAGGCUCAUGUCUGAACGUCGUUAUCUCAAUGAAAUGCAUCUUUACGAUCAUUUUUGAGCCAAUAUUCUUUCAUUCUUUACGAAUAAUUAUUGUUGAUUCUUUCGCUCUUUUAGAUUUCCUUCCAAAUCAUUAUUUCAUUCAUUCAUGAUCAUAUUGUACAUAAUUUCAUAUAUUCUUUUGUACCUACAAUAGGUUCCUGAAUAUCAAUCACAUGAGUGAUACUGCUACAGACUCGAAAUCUCUUUUUGAGCGAGACAUGUGUUUAGAGGGAUCUUAUGACUUUGAAGAUCACAUAGAUUGUAGCCUAUCUCCGGACUUAUUGAGGAGGAUAGAACAAGAUGGAAAUCAGAUCCUACCUUACAAAGAAUGAAUAGAAUCCAUGACUACUCCCUAUGUGGGGCAUGGAUGUCAUUGAGUCAAUCUUGCCAAAAGUUUCUGGCAGUUAACAAUUCAUCUUUGUAGCCGUCGAUUACUUCACUAAAUGGGUGGAAGCUGCUUCAUAUGCCAAUGUCACAAAGUCGACAGUCAACAAAUCCUUGAAAAAACAUAUUUCAGUAUGGAAUGCCAAAAAGGAUCAUAUCUGACAAUGCGCUAAAUUUGAACAAGAGCACGAUAUUAGAAGUUGGCAGUCUAUCCAGGAAUAAUACCAUGUCGCCCCAAAGUGAACAGUGCAUCAAAAAGAAGAAGAAGAAGAAGAAGAAGAAGAAGAAGAAAAAGAAGAAGAAGAAGAAAAAGAAAAAGAAGAAAAAUGAAAAAAUAAAAGGGAGAGGCCAAGGUGAAAACCCACAAAUGGCUCCUUGAAAGCAAAGGGGAUUUGAGUUGAAAACCCGAAAAGGGCGACUCAAAUUUUGAUUAGAAUGGAACAUGAAGUGAUCGGAGCAGCUCAAAUUUUGAUUAAAUUGGGGCAUGUGAUGAUCUUACUAUACCUGAAUCAAUAGGAAAGGGUAAGCAACAUAUUGGGGCAUCGACAAAGUAAUGUAGAUCUUCUAAACACAUGUCAAACUCAAAAAGGUCUUCAGAAAGUUUGUACAGAGAAGUUCAAGCUGCGAUAUUUGGGGCACCUAACCUUCAUACUAUUUAUACAUUGAAUUUGUUGUUCUUGGAAUACUUCAUUCUUUUUCAAGAUAUGUGUUCCAAUCAAUUCCUCUUUUAUUCUUGAUAAUUUACUCAUUUCGAGCUAUGCUCCCGAAUCAAUUAUAUUUUAUCUAUCAUUAUGAUCUUUUGCAAGCAUGUUGCAUUGGAAUAAUGAUUAAUAGACUAAUAAUACCCUCACAAUGGAAGUUUUGCAUAUUACUCUAGAAGUUUCUAGAUAAUAUAGGAACCUAAAACAGGACAAUUGUUUAGAACACACCAAGAUUAAAGAUUGAAAUAUCUAAGAAGGAAGAGUCUAAGUUAAUACUAUCCUUUCAGAUUUUGUUGUCCAAACAUUGAUUGAACAAAAUGACAGGAUAUCAUGUUGGCGUCAAAGCUUCAAUGAACAAACAAGCGAUGUUCACCAAGCAAUAAGAAGAUGUCAUCUAGGAAAAAUUCUUCAUUGAUGCAUAGGCAUUCGGUAUGACACCAUGAGAAAGAGCUAGAUCUUAUACUCCUAAAUUACAGUAGGAGGAAGAUAGUUUAAAUUUUAUGUCCCAAAAUUACAGUGGACUUAACUUUGAAGAUUACAACAGAUUGAAGUUUGAAGGUUACAGUGGGGGCAAUCUGGUUAAGUAAGAGAUUAGUGUUACAUGCUGAGCAAGAUAGCAUCCUGACGUAUUGGUAAUGAAGCCUUGAUGAAGAACGAGCAAUAACAACUCAAACAUUGAGGGAUCAUUUUCAUGACAUUCUGCAUUCAUCCAAAUGUCAUUCAUACGCGUCUAGUUAGGAGCAUUUGAUUCAUUCUGAUCAUGUCAUCCUAAUUACUAGGCACGAUUAGGUUCAUAAAAUAGAAUAUACAGGUCAUGUUCCCCAGAGAACAGAUCGAUGAAGAUAGAAGAUCUUGCCUUCCUGUAUUGGUAGUGAAGCAGAUCGGAAGCACCAACCUUAUCUCCCUGAGCAGCAGUGGAGUAGGUUGAAGAUUACAAUCUUAUCUCCCUAAGUAGUAGUGGAAUAGAUCGAAGAUGGCGAAUCUUAUCUUCCCAAGGUAGUGGGGAAGCAUAUUUAAGCCACUAGCAUUAUCUUCCUGAGCAGCAGUGGAGUAGGUCAAAGAUUCCAGCCUUGCCUCCCUGUACUGGCAGUGGAGCAGACUGAAGAUAGCAGAUAUUGUCUUUCUGUACUGGCAGCGGAGUAGACUGAAGAUAGCAGAUCUUAUCUUCCUGUAUUGGCAGCGAAGUAGAUCGAAGAUAGCAGAUCUUGUCUUCCUGUAUUGGCAGCGAAGUAGAUCGAAGAUAGUAGAUCUUGUCUUCCUAUAUUGGCAGCGAAGUAGAUCGAAGAUAACAGAUGUUGUCUUCCUGUAUUGGCAGCGAAGUAGAUCGAAGAUAGCAGAUCUUGUCUUCCUGUAUUGGUAGCGAAGUAGAUCGAAGAUAGCAGAUCUUGUCUUCCUGUAUUGGUAGUGAAGUAGAUCGAAGAUAGCAGAUCUUGUCUUCCUGUAUUGGCAGCGAAGUAGAUCAAAGAUAGCAGAUCUUGCCUUCUUGUACUGGCAGCGAAGCAGAUCGAAGACACCAGCCUUACCUUCCUGUACUGACAUUGGAGCAGACUUAAGAUAGCAGAUCUUGCCUUCUUGUACUGACAGCGAAGCAGAUCGAAGAUACCAUAGUUUGCAGCAAAGCAAACUGGAGAUAAUAGAUCUUGCCUUCCUGUACUAGUAGCGAAGCAGAUCGAAAAACAACGAAUCUUAUCUCCCUAACGUUAAGACUGAAAGCAUCAGGUCUUGUUUUCCUGUAUUGGCAACGAAGUAGAUCAAAGAUGGAAAAUUUUAUCUCCCUGAAGUUGUAGUAGAGUAGAUUAAAGCCAACAAAUCUUAUCUCCCUUAAGUUGUAGUGGAGCAUAUUGAAGUUACCAAUCCUAUCUCCUUGAAGUUGCAGUGGAGGGGAUUAAAAUGAUGGAUCUUAUAUCUCUGAAGUUGUAGUAGAGUAGAUUGCAUCAGACUUUAUUUUCUUAAAGAUACAGUAAACCAAGUUGAAGCUACAAGUCUUAUCUCACUGAGGUUGCAGUGUAGUAGACUGAAGAUAGAAAAGGAUUCAAGCAAAUCAGCAAAAAAAAAGUAGAUCAAAAAUAAGAAAAAUACGAAAGGUCCUUCUUUUUAUUUUUUCUUUGCUUUUGGUUUUUUUGGACUAUUUGUAUUCGAUUUUUUUAUUUUUCUUUUAUUUUUAAACUAUACACUUAUAUAUAACAUAUAGAAGUAAAAAAAAUACCUUUCUGAAUUUUUCGGCCACCGUGUACGGUGGCUGGAGCGACGGCAUCGACGGCGGUUACAUUGCCAGAUUCUAGGCAGUGCCCGGAGAGGGGGAGAGGAAUUGAGAGCAUUUUCAGAAUUUUUUUGGAGAAAAGAAGGGAAAAUGAUUUUUUUAGAAAAAAUUUAACUUAUAUAAGGGUGAUAAAACGACGUCAUUUUGGCUGGUGCUCAGAAGCCCCAAAAUGGCGUCGUUUCGAGGCCGACUCGAGAACCGACCCGCUCCAGGUCAAGAUCAGCUUGUUUUUAUUCAGAAGGGCUAAUUGCACCUUUAGCCCUUUCGCUUUAUAAUGGUUUUAUAAUCAAGUAUUUUUAUUGCUUUUAAUUUUACCCCGGAUUGUUUUUGCGUUUUCAAUUUAUUCCCUACUGGAACUCUGCGUUUUGCAAGAAUGAGAUUAUUUCCCAUUUGCCCCCUCCUAGUUUUCCAUGCGUUCAAGCUGAUCCUUUCUUCUUUAUUUGUUUUCGAUUUCGCCCCCAAAUGUUGCUUUGUUUUUUUUAUUUUAGUCCUUUUCUAUUUUUAUUUUAUUAUUAAACCAAUUAAGUUAGUACUAUUAUUAUUAUUAUUAUUAUUUUUAAUAUUAUUUUUAUUAUCAUCAUAUUUCCAUUUACACUUAUUUAUGUAAAUUUUAAAUAUAUUUAUCUUAUUAUAGUAUUAUUAUUAUUAUUUUAAUUACUUAUAUAUAUACACAUACAUGUGAUUUUAUAAUAUAUAUAUUUAUAAUCUAUCUAUAUAAACAUAUACGUACCUAUAUAUAUUUCAUAUUUUUUAUACAUAUCUAUAUACAUAUUUUCUAAAUUUUUAUAAGUAUAUAUAUUUAUACGUACAUAUUUCUUUUUUUUAUAAAUAUAUAAAGUAUACAUAUAUAUACAUACUUUUAUAUAUACAUGUUUUUACAUAUUUCAUAAUUUUAUAUAUACACAUAUAUGUAUAAUUUAAUUCAUAUUUACGUGCAUACAUACUUACAUAUAUUUUCACGUAAAAUAGCUUUAAAAUAUGUGUACAUACAUAUGUUCUUCAUAUUUUCAUAAUUUUGUACAUAUAUAUAUCUUUUAUAUUUUCAUAAUUUUUUGGAUCAUUUCGUUCAUUUAUUUAUUUGUUUACAUGACAGCUAUUAUUAUUUAUGUUUUAGUUUUUAUCUAUUUAUUAUUUGUCAUUGUGCCUGCAUGAUUGAAUUUUUUUAUAUAUUGGUCUUAUUUAUUUAUUUGUUUGUUUGUUUUUGCUCAUAUUAUUUACAUCAUCAUCAUUAUCAUUAUUUUGCUUCCAUUUUUACUCGGAUUUAUCAAAAAACGAAAAAUUUCAAAAUAAAAGCAAUACUCGAUAUUUGGGAUCUUCGAGAGGAUUGAGCCCUAACGUAUUGGGUUCCGAUUUUCUUCGUUGAAUCUAAAUAAUCGAGAAUGCUCUUUAAUCAAAAAAUAAUAAUAAUAAGCUUAUUAUCAGGAAUUCAAUACGUUGUGUCCUAACACAUUGGAUAUGACAUGUUGUUUUCCUGAGAUGAGGAUUUUUUUUCUAAAAUAAUAAAGGGAGUAUUUAGUAUUUAGAUUCGAGAAGGUCGUACCCUAACUUAUUGGGUUUCAAUUUUCACAAUAAAUCUAAAUGUGUGAAUCUUUUCAAACUCAAGUUUUAAACAAUCUCUUGACACCAUUUUUUGAUGAAAACGGGGUCGACUUGAUUUGAAAAUGAAAACAAAAAAAGGGAGUCGCCACCAAUCUUUUUUGAUGAGGUGUGAUUGGAUCACCUCGAAAAGUGGUUGUUUUUAAUAAACGAUUUGAUUUUAUUAAAACAACAAUUAUGGUCCAUGAAAUUUAGAAAACAGGUUAGGGAGUCGGUUACGUACGAGGAAGGAUUAGCACCCUCGUAAAGCCCAAAAUUGGUACCUAAUUGAUUAGCCAAUGUCUUGAUGUCGAGAAUUGAAAACUUUGAAGAAUUUUAAAAAUACGAUCCUUGUGUUAAAAUGUUGAAAAUUUUGGGAAAAGAAGCAUAUUUCACGUUAAUCGAGAAAGAGAAUCAUAUCCAGUAAGUUAGGACACAAUGUCUCGAAUUCCCGAAAUGCGAAUGAAUGCUAAAAAUUUACUUAUUUAAAAGAUAUUUAGCUAUCUCGGAUUUAAAAAAAGGAUCACGACCAGUAAGUUAGGACACGUUCUUUUUUCAAAUCCCGAGAUCUUUUAGAAUUUGAGAAAAAAAAGGAUCAUACUCGGUAAGUUAGGACACGAUCUCUUUUUAAUUCCCGAGAUUGUUUAAAACUUAAGUUUGAAAAGAUUCACGCAUUUAGAUUUAUUGUGAAAAUCAAAACCCAGUAAGUUAGGGUACGGCCUUCUCGAAUCUAAAUACGAAAUACUGUCUUUAUUAUUUUAGAAAAAAAAUCCUCGUCUCGGGAAAACAACAUGUCAUAUCCAAUGCGUUAGGACACAACGUAUUGAAUUCCUGAUAAUGAGAUUAUUAUUAUUAUUUUUUGCUUAAAGAGUAUUCUCGAUUAUUUAGAUUCAACGAAGAAAAUCGGAACCCAAUACGUUAGGGCUCAAUCCUCUCAAAGAUCCCAAAUAUCGAGCAUUGCUUUUAUUUUGAAAUUUUUUAUUUUUUGAUAAAUCCGAGUAAAAAUGGAAGCAAAAUAAUGAUAAUGAUGAUAUUGUAAAUAAUACGAGCAAAAACAAACAAACAAAUAAAUAAAUAAGACCAAUAUAUAAAAAAAUUCAAUCAUGCAGGCACAAUGACAAAUAAUAAACAGAUAAAAACUAAAACAUAAAUAAUCAUAGCAGUCAUGUAAACAAAUAAAUAAAAGAACGAAAUGAUCCAAAAAAUUAUGAAAAUAUAAAAGAUAUAUAUAUGUACAAAAUUAUGAAAAUAUGAAGAACAUAUGUAUGUACACAUAUUUUAAAGCUAUUUUACGUGAAAAUAUAUGUAAGUAUGUAUGUACGUAAAUUGAAUUAAAUUAUACAUAUAUAUGUAUAUAUAAAAUUAUGAAAUAUAUAAAAACAUGUAUAUAUAAAAGUAUGUAUAUAUAUGUAUACUUUAUAUAUUUAUAAAAAAAAAGAAAUAUGUACGUAUAAAUAUAUAUAUACUUAUAAAAAUUUAGAAAAUAUGUAUAUAGAUAUGUAUAAAAAUUAUAAAAUAUAUAUAGGUACGUAUAUGUAUAUAUAGAUAGAUUAUAAAAAUAUGCAUAUAUAUAUAUUAUAAAAUCACAUGUAUGUGUAUAUAUAUAAGUAAUUAAAAUAAUAACAAUAAUACUAUAAUAAGAUAAAUAUAUUUAAAAUUUACAUAAAUAAGUAUAAAUGGAAAUAUGAUGAUAGUAACAAUAAUAAUAAUAACAAUAAUAAUAAUAAUAAUAAUAAUAAUAAUAAUAGUACUAACUUAAUUGGUUUAAUAAUAAAAUAAAAAUAGAAAAGGACUAAAAUAAAAAAAGCAACAUUUGGGGGAGAAAUCAAAAACAAAUAAAGAAGAAAGGAUCAGCUUGAACGCGUGGAAAACUAGGAGGGGGCAAAUGGGAAAUAAUCCCAUUCUUGCAAAAUGCAGAGUUCCAAUAGGGACUAAAUUGAAAACGCAAAAACAAUCCGGGGUAAAAUUAAAAGCAAUAAAAAUACUUGAUUAGAAAACCAUUAAAAAGCGGAAGGGCUAAAGGUGCAAUUAGCCCUUCUGAAUAAAAACACGUGGAUCUUGACCUGGAGCUGGUUAGUUCUCGAGUCAGCCACGAAACGACGCCGUUUUGGGGCUUUUGAGCACCAGCCAAAACGAGGUCGUUUUAUCACCCUUAUAUAAGUUAAAAUUUUUCUAAAAAAAUCAUUUUUCCUUCUUUUCUCCAAAAAAUUUCUGAAAAUGCUCUCAAUUCCUCUCCCCUCUCCGGGCACUGCCCAGAAUCAGGCAAUGGGACCGCCGUCGACGCCGUCGCGCCAAAAAGGUAUUUUUUUACUUCUAUAUGAUAUAUAUAUAUAGUUUAAAAAUAAAAGAAAAAUAAAAAAAAUUCGAAUACAAACAGUCCAAAAAAAACCAAAAGCAAAGAAAAAAUAAAAAUAAAAAGGACUUUUCGUAUUUUUCUUGUUUUUGAUCUACUUUUUUUUGUUGAUUUGCUUGAAUCCUUUUUUAUUUUCAAAAAAAUCCCCCUGUUACAAUGUUUACAAUCGGUUUUUAUACCGAAAUACAAAAUCCUCCUCUUGUCCUAUGGUUUGUUUCUUUUUAUCGUUUACAGGUAACUGAUGCGGCAAGUGGGCAAGUGGGGGUAUCAGGUGAAGCAGGUGGCGAUGGGACGUGCCGACGGUGGCGGCAGAAGGGUCAGAGAACCCUAGGUGCGCUGCACCUAGGGUUAGAUUUAGUUGUUUCUGAUUUGAUUUUUUUGGGCUAGGUUUAGACAGUUGGGCCUAUAAUUUUGGGCUGGUUUUGUUUGGGUUAUGUUAUGUGGGUUUUGGGUAUUGGGUUUGUAAUUGGGCCCCGGGUCAAAAAUUGGGCCCUACAAUUAGGUUUCAUUUUAUCCUCAAGGUCAAUUUGUGAGUAACUCUUUUGCACAACAAUAGAUAGGUGGGGGAGAAUAGAAGUUUAAAAUACUGGCAUCGAUACACGUAUUGAAACCUUUUUUAAUUUCUCAUAAAUUCAUUUUUAUCACCAGUAGCAGUUAUGGGAACAAUAAUCAAAGAAAACAAACAAUAUUAUGAGUCAAUUUUUAUGGUGUUCGGGGCAAAUUUCGUUUUUAAAUUCCACAAAGGUAAAGUAAAUUCCAUCUUUUCUUGUUAUUAGUUUUUUCCUUUGCUGUUUUCCAUUAUUGUUGGCACUAUUGUUCUCUACUAUGAUUCUAAAAUAUAAUAUUUGUAAAUCACAUGUAUCUAAAUUAGAGCAAAUAGUAGUCUUAUGAUUUACAUUAAUGCAACAUUUCAUGGUGCCUCAAAUUCCAAUUCUUUUAGUCUCCUACAUGUUCCACCUUUAAAAAAAGAAGAAGAGAGAAUGAACCUAAAUUCGGAUACCUAAUCCUUCCUCUACGAAAUUAGAGUUACCUUCAAAUUUUAAUUCCAAUACUGACAUUGUAAUGCCCUAAUUAUUUAACUUUGUUUCUGUGAAUUUUAUCACAAAUAUGUAUUUGCUUUAGGGGCCAAGUGUUUUGAUUGUGUGUUUGAUGUCUUAGGUUCAACUCCCAUUUUUUGAAAUUUUUUCUAUUUGUGAUCCUAGCCUAUUCCUUAGUGGUUUGGCUUAUAUUCUAUUGCUAGUCAAAUCAUAUCAGAAUGAGCUUGCUGGUUUCAGUGGUAAGGUAUUAGCUUGCCCUGAGGUCUCGUGUUCAAAUCUCUGUAUGAGUGUGAAUGAUAAUUUUUGUUGCGAUUGUCUGAUAAGGGUUCGGGAGAGUUGAAAUUCUGAGGUAGUUAGAUGUGAAUUGAAGUGUCAGAUUUGGUGGGAUUAGGUUGAUUAGUGGGUUAGUGGGGAGUUGGGGGAGAAAUUAGUGAUAUUUUAUUAAAAUUUUAUUUUUAAUUUUUUAAUUUUAAUUUUCUUUUUUUUUUCCGAAAAAAAUUUCCUCUCUUUCUAUUUUAUUUUAUUUUAUUUUAUUUUAUUCAAAAUAAAAUUCAAUAUACAAAACCAAGUCAUUUAAAUUUUCAAAGCAUUUUGUAUAAUUUAAGGCUUCUAAUUUUUUUGUGUAAAAAUCAAAACUUAUUUGCAAAAGUUUAAAAAUAUGCCCCAAACUCUCUGAUCACCGUGUCGUGACCUCAUGAUUCCAAUGUUGCAACAUCGACCAAUAUCGGCAUCACGAUAUGGACUAGAAAAUUUGCAAGAAAAUUUUAGUACUUGUGUUGGACACCUUGACACCCUCAUACACAUACCAAAUCGAGAUUUCAUGCUAUUCUCCCUAUUUUAACAUGUCAUAUAACUUACAUUAACAUGUUUUGACAUCUCAAGUAAAUUACUAUGCUAUCAUUUAACCCUAAAGUCACAAUUCAAUUACUCAAAAUGUAAAUUUUGCAUUUUAAGUAUUUCUAAGUGCAUAAUUGAUACAUAACAUACUAUAUGGUCAUUUUGGACUUACCUCAAUACGCAACAAGCCAAUCCACCUGCAAUUUACAUGUUAGCCAAUAAACAAGUACACAACACCUUACUAAUUCAACCAAUAACAUGCAUUCUCAAAUCUUCCAUUGAAAGCAUUCAUUCGAACCAAUUUUAAAAGUUCUAAAAACCAUUUUAAACAACCCAUAUUGUCCAUUAAUAAAACAUUAACAGUUCAAAGUCUAAAACCCUUUAGAUUAGUCCCACAUUGCCUUCCUUAUUGAUUUAAAAACACACCAAACUUAGUCAAGUUAAAUUGUCUUGCUUUGGAUCACUUGCCAGCUCACUUCUCCUCCUCGUUUCGGCUAUAUCUCUGCACUGUUAAAUAUAAAAGAGUGUGAGCUUUUUCAAGCUCAGUGAGUGCUUAGAAAUUGCCACAAGUAAUCACAAUAUCCAAUGUUAAAAGAAAGCAUACAAUCACAAUUAAUCACGGUGAGCAAUAAAGCAUAAUUCAUAGCAUUCACAUUAAUAUGUUGCCAGAAUGUGAUUAUGAAGCAUAUGUACAAAAUAUAUUGCAUUGGGUAACCAGAUUUUCAAAUACGACCAAUAUAAUGUGUAGCGUAAAGCUAUCACCCUCCAAAAACAUCCACUUAAACAUGUAUACUUAUUGUUUUAUGCACACUUUCACAUAUCACACAACUCAUGUUCAUAUCACAUAUUCAAGUCUCAUAUCAUGCACUUACAAGUGCUCACAUUAUGCUCAAAUAGUCACAACAUAUAGAUCUCAUAUAGUGUAUAUAAAAUCAGCAAGACUCAUAUCAUAUUCAGUCAUGAACACAUAACAUUUUUAUUGUCAUCUCAAUAUACAACACAUAACAUAUCACAUUUAAGCAUCAUUUGCAAAUCAUCAUUAGUUUAGGUAGAAACACUUUUGAAAAUUGGAAGGUGUGGAUGUGUUUGGAUAGCUAGAAAAAUCAUUAAGGAUGAGUUAAUUUUGAGAGAAAAUAUUAGAGUUGAAUUUGGGGAAAUUUUAAAUGUGAAAUUCAAUGGAGGGUACGGACGUCGGGUUCUUAAAGAAACGGGGAAGAUGAGUAGUUUUUUUUUAAAUAAGGAAAAAUUGCAUUUUAAAAACUUCCAGUUUUUCUUUAUUUUUCAAUUUAGACCUUAGCUUAAUUAAAACACAUUUUUCUCAAUUAUUUUCAAACCCGAUAUUUAAAAAAAAAAUUCAUUUUAACCAAAUUAAUUCCCGAACACUCAAUUUUAAUUUCUUAAAAUAAAAUUAUUAAUGAUAUUAAUUUUAUUAUUUUAUUUAAUUACUUUCUGAUUAUUUUAAUGAUCUAACUUAAUUACGAUUUUUGAUUCACUAACCCCCGAUUUACUAUCCCGAUUUUUGGGAUGUGACAUGACAACAUUAUGUAAAUAUGAUAUAAUAAUAAUCACUGAUAGCAUACAAAUAAAUUAUUGAUUACAUACCCUAUUGUAUAAACUAAAAUAUAUUUAUACUACAAGUUCUAUAAUAUGAUAUCUAAAUGGGUUAAUUUUUAAAAUUGCAUAUUUUAAAAUUAAAAAAAAUUAUAGAAAUGUUAAUUUAUAAUUAUUUCUAACUUAUGUGCUUUUCAAUGUUAAAACUUUUAAUAGAAUUAUUAGUAAAAAAUGCAUGAAUGAUUGAUAGCAUAAUCAUUUUAAAGACAUAAUUAUAAAUUAAUUAUAUAAAAAGGGUAAACACUUCGUAACAUAGUAAUAAAUAAUUUAUAAUACAUGAAUAAAUUAUGGAUAAAAUAAUAAGAAAUAAUAUAGUAUAAAAUUAAAUAAUUAAUAAUAUAAUAUAAUAUAGUAAUAAAAUUUAUAAAUAUCAUUAUUUUUAAUGCCUAAUCGUAAAUACAUCAUUUUAAUUAAUAAAAAUUUAUAAUAGUUUUGUCUCACCUUAAAUCAUUUUGAUUAAAAUAUGUUUAUAUUUUAUUAAUAUAUUAAUAAAAAUGGAAUAUAUUUUAAUUUAUACAUGAUCUUAUUUAUUAUUUAUUAUAUGUUAUUUUUAGAUAUUAAAUACGUGGUAAGAUUUCUAGCAUUAUUUGAACCUUUCAAACAAUAAAAUUUUUAAUUAUUAGACUCUUGAUAUACUCUUAGAAAUAAUCUACAUUUUUUUCUAAAUCUAGACCCAUUUUUGGCCUAACUCGGUCAAUCCAAAAAAUAACUCAUUUUAUUGUUCAAAAAUAAUAAAAUAAUUUUAUUAUAAUAUUUUUAUAUUUAAAAUUUAAAUUUAAAAAUAUUUUUAUUAUUUAAAUUGAAUUUGAAUUGUACCCUCUCAAUACAUGGAAGGCAAUACAUGGAAGGGUCUAUAGUCAACUUCUAUACCAUAUAUUUUUCUUUACUUUAAAAUUUGAAGCGAAUAUAUAUUAUUAUAUAAAAUUUACAAAAUAAUAGAUUAGUGUUAGAUGUGAUAAAAGAUCAGAAUAAUAUCAAAAUAAGUUUAUAACUUAAAUGUUUUAAUUAUAAAUAUGAAAUUUUAGAAGGUUAUUUUGGGAAUUACAUAUAUAUAUAUGUAUAUAUUAGAGAAGAAAAAGAGAAUAGAAGGUAUGGUAAGAGGGAAAAUGUUUAAAAAGUGGAGGCAGUUUGAUUUCUUAUUUACCUUUGCCUCUUGACCUCUUCCUUCCAUCAUUCCUUUUCUCCUCUCUUUUGCACUAUCCUCCCCCCUACUUCUUUCCCACCAACCCUUUUAUCUUUCUCUUCAUCAUCAUCACAAGCAUACUUCCAAUUUUAUUAUUAUGGAGAAAUUAGAUUUAUCAAAAUAAAAAAAUAAACUAAACCAUAAAUGGUUCAUACCUCUUAUCCUCCACGGGGGUUGAAGCGAAGAACAUUUUUAAAGUUUGGAUGGUCAUCCCACUCCAACGAUUCCCACCAUUCUUUCCUUGACUUGAUGGUAAGAGAAGGUGGAGCAUAUGCAAAUGGCUGCCCAUUGCCAACAAAGGGAACAAAUGGAGGAAUUCUCUUUAGUUUAUCACACUUAUCAACACUGAUAAGCUCGAGAGAAUCACAAACCAUCACUCCACAUUUGCUGCAUAUGCUCUUCAAAUUUGGUAAUCUCCACAAUACCAGCUUUCUCAAUUUGGGAAGAUGGAAUUUGAUUAAUGCAUCACUCCCUUUUUCUUCAACUUCUGAUGUUGCUGCUCCCAAUAUUUCUACUAGCUGACUACAAGCACCCACAAAUAUUUCUUCCAGGUUUUGGAGGUUUGGAAGCAACCAAGGUGGAAGCAACGUCUUCAUACUUGAGCAGUUCGCUAUCAUAAUUUCCUUGAGUUGGAAGACGGAGCCACUGUUGAUGUUGUUGCUGAACCAAUUCCUGCAUCUUUCAUAAUAAGGGCACUCAACUUUGGCAGAAUUUGAAGAUCCAACACCUCGAGGCUCUGAAAUGGAUGAGCGGAAGAAGAGGCAAAAGAGAACAAGGAAACAACACACUUUAUCCCUUUACAAUCAUAAAUCCUACAAACCCUCAAGUCAAUCGCAUUUUUGAAGGAAGAAUUAUCAUCGACUAAGUUUCUCAAAUAGUCGCACCUUGAAAUAUUAAACUCUCGAAUUUCAUAUGGGUGCAUAAUUAACUCACCUUCCCAAUUCUGGACUCCUCCAAUUUGUUGAAUUUAGUUCCCAUGCAAGACAUGCAAAGGUGGCCAUGCAAGGAGAAGUGGCAGCAAGCAGUCGAGCUAUGAAGUGCAGAAACUGGAGCUUGAAGUUGCCUAACUACUUGUUAUGUUUUGAUUGUAUUUUUUAAUUAUUAUUAUUUUGUAAUCUAGUUUAUGUUGAACUAAGUUGGUAAACCUUAUGAUGUGUUUUUUUUGAUUGAUUGACUGAAAAAUCAGCAAAGAAACUUAAGCAAGCUGAUUAACAAUUUCCAAUGUAAAUUUAGUGGUGUUAGGUAUGUCAUUAGGUAAAGACUUGUUCAUUUUGUUGUUGUUAUCUAUUAUAUGUAAUGGCAUUAUGCCUUCUGGAUCAGUUAAUGAAAAUAUCAGCUCUUUUCAUUCAAAAUACUCUCUCUCAAUUUCUUUUGUUUUCCAUUCGCAUGUGUUUCUGUUCUUGCUUCUGAGUUUGUUUCUUCAGCAAGGCUCGAGGCUUGCUAUACAAGCAAGAUUGAAAAUAGUCUGUUGUUGUCUCUUUGCACCAACAAUUGGUAUCUAGAGCUUCAUUCUUAGUGGACCUGUUUUAUCAAACUAAGAAAGCUGAAUGUCUUCCUCAAGUUUUUCACCAGCAGCCCCACCAGUCUUCAAUGGAGAAGGCUUCCACAUAUGGUUGGUCAAGAUGAAGACUUACCUACAGGCCUUUGAUCUGUGGGAAGUUGUCAACACAGAUGCUGAGCCAGCACCACUGAGGGCCAAUCCCACAGUAGCUCAGAUUAGGCAACAUGCUGAUGAGAGGACCAAAAGGCACAAAGCCAUGUCCUGCAUUCAGAAUUGUGUGUCAGAUGUCAUCUUCACCAGAAUUAUGGCCUGUGAGACUCCAAAACAGGCACGGGAUAAGCUUAAGGAGGAGUUUCAAGGCACUGAGAGAAUAAGGCAACAGCAGCUAUUGAAUUUGAGAAGGGAUUUUGAGAACCUGAAGAUGAAGGAAGAAGAAACAGUGAAGCAGUAUGUAGAUAGAAUCAUGGCAGUGGUUAACAGUAUAAGGCUCCUUGGUGAGCACUUUGAUGAGGCAAGGAUAGUAGAGAAAGUUCUCUCCACUUUGCCUGAGAGAUAUGAGGCCAAGAUAUCCUCUCUUGAGGACUCAAGAAACCUUGCUACCAUCUCUUUGACUGAGCUAAUCAACACUUUCUAUGCUCAAGAACAAAGGAGAGCUAGCAGAGCUGAAGACCACCAGGAAGGUGCAUUCAAUGCUAAGGCCAGAGAAGCCUCGAGCAUCAAUGCUCCAAGAGGUAAAAAGCCUUGAAAAAGCAGGCCUAAGCCUGAUACUGCAAGGAGCAAUGACCAGCCCUGCAGACAUUGCAAGAGGCCAGGUCAUCCAGAAGACAGAUGCUGGUUCAGGCCAGAUGUAGUAUGCCAACACUGCAAGAAGAAAGGCCAUGUUGAAAGGGUUUGCAAAAAUAGAACCAAGUCAAGGCAGAGUCAAUUUCAACAACCAAAGGUUGAAGCUCGAGUAGCUGAGGACAGUAGUGAUCAAGAAGAGCAGGUCUUUGCUGUUUCUUGCUUAGUUGCUGAGAAGAAAUGCUCAAAAGGCUGGUUAUUGGACAGUGGUUGCACUAACCACAUGUCACCAGAUGCCUCCUUAUUUAAAACCUUAGAUAGAAGUUGCAAAACCAAGGUCAAGGUUGGAAAUGGUCAGUUCAUAAGGGCUGAAGGAAGAGGAAAGGUGCUGAUAUGUACCCCCACAGGCAACAAGAUCAUUCCAAAUGUGCUGUUAGUGCCAGAAAUCGACAGAAACCUUCUCAGCAUAGCUCAAUUGCUCGAGAAAGGCUAUUCUGUUGUGUUCAAGAACAAACAGUGCCACAUUGCUGAUCCAAGUGGAUCAAGCCUUAUGACAGUCACAAUGACUGACAAAUGCUUUGAGGUACACUGGCCAAAUGACUCAAAGUCUGCAUAUACAGCCUCUGUUGAUGAUUCCAAGCUUUGGCAUCAAAGGCUUGGGCAUGCCAACUUUAGAUCAUUGGCUCGAAUGGCCAAAGAAGGCUUGGCAGAGAACUUUACUAGCUUAGUGGAGCAUUAUGAUGUGUGUGAAGUUUGCCAGAUGGGGAAACAGGCAAGACUGCCAUUUCCUACAAAUUCAGCUUGGAGAGCUACUGAAAAACUGCAGCUGGUGCACUCUGAUGUAUGUGGCCCGAUGAGGACUGAAUCACUCAGCAAAAAUAGGUAUUUCAUCCUCUUCAUUGAUGGUUUUACAAGGUUUUGCUGGAUUUUCUUCUUAAAACACAAGUCUGAGGUAGCUCAAGUGUUUGUGAAGUUUAAAACUGCUGUAGAGACAGAAACAGGUUGCAAGCUGAAAUCGAUAAGGUCAGACAAUGGCACUGAGUACACUUCAGCUCAGUUUCAAGCCAUUUGCAAUGAUGCUGGUAUCAAACACCAGCUUACAAAUGUCUACACACCUCAGCAGAAUGGGGUAUCAGAAAGAAAGAACAGAAGCUUGAUGGAUAUGGCCAGGUGCCUGCUGUUUGAGAAGAAACUGCCCAAGACCAUGUGGGCUGAGGCAGUAAACUCUGCUGUCUACCUUCAAAAUAGGCUUCCUACCAAAGCUCUUGCAUCCAAAACACCUUUCGAGGCUUGGUCCGGUUUCAAGCCUUCCUUGGCACAUCUGAAGGUGUUUGGUUGCCUGUGUUAUGCACAAAUACCAGCAGCUAAGAGAGACAAGCUCUCUGAAAGGGCUCAACCAGGUGUUCUAGUAGGCUAUAGCUCAGUUAAGAAGGGCUAUAGGGUGCUGGAUCCUUUGACAAACAUAGUUCAAGUGAGCAGAGAUGUCAUCUUCGAUGAGAAGGCUUGCUGGAAUUGGGAAAAGAAUGAACCAGAAGCUGCUUCAGAAGACCUGGUGCCUAAUCAAGCUGAACUUGAGCAGCUAGGACCUGAAAUGGAUGUUGAUGAUGUGCCUGUGAGAGGCACAAGGCCCCUAGAUGAUAUUUAUGAAAGGGCACAGGUUGCAAUAGCAGAACCUAGCAGUUUUGAAGAGGCUGAGGCAGAUGAAGGCUGGAAACUAGCUAUGGUCGAUGAAAUCAACAUGAUUGAGAAGAACCAGACAUGGGAGCUAGUUGAUAAACCUACUGGAAAGAAGACCAUUGGAGUAAAAUGGGUCUAUCGAGCAAAACAGAAUGCAGAUGGCAGUCUGAACAAGCUAAAAGCCAGGCUUGUUGUCAAAUGUUUUAGCCAAAGGUAUGGUCUGGACUAUCUGGAGACAUUUGCACCAGUAGCCAGGCUUGACACAGUUAGAAUGAUAGUUGCCUUGGCUGCUCAACAUCAGUGGACCAUUCAUCAGCUUGAUGUUAAGUCUGCAUUUCUCAAUGGUUUCCUGGAAGAAGAGAUCUACAUCAAACAACCUCAAGGAUUUGUGGUCACUGGUAAAGAACACAAGGUGUACAGACUGAAAAAGGCUUUGUAUGGCCUGAAACAGGCUCCUUGAGCCUGGUAUGCUCGAAUUGAUUCUUACUUGCUCAGUUUGGAAUUCGAGAGAAGUCGCAGUGAACCAACACUGUAUGUGAAGAAGAACCAAGCUGAAACUCAACUUAUCCUGUCACUCUAUGUUGAUGAUUUAUUGGUGACUGGAGGAGAUAGAAGAAUGCUGGAAGAUUUCAAAAGAAAAAUGAUGGAAAUGUUUGAAAUGUCUGAUUUAGGCAGAAUGAACUACUUCCUUGGAAUGGAAGUGAAGCAAACAGCAAAGGGAAUCUUUCUUAGUUAGAGUUCUUUUACUAUGAAGAUCCUGGAUAAGUUCUCUAUGAAGAACUACAAGCCAACAAGCACACCAAUGGUUGUUGGAGUGAAGCUUUCGAGGCAAGGGAGUGGUGAACCAAUUUGCGAGACUAUGUACAAAAGUCUCAUUGGUAGUCUGUUGUAUUUGACUGCAACAAGACCCGAUAUCAUGUUUGCUGUUAGUGUGCUAUCCAGAUACAUGAAUUGCUGCAAUGAUCAGCACUUUCAAGCAGCUAAAAGAGUGCUUAGAUACAUCAAAGGCACCAUUGAUCAUGGUGUAUUGUUCAAAAGGGCUGAAAACAUGAAGCUGAUAGGCUAUGUUGAUAGUGACUGGGCUGGAUCUUGUGAUGACAUGAGAAGCACAUCUGGAUAUGCCUUUAGUCUUGGCUCAGGCAUGUUUUGCUGGAGUUUUAAAAAGAAAAUUCUGGUAGCACAGUCAACAGCAGAAGCUGAAUAUGUUGCUGCUGCAUCUGCUGUAAAUCAAGCCAUAUGGCUUAGAAAAAUCCUAGCUGAUUUAAAUCAAAAUCAAGGAAAUGCAACAGAGAUUUACUGUGAAAACAAAUCUGCUGUUGCAAUUGCAAAGAAUCCUAUCUUUCAUGGUAGAACAAAGCACUUCAACAUCAAGCUACAUGUCAUAAGGGAGAUGGAGCAAGCUCAUGAAAUCGAGCUGGUUCAUUGCAAUUCAGAAGAGCAAAUUGCUGAUAUCUUUACAAAGGCACUCAAUGUGUCUAAAUUUGUUAAAUUAAGAAGGCAAUUAGGUGUCACUAGCAUGGAAACUAAGGAGGAGUGUUGAAUUUAGUUCCCAUGCAAGACAUGCAAAGGUGGCCAUGCAAGGAGAAGUGGCAGCAAGCAGUCGAGCUAUGAAGUGCAGAAAUUAGAGCUUGAAGUUUCCUAACUACUUGUUAUGUUUUGAUUGUAUUUUUUAAUUAUUAUUAUUUUGUAAUCUAGUUCAUGUUGAACUAAGUUGGUAAACCUUAUGAUGUGUUUUUGUUGAUUGAUUGACUAAAAAAUCAGCAAAGAAACUUAAGCAAGCUGAUUAACAAUUUCCAAUGUAAAUUUAGUGGUGUUAGGUAUGUCAUUAGGUAAAGACUUGUUCAUUUUGUUGUUGUUAUCUAUUAUAUGUAAUGGCAUUAUGCCUUCUGGAUCAGUUAAUGAAAAUAUCAGCUCUUUUCAUUCAAAAUACUCUCUCUCAAUUUCUUUUGUUUUCCAUUCGCAUGUGUUUCUGUUCUUGCUUCUGAGUUUGUUUCUUCAGCAAGGCUCGAGGCUUGCUAUACACGCAAGAUUGAAAACAGUCUGUUGUUGUCUCUUUGCACCAACAUAAUUGUUACUGUUUUCUCCCUUCCACGACCCAUAUCAUCUGAGCUCACCUGUAAAUGGUACUUGAUGAGAUUUUUCUUACUUUGCUGCAUUGAGGAGAUGAACUUAUUCAAUUCACCGAUGUCUUUGAAACGUCCGGUAAAGCACUCCAACUUCUUCAAUGGUUCCAUCUCCUCUGCUUUUAGACUUGUUUUUUCAUUGCUCUCUUGAAAACCCAAGUGCUGAAGGUGAACAAGUUUUGGUAAAAGUCCAGCGGGUAUCUCUUUCAGAGUGCGCACUCUAAGAUCAAGAUAUCUUAGCUUUAUCAGCAUAUCCAUUCCUUCAGGGACUUCCUCAAUUUUAGUCCCACAAAGAUCCAACUUCUUCAAUUCUUGAAGCGUAGAAAGACAUGGCAGAUCUCUUAAAUCAAAACAGCCACCAAGCAACAAUGUUGUGAGGUUCUUUAGUUCAGAGAUGGAAUUUGGUAAACUUUUGAUCUUCGUAGAGGAAAAAUUGAGAACACUAAGACAAGGCAUGUUUGUGAAGAAAGAAUAUGGGAUCUUCUUUAUAGGGUUAUCCUGCAAUAACAAGGUUGUGAGCAGUUGGCAUUUUGUGGGUAGCACAUCUAUGGAAAUUUCUGGUAUGGAGUUAAACAUAAGCGACACUUUCUCAAUAUCUGGACUCCAUUGCUCCUCUUUUGGUAACUCCUCUAAUUGCAAACCUGCUUGUAUCAUAUAUCGAGGAUUCAUUCUUGUGAUCGACAAUGCCAUGUCUCUCACUGCAUCAUGCAUCUUUAUACGAUGUAAACCAAAUUUAGUGGUAAUAUUUUCCAACAAGCAAUUAUCUUCUAACUUCUUCAAAAUAACAUGGCCCUUUUCUUUCAUUUCUUGUCUUGUACCCAUAUCAUCUAUGAAUCCCUCCUCAAUCCAGCACUCAAUUAGCUUAUCUUUUCCAAUUUCAUAAUCUUCAGGAUAUAAUGUGCAAUGUAAGAAACAAUGCUUCAUUUUCUCGUCUUUUAAGUGAUUGAAGCUAACUUUCAAACUCUCGAUCACUUUAUCUUCCCCUUCUUUCACUUUCCCUAUUCUCUCUUUCAAUUCCCUGAGUGUGUUUUUCCUAAUAAGAGGGUCAUCUUCUCCUCUCAAUGUACCAGCCAUGACGACAAUUGUAAGAGGCAGACCUGCACAUUCCUUGACAACAAGCUUCAAAGUUGGCAUUAAAGUUUGAUUUUGCACUAUGUUAGGUCCAACUUCACUCAAGAAUAGUAUCAAUGCCUCUUCUUCUGAAAGGGGCUUCACUUUUAUCACCUUACAGCCCAUAGACUUACAAACUUGCUCCACACGGGUUGUCAACACCAACUUGUACCCAUUGCUGCUACUUGGCUUAGGGAUCCCAAUUUCUUCCAACGAGACUUCAAUCCACACAUCAUCUAGGAUUAGAACAUGCUUUCCUGCUCUCUUCAGCAUUUCGGACAAGAUUGCUGCUCGUCUGACCUUGUUUGCUUCUUCAGGAAUCUUUCCAUUCAAUGCACUUAAAGUUAGAAGAAAGCAUACAAUGCAUUGUUAAACAUAAAAGAGUGUGAGCUUUUUCAAGCUCAGUGAGUGUUUAGAGAUUGCCACAAGUAAUCACAAUAUCCAAAGUUAGAAGAAAGCAUACAAUCACAAUUAAUCAUGGUGAGCAAUAAAGCAUAAUUCAUAGCAUUCACAAUAUUAAUAUGUUGCUACAAUGUGAUUACGAAGCAUAUGUACAAAAUAUAUAAUAAAAUAUUUUAUCAACAUAUAAAAUCAACAAGACUCAUAUCAUAUUCAGUCAUAAACACAUAACAUUUUUAUUGUCAUCUCAAUAUACAACACAUAACAUAUCACAUUUAAGCAUCAUUUGCAAAUCAUCAUUAGUUUAGGUAGAAACACUUACUCUUGAAAAUUGGAUGGUGUGGAUGUGUUUGGAUAGCUAGAAAAUCAUUAAGGAUGAGUUAAUUUUGAGAGAAAAUAUUAGAGUUGAAUUUGGGGAAAUUUUGAAUGUGAAAUUCAAUGGAGGGUACGGACGUCGGGUUCUUAAAGAAACGGGGAAGAUGAGUAGUUUUUUUUUAAAUAAGGAAAAAUUGCAUUUUAAAAACUUCCAGUUUUUCUUUAUUUUUCAAUUUAGACCUUAGCUUAAUUAAAACACAUUUUUCUCAAUUAUUUUCAAACCCGAUAUUUUAAAAAAAAUUCAUUUUAACCAAAUUAAUUCCCGAACACUCAAUUUUAAUUUCUUAAAAUAAAAUUAUUAAUGAUAUUAAUUUUAUUAUUUUAUUUAAUUACUUUCUGAUUAUUUUAAUGAUCUAACUUAAUUACGAUUUUUGAUUCACUAACCCCCGAUUUACUAUCCCGAUUUUUGGGAUGUGACAUGACAACAUUAUGUAAAUAUGAUAUAAUAAUAAUCACUGAUAGCAUACAAAUAAAUUAUUGAUUACAUACCCUAUUGUAUAAACUAAAAUAUAUUUAUACUACAAGUUCUAUAAUAUGAUAUCUAAAUGGGUUAAUUUUUAAAAUUGCAUAUUUUAAAAUUAAAAAAAAUUAUAGAAAUGUUAAUUUAUAAUUAUUUCUAACUUAUGUGCUUUUCAAUGUUAAAACUUUUACUAGAAUUAUUAGUAAAAAAUGCAUGAAUGAUUGAUAGCAUAAUCAUUUUAAAGACAUAAUUAUAAAUUAAUUAUAUAAAAAGGGUAAACACUUCGUAACAUAGUAAUAAAUAAUUUAUAAUACAUGAAUAAAUUAUGGAUAAAAUAAUAAGAAAUAAUAUAGUAUAAAAUUAAAUAAAUAAUAAUAUAAUAUAGUAAUAAAAUUUAUAAAUAAAUUUUUUAAUUAAGUAGAUAAUUUUAUAAAUAUCAGUGCAAAACGUCGAAAUCAUUAGGUUUCAUUGUAUCCUCGAGGUCAAUUUCCGAGUAACUCUUUUGCACAGCAAUAAAUAGGUGGGGGCAAAUAGAACUUUAAAAUAGUGACAUUGAUACACACAUUGGAACCUUUUUUAAUUUCUCAUAAAUUUAUUUUUAUCUCCGCACAGUAAUAGUUAUGGAAACAAUUAUCAAAGAAAACAAAAAAUAUUAUGAGUAAAUUUUUAUGGUCUUCGGGGCAACUUUCGUUUUUAUGUUCCACAAAGGUAAUGUAAAUUCGAUAUUAAUGUUUUCAAAAUUGUAUUUUUUUUAUCACUCGACUAUUUAGUGACACUUUUUUAAUUAGUAUAAUAACAAUUUUAGUCCUCAAAUUUUCUACUUUCAGUCAAUUUAAUCUUGAUAAUAUAUAAAAUGGUAAAAAUUUGAAAUUAUUUUUAAAAUUUUAGAAAAUUAUAAAAUAAAAAAUUAAAUAAAAGUAGAUAAAAAUUUUAAAAAUAAAUAAAGUGAGAGAAAAUGAGGGAUAAUUGUUUUUAAACCCUCCAGAAUUUCUCUACAUUGUAUGUAUUGAAAAUUAAAGAAUUUAUAGUACUUUCCUAACUUUUAUUGUAAAUAAAAGCAAGAUCAUAGUUUUGCCUCACCUUAAAUCAUUUUGAUUAAUAUAUGUUUAUAUUUUAUUUAAAUAUUAAUAAAAAUAAAAUAUAUUUUAAUUUUUAAUACCAUUUAAGUUUUAAUACUUUUUCAAGCCUAGGCCGGUUUUCGGCCUAACUUGGUUGAUCCCAAAAUUCUACAUUACUGUGCAAGAAUAUUUUAAAAAAUAAUUUUAUAUUAAUAUUUAUAUAUUUUUAUAAUUAAAUUAAGUUUUAAAAAUAUUUUAUAUUAUUUAAAUUGAAUUCGAGUUGGACCGACUCAAGACAUGGAGAGAUUUAUAGCCAUCUUCUAUUGUGUAUAUAUAUUUUUAUAUAAAAUUUAAAAUUUAUUAAAAUUUACAAAAUAAUAGACUAGUGUUGAAUGUGGUAAAAGACCAUAAUAAUAUUUGAUUCGAUAUCAUAUCAAAAUAAGUUUAUAACUUAAAUGUUUUAAUUAUAAAUAUGAAUAUAUUAGAGAAGAAUAAGAGAAUAGAAGGAAUGGUAAGAGAGGGACAAUGUUUAAAAAGUGUAGGCACUUUGAUUUCUUUAUUUAUUUGUGCUCUUAACCUCUUCCUUCCAUCAUUCCUGUUCUCCUCUCUUAUCCUCAAAAGGGGUUGAAGCGAAGAACAUUUUUUAAGUUUGGAUGGUCAUCCCACUCCAACCAUUCCCACCAUUCUGUGCUUGACCUGAUGGUAAGAGAAGGUGGAGCAUAUGCAAAUGGCUGCCCAUUGCCAACAAGGGGAACAAAUGGAGGAAUUCUCUUCAGUUUAUCACAUCUAGUAAUAUGGAUAAGUUGGAGAGAAUCACAAACCAUCACUCCACUUUUGCUGCAUAUGCUCUUCAAAUUUGGUAAUCUCCACAAUUCCACCUCUCCCAAUUUGGGAAGAUGGAAUUUGAUUAAUGCAUCACUCCCUUUUUCUUCAACUUCUGAUGUUGCUGCUCCCAAUAUUUCUACUAGCUGACUACAAGCACCCACAUGUAUUUCUUCCAGGUUUUGGAGGUUUGGAAGCAACCAAUGUGGAAGCAACGUCUUCAUACUUGAGCAUCUCUGUAAAUAAAAUUUCUUAAGAUGGGAAAAGGUGGUAGACGGAGCAAAUGUUGAUGUUGUUGCUGAACCAAUUCCUGCAUCAUUCAUAAUAAGGGCACUCAACUUUGGCAGAUGUUGAAGAUCCAAUAUCUCGACGCUCUGAAAUGGAUGAGCGGAAGAAGAGGCCAAAGAGGACAAGGAAACAACACACUCUAUCCCUUUACAUUCAUAAAUCCUCAACUCAAUCGCAUUUUUCAGGGAAGAAUUAUCAUCGACUAUGUUUCUCAAAUAGUCGCACUUUAUAAUAUUCAAGUGUUGAUUUUCAAUUGGGUGCGUAAUUAACUCACCUUCCCAAUUCUGGACUCCUCCAAUUGUUACUGUUUUAUCUCUUGCAGUAGGCAUAAAAGAUGAGCCCACCUGUAAAUAGUACUUGAUGAGAUUUUUCUUACUUUGUUGCAUCGAGGCGAUGAACUUAUUGAAUUCAUUGAUGUCUUCGAAACGUCCGGUAAAGCACUCCAACUUCUUCAAUGGUUCCAUCUCCUCUGCUUUUAGACUUGUUUUUUCAUUGUACACAUCAAAACUCAAGUGUUGAAGGUGAACGAGUUUUGGUAAAAGUCCAGCGGGUAUCUCUUUCAGAGUGAACACUUGAAGAUCAAGAUAUCUUAGCUUUAUCAAUAAAUCCAUGCCUUCAGGGACUUCCUCAAUUUCUGUCCAACAAAGAUCUAACUUCUUCAAUUCUUGAAGCAUCGAAAGACAUGUUGGAAUAUUUUCAAAUAUUUAUAGUAUCCCAAUAACUAUAAAUGAAUGGGUGUAAUUAAUCAAAAGAUAAAACUUUUGGUCAUUGGUCAAAAGUUAUAUCAUUUGAUUUUUUAAAAAAGAAUUAUAACUAUUCAAAAGAUAUUAUUUGAAUAGUUACAAAAUUAAAUGAAUAAUUAUUAUUAUUAUUUAUUUAUUCAUAAAGACACCUAUUGAAAGAUGUCUCUAUGAAGAGACAUGAAAAUUCCUAUAAAUAGGAAUGGGAUUUCAUUUGGAAAUGAUAUCAACAAAUUCUAAUAUUAUUUCUUCUCUUCCUUCAUUUUCUAAUAUUAUUAGAUUAUUCUAUAAAGUAUUGCUGCAGAAAUCCUUUGUAGAAAUUGAGUUUUUGUUAUACAUUACUCAGUGCAUAGUGGACUAUUCUCGUCAGUGCAAAACGCAAAUAGUCAUUGGCUUCAUUGUAUCCUCGAGGUUAAUUUGCUUGGAACUCGUUUGCACACUGAAGAUAAGUGAGGGCGAAUAUAACCUUAAAGAUAGUGGCUUGAUACACGCCUUGGAGCCUGUCCUAUUUCUUCUUUUUCUUUUCGAGUUCCGAUCGUGUGUUCGAGUUUUUUUUCCUUACCGGAGUUUUGUACUAACAAUUUUAAGGUUAUAUUUCAUGAUGACUACCACAACACAUGAAAGUGGAACACUAAGGGAGUUGGCUUCCAACUUUGUUAAACUUGAUCGUUUUGAUGGUGGCAAUUUUCGACGAUGGCAGAAAAAGAUGCACUUUUUGUUAUCAACUUUGAAGAUUGCUUAUGUUUUGGAUACUCCAAGACCUGAAGAGAAUGAAAAUGAAUCUGUUGCUGUAACCCGAGAAAGACAAAAAUGGGACAAUGCUGAUUACAUGUGCAUGGGCCACAUAUUGAAUGGUUUAACUGAUGGUUUGUUCGACACCUACCAAAACGACGUCACCGCUAAAGAAUUAUGGGACAAAUUGGAGGCAAGAUACAUGAUUGAAGAUGUUACAAGUAAGAAAUUUCUUGUCAGUCGUUUCAAUAAUUAUCAAAUGGUUGAUGGUCGUUCUGUUAUGGAACAAUUUCGUGAUAUUGAAAAGAUGCUGAAUCAAUUUAAGCAAUAUGAUAUGAAAAUGGAUGAAAUGAUUGUGGUAUCCUCCAUAAUAGACAAACUUCCUCCAUCUUGGAAAGACUUUAAAAGAAGUCUAAAACAUAAGAAAGAUGAAAUAUCUCUUGAGGCUUUGGCAAAUCAUUUUCGUAUUGAAGAAGAGUAUCGAAAACAAGAUCAGAACCUAAAUUCUGAAAAUGCCAAAGUACAUGUUACGGAGGAAGUACAGACUACUAAACCAUUCAAGAGAAAGUUCAAUCAGACUGAUAGAGCACCUAAGUUCAAAAAGAAACAAAAGGGCUCAUGCUAUCAUUGUGGAAAGCCGGGACAUUUCAAGAAUGAAUGUCGAUUUUUAAAGAAGAAAUCAUUUUCUAAGGCUGAUAAUAACGAAAAGUUCGUUGCAAUGAUAUCUGAAAUUAAUAUGGCACAAGAUGAUAAUACAUGGUGGAUUGAUACCGGAGCAACCAAACAUGUGUGCAAAGACAAAAGCAUGUUCACAAAGUUUACACAAUGUGAAAAUGACAAUGUCUUGUACAUGGGAAAUUCUUCCACCGCAACAAUUAAAGGCAAAGGGUCUGUUGAACUACAAUUCACUUCUGGAAAGGUUUUAACCUUAAAUGAUGUAUAUUAUGUACCAGAAGUUAGGAAAAAUUUAGUGUCUGGAAGUCUGUUGAAUAAGUUUGGUUUCAAACUUGUUUUUGAGGCAGAUAAGUUUAUUUUGUCUAAGGGAGGAAUUUUUGUGGGAAAAGGGUAUAUGUAUGAAAGCAUGUUCAAACUUAAUAUUAUUAAUAAGAAUAAAAAUACUAUUUCUGCUUAUAUGGUUGAAUCAUUUUGUUUGUGGCAUUAUAGAUUAGGUCAUUUGAAUUAUAGAAAAUUGAAUGACAUGUAUAAAUUAGAUUUAAUUCCUGUUUUUAAUAAUAAUAUUGAAAAAUGCAAUACCUGUAUGUUGACUAAAAUUACAAGAAAUCCUUUCCCUAAGGUUAAAAGGAAAACAAAAUUGCUUGAUUUGAUACAUAGUGAUUUAUGUGACUUGCAUAAUACUCCUACAUUAGGUGGAAAGAAAUAUUUUGUUACUUUUAUUGAUGAUUGUUCUAGAUAUUGUUAUGUAUAUUUAUUGCAUUCAAAAGAUGAAGCGCUUGAUAAAUUUAAAGUUUAUAAAUCUGAAGUUGAACUUCAGUGUGAAUCAUUUAUCAAGUGCUUAAGAUCGGAUAGAGGUGGAGAAUACUAUAAUCCAAGUUAUUUUGAACUCACUGGAAUUGUCCAUCAAGUUUCAGCCCCUUACACACCACAACAAAAUGGUGUAGCUGAAAGGAAAAAUAGAGUCUUGAUUGAAAUGGUAAAUUCAAUGUUAUCAUAUUCAGGUCUUGGACAGGGUUUUUGGGGAGAAGCUGUUCUAACAGCUUGUCAUAUAUUGAAUAGAGUUCCUAAUAAGGAAACUAAAAUAACCCCCUAUGAACAAUGGAAGAAAAGGAAACCAAACCUUAAUUAUUUAAAGGUUUGGGGUUGUAGAGCUAUUGUAAAAGUUCCAACACCUAAACGUAAAAAGUUAGGUGAAAGAGGAAUUGAAUGCAUAUUUAUAGGUUAUGCACAUAAUAGCAAGGCAUAUAGGUUCAUAGUAAUUGAACCAAAUGAUUCAAUUUCAAUUAAUACGGUUAUUGAAUCAAGAGAUACUAUUUUUGAUGAAAAUAGAUUUAAUUCUAUAUCAAGACAAUUACAACCACAACAAUUGAUUCAUUCUUCAAAUGAGAAUGAGAUUCCAUUGAAACAAAUUGAUAAUAAUGAUGAAUCUUGUCAAGAAUUAAGAAGAAGUAAGAGGAUUAAAAAGGUCAAAGAUUUUGGACCAGAUUUCAUUAUGUUUCUUGUAGAAGGAAAAGGUGAAAGUAUAUGCAAUAAGAAACCUUAUUGUUAUAAUACCGAAUCUGAUCCUAUUACAUUUGAAGAAGCAGUGAAAUCUCAAGACUCUGCUUUUUGGAAAGAAGCAAUAAAUGAUGAAAUGGAUUCAAUAAUGGGAAAUCAAACUUGGAUCUUAGUUGAUCUUCCACCAGGUUCCAAACCAAUAGGUUGUAAAUGGAUCUUCAAAAAGAAAAUGAAGGUCGAUGGAACCAUUGAUAAAUUUAAAGCAAGGUUGGUAGCAAAAGGUUUUACACAAAGACAAGGUAUUGAUUACUUUGAUACCUAUGCUCCAGUAGCAAGAAUUGCUACAAUUAGACUAUUAAUAUCACUUACCUCUAUAUAUAAUUUGGUUCACCAAAUGGAUGUUAAAACUGCAUUUUUAAAUGGUGAAUUGGAAGAGGAAGUGUACAUGGAGCAACCGGAAGGAUUUAUUGUUCCAGGACAAGAGCAUAAGGUAUGUAAGCUUGUUAAAUCUUUAUAUGGGCUUAAACAAGCACCAAAACAAUGGCACCAAAAGUUUGACAAGGUUGUUUUAGCUAAUGGCUAUAAAAUAAAUGAAUCCGAUAAGUGCAUAUAUAGUAAAUUUGAUAAUGGAAAGGGUGUUAUAAUUUGCUUAUAUGUAGAUGACAUGCUCAUUUUUGGCACGGAUUUGGAACAAAUAGAAAACACAAAGAAAUUCUUGUCAAACAACUUUGCUAUGAAGGAUAUUGGUGUAGCAGAUGUUAUUCUUGGGAUUAAAAUAACCCGAGAUGAAAGCACUAUAGCUUUAUCACAAUCACAUUACAUUGAAAAUGUGCUUAAAAAGUUUGAUCUUUUCAACUGUAUACCAGCAUCUACACCCAUGGAUCCUCAAUUAAAAUUAGUAUCUAAUGCUGGUAGGAAAAUUGAUCAAUUGAAAUAUGCAAGUCUAAUUGGUUGUCUUAUGUACAUAAUGACUUGUACAAGACCAGAUAUUGCAUAUGCUAUUGGAAAAUUGAGUAGAUACAUAAGUAAUCCAAGUAGUUUGCAUUGGCAAGCUUUAAAUAGAGUACUUAGGUACUUAAAGAAAACUAUUAACUAUGGAUUGUGUUAUAAUGGAUAUCCUCCAGUUUUAGAAGGGUAUUCGAAUGCUAGUUGGAUUACAAGUUUGGAAGAUCAUGCAUCUACUAGUGGGUGGAUCUUCAUUCUUGGUGGAGGAGUCAUUUCUUGGGGUUCCAAGAAACAAACAUGUAUUACUGAUUCCACCAUGGCAGCAGAAUUUAUUGCAUUAGCCGCUGCAUCUAAAGAAGCAGAAUGGUUAAGAAAUUUGCUUUAUGAUGUACCUUUAUGGCUUAAGCCAAUUUCACCUAUUUCUAUCCGUUGUGAUAGUGAGGCUACUCUAGCAAAGGCAUAUAGCCAAGUAUAUAAUGGAAAGUCUAGACACAUUGGAUUAAGACAUAGUUAUGUCCGACAAUUAAUCUCUGAUGGAGUGAUCACUAUUAAUUAUGUGAGGUCAAGUGAAAAUUUGGCAGAUCCUUUGACAAAAAGUCUUGCUAGAGAUGCAGUAAAAAGGACCUCAAAAGGGAUGGGACUCAAGCCUAUUAAUUAGAGUCACCCAUGAUGGAAACUCGACUCAACGCUUGGUAUAACGUCAAGUCUUGAGUUCAAUGAGACAAAGUACAUCAUUAGUAUGUGACUGUUAGCACUAUAAAUAAAUCCAUCCUAAGAUUAAAGUGCUAGGUACUCGUAAUGAUAAGGGAAGGAUGAGUAAUGUACUCUUAAUGGACCCAUAACAUAAAUAUGUUAGAGUGUUAUAAUUACGGGAACACUUUUGAUGGGAUCUACCUAUGUGAGUGGAAGUGUGGCCGCUUCUAGGAGCUUAAGGGCUUGGCUCUGACAGCACUCAUGAAAAGAGGACAUAGACACAUAGCUAUAAUAGUGUCCCUAGAUACUAUGCAUUGACUGAUGUUGAAAUCAUUGUGUGAGAUGUGUUCAGUUAAUCAAAUGGAAUAGUUGGUUCAAAGCUUAGUCUACCAUAAAAUUUCAAUUAACUUUAACAUGUUUUCACUAAGUGAAGGUUCAAUCGUAAGACACCUUUAUUUAUACAAAUUGAUUUCCAAGAAUAUCAAAAUCUAAUUAUUUUGAAAAUGGGGGGGGAUAAUUGUUGGAAUAUUUUCAAAUAUUUAUAGUAUCCCAAUAACUAUAAAUGAAUGGGUGUAAUUAAUCAAAAGAUAAAACUUUUGGUCAUUGAUCAAAAGUUAUAUCAUUUGAUUUUUUAAAAAAGAAUUAUAACUAUUCAACAAAUAUUAUUUGAAUAGUUACAAAAUUAAAUGAAUAAUUAUUAUUAUUUAUUUAUUCAUAAAGACACCUAUUGAAAGAUGUCUCUAUGAAGAGACAUGAAAAUUCCUAUAAAUAGGAAUGGGAUUUCAUUUGGAAAUGAUAUCAACAAAUUCUAAUAUUAUUUCUUCUCUUCCUUCAUUUUCUAAUAUUAUUAGAUUAUUCUAUAAAGUAUUGCUGCAGAAAUCCUUUGUAGAAAUUGAGUUUUUGUUAUACAUUACUCAGUGCAUAGUGGACUAUUCUCGUCAGUGCAAAACGCAAAUAGUCAUUGGCUUCAUUGUAUCCUCGAGGUUAAUUUGCUUGGAACUCGUUUGCACACUGAAGAUAAGUGGGGGCGAAUAUAACCUUAAAGAUAGUGGCUUGAUACACGCCUUGGAGCCUGUCCUAUUUCUUCUUUUUCUUUUCGAGUUCCGAUCGUGUGUUCGAGUUUUUUUUCCUUACCGGAGUUUUGUACUAACAAGACAUGGCAGAUCUCUUAAUUGAUAACAGCCACGAAGAAAUAAUGUUGUGAGGUUCUUUAGUUCAGAGAUGGAAUUUGGUAAACUCUCGAUCUUUGUAAAAGACAAAUUGAGAACACUAAGACAAGGCUUGUUCAUGAAUAAAGAAUAUGGGAUUUUCUUUACAGGGUUCCCCCGCAAUAACAAGGUUGUGAGCAGUUGACAUUUUGUAGGCAGCACACCUAUGGAAACUUCUGAUAUGGAGUUAUACAUAAGUGACACUUUCUCAAUAUCUGGACUCCAUUGCUCCUUUUCUGGUAACUCUUCUAAUUGCGAACCUGCUUGUAUCAUAUAUUGAGGAUUCAUUCUUGUGAUCGACAGUGCCAUGUCUCUCACUGCAUCAUGCAUCUUUAUGCGAUGUAAACCAAAUUCAGUGGUAAUAUUUUCCAACAAGCAAUUAUCUUCCAACUUCUUCAAAAUAACUUGGCCCUUGCCUUCCAUUUCGUGUCUUGUAGCCAUAUCAUCUAUGAAUCCCUCUUCAAUCCAGCACUCAAUUAACUCAUCCUUCCAAAUUUCAAAAUCUUCAGGAAAUAAUGCGCAAUGUAAGAAACAAUAUUUCACUUUCUCGUCCUUUAAGUGAUCGAAGCUAAAUUUCAAACGCUCUAUCACUUUAGCUUCCACUCCCUCCACUUUUUCUACUGUCUCUUUCAAUUCCCUGAGUGCGUUUUUCCAAAUAAGGGGUUUCUCUUCUCCUUUCAAUGUACUAGCUACAACAACAAUUAUAAGAGGCAGACCCGCACAUUCUUCGACAACAAGCCUCAAAAAUUGGCAUUAAAGUUCGAUUUUGCACUAUGUUAGGCCCAACUUUACUCAAGAAUAGUGUCAAUGCCUGUUGUGCUGAAAGGGGCUUCACUUUUAUCACCGUGCAAUCCAUAUACUUACAGACAUGCUCCGAACGGGUUGUCAACACCAACUUACAGCCAUUGCUGUCACUCGGCUCAGGGAUCCCAACUUCUUCUAGAGAGACUUCAUCCCACACAUCAUCUAGGAUUAGAACAUGCUUUCCUACUUUCUUCAGCAUUUCUGACAAGAUUGCAGCUCGUCUGAGCUUGUCUCCUUCUAUGGCCAAAUCUUCCUUCAACUUCAAAGCACUUGCAAUAUCAUCUUGUACCUUCAUUACACUGGACUCCUUUGAUAUGGCAUCCCAGACUACUCUUUCGAAUCUUUGUUCUUUCAAAAUAUCAUUGUGGAUGUGCUUCAUGAUCGUGGUUUUACCCACACCGCCCAUCCCCCAAACCCCAAUCUUUUUUACCUCCUCUUGCAUCAAACAUGCCCAAAUCUCUUUUCUGGCAGCUUCCUCCCCAACUAGUUCUGAUGUUGGCAGUGGCAACCCACCACUUGGACCAUCCAUGGCAAGAGCUUCAGAGGCAUUAGGAGCUUUAUCAAGAAAUUCCUUCAUUUCUCGAGUCUUUUCAUCAACCAGCUUUUCGUUCCAAGCACGACAGAGAUAUCUCCCGUUUCUGACUUUAAUUUCUACAUCCUGUGCUUCCGCAAUCAUCUCUUUCGCAUCUUUCAACCAAUUUUCAACUCCCUGCUUUGGUAUCUUCCCCCCAGGAGAAAGAAGCUCUGCUUUCAAUUGCCGCUCUAUGUCUGCCAUUUUACAAUUCAAUUCAUCUCUGAUCCUUCCGAAGUUUCUCACAUAAUCAUUCAGCUUUCUGUGAUAUUUCAAGUAUUUACAAAGAGGAGGUCCAAGACAAUUUGCAAUGCCAACACCGGGCUCUACGUAUUCCAUUUGCUCUGGCCCUGCAACGCAAUCAUAUAUGUUAGUGUAUUGGAUUUUUGAAUAAUUUUUUAUAUGUUAGUGUAAGCAUGAAAAGGAAUCAUAAAUGCAAUGGCCUUUAUUAGAUGGAGCUAUGGAUAGGUGGCAGACAGAAACAGGAUGAAAAUCAUUGCCUUAUUACCUGACUUAGUGGCUGAAAUGUGUUGAGAGAUUAGAACUGAAAAUGAAGCAGUGAAGUUGACUUCCUUGACUAUCUUACAAAGCUAGCAGAUAAUAAAAAACAAUCAUUGCAUAGUCAUGGAUGAAGCAAAUGAAAGAAAAUUACCUUUGACGGGAUGCUUGAAAUUUGGUGAUAGACCUUGGAGAUGAAAACAAAUUAAAAACAGUGAAGAAGAAAGAAUGUUGUGGGCAGAAAGGCAGAACUAUUAAGCAAAGAAAAGCAUGUAAUGAAAUAAGCAAAUGAAAGAAAAGUAGGUAGAGUGGAUGGUUGAAAUCAGUAGAGGAAAUCAUUGCCUUAUUACCUGACUUAGUGGCUGAAAUGUGUUGAGAGAUUAGAACUGAAAAUGAAGCAGUGAAGUUGACUUCCUUGACUAUCUUACAAAGCUAGCAGAUAAUAAAAAACAAUCAUUGCAUAGUCAUGGAUGAAGCAAAUGAAAGAAAAUUACCUUUGACGGGAUGCUUGAAAUUUGGUGAUAGACCUUGGAGAUGAAAACAAAUUAAAAACAGUGAAGAAGAAAGACUGUUGUGGGCUGAAAGGCAGAACCAUUAAGCAAAGAAAAGCAUAUGUAAUGAAAUAAGCAAAUGAAAGCAAAGUAGGUUGAAAUUUUGUGAAAGAAGAAAGUGUUGCGGAAGCGACGAUAAUAUUAAUAACAAUAUUAUCAGAAAUAUUUAGAUAAUUAUUAUGCCAACAAUUAUACUAAGAAAAUUCCCAGUUAAAUUGGAGGGGUCACAAAUGGUCCCGCUUAAAACCCAACAACUAGACAGAACUCACUUAGAUAUUUAUAGCAAUAAUAACUAAAUAAAUAUAACCAACAUAAAGCUAUUAAAUAUAAGCAAACAAAUAAGAAAUAAAAUACCAGAGAUUUAACGAGGUUCGGCCAAUUUAGCUUACAUCCUCGGACACUACCAAAUUAAUAUUUCUUCUAGAAAUAUUACAAAGGAGAAGAUUUUGGGAUGAUACAACCAAAGGGGGAGGGGUUCUAUAUAUAACAAACCAAGCCCCCUCCCUUUCUAUCUUUUCCUAAUGUGGGAUAUUGCCAAUAUUCAACAAAUCUCCACCUUGGCGAUAUUCCACAUCUUCGAACAUCUUCUCAUAACACUAACUUCAAUAGUGUCUUCAAAUUUGCAACCAAUCGCCUUCUUCCCUUUUGGUAGUUGUGCCAGCUUCCACGUCUUGUUUUUCUCUAGAGAUUGCAUUUCCUCUUCCAUUGCACCUAACCAUCUAUUAUUCUCUAAACUCUGAAUGGCUUUGGUGUGAGUGGAUGGAAUAUUAUCAACAACUGGAAGUGCAUAAGCUACCAUGUCAGUGAAACGAGCAGGUUUCUGAAUUUCUCGUCUCUGCCUUCUGACUGCAAUUGGCUCUGAUUGCUAUUGAGGUUCUUGGGUAGAAACCUCUUCCUCAUCUGACUCUGCAUCUGCCAAUGAAGAAUCACUAGUGGUACCUUCUGCUGGAAUUACCACACUCUGCUCAAACUCCACCUGCUGCGGAGUACACUCCACCUGCUGCGAAGUACUACUCACUCCUUCUGGAUUUACCUUAUUCAACAUGGCAGAUUCAUGAAAGGUAACAUCCCUACUGAUUAUCGUCUUCUUUGCCUCUAGACACCACAAACGAUAUCCCUUAACACCAGCAUUGAAGCCCAUGAAUAGAGCCUUCUUUGCUCUUGGAUCUAACUUUGAUUCUUUCACAUGAUAAUAUGCAAUAGAACCAAAAAUGCGCAAGGUGUCAUAAUCAGUAGCAGGUUUUCCAUACCAUUUCUCCAAAGGAGUCUUGCCAUUUAUAGCAGAUGAUGGCAAAUGAUUGAUGAGAUGUUGAGCGUACGUCACAGCCUCAGCCCAAAACUUUCUAUCUAAUCCAGCAUUAGAUAACAUACAUCGAACUUUCUCCACAAGCGUUCGAUUCAUACGCUCUGCCACCCCAUUCUGUUGCGGUGUUCCACCUACGGUGAAGUGCCUUACUAUGCCACAAUCUUGGCAUAUCUUCAGGAAUAGAUCGCUUUUAUAUUCUCCACCGUUGUCUGAUCGGAGAACCUUAAUCUUCCUUCCUGUCUGAUUUUCAACUUUAGUUUUCCACUUAAGGAAAACUUCAAGCACCUCAUCUUUGUUCUUCAUAGGAAACACCCAAACUCGUCUGGAAAAAUCAUCAAUAAAGGUGACAAAAUAACGUCUUCCUCCAAGUGAUGGAGUCUUGGACGGUCCCCAUACAUCAGAAUGCACAUAAUCCAGAAUACCUUUAGUAUUGUGAAUCCCAGUGCCAAAUUUCACCCUUCGUUGUUUUCCCAGAACACAAUGCUCGCAAAAUUCAAGUUUGCAAGUCUUUGUACCUUUCAAUAAUCCUUGCUUGGCUAGAGUUUGCAAGGAUUUUUCACCAGCAUGGCCCAAACGCAUAUGCCACAGCUGUGUUGCCUCAGCGUCCUUCUUGGUACUCGAAAUUGCUGCUGCUGUUGUCCCGACCACUGUACUACCUUGGUAGUAAUACAGAUUGUUCUUUCUUAUGCCUUUCAACAUCACCAAUGCUCCUGAAGUUGCUUUAAGAACUCCAUCUCGUAUUGUCACAACUAGGCCUUUAGAUUCUAACGACCCCAAAGAGAUGAGAUUCUUCUUCAACUUUGGGACAUAUCGUACAUCCCGCAAAAUUCUAGUAGAUCCAUCAUGACUCCUCAAUUUAAUUGAACCUAUCCCGGCUAUUUUACAUGUGUUAUCAUUACCCAUGUAAACAACCCCUUCAUCUAGUUUUUGAAAUUCAAAGAACCAUUCCCGAAUGGGACACAUAUGAUAGGAACAACCAGAAUCCAUGAUCCACUCAUCUGCAUAUAAUGUUGAAGAUGUCAUACUAAGAGAAAAGUCUGACUCUGCUUCACUAUUGCAUUCUGCAACAUUUGCAUCUUGCGGAGUCUUCCCUUUUUUCUUCAAUUUUGGACAAUCUUUCUUCCAAUGUCCUUUUUCUUUGCAAAAGGAACAUUCAUCUUUGGCAACAGCUCGACCUUUGGACUUUCUUCUCUUCCCAUUAGACUGACUUUGCUGACGACCUCUUGUUACCAAUGCUUCCACUGCUGCUUCACCUGAACCUUUCAACUUAUCCUUUCGGCGUAGUUCAUAGCUAUACAAUGCAGCAGUUACUUCAUUGAAAGUUACUUCCGAUUUUCCAUGAAGUAGAGUAGUUUCAAGGUACUCAAACUCCUCAGGAAGCGAUCCCAACAACAUUAACGCCAAGUCUUCGUCUUCAAAAGUCACAUCCAAAUUCAACAAAUCAGCCACCAGCUGAUUAAAAUUGGUAAUGUGCUCGUUCAUCGUGGUACCAGGAACAUAAUUGAAACGAAACAGUCUUUUCUUCAUAUGCAACUUAUUUUGACUGUUCUUCUUCAAGAAUUUCUCCUCCAAUGCUUUCCACAAUUUACUUGCAGAAGUCUCUUUACUGAAUGUAUACUUCUGCUCUCUGGAAAGACAUGAUCGAAUUGUACCACAUGCCAAUCGGUUGAUGGUCUUCCAUUCUUUAUCAUCAACCCCUUCUGGUUUUUCUUCCUCAAUGGCAAUAUCUAGACCCUGUUGAAAGAGGGCAUCUAGAAGCUCACUUUGCCACAUGCCAAAAUGACCUGUUCCAUCAAAAAUUUCCACUACAAAUCUCGUAUUUGCAGUUCCAAUCCUCGGCAAAAUGUACGAAGUGGAAGUUGUUGAUAUGGAUGGUUUUUCUUCUGUCAUUUUUGCCAUAGCUUCUACUUAAUAGCCACCAAAUGCAGAAUACCCACAAGCUUUAGGAAAUGUUUCUGAUGUGUAAGAUCAGACUAAGCUGCAAACACAGAGCAUACUACAAAACCUUGGCUCGGAUACCAAUUGUUGCGGAAGCGACGAUAAUAUUAAUAACAAUAUUAUCAGAAAUAUUUAGAUAAUUAUUAUGCCAACAAUUAUACUAAGAAAAUUCCCAGUUAAAUUGGAGGGGUCACAAAUGGUCCCGCUUAAAACCCAACAACUAGACAGAACUCACUUAGAUAUUUAUAGCAAUAAUAACUAAAUAAAUAUAACCAACAUAAAGCUAUUAAAUAUAAGCAAACAAAUAAGAAAUAAAAUACCAGAGAUUUAACGAGGUUCGGCCAAUUUAGCUUACGUCCUCGGACACUACCAAAUUAAUAUUUCUUCUAGAAAUAUUACAAAGGAGAAGAUUUUGGGAUGAUACAACCAAAGGGGGAGGGGUUCUAUAUAUAACAAACCAAGCCCCCUCCCUUUCUAUCUUUUCCUAAUGUGGGAUAUUGCCAAUAUUCAACAGAAAGAAUGUUGUGGGUACAAAGGCAGAAGUAUUAAGUAAGGAAUCCCAUCUUUUUUUACUUUUCCUUUGCUUCUGCCCUGAUUUACAAUUUGAUUCUUCUUUAAAUCUGUAUAAAUCACUAAUCUGCCAUGUCCUUUCCAUUCAUUCUGGACAUUACUAACAAGUUUUGAAGUCAUCUUGGUGCUCAAUUGUAACAACAACAUCAGCAGCAGCAGCAGCAUAAUAAUGGGAAAGUAUGGUCUAAGAAUGCCUAAUUAUAUGUUACAACUUGAAAUAAAUAUUUAGUUACGUACAUAUAAAUUCCUUCAUAAGUUACACUUUUAAAUCCAAAUUGUGGUUUAUUGAUUGGGUGUUCCCUAUUAGAAAUAGCCGAAAUUCAAAUUAUCAUUGUACCCAAAUUUGAAAUUGUUUUAAAAUUUUAGAAUAUUAUAAAAUUUAAAAGUAAAUAACAGUAGAUAAACAUUUCAAAAAUAGAGAAAAUGAGGGAAAAACAUUUCAAUAUUUUUUUUUCUACAAUUUUUAUAUACAUUUUUCUAUUUUAUAAAUAAUUUUGAGUUUUUUUUAUAAUCUUUAUACAAAAUUAAGAUCAAAUUGAUAGAAAAUAUAAAAAUUGAGAGCAAUAAUUAUUAUUAUACCAAUUGAAACAAAUUCCAAUUAACAGUUGGGUGACAAAAAAAAAAUUCAAAAACAUUAGUGAUGAAAUUGUAAUUUUUUUAGUUAAGUGAUAAAAAUAAAAAAACUUACCCAUAAUUGGAUCACUAAUGGUCUAAUUUACCCUAAAUUCUUUUAAAAUUUUUAGUUUAAAACUUUUUUUUAUAAAUACUAUGUAUUAAGCCUUUUAUGUUAGUGCCGCUAUCAAUCAAAUCACAACUCAAUAAGAAAGUUAUCAAAAAACUAUUUUAUUUGAAAAGUAAAAUAUAUGAUUAUGAGAAUGUUUUCGUCUUUUUAUACUUUUAUAAAUUAAUAAAAAAAAUUAUCCAUAAUGAGAUUUGAACUAAUGACAUUCACUUGAAACUUUAAUAAUUAUAUCUAUGUUCUAAAUUUUUAUUUAUUUGUGUAUAUAAAAAAUGUUGUUGAUUUAGUGUCACAAAUGAACACGGCACCAACUCAGAAUUGAAAACAAAACAAUGAUAAUCAAUUGUAUUCAUUUAGUAUUUUUAAUCUGAUGUGUUUUUUUUGUUGUUUAGAUUUCGUUUUACUCACAAUUUAUUCUAAUUUUUAUUUUAAUAUAGUGCAUAUUUUAUAUGGUAUUAUUAAUUAGUUCCAAAUUUGAUAGCAAGUUACUUUAAUAUAUUUAAUAUACCCAAUUUUGGUAAACUUUUUAAUAGAAUUCUACUAAACUUGUGAUUUAUUGCCCAAAUUUUAUCAUGGACACAAUUGGAGUGCCGAAGUUCAAAAACAAACAAAUUGAGCUAAAUUGGAACAAAAAACAAGUUGGGGAGCUGAAUUGAAAGUUGCAAAAUUAAUUUUGGGAUGAUAAAAAAUAUUAGAUUUUUUACUUUGACUAAUUCUAUAUUUAGAAAAAUUUGAUUUAGUGGUUGCUUGUUAAGCAUAAUUCUAAGAGUAAAAUGAUGUGAAAUUGAUUCUUUGAGAUCCGUAUAUAAAGGUUUUUAAUUGUGGCACGAAUACACACUUUGAAUUUAAAAAGACAGUUUAGCACAUUCUUGCGUCUAUUGCAUUUGAAGCAAUCUGCCAUUGUUUUUCUCUUUUUAUGUUUUGGUGCAAUUUCCCUUUUAGUUCUCUCCUUUCUUCACCUAUUAUCUUUCAUUAAAAUUCACUCUCAUAAUCCAAUCAAGUAUGAUUAAUUCAUGUUCAACCAAUCUUCGUUUAGCUUUAGACCGGUUAUCAUUUCGACCAAGAAACAUGAGAAAUGAACCCACGCUAAAACCUUACAAUACGGUAUUCAUUAUCUUUCCGUAAUAUGAGAAAGUUACAAUUAUCCCUUAAAGUUAAUUCAAUUUCAACUCAAAAAGUGUGGAUUUGAGUUGCUUGGUGUACAGUUAAGAAAAUGAGUUGUUAUUCUCUUUGUCAAUUUGAUGUUGAUAAUAUAUAAAUUGGUAAAAAAAUUAAAAUUAUUUUUAAAAUUUUAUAAAAUUAUAAAAUUAAAAAUUAAAUAAAAAUAGAUUAAAAAUUCAAAAAUAAAUAAAGUGAGAGAAAAUUAGGGGUAAUUGUUUUUAAACCCUCCAAUAUUUCUCUAUAUUAUCUGUAUCAAAAUAUUCAAUACCCAUUAUUUUAAAAAAAACAUAGAAAAGAAAAACAUUAAUCAAAAUUAUUUGAUCUCUGUUUUUUACUUCUUCUGUUUCUUGACAUAACUUUUACGUUGUAAGCAAAGAUAAAUUUCUGAAUAUAAUUUAUUUUUACAAUUUGGGUUUUGAAAAAUAAUUUAUAGGUAAUGAAAUUUUGAAUUGAGUUUGAAAAAAAAUUUGUGGUAUAUUUUGUAUUCUUCUAAAUAAAAAAAUGGCAUUAGGGUCAAUUUUAUAAGCCUCAAAAAAUAUCAAAUCUAGAUGUCAUUUAAGACCAUGAAACUCAACUUGAUAAUAGUAAUGAUUUGAUUUCAAGAAAUAUUGAGGAAUCAUGUAAUGAUCUAACUCUUUUUUUUUGGGGGGUUUUGUUCUCUUUUUAAUUUGUUAUCGAAUUCUAUUCUCCAUCUUCUAAUAUUCCUAGAUUGUUUUAUGAGAAAUUACUGUAGAAGUUCUUUAUAGAAAUUGGUAUUCUUGCUAUGCUCCAUUCAAUGCUCAGUGAAUUAUUUUUGUCAGUGCAAAACAUUGACAAUCAUUAGGUUUCAUUGUAUCCUCAAGGUCAAUUUGCGAGUAACUCUUCUGCACAACAAUAAAUAAUUGGGGGCGAAUAGAACUUUAAAAUAGUAGCAUCAUAAAACCUUUUUUAAUUUCUCUGAAAUUCAUUUUUAUCACCAAUAGCAAUUAUGGGAACAAUAAUCAAAGAAAACAAACAAUAUUAUGAGUCAAUUUUUAUGGUGUUCAGGGCAACUUUCGUUUUUAAGUUCCACAAAGGUAAAGUAAAUUCCAUCUUUUCUUAUUAUUAGUUUUUUCCUUUGCAGUAUUCCAUUAUUGUUGGCACUAUUGUUCUCUACAAUGAUUCUAAAAUAUAAUAUUUAUAAUUAAUCAUAUGUAUCUAAAUUAGAGCAAAUAGCAGUCUUAUGAUUUACAUUAAUGCAACAUUUCAUGUUGCCUCUGAUUCCAAUUCUUUUAGUCCCCUCCAUGUUCCACCUUCAAGAAAAAACAAGAGAGAAUGAACCUAAAUUUGGAUACCUAAUCCUUCCUCUAUGAAAUCAGAGUUACCUUCAGAUUUUAAUUCCAAUACCGACAUUGUAACGCCCUGAUUAUUUAACUUUAUUUCUGUGAAUUUUUUCACAAAUAUGUGUCUACUUCAGUGGCUAAGUGUUUUGAUUGUGUUUGAUGUUUUGGGUUCAAGUCCCAUUUUUUGAAAUUUUUGCUAUUUGUGAUUCUAGCCUAUUCCUUGGCGGUUUGACUUAUAUUCUAUUGCUAGUCAGAUCAUAUUAGAAUGAGCUUGCUGGUUUGAGUGGUAAGGUGUUAACUUGCCCUGAGGUCUUGUGUUCAAAUAUUUGUAUGAUUGUGAAUGAUAAUUUUUGUUGCAGGUGUCUGAUAGGGGUUCAGUAGAGUUUAAAUUCUGAGGUAGUUGGAUGUGGAUGGAAGUGUCGGAUUUGAUGAGAUGAGUGGGGAGUUGGGGGAAAUUAGUGAUAUUUUAUUAAAAAUUUAAUUUUAAUUUUAAUUUUCUUUUCACAAAAAAAUCUCCUAUCUUACUAUUUUAUUUUUAGUUUUAUUUUAUUCAAAAUAUCCAUUAAAACCAUUUUAAGAAAUUGAAGUUACCAUAUUAAAAUUUAAUAUACAAAAUCAAGUUAUGUAAAUUUUCAAAGCAUUUCGUGUUGUUUAAGGAUUCUAAUUUUAUUGUGUAAAAAUCAGAACUUAUUUGCAAAAGUUUCAAAAUAUGCCCAAAACUCUCUGAUCACCGUGUCGCGACCUCAUGAUUCCCAUGUUGCAACAUCGACCCAAUAUCAGUAUCACGAUAUGGACUUGAAAACUUGCAGGAAAAUUUCAGUACUUGGGUUGGACACUUUCACACCCUCGUACACAUACCAAAUCGAGAUUUCAUGCUAUUCUCCCUAUUUUAACAUGUCAUAUAACUUACAUUAACAUGUUUUGACGUCUCAAGUAAAUUGCUAUUCUAUCAUUCAACCCUAAAGUCACAAUUCAAUUACUCAAAAUGUAAUUUUUGUAUUUUAAGCAUUUCUAAGUGUAUAAUUGAUACAUAAAAUACUAUAUGGUCAUUUUGGACUUACCUCAAUACGCAACAAGCCAGUCCAGCAGCAAUUUACAUGUUAGCCAAUAAACAAGUACACAACACCUUACUAAUUCAACCAAUAACAUGCAUUCUCAAAUCUUCCAUUGAAACCGUUCAUUCGAACCAAUUUUAAAAGUUCUAAAAACCAUUUUAAACAACCCAUAUUGUCCAUUAAUAAAUCAUUAACAGUUCAAAGUCUAAAACCCUCUAGAUUAGUCCCACAUUGCCUUCCUUAUUGAUUUAAAAACACACCAAACGUAGUCAAGUUAAAUUGUCUUGCUUUGGAUCACUUGGCAGCUCACUUCUCCUCCUCGUUUCAGCUAUAUCUCUGCACUGUUAAAUAUAAAAGAGUGUGAGCUUUUUCAAGCUCAGUGAGUGCUUAGAGAUUGCCACAAGUAAUCACAAUAUCCAAAGUUAGAAGAAAGCAUACAAUCACAAUUAAUCACGGUAAGCAAUAAAGCAUAAUUCAUAGCAUUCACAUUAAUAUGUUGCCAGAAUGUGAUUAUGAAGCAUAUGUACAAAAUAUAUUGCAUUGGGUAACCAGAUUUCCAAAUACAACCAAUAUAAUGUGUAGCGUAAAGCUAUCACCCUCCAAACACAUCCACUUAAACAUGUAUACUUAUUGUUUUAUGCACACUUUCACAUAUCACACAACUCAUGUUCAUAUCACAUAUUCAAGUCUCAUAUCAUGCACUUACAAGUGCUCACAUUAUGCUCAAAUAGUCACAACAUAUAGAUCUCAUAUAGUGUAUAUAAAAUCAGCAAGACUCAUAUCAUAUUCAGUCAUCAACACAUAACAUUUUUUAUUGUCAUCUCAAUUUACAACACAUAACAUAUCACAUUUAAGCAUCAAUUGCAAAUCAUCAUUAGUUUAGGUAGAAACACUUACUAUUGAAAAUUGGACGGUGUGGAUAUGUUUGGAUAGCUAGAAAAUCAUUAAGGGUGAGUUAAUUUUGAGAGAAAAUAUUAGAGUUGAAUUUGGGGAAAUUUUGAAUGUGAAAUUCAAUGGAGGGAAGGGACGUCGGGUUCUUAAAGAAAUGGGGAAGAUGAGUAGUUUUUUUUUUUUUAAAUAAGGAAAAAUUGCAUUUUAAAAACUUCCAGUUUUCCUUUAUUUUUCAAUUCAGACCUUAGUUUAAUUAAAACGCAUUUUUCUCAAUUAUUUUCAAAUCCGAUAUUUUUAAAAGGUCCAUUUUAACCAAAUUAAUUCCCGAAUACCCAAUUUUAAUUUCUUAACAUAAAAUUAUUAAUUAUAUUAAUUUUAAUACUUUAUUUAAUUAAUUCCUAAUUAUUUUAAUGAUCUAACUUAAUUAUGAUUUUUGAUUCACUAACCCCGAUUUACUAUCUCGAUUUUUGGGAUGCGACAUGACAGCAUUAUGUAAAUAUGAUAUAAUAAUAAUUACUGAUAGCAUACAAAUAAAUUGUUGAUUACAUACCCUAUUGUAUAAACUAAAAUAUAAUUAUACUACAAGUUCUAUAAUAUGAUAUCUAAUGGGUUAAUUUUUAAAAUUGCAUAUUUUAAAAUUAAAAAAAAAUAUAAAAAUGUUAAUUUAUAAUUAUUCCUAACUUAUAUGCUUUUCAAUGUUACAACUUUUAUUAGAAUUAUUAGUAAAAAAAUGCAUAAAUGAUUGAUAGCAUAAUCAUUUUAAAGACAAAUAAUUAUAAAUUAAUUAUAUAAAAGUAAGUGAUAACAUUUUGUACUUUGUUAAUAUAAAAAAGGGUAAACACUUAAUAACAUAGUAAUAAAUAAUUUAUAAUACAUGAAUAAAUAAUAAAGAAAUAAUAUAGUAUAAAAUUAAAUAAUUAAUAAUACAAUAUAGUAAUAAAAUUUAUAAAUAUCAUUAUUUUUAAUGCCUAAUCGUAUAUACAUCAUUUUAAUUAAUAAAAAUUUAUAAUAUUGUAAAUAAUACCAUGAUGAUAGUUUUUUCUCACCUUAAAUUAUUUUGAUUAAAAUAUGUUGUUUUUAGACAUUAAAUACGUGAUUUCCAAGGUAUAUGCGUGUGAUAAAAUUUUUAGUAUUAUUUUAACCUUUCAGACAAUAAAAUUUUUAAUUAUUAGACUCUUGAUAUACUCUUAAAAACAAUCUACAUUUUUUUCUAAAUCUAGACCCAUUUUUGGCCUAGCUCGGUCAAUCCAAAAAAUAACUCAUUUUCCUGUUCAAAAAUAAUAAAAUAAUUUUAUAUUAAUAUUUUUAUAUUUAAAUAUAAAUUUAUAAAUAUUUUUACUUUAAAAUUUGAAGCGAAUAUAUAUUAUUAUAUAAAAUUUGAAAUUUAUUAAAAUUUACGAAAUAAUAGAUUAGUGUUAAAUGUGAUAAAAGGUCAUAAUAAUAUCAAAAUAAGUUUAUAACUUAAAUGUUUUAAUUAUAAAUAUGAAAAUUUAGAAGGUUAUUUUGGGAAGUGUAUAUAUAUAUAUUAGAGAAGAGAGAGAAUAGGAGGAACGGUAAGAGAGGGAAAAUAUUUAAAAAGUGAAAGUUUGAUUUCUUAUUUACCUUUGCCUCUCAGCCUCCAUGCUCUUCCAUCAUUCCUUUUCUCCUCUCUUUUGCACUAUCCUGCCCCCUACUUCUUUCCAACAACCCUACUUCCAUCAUUCCAUCUUUCUCUUCAACAUCAUCACAAAUAUACAUCAAAUUUUAUUAAUAUGGAGAAAUUAGAUUUAUCAAAAAAAAAAACCAUAAAUGGUUCAUACCUCUUAUCCUCGACGGGGGAUUAAAGCGAAGAACAUUUUUAUAGUUUGGAUGGUCAUCCCACUCCAACGAUUCCCACCAUUCUUUCCAUGACCUGAUGGUAAGAGAAGGUGGAGCAUAUGCAAAUGGCUGCCCAUUGCCAACAAGGGGAACAAAUGGAGGAAUUCUCUUCAGUUUAUCACAUCUAAUAAUAUGGAUAAGUUGGAGAGAAUCACAAACCAUCACUCCGCUUUUGCUGCAAAUGCUCUUCAAAUUUGGUAAUACACUGAACGACAAUUUUCUCAAUUUGGGAAGAUGGAAUUUGAUUAAUGCAUCACUCCCUUUUUCUUCAACUUCUGAUGUUUCUGCUCCCAAUAUUUCUACUAACUCAUCACAAUGAUCCACUGACAUUUCUUCCAGGUUUUGGAGGUUUGGAAGCAACCAAUGUGGAAGCAACAUCUUCAUACUUGAGCAGCUGUAUAUCGUAAUUUCCUUAAGAUGGGAAAAGCUGGCAGACGGAGCCACUGUUGAUGUUGUUGCUGAACCAAUUCCUGCAUCUUUUAUAAUAAGGGCACUCAACUUUGGCAGAUCUCCAAGAUCUAACACCUCGAGGCUCUGAAAUGGAUGAGCGGAAGAAGAGACAAAAGAGGACGGGGAAGCAACACACUCUAUCCCUUCACACCCCCAAAUACUACAAACCCUCAAGUCAAUCGCAUUUUUGAAGGAAGAAUUAUCAUCGACUAAGUUUCUCGAAUAGUCGCACUUUAAAAUAUUCAACUCUUGAAUUUCAAUUGGGUACAUAAUUAACUCACCUUCCCAAUUGUCGACUCCUCCAAUUGCUACUGUUUUAUCUCUUGUAGGAGGCAUAAAAGAUGGGCCCAGCUGUAAAGAGGACCUGAUGAAAGAUGAGCCCACCUGUAAAGAGUACUUGAUGAGAUUUUUCUUACUUUGUUGCAUUGAGGAGAUGAACUUAUUGAAUUCACUGAUGUCUUCGAAAUGUCCGGUUAAGCACUCCAACUUCUUCAGUGGUUCCAUCUCCUCUGCUUUUAGACUAAUUUGUUUAUCAAAACCCAAGUGCUGAAGGUGAAUGAGUUUUGGUAAAAGUCCAGCGGGUAUCUCUUUCAGAGUGCGCACUUGAAGAUCAAGAUAUCUUAGCUUUAUCAACAUAUCCAUUCCUUCAGGGACUUCCUCAAUUUUAGUCCCAGAAAGAUCCAACUUCUUCAAUUCUUGAAGCAUCGAAAGACAUGGUAGGUCUCUUAAAUCAUAACAACCACGAAGCAACAAUGUUGUGAGGUUCUUUAGUUCAGAGAUGGAAUUUGGUAAACUUUUGAUCUUCGUAGAGGACAAAUUGAGAACACUAAGACAGGGCAUGUUUGUGAAGAAAGAAUAUGGGAUCUUCUUUAUAGGGUUACCCUGCAAUAACAAGGUUGAGAGCAGUUGACAUUUUGUGGGCUGCACAUCUAUGGAAAUUUCUGAUAUGGAGUUAUACAUAAGUGACACUCUCUCAAUAUCCGGACUCCAUUGCUCCUUUUCUGGUAACUCUUCUAAUUGCAAACCUGCUUGUAUCAUAUAUCGAGGAUUCAUUCUUGUGAUCGACAAUGCCAUGUCUCUCACUGCAUCAUGCAUUUUCACGGUUACACUCGAGACAUUUUCCAACAAGCAAUUAUCUUCUAAUUUCUUCAAAAUAACAUGACCCUUAUCUUUCAUUUCUUGUCUUGUACUCAUAUCAUCUAUGAAUCCCUCAUCAAUCCAGCACUCAAUUAGCCCAUUCUUCCAAAUUUGACAAUCUUCAGGAUAUAAUGCGCAAUGUAAGAAACAAUGCUUCAUUUUCUCUUCUUUUAAGUGAUUGAAGCUAACUUUCAUACUCUCGAUCACUUUAUCUUCCCCUUCUUUCACUUUCCCUAUUCUCUCUUUCAAUUCCCUGAGUGUGUUUUUCCAAAUAAGAGGGUCAUCUUCUCCUCUCAAUGUACCAGAUAUGACGACAAUUGUAAGAGGCAGACCUGCACAUUCCUUGACAACCAGCUUCAAAGUUGGCAUUAAAGUUUGAUUUUGCACUAUGUUAGGUCCAACUUCACUCAAGAAUAGUAUUGGAAAUUGGCCAACCAUGCUGCUGUUACAUUUUGUGGUUGAAGUGCAUGCAGCUUGAUGACAUGCUGCAGCACAUAUGCUUGCUGUAACAGCAAGGUUUCUCUUUAGUUUCAUUCUAAUUAAUCUAGUUUAAAAUGGACAAGUUGAUGACAACUUGAUGCAUUAGGUGUUGAAUGACUAGUUUAGGUGGCUUGUUUAUGUGUACAAGCAAUGUUUUAAUAGUCCCAAUGCUGAUUAGUGGGGUUAGUUGACUAUUUGGUGAUGUAUUUGACUAUAAAUGUAUGUUUUUUCUAGUUGAAUGAAUGAGCUGAAUGAGCUAUCAGCCAUUAGCUCCCUUGCUGCACAUUUGUGAGCAAGUAAAAAUGCUUCUUGCACCUUGCUUCAUGUUCUGUGCUCUUGUUCUCUCUUUUGUUGCUGCCUCUUGCACCAACAAAUAGUAUCAAUGCCUCUUCUUCUGAAAGGGGCUUCACUUUUAUCACCUUACAGCCCAUAGACUUACAAACUUGCUCCACACGGGUUGUCAACACCAACUUGUACCCAUUGCUGCUACUUGGCUUAGGGAUCCCAAUUUCUUCCAACAAGACUUCACUCCACACAUCAUCUAGGAUUAGAACAUGUUUUCCUGCUCUCUUCAGCAUUUCGGACAAGAUUGCUGCUCGUCUGACCUUGUUUGCCUCUUUGGGAAUCUUUCCAUUCAAUGCACUUGCAAUAUCAUUUUGUAACUUCACAAUAUUGAACUCCUUUGAUAUAGUAACCCAAACCACCCUUUCAAAUCGCUGUUCUUUCAAAAGAUCAUUGUGAAUGUGCUUCAUGAUGGUCGAUUUACCCACGCCGCCCAUCCCCCAAACCCCAAUCUCGCUUACCUCCUCCUGCAUCAAACAUGCCCAAAUCUCUUUUCUGACAGCUUCCUGUCCAACUAGUUCUGAUGUUUCCAGUGGCAACCCAGCACUUGGACCAUCCAUGGCAAGACCUUCAGAGGCAUUAGGAGCUUUAUCAAGAAAUCCCUUCAUUUCUCGAGUCUUUUCAUCAACCAGCUUCCCGUUGCAAGCACGACAGAGAUAUCUCCCGUUCCUGACUUUGUUUUCAACAACUUGUGCUUCCGUAAUCAUCUCUUUCACAUCUUUCAACCAAUUUUCAACUCCCUUCUUCGGUAUCUUCCCCAGAGGACGAAGAAGCUCUGCUUUCAGUUGCAGCUCUAUAUCUUCCAUUUUGCAAUUCAAUUCAUCUGUGAUCCUCUUGAAGUUUCUCACAUAAUCGUUCAGCUUUCUGUGAUAUUGCAAAUAUUUACAAAAAGGAGGUCCGAGACAAUUUGCAAUGCCGACAACAGGCUCUACGUACUCCAUUGCUAUGUCCCUGCAAUGCAAUCAUAUAUAACAGUAGCAGAGAAUGAAAAUUUGUGAAUGAAUUGGAUAUUUUAUGAAGUAUUGAUAUGUCAGUGUAAGCAUGAAAAGGAAAACAUGAAUGCAAGUUCCAAGCAAUGGCGUUUAUUAGAUGGAGCUAUGGAUGGGUGGCAGACAGAAACAUGAUGAAAUUCUGGUCACCAUUGUAUAUCCAGAAUCAACCUCUCAAACUAUAUAACAUGCUAGAUUCAAGUGUGCAAGAGUUCAUUACAUAAUAUUAAGAGGUAAAAUGUUCAACAGCAUGAGAUUUCAACAUUAUAUUGCUUCUGGGUAGCGCUUUUCGUAUUAAUUUGUAUCUGUAGUAGACUAUGUCUGCUGAUCAUCCUGUCUUAAAAUUGAUAAUCAGUAGAGGAAAUCAUUGCUUCAGAUCGUAUUACCUUGACUAUCUAACAAAGCAUAGCUUUUUUCGUAUUAAUUUGUAUCUAUAGUAGAUUAUGUCUGCUGAUCAUCCUGUCUUAAAAUCCAAAACUGUUGAUAAUCACUAGAGGAAACCAUUGCUUGAGAUCUUAUUACCUUGACAAUCUUACAAAGCUAGCUGCUAUAACAGUAGCUGAUAAUAAAAAAACAUUGUAUAGUCAUGAAUUAAGCAAAUGAAAGAAAACUACCUUGACUGGAUGCUUGAAAAUUAGUGAUAGACGUUGGAGAUCAAAAGAAAUUAAAAAGAGUGAAGAAGAAGGUGAAAACAGAAAUAAGCAAAAUUGUGAUAGGAAUUACUGGGAAAGUAUGUGAAGAAGAAGAAGAUAGAGAAAAUAAUUAAUAAUUAAUGGGAAAGCAUCAUUACAUGGAUAUGAGUAAGAAAUCCAUCUUUUUUUUUACUUUUUUCUUUGCUGUCACCCAUUAUAAUUGGCAUUAAAUAAUAAUAAUUAUAAUAAUUAGGCUUAAUGAUAAAUUUGAUCACUAACUUUUACUUGUUUUGUCAAAAUGACCCUAAUUCUAUUUUUGAACUUUUAUUUACCAUCUACCUUUGUUUCAAUAUUUCUUUUCUUUCAAAAAAUUUUCAAUCUUUCGUAUGUUUGUUUACUGAGAAGUUAUUCUACCGAGGUAAUUUUUUUUUUUAAAUAAUUACUCAGCAACAAUCGUAAGCGAAGGUUUUGGUAUGUGACUUCCCAAAUAAACCUUUGUUUUGCUUUUACCCUUCUUUGGGUUUGUUGAGAAAUUUUGUGUGAUUUUGUUGAUAUCAUUUUUCAGGUUAUGCAGCGAAUAGGUAAAGAUGAAUGGAUAAAUACUUCUGGGUUUCUUGUUUUCUUAAUUAGCGUUUAGGGUUUAAUUAAAAAAAUUGUGUUUUUGUUUAACAUUUUAUAGAAUCGACCCAGAAGAGAGUUUUGUCAAAGUAGUGAAGAAAUAUGGGCUUCCCCAAGAUGAAGGUGUAAAAUCCUUCAUUUCCAACCCGCCAGCCCAGCCUUCUGGUAAAAUGUUUUUGGAUAUUUUCUUAUAAUAAGAGUGUACAUUCUGGAAAUGUAUUGGGAAAAGAAAGGGUUGUGUUGGUUAUGAUGAGUAAGGCUACCAUGAGGUGCUGGAGAGGAGAGGUGGAAUUUUAGCAUUGAAACAGAUAGUGAGGGUAAUAGUUGAUCCUCUUCUGCUUUAAUGUUUUACUUGACACAUCAGUUAAUUUGAAACGUAGGAGAUUUUGCAGUGUGUCACGAGUACAGAGUGACAAAGAAAUUAUGAGAGAAGUACAGGCAAUCAUGGCACGAAUUGUUUCAACUAAUACUUACUUGUCAUGCCUUGAUGAACCAUGUAGAGCACUAUUUGAGUUCAAUUUUUUAAAAGCUUUCCCAUGCCCCAAUAUGUGUUAAUGAUGUAUGAUUUGUUAGGGAUGAUACAUUAGUUUUUAAAUAAUAUUUAAAGCAACAAUGUCGUGAGGUUCCUUAGUUCAGAGAUGGAAUUUGGUAAACUAUCGAUAUUCGUAGAGGACAAAUUGACACAAAGGUAAGGCAUCUUUCUGAAGAAAGAAUAUGGGAUCUUCUUUAUAGGGUUAUGCUGCAAUAACAAGGUUGUGAGCAGUUGACAUUUUUUGGGCAGCACAUCUAUAGGAAUUUCUAAUAUGGAGUUAAGCAUUAGCGACACUUUCUCAAUAUCCGGACUCCAUUGCUCCUUUUUUGGUAACUCUUCUAAUUCCAAGCCUGCUUGUAUCAUAUAUCGAGGAUUUGUACUUGUGAUCGACAAUGCCAUGCGUCUCACUGCAUCAUGCAUUUUCACUUUUGCACUCGAGACAUUUUCCAACAAGCAGUUAUCUUCCAACUUUUUCAAAAUAGUAAGGCCCUUAUCUUCCAUUUCUUGUCUUCUAUCCAUUUCAUCUAUGAAUCUCUCAUCAAUCCAACACUCGAUUAGUUCAUCCUUACUAAUUUCAAAAUCUUCAGGAUAUAAUGCACAAUACAAGAAGCAAGAUUUUACUUUCCCAUCUUUCAAGUGAUCAAACCUAAAUUUCAAAUGCUUGACUACCUCAGCUUCCACUUCUUCCACUUUCGCUAUUCUCUCUUUCAAUCCCUUGAAUGCAUUUUUCCAAAUGCGAGGGUCAUCUUCUCCUUUCAUGGUCCCAGCUACCACAACAAUUGGAAGAGGUAGACCCGCACAUUCGUUGACAACAAGCUUCAAAGUUGGCAUUAUAGUUGGAUUUUGAACUAUGUUAGGUCCAACUUUAUUCAAGAAUAGUAUCAAUGCCUCUUCUUCUGAAAGGGGCUUUACUUUUAUCACCUUUCAACCCAUAUACUUACGGACAUGCUCUGAAUGGGUUGUCAGCACCAACUUGCAGCCAUUGCGGCCACUCGGCUCGGGGAUCCCAACUUCCUCUGGAGAGACUUUAUCCCACACAUCAUCUUGGAUUAGAGCAUGUUUUCCAGCUCUCUUCAGCAUUUCCGAUAAGAUUGCUGCUCGUCUAACCUUGUUUCCUUCUUUGGCCAAAUCUUCCUUCAAGUUCAAGGCACUUGCAAUGUCAUCUUGUAACUUGAUAACAUUAAAAUCCUUUGAUAUAGUAACCCAGAUUACGCUUUCGAAUCUUUGUUCUUUCAAAAGAUCAUUGUGGAUGUGCUUCAUGAUAGUGGUUUUACCCACACCGCCCAUUCCCCAAACCCCAAUCUUGCUCACCACCUCCUGCAUCAAACAUAACCAAAUCUCAUCUCUCACAGCUUUCUCACCAACUAGUUCUGAUGUUUCCAGUCGCAACCCACCACUUGGACCAUCAAUGGCAAGACCUUCAGAGGCAUUAGGAGCUUUAUCAAGAAAUUCCUUCAUUUCUCGAGUCUUUUCGUCAACCAGCUUCCCGUAGCAAGCAAGACAGAGAUAUCUCCCGUUACUGACUUUGUUUUCAACAACUUGUGCUUCCCUAAUCAUCUCUUUCACAUCUUUCAACCAAUUUUCAACCCCCUUUUGGUAUCUUCCCGGGAGGCCGAAGCUCUGCUUUCAAUUGCAGCUCUAUAUCUUCCAUUUUGCAAUUCAAUUCAUCUCUGAUCCUCUUGAAGUUUCUCACAUAAUCAUUCAGCUUUCUGUGAUAUUGCAAGUAUUUACACACAGGAGUUCUGAGACAAUUUGCAAUGCCAAGAACAGGCUCUACGUACUCCAUUGCUAUGUCCCUGCAAAGCAAUCAUAUACAACAGUAGCAGAUAAUAAAAACCGUGAAUGUAUUGGAUUUUUUAUGAAGUUUAGAUAUGUCAGUGUAAGCAUGAAAAGGAAACAUGAAUGCAACUUUCAAGCAAUGGCAGACAGAAGCAUGAUGAAACUCUGGUCACCAUUGUAUAUCGUUUACCGAAUCAAUAAUUAAUAAAAAAAUUUAAAUCUAUAAAAUCAUUUAAUAAAACAACAACAACAACAACUUAAGGGUAGUCUUCUGCUUUCAUAUUUAUUUGCAAAUUAAUAUAAUAUAAUUACUUAUAAUUAUAAUGAAUUCAUUGGUAAUGCUUUUAUGGGUUGCCUACCGUUCAAUUAAGGGAUGGACUUUAGGUUUUGGCUCAUAGGCUUGGGUUUGGGUCUAAAAUUAGGCCAUGCCUUCACAUUUAGAAAAUAAUUUGUCUUUAUUUAUUUAUUAUUUCAUAUAGCAUUUGGUGGAGAUUUUUAAAUUUAUUAGAUUCUAAUGUAACAUGAAUUGAAUAUGAUUUGAAGUAUUUAAUAUUCAGUUCAUUUUUAAAUAUUUUAUUUUUAACAUAUAUUAAUUCAACUAUUAUAAUAGAAAAUGUUCAAAUUAUAAUUAAAUUAUUUUUAUCAUAUUCAACAUAUAAUAUAACUUUACUUUAUGUGAUUAAUGCAAAGUAACAUUACUCACAAUAAUAACUCUAUUUUAUAUCAAUAAAAUUAGCACAAACUUUUUUACGUCUAAAGUUUUUUAACUAAUAAUUGUAAUUAUUGAUUAUAAUUAUAAUUGUAAUGAUCAUAUUUUUUAUAUAUUAUAUGUUUAGUGUUUCAAGUAAUAACUCUAUUUUAAAAUUAGCGCAACUUUUUAACUAAAAAUUGUAAUUAUUUUUAAAUGUGUAAUUAUCACGACUUCUAUUUUAAUUCAAUUUUUUAUUUUUAAAUAUAUUUUUUUAAUAUGAUGAAAAACAAAAAAAUAUUCUCCUCUAUUAAAAACAAUUUCUAAACUCGUGAUUUUAUAUUAUUUAUAUAUAAGCGUGUUAAAUAUUUUUUAUAUGGAUUUUAUUUCUUUUAAAGGCAUCAAUUUAAAAUAUUUGGUGAUUUCUUAUGACAUGUUCAUCAUAUAUGUAUUUAAAAGUAAACAUUUAUUUAUUCAAAAAUUUCUAAUACUUUUUUUCAUGAUUAUAAAUUUAAAUCUUAACAUUUAUUUAUUUUUUGUAAAUUUGACCUUUAUUCUUUUUUUUAGUAAGCUUUCAAAAAAAAAUCAAAUUUAUUUUUUCCUAAUGAAAAUGCUGACUAAAAUAUUAAUUUUUAACAAUGUGGUGUGGCAAACCGCAUGACAGUACAUGUGUAUUUCAUGUUGACAUAGCAUAUGUCACAUCAAUAAAUAAUUUAAAAAUUAUAAAAAUAUACAAAAACAAAAAUUUCAAAUUUCAAAAUUCAAAAAAUAUAUAUAUAAGGUUCAUGAAAAUUUUUAAAAAUAGCAUAAAGUACACGUGAAUUGCUAUACGGGCUAUCAUGUUUAAAAUUUUAACAUUUUAGGUAGUAUUUCCAUUAAAAAAUAACAAUUCGACUCUUUUUGAAAUGUUAAUAAUCAAAAUUGACUCUUUUUAAAAGGAAGAAUGCCAAAUUUAGCUUUUUAAAAAAAAAAGAAUAAGAGUCAAAUUGAAAAAAAUAUAAACGUUAAAUAUUAACAUAAUUUUAAAAGUUUUUGUUCCUACAAUUAGUUAUCAUAAAACAUUUAAACAUGUUCAUUAUUCCAUAAAUAAAUCUUGAUUAAGUCUUUAUACUUUAUAUUUAUCUAAAAUUUUUAAUUUUUUUUUUAUAAAUCACAAAGUGUCCUUGUCCAUUUUACAAUUUGGAUAUAGACUGUUCGGGUUGGGAGUGGUAUUCAAGUAAUUUGUAGCGUGAAGUGCAAUUAGAGAUUCAUUUCAUUUUUUUGGGCUAUCCAGAUUAAUAUUUUCAUUUAGAAUGAUUUAUGGUUGGCUUGGUUGAACCGAUAAAAUGAAGCAUCCAGGCUCCGUUUAAAAAAAAAAUCCAAUUGGUAAUACAUUUAUGAUUACCACACCUAUAUCAUAAUCAUAAAUCUUUUUUAUGACAAGUUCUAAAUAGAAAUAAGAAUGAUUUCAAACUACUAAUCAAUCAAAUAAUACUACUAAUCAAUCAAAUAAUAUAAGAAAUACGUUGAAUAUCUUGUGGAAAACAUGAAAGAAAAAGGAAUUAAAUUAAAAUAAAAAAGGAAAUGAAAUCAUAGCAAAAAGAUGUGGUAUUGGGUCAUUUGUCUUAUAUUCGCAAAUCAAAAUCUGGCGAAUCUUUAUUCGGAGUAGAGCAUAAACCUAAAAAAAUUGAAUAAAAAAUUGAUGGAAUCCAUCCAGGAACAAGAAAAUGACAUUGAGAUUUGGAUUGAAUCCCAAUGAAAAAAAUAGAUCAAUGAAAAGUUUGUACGAUAAAUUUAGCGAAUUUUUUUCUAUAUGAAUUUUUUUCUAUAUUAUAGAUUAUAGGAAAACGAGCCAAAACUUAGCUUUCUUUAAUUUCAUUUUGAAUUUCAGUUUAUUUAAAAAAUGUAAGAAAAAGUCCCUUCAUCAAAAAUUAAAAGUUAGAAAAGGCACACUAGAAAAAACUAAGGAUGGCUGGAAUCUACACUUUGAUUUUUUUUUUCACAAUUUUUAUUGAAUCGUAUGCAUCAAAAGAUGCCUGUACAGCUACUAAGAGAUACAAUUUUAUCCUAAUCAACUAACUUUAUCGAUAAAAAUUACUUUUUUUAGGCCUAGAGUUUGAUAGCGAGAUCUCGAGUCAACAUAUUGGCGUCUUAUGGUAUAUCUUAGUAUAGAGAACGAUACCAAAGAUCUAUAUUUGUUUAUAAACUCUCCUGGUGGAUAGGUAAUACCCAGAGUAGCUAUUUAUGAUACUAUGCAAUUUGUGCAACCAGAUGUGCAUAGAAUGUGCAUGGGAUUGGCUGCUUCAAUGGGAUUGUUUCUGCUGGUCGGAGGAAAAAUUACCAAACGUCUAGCAUUCCCUCACGCUCAGUGCCAAUGAGUUCUUUAUGUGAUGAAAAGGAAAAAUAAGUUUAUACCUUUGACAUAUAAAAUAUGAAAUAGUAAGUAAUAAUAUCUUGGCACUUCGAAUUCGAUAUGAAAUUUUUAUUUUUUUUCAAAAUAAUAAAUUAUGUAUCAAAAGAGUAGUAUGAGAGAAAGGGCAUUUCCAAUUUUAUCUUAGCUGUCGUGGGCUCAUCUGAGCGUCACAAACCUUUUUUUUUCUUCUCACACCAAAGGCUAUUAACAAUAUUUAUGUUAUAAAUAAAAGAGUAUAAAAAAAAGACUAUUUCUUUCUUUCUUUCUUUCUUCAAAAAAAAUAAAAAGAAAUUUUGGGAUUGUUGAAUCAUAGACGAAAUAAAUAUAUAAAGCAACGGAGCCAUCAUAGUAUUUUUGAACUUGUCCGAAUAAAAAAAGAAGGGUAGUAAUUGGAUUAUUUAGUGAUCUGGGUCUAAUAGACGCUCUCUAUAUUUUCUCUUUUUCUUUUUUCGAUGAAAGAAAAAAAGAGAAUUCCAUCGUAAAGUCGUAUGUAAUGCGCAAAAUAUGCUUUCAAUCACUUUAGCGGUUCAGCUGAUUGGAUACCUAAUCUGCCAUGAAAUUUCAAAUUUGUUCUUGAACAAUCUGAAUUUCCUUCAGAUGUUAUCCCUUAGAUUCCCUUGGAUAAUUGAAUUUUAAUUCCGAUA